rnacentral:lncRNA from 1 species
GCUGCGGAUGCCAUAUUUCACUUCUCAACACAUCGUCCCAUUCCCUUUUUUCGUCCUUAGAAUACAAGAGACAGCCGAGUGCUUUCACAGCCAAAGGCAAUCCUUGGCACUUGUCCACAAUCUGUCUGCCUAUGCGUUGAAGCUCAAGGUAUGCGUUGGGGUCUCUAUCUUCAAAUGCAUGCUUUUUAAACAGGGACCAACUAUCUUCAGAGCUUAAUUCCCCAAGAUGAUGAGUAGGGACUGCUCGCAUGGUUGUUGCAACAGAUUGAUCACGACUGGUCACGACAAUCUUGCUUCCCUCUGCUGCGAGGAGUGGAGUUCGUAGAAUAUUCCAAACUUCACGAUCACUAAGCUCCAUAUAACCUUCAUCACGAGGCUUCAAAUUCCAGACGUCAUCAAGAACAAGCAGAAAUUUCUUGUUACGAAGUUGCUCUGUGAGUUGAAGCUGAAGCAAAUUUAGGUUGUCAGCGGAAGUAGGUGGAGAACCAAUUUCCUCAAGAAUUGUUUUGGUGAGUUUGAUAAGGAAAAACUCAGUGGAAACACAGACCCAUGCUUGCAAGUCGAAGUGUUUCUUCACUUCCUCAUUUUUAUAGAGACGCCGAGCAAGCGUGGUCUUGCCGCUGCCGCCCAUGCCCACUAUGGACAUCACCCCCAUUUUGUCGCCUGUUGUAUUGUCAGAACGCAACCACUCCACCAUCUCCUUCUGAAUUCCAUCCCUGCCGACAAAAAUGGAGUCAUGCUCCAAAGAAGUGGUUAUUGGUGAUCUUGGUCUUGGUGACCGUUUCUCGCCCCCACCUUCUGCCAGCCCCAACCCAACUUUUUCUAGUGCGAUUUUUUCCAGUUGAACAAUCAUGCCCCUGACCCUGGACUCCAUGCUUUUGAUAGCAAAUGGGGCCUUCACAGAAGCAGAGAACUUCUUCCAUUUCCACGCCUUAAGAGUUCCGUCGGUAACGAUCUCGUCCAGCAGGUCUUCCGCACCAUACACAGCAUCCUUGACAGGGACGAGCCACUCUUUGACAUUUGGGUUCGAAAAUUGCUUCACCUCCGCAUCAUCGAGCACAUUGUGAACAACCACGAGUUUCCUCUUCAACUCGUUGAGGAGUUCAUCGCUAAGGCUCCGUCGCCGAAUGAAGUUUAUGAGCUCUGGAGAAGCCAACCUUUCGAAUAGAACUUGAAGCGAAGUUGAGAGGAGGGCGUCCGCCAUAUCUGUGUCGACUGUUGCUUUGCAAUAGGAAUUCAGAGGAUUGGUUUCUGUUACCGCGAUACCACCAAACUGCAAAAGACUGGGUUUGGAUUACCACACUGCAGAAUGCUUGAAGGAAUCAUUAUUGGUGGUGGACCCAGCUGCCAGAUAUUGGUGGUGGACCCAGCUACACUGCAGAAUGCUUGAAGUUAUUGGUGGUGACCCAGCUGCCAAUAUUUGUCAAACACCAUAGUGGUGAGAAAAAGAACAGGAAAAGCGAGUGGGAGGUAGAUGCGCUUUCCCCAAGGAAAGCAGAAUCAACAACAGCAUUCGGUAUUUUUCUUUUUCAUCUACGCAUUUCUUCUUUCUUUCUUCUAGUAUUAUUAUUAGUAGACAUAUACACACAAAUAUUUGUUUAUAACAUUUUCAUUCUUAAUAUUAUAAAAUUUAUUAUUAAUAAUAUUUAUACUAAUAUUAUUUUUUAAUAAUUAUAUUAGUAUCAGGAUUUUAUAAUUAGUAUCCUUACUUUUAUUGCUUAUAAUAAUAAUUAUUAUUAUUAUAUUAUGUUAUUAUUAAAAUUUAUUAGUAUUUUCACAUAAACAAUGAUAUAUGCAUAAGACAUAUUAAAAUUUUGAAUAUUAUGGUUAUUAUUAUUUAAUAAUAAUAUUAUUAUUUGAUUCAAAAAAAGUUUAUAAUAUAAUAAUAACAAAAAUAAUUUUUUUAAUAAAAUAAAUUAUAAAAAUAUAAUAAUUUUAUUAUUUAUAAAAUACAUUUAUUUUAAUGCAAUUAAAAAAAUUAAAAUAAUUUUAAAAAAUUUAAAAAUUUUCAAAAAAAAGUUAAAUGGGACGGGAUUAGGAUGGGAUCGAUCCAUCCCAAUGUCGUCCCGUUGUCAUCCCUAACUCAUCUUGUGAUAAUUAAGGCCAUUUUUUAUCAUUGUUUUUUUAAAAUGGUCUUUUAUCCUUAAUAUAUAUAUAUAUAAUAAUUAGAAAUAAAACAUAAUUUUUGUUUUUAAAAAUAAAAAAUAAGGCAUUUUUAGAUCAUAUCCUUUUAGUUACUUUUAUUUGUUUUUAAAAAGUAAUUAUAUAAAUAUAAAAAAUAAAAUAAUUUAAAUAAAAUUUAUUUUUAAAAUAUAGAAAAUUAGUUAAUAACACUUUAUCUUCUCAAGCUCUUGUUUUAUAAAAUAUCAUAAAAUAAUUUUCAAAAACUUUUUUUUUUCACAAUUUUGACAAACAAAACGUGUUGCAAUAAUGCACUUAAAUUCAAUGAACCUAAAAGCCAAAUGUGCAGUGUUGACUUUUCAACAGAGAGUUCACACAUGCCCAUUUUUUUAAUUAAAGCACUAUUGAUAUAAAAUAUAUAUUUAAAUAAAAAUUAGACUUUUAAAAAAAUUAAAAUAUAUUUUUAAAAUUAAAAUAUAUUUUUAAAAUGUUAAAAAAAUAUUUACAAUAUUUCCUUAAAAAAAACAUCUUCCAAAAACAUUUCUUUAAAAAAUACUUCCACCGAUAACAAUUUAGACACACUUGUGAUUUAAUAGUUAAAUAUUCUUUCCAACAGGAAUUCAACUAUCAGUUUGUAUUACCACGAUACCACCAAACUGCAAAAGACUAAUUUUGGAUUACCAAAAUGCAGAAGAGCUGAAGGAAUCAUUGAUGGUGGACGACCCAGAUGUCCACAUUAUUUGUCAGACACCAUAAUUGAGUGAUGAGGAAAUGAAAGAAAAGAAAAUAAAAAACAAAAAAGGUGAUGCCAAACAUGGUCUUAUAAGGUGGGUGGAGCGAAAGCAACAAAGGAAACUAGCAGGAUUUUUCAUUGCUAUUCCAUACCUUAAAGGACAAAUUUUGAAUUACCAAAAUACAAAAGACUUGAAGGAAUCAUUGAUGGUGGUGGACCAGAUGUCCACAUUAUUUGCCAAACACCAUAAUUGAGUGAUGACAAAACAAAAGAAAAAGCAAAAAAGGUGAUGCCAACAUGGUCUUGUAAGGUGGGUGGAGCAAAAGCAACAAAACAAACUAGUAGGAUUUUUUUAUUGCUAUUCCAUAUCUCAAAUGACUAAUUUUGAAUUACCAAAAUAUAGAAGACAUGAAGGAAUCAUUGAUGGUGGUGGACCAAGAUGUUCACAUUAUUUGCCAAACACCAUAAUUGAGUGAUGAGAAAAUGAAAAACAAAAAAGGUGAUGACAAACAUGGUCUUGUAAGGUGGGUGGAGCGAAAGCAACAAAGUAAACUAGCAAGACUUUUCGUUGCUAUUCCAUACUUCAAAGGAUUGAUUUUGAAUCAUCAAAAUACAGAAUACUUGAUGGAAUCAUUGAUGGUGGUGGACCCCGAUGUCCAUAUUAUUUGCCAAACACCAUAAUUGAGUGAUGAGAAAAUGAAAAAAAAAAAAAAGUUAAGAAAAAACAAAGAAGUGAUGCCAAACAUGGUGUCGUGAGGUGGGUGGAGCAAAAACAACAAAACAAACUAGUAGGAUUUUUUGUUGUUAUUCCAUACUGAGAAAAUAAAGGGCUAUUCUAAAUAGAUAAAAACACCCAAGAGAGGAGGUGAAUAGAAGUUAAAAAAUUUCUUUUUAAACACAAUAAAAUUAAGCAUAAGAAGUACAAAUAUAAAGAAGUAAGGUUAUAGAAAGUAAACUCAAAUUUAUAGUGGUUCGACACUUCCUUACUUACAUCCACUCUCCUCAAGCUCCUAAUCGAGUGAGGGUUCCACUUAUACUUGAAGUUUCAACCAAACUUCUAAUCACUUUUUACACUUGGAUUCCAUCUCCAAUGGACUCUUACACAAUCUUUUCAAGUCUUUACUCACUUGAAGGUUUUAACACUCAAUUAACAAGUUUGAAUCUCUCAACCUAGCUCAACAAUGACUCAAAUACAACUCAAGGCUAGGAUGAAUCACUAAGGUGCACUAAAGAAUAUGCAAAUGAAAAUUUAAUGCACUAAUAAAAUAAUGAGAGCUUUUAUGGCAAUAAUAAGUAGGUAAACAAAUAAAUGCAAGUGUUCUCUUACUCAUAAAUGAGGUAGAGCUCUCAAUUUAUAGGUUUCUAACCUCAGGAGCUAAAAAGCCAAAAAACAGUCUCAACUGGUUGAACUGGGGGUUGACUGGUUCAUUAGCCGUUGGAACAUUAAAUGCUUGGCAGGUGACCGUUACCCUCGACCAAACCUUAACUGAGAAGGCAAAUCCAUCAACCAGGAAAGAAAGGCUACUAGAAGAGAGAGAAUGUUUUUCACAUCUCUCAACCGGACCUUGACAUAGAAAGAGUAAUCGGUAGACCGAUACCUUAGCUGAUUGAGCCGAUUGGCCAGUGCCUCGACUAGUUCACCAUUUUUAGUCUGAAAACCUAUCUUUUUCUGGUCUUUUUGCUUCUAGCACUUAGGUAAGGACUUUAGAUAAAAUAAUAUGUCAAUUUUGAAAUGUUUUGCCUAAGGUUCAUUUGAUAGAACUCGGAUUUUGAUGGAAAUGUAACUUUAAUGCAUAAACCGAGUUUUAAAGAUGUAUGAAAUGAUAUGAAUACCCUAAGUACACUCAUGCAUUCAUCUUACGUAUGUUUCCUAUGAUUAAAAGGUCGUUCAAAAGUCUUGAUCUUGCAUUCAUUAGGUCCUUUAAUGAAUUUCCAAAUUAACACCUGAAAUUCUUUAUAAUUCAAAUCAAUUAGUAACUUAACCAUGAUUUGUUAUAAUCAAAACAUGAUUAGGAGAAUCAUUGGGCUAACACAUACCUCAAAGGACUAAUUUUGAAUUACCAAAAUAUAGAAGACUUGAAGGAAUCACUAAUCUUUUUAUAAUUUAGAAAAAUAAGUAAAACGAGUUUGAAGAAAUGUAUAAAAAUAAUUUAUUAAAUUUAAAUUUAUUUCUUAUUUUCCUUCAUUUUUUCUUUUUUUCUACUUUUUCUUUCUAUUUUCUUUCCUUCUCGUUUUCCCUCAAAUUUUCCAAGAGCCAAAUAUAGCUUAAAGGUUUAGAAUCUUAUGCACAAGACUUUCAAUUUUUUUUACAAUAUUAUUUUAUUAGUUAAGAAUUAAAAUUUAAUGUACCAUAUCUAACACUAACAAAAAAAUUUAUAACAACCAAUCUUAUCUUUUAAGAAUAUAUUGUUUAAAUGAGAUUAAAAAUUAAAAAUAAAUUUUAAUUCAUUUAACAACUAAAUUAAAAUGAAAUUUAUAUAUAUAUAUCAUAAAUUUAUACAAUUUUGAAUCAUUUUAUAUGGAGGAUUGAGAAUGGAGAGAUUGAAGAAUUGUUUGGUGACGAGGAGAUUGAUCGAAGAUUUUAUAGUCUUAAGGUUCUAUGGGAUGAAAUUUUUUGUAAAGAGUUUAAAUUUUUGUAAAAAAUAAAAUUAGUUUUAUGUUAUUUGAUUUCAUGGAAAUACAAAGUUUUAAUUCAAAGAUUAUGUUUUAAAAAUAUUAUUUUUAAAAUAUAUUUAGUAAAGAUUUAUAAAAAUUUAAAAUUAAAAUUAGUUAAUCUAUCAACUAAAUUAAAAUAAGAUUUAUAUAUUAUUUUUAUAGAUUUACAUGUGUAAAAUCUUUAAAAUGCCUCAACUUAAAAUAUCCUUACAAAAUUUCAUUAAUCUACUAGCAAUCUGCAUAUUGUCUCUACAUAGAGUCAAUUUGCAUUAGGAUGAAUACCAUCAUAAUAAUAAUUACGCUCCACAUAUGAUGUAUCUUAACAUCCACUUGGAGGUUAAAAAAUAAUUAAAGUAAGGGAAACUAAUAUAUUUAAAAUUUAAAAAUCAUUAUGAAGAUUUGGACAAUAAUUCAAGUAGGCAUCUUUGAAAUUUGGCUUCCAAAUCCCUUUGUCAAUAUACACCACCCUAUGACAAUUAAAUAAAUUAAAAGAAGGAAAAAAAAUGUUAAAGGAAUGACAAAACAUAGGGAACAAUUAUAUUUAAGGAGUGGAUGGAGUUGAUAAUGACUAAAGGGUACAAAUCUUGCAUAAUUGAACUAAAAAGGUAGAAAAGGUUUGUAGAUUGUUGUGGAAGAUAUAAACCCACUUUGUGAGUCAAAAAUGCUCAAAAUACCCUUAAGGGUGUUUUUUAAAAAAGGACAAUUAAGUACUCAUGAUAAUUAAUAUAUUAAGAUUUCAAGAAAAAUUAAUAAUAAAUAAAAUCUUUUUCUAAAUCUAUUUAACAAUCAUAUAGUUUUUAUUUUAUUUUAUUUUUUCAAGUGGCAACUAUUAUCUUAAUUUAUUUUUCAUUUUAAGGUUCAAUUAUUAUUAUUCUUUAUUUUGAAAUUUAAUUAAAUGAAACUGUAUAAGACAUGUUUAUAUUAAUUAGCUAAAAAGGAUAGAUUUUUUAGCAAUAUGAUUAAAAUAAAUAAAAACAAGGAAUUUGAUUUUCUUUAUAAAAUAGAUUAGGAAAAGUAUAUUUCGAUACAUUCGUAUGAAAAAAAAAUUCAUAAAAUAGGAACUCAAGUUUAUAAAAUACAAAUUUUAAGCAUUCAUCUAAAAAUAAUUAUCAUUUCAUGCAUUUUUUUUGUCAAAUAUAUUAUAUUUGAUAAUUUAGGUAUUAUAUUUUAAUAAUAUAAGUAGUACCUUUGACCCCCAUAAAACUUGAAUUAUUUUAAAUAGUUUCUAUUAUAUAAUUAUUUAACCAUUUGAUAUAAAUAUUAAAUAAUAAAAAAUAUAUCAUUUUUUAAAGAAUUUUAAUUAUAUUUGACUUUCUUUUGUAUUUUCUAUGGUGUAAUUCACAUAUGAGAAAAUCAUUUUCUUUAACAUUUUUUUUUCUUUCCUUAAUAAUUUUCGAGAACCAAACAAGGCUUGUAGGUUUGAAUUAUAGGGUAUAGAUGCCAAAAAUACCAGAAUGAGUUUGGGUUUUCAUGCUAAAUGUCUUUAUUAUUAUUUGGUAGCACUUUUCCAAAAUUGUUCCAUUCCCAAAACCACUUAAUUUGCUUAAAUAUUUUUACCUCACGAUAUCAUAACAUUAUAAUGGAAUAGAUUUUGUUGGUGUUCAAAUCAUGUCAACUCAAUUUCCAAACCAUUCGGAUUGUCAUUUGGUGAAAAAUAGAAAGAAAUUUUACUUUAUUGAAAAGCAUUUCAUUUUGAUUUGAAUAUGCUGCAAUGAAAUAGUUACUAAACCAUGGGGUAGCAGAAGAAGUAAUCGAGAAAAUGAAGAAGGAUGUUCAAGAAUUCUUUAUGCUGCCAUUGGAGAAGUUUUCAAGAUUUCUCCUGAGUAGAAAACUUAAUGGUAAGAGUACAAUAAGUCAUAUGAAAUUGGAGAACUGAAAGAGCAUAAGAACCAUGUUUUAUUAAAAGACCUGUGAAAGUUUAAUCAGUCAUGGAACUACUAAGAGGGGAUGAAUUAACAGUUUUCUUAAAUUUUGUCCAAAGUUAUGAAUUUUUAUUUUUUAUAAUUUUUUUUUACUUAAAUUGAAACUUAUUAAUCAAGGUAAGAUUUCAGCCACAUCGAGAAACAAUUUACGUGAAAAGGGACUGAUAAAAUCUUGAGUUUACAGAUGUAAAAACCAUAAGGCCAAAGACUGUAGAACUCCAACCCACUGAAUCAAGAAUAGAAACACAAAUUUAUCUACCAACCUACACUAAUCUCAUAUCUACAAUGCAACACCAUCGUACUCUUAAGUGACUUGAAAGGAUGUGAAUAUUUCUCACAAACUUCAUAAUGAAAUUCAAAUUAGCUCUGAGAGUUUUGGGUUAGGCACAAAGAGUAAUAAUGCAUAGCUUUUGUGUGUGAGUUUUUAAGUGAACUUAAGACUCAAUUUAAAGCAUGUAUUUUACUAAAAAUAAAAAAAUAAAUUUAAGAAACUUCAAGAAUUUUGGAAAGAUAAAUUUUAAAAAAAAUUCAAAGAGAGUCAGAAAAUGUUUCCUUUUUAAAUUCUCAAUUUAAUUUAUUUUCAAAUUUAUUAAGAGUUUAAGAAAUAUUUUCUUUUUAAAUUAUCAAUUUAAAACUCUCUUUUAAAUUAAUUUUAUUAUUAAUUUUCAUGCAAGUCUACUCUAUACAUUUUACAUCGUUAUUCUCAAUUAACUCAACAAUAUUAGAGUGUAACAUCCCCAAUUGAUUUUGCACCAACCUUAAGUCUUCAAAGACAAUGAUUGAGGCAUUUCUUCUCCUAUUUUCUCCGAUGUAGAAAAAAAACUUGAAUAAGGUUAAAGCUGGUCUAUAGCAAAAAGUCUUAAUUUGAGUUAGCCUCUUUUUUUUUUUCCAAAUGAUAUGCAGGUCCAUCUAGCCUUCAACUCAAAUUUUUUAUUCAAAAAUCACAUGUGGAUAUGUGAACAAGUAAAAGUUGAGUUUUACCUAACAAAUCAUUUUGAAAAUUAGGAAAUUUAAAAGGUAUUAGUUUGUUAAACUCACCACCCCUGUCUAUUCUACAAAACAAGAAGAUUAGCAAAGAAAAAGUAUUCAUAUUUGUACUACAAAAUAAAAAGAUUAGCAAAGAGAGAAAUUGUACCCAUGAGUGCAGAGUUUUGGGUUAAAACAACCCUUUUGAUGGGAAAAAUAUUAAAUUUAACCACUUUGUCAAACUAAUGUGUAAAAUGAUCCUUUUAUUAUCACAUAGGAGUCAUAUCACUAAUAUAUAUAUAUAUAUAUAUAUAUAUAUUUAAUUUAAGUUGAAGCCUCAAUUGCCAAUUAAGGCUUCAAUUAUCAAUUAUGACUUUAUUUUUAACCCGAAACCUUACUUGCCAAUUGAGGUUUCAACUAAAAAAAGAAACCUCAAUCGUCAACUAAGACUUAAUUUUUUAAUUGAAGCCUCAAUUGACAAUUGCGGUUUUAUUUUAAAACUGAAAUCUCAAUUGUCAAUUGAGGCUUUACUUUUGUGGAAGGAUUAUGUGACACUCACGUUACUAGAAAAAAGCCAUACUGAAUAUAAGUUUCAAAAGUGGCUUAAAAGGUAUAAAUUUUAUGAUCAAAGAUGCCAUUUUGACCCAAAAUCCCAUGGGUGCAUGAGACUCUAGUUAAUCAUAGAUUUCAUAGAUAAAAAUCAGAGUUAGGAUGAUUCAACCCCUAAGCGUCAAGAAUUCUUUAACAUAAUGUUAGAACAUUUUCCAAUUUAAAUUCGAGAGUUGACUUUAUUUGAAUGUGCUUUUGAUUUUUUUUUUUAAAUAAGCUUCAGUGUUUUUUUUAAAAAGAAAUAAAAAUAAAUAAAAAUAGGAGCUUCUAUAUAGAAAGUAAAAAUUUUAUCCAACAAAUAUAAGGCUCACCUUAUAUCCUUAUAAAAUAAAAAAUUUUAAAUUUUUUAAUACCUCAAAAUUUUUAAUCAAUAUUUAAAUAUCAUUAUAUUUUCAAUAUGAUUCCUUUAAAAGUUAAAAUUACUUAUAUUUUUUAUUUUCAAAAAAAAAAUAUAUAUAUAUAAGUAAUUUUAUGUUUUUUAAUUAUUAAGAUGGAUGAAAUAAUCCCAAAUUUGCAAAAAUAACUUCUUCUAUGUUUGAAUUUGAAAAAUAACUCAUUUCCAACAUAAAUACUCUUCAAUAUUUGGAUUAUUUUAAUAUAAAUUUUAGAAGAAAGUGUUAUUUUGACAGGAAAACAUGAAAGACAUUUUUGUUAAAAAUUGAUCUUUUUUUAAGGCUAAAAUAUAUAUAGGUUUAUAUUUACAAAUUUGAGACUAUUUCGUCCUCUUAAUCAAAUAACUUAAAAAAGAAAAGAGUUAAUUCCACAAGUGGGUUUAAAAUACUCACAAAAUUGCAAUAUAUAUAUAUAUAUAUAUAUAUAUAUAUAUAUAUAUAUAUAUAUAUAUAUAUAUAUAUAUGAAAUUACAAAUUUACCCUCGUGUGUUGAGCACAUGACACUUCCAUUCAUUAAAGCUAACAUUGUUAAAUAACAAAUGUACAUUGCAACUAUUUAAGAAGUAUGAAGGGCACAUUGCUUGAUUUUAGUACAUGGUGAGAAACUUGUUGAACAAGUUAUGUGUAAAGUUUUAUGGUUCAUGUAUGAUAGAAAAUACAGAUCUACUACAACACUGGAUUUGCAAUUUGGGUUAAUAUUUAAAGAAAAGACCAUAGGACAAAAAGAAUUAAACUUUUGGUGGAAAACAAUAAAGAAAGGACUACAUGGAAAAAGGGAAGAGAUCAUUAUAAAGGAAGAUUAUUGAAUAGAAAUAAUUCCAAGAACCUAAGGCAAGACAUAGAGUAUCACUACUACUAUCACAAAAAGGGGUAUAUCAUAAAAUUUAUGAAAUUUUGAAAAAGACCUAAAAAAUGAAGAAAAAAAAAAACAAAUCAAAGAAGCCUACAAGUGUAACUAGUGUUCUUAAAGUUGCGAAAUGAAGGUAAUAAAUCAAAAGUAGAUUUGUUAAUAGUUUUUAAAAUGCUUGAAUUAGGAAUUGUCUACUUGUACCAUACAAGCCCUUGUAGAGACUGGUUUGACAUGUAAAUUGUUUGUAAAAUCAUUUUAAUGGGCAAUAAUGCACCAAGUUGCUCCACGAGAAGGGGAGGGGUUUGUGAAACCAUCACUUGUCAUGACAUACAUCGUCGGGUAAUCACGGAUGAGGGCAUCCACGGGAGGCCAAUGUCUACCCUCGCUCCACACCCCUCUAGUACAAGGCUCUAGGAGGGAGAGAGGCAACAAGUGUGUGACACCAAGGUAAAUAUGCUUGACCUUAUGGCUUUGGGAGCAACUUGCAUUGAAAGACUUGAUGAUUCACAAGAUUCUACAAUUCAUACAAAGUAUUGCAUUUUGCGACGUUCUUCAUCAAUAAGAGAGCCUAGAUAUCCAUUGUCAAGAAUUCUUUAUGUAUGAAAACAAAGGCGCCUAACCGACAUGCCCAAGAUCAAGGCAACUGGAGCGUGUUGCUUCGCCCAAGUUACUUAGCGCGUUUUGUGCCAAAGUUUGUUGUUCGCUCAAGAGGGCUUUUGUGAAUCUUUGUAAUAAAGGGAUAAUACAGAGUGGGCCGUAAUUUAGCAUCUUACACGCUUAGUUUCUUCCAUUGGUGGCAUAUAUUAUUUUGUCUGUCAUUGGUGAUUAUUUAAUAAAACUAUGAGAGUAUUUCAUGAAAUAUAAAUAAGAGGUUUUUAGGAUAUUUAAUCGAUGGUAAACAAAAGUUGAAAACUAAGUAGGGAGGAAGAUAAAAUAUUUUAGAUUUGAUAGUGGACUUGAGCAUUAGAACAAGAAGUUCACAAAGUAUUGCGAGAAUUCUUAUAUUACUUAACAUCACAUGUAAAGAAAUUACAAAGCAAAAUGGAGUGGUUGAAAAGAUGAAUAGAACACCAUUGGAAUGACUAGGUGGCUAAGAUUAACCAUUGGGUUACUUAAGAAUUUAAGGGCUAAAGCUAUCAACAUAACUUAUCAUGUAAUUACUUAGUUGUCAAGUUUUACAAUUAUUUUCAAUAUUCCAAAAGAAGUGUCAAGUAAAUCAAUUGACUUUUCAUCUAUUGAAAUAUUUGAUUGUUGCACUUAUAUUCAUAUAUAGGUGAAAAAAAAAUUCAAUCCAAAAUAAAAAAGGUAUAUAUUCCUUGGGUUUGAAAAAAGGAUUGAUUAAAGACUAUAGACUUUGGGAUCCAACAAUUAAAGAAAAAAAAGUGGUGAGCAGAGAUGAAUUCAAUGAAAAACAUAUGUUAAAGAAAGAUCAAGGACAAAUGAAAUUGGUAUUGAAAAAAAAUUCAACUACAUGACCAAUCAUCGAGAUGAAAUUUGAGAAAAAUGUCAUUAAAUAUGAAAUCCCUCCUAAUUGAUGUCCCUAUUAGAACUUUAUAUGGGCAUCUUUCUCUAUUGCUCUAAAGAAUCAUCGAAUUGGGUAAGGACAUCAAUUUUAAGAUUUUAAUUUUUUUUCAUUAUUUAUUGGAAUAGGAGAUCUUUAAAUUUUUUUGGGGCUCAAUUAGGAAGGAUGAUAGUUAUCAAUGUGUUGGUGCUAUGUCAAAUGAGAAUCCAAUGCACAUGUUGACUAAAGUUGUUCUUAAGGAUAAGUUCAAGCAUUGGUUGAAUGUCAUUAAUUUUUCAUUUUGUAGAACAUGGAAGGUCAAUUUUAUCGAAGAGCCAGGUCAAUCAACUUCUAUUAGGACUUCCAUUGAUUCUUGAUUUGACUAGAGGGACUCCUAGCAGUAAAUUUGUAUGAAGGGGCCCUACGGAGAUGCAAGAGCUGCCAAUCGGAUCGACCAAUAAAUGAUAGGCCCAUGCAGAGAUGUCCCUGAAAUAGGGGAUUGGUUGAUUGGAAAGCUUAGGCAGAGUAUAAAGGAGAACAAUUUAGCAUUUUGGGAAAAGCACAUAUGAAGAUGUUUACAAGUUUGGAAAUUUGAGUUAAAGAAGAGAUGGUCUAAAAAUGUUUCAAAUUUCAAUUUUAUGUUUUUCUAAGUUUGAUAUAUCCUAUUUGGAUAUUUGGGAAGUCUUCUCUUGUUACAUAAGGUAGUCCUAUGAUGAGAUUUGUUAUGAAAAUAGGUUCUUCCUCGUGUGAAAUAUUCCUAUGAAAUUAAGAAGGAAUAUAGGAAGAGUUUUUAUUGAAAUUAUGAAUCUUUUUUUUAUGUAAUUAGAACUAAAAUAUGAGAGUUUUAGAAUUGUAAUUACACCUUUGAAUAUAAAUAAUUGAUAAUAGUGAAUUAAUUUACCUUCUCCCUCUAGAUGUAGGUAAAUGCUAAAUUAUGUUAAAUCUUGUAUUCUCAUAUGAUUUUUUUUUUCAUUUAUUUUUCAUUUUCUUGCCCAUUUCUAACUUGCUACUACAUAAUAACAGGUGGUAUCAGGCUUUUUGUGUUUGCACAACAAAUGGUCUCAGUUUUUCCAGCACCACAAAAAUGAUAUUUUACUUAAUUGCUCCUCAGUGGAAAAGUUGGAAAGAAAAAUUAAAUCAUCGACUACACCUUUUUUUUUUUUUCCAAAACUUUUCUUGUCUUUGUGCAAGAAAAUUAGUAUAUUUUCUCUUUAGUAUUUGUUUCUCAUUUAUAUAUAUAUAUAUAUAUAUAUUCAAAUGGAACCUUAAUCAUCUUUUAUAUGAAGUAUAAAAGAAUUAGAAAAUAUUCAAAUUUUAAAUGAUUUUUAUUAUACUUUGUCCACUUCCUAUUUCAUAUAUCAAAUUACAAUAGAAUUUAAAAUUCUUUUAUAAGUUUUUUCUCCCUUUGCUACCACAUAAACGCAAAGACAGUAUGUGAGUUAAAUACCUUAAAAGAAAAAGAAAUUAAAAUGUGAUACAAAACAAAAGUAACCUCUUUAAAUUCAAGGAAACAAAACACUAAACUUUUUCAUGUAUUUUAUUCCAUUUAUAAAUGCAACAUGACAAAAAUAGACAAAAAUAUAAAUGGAAACCCUUUGGGUCCUUUAUUUUAUAUUUUAUCAACUUCAACCAAUUCUAUUUCUAUAGCACAACCGAUAUUAUAAAGUUCAAUGAGUAUAUAAUAUAUAAAGAUACUAAUCAAUACGAAUUAUUCUUUCUUUCAAAUGGCUACUUGUAUUAAAAAUUAAAUGUAAUUCCUCCUAAACAAUAAAAUAUGUUGACACGAUUUCAAUGAAUAUACAGUACAUAAAGAUAUGACCAAUUAGUACGAAUUAUUCUUUCUUUUAAAUAGCUACUUAUACUAAAAUAUAAGUAAACAUAAUUCCUCCUAGAUAAUAAAAUAUGUUGACACAAGGAGGAAUAUAUUUACUAAUUAUAUCAUUUGCAAUAGCCUCAAUCUCGUGACGUUCUUCGAACCAACCAUAGACUUUAUUGAGAUAGGUUAACCAAGGGAGCUUCCACUCUCAUAACUCGUAUAUGAAAAUUUCAUCUUGUACAACUCAAAUAGAAACCCAUAAAUACCAGUUGAAACCAAAAUGUAAUAAAUAAAUAAAAACAUAUUUCAAUGGAUCCAAUUAGUAUUUUUCUGAUCUCGGAUAAACAAACAAAUUUUUCUUCAUUUUGUUUUUUUUUCCAUUAAUCUUUGUAAGUAAAUUAUAUUUUAAUUUAACAAAGCACUAAACUUUACUUUAAUUUUCAUGCAGGAUCAACUAGCUUAUCAUAAUAAAAUUUAUCAAUAUAGCUGAGCAGAGAUUUGAUGUAAUAAUACCAUACAAAAUUCAAGUAAAAUUAAAUUAAUCAAAUAGGACACUACGGUCAUAUUUGGAUACAUAUUCUAUUUUUUAUUUUUAAAAUUAAAAUUUUGAUAUAAAAUAUGACAACCCUUUGUAUAAAAAAUAAAAAUUUAUCCUAUAAUCUUAAAACUACUUUUCAAUAUUAAAAAAAAAUGAGGACGUGUCCUAAAAUUUUAAACAAAUUUAAAAAUAUUUUUAAAUACCAAGAUAUCCACUUUUUUCUUUUUUAAUAAAAAUUCCUAUAUUUGAUAUAAAACUCUAUUUUAAAAAAUGAAAAAUAAAAAAUGUAUCCAAACAUAAGCAAAAUUGUUAGAUUUCAUUGUGAGAUUUCUUAGAUUCUACAAUUCAUAGUGAAAUGAAGACGAGAGAUAACUGACUGAAUUAUGAAAAAAAAAAUUAACAUUGAUGAGAUUCAAAAAUGCUAGUUAAUGAAAGAGUUUCUCCGCCAGGAUGACUAAGAAAAAUGCUGAAAAAUGUGUCAUGCCCAAAGCAAUGUUACAAUGAAGAAUAGAAUGAGAGCUAACCCGAAACAAAAUCCGACAAUCGCCAUGAAAGCCUGGAUGCAGAGGAAAUGUAACUAGAGACAUGUAAGGAAUCAUUAAGCAAGUGAGAACAAUAUCAAAAUCUCAUGUACGACUUACUUACCUUUCCCUGAGAUUCAAACUUGAAUUUUACUGUAAACCAUGACAAUCCUCUAUCUACAAUAGGUGCAAGUGCAAGGGCCCUGCAUGAGAAGCACCUCUACAAAAAUCACAGAAAACCCAAAGGAAAAAAAAAAAAAAAGAGUAAAUAAAUAGAAACUAGUCUAUCAGAAACCAGGAGGCUGCAACAAAUAAUCUCCAAAUGUCAGAUUUAAUAUUUAUUUACAAAUGCCACUAAAAGGCCUUUUCAUCAGAGAAAUCUAGAAUAAAAAAGGAUAAGGAGCCAUUUGGAUUACAGAGGUCAAAGAUUGGGUUGGAUGGGAGCAAGUUUAACCUCCUCAGUGAAAAUGAAAAUGCAAGGCCCAUCAUCAACGCUAGGUUCAAAAAUUGACACCAUUUCUUGAAGACUUUCUUUUUUCAUUCUUCAAUUGUCAUUUUGAUUCAAAGAAGCAGCAGCAUGAUAGACUAAACAAUCAUCAUAAACCCAGUUGCAAGUUAUAAGGAUAAGAAAGAAAAUGAACAGAAAACAUAUAUGAGAGAACUGAUAGGCCAAAAAAAUCAUUGUUGAAGGAAUCGAGCAUAAAUCUCUGAACAAAAUUUAGCUGAAAUUCACUGAUUUUGGGUUAUUUUGUGAUAAGAGCAUUGCAAUAUCCCAAUAAACUGUUACGCUAACUAAAGAUUUAAAACAGAAUUUAGCUGCUUACCCUCCAGCUCUGACAAGUUUAGUGACCUGGCUGCCUGCCCACACCAUAGCCAUGAUUUUGACAAAUCUGCCAAUUGGAUUCCAUGUCAAGAUAUUUUGAAAAACUUGUGCAAAAAGAAACUUUUUGGAAUAAGUUUUUACCUUUCAACUGCCGCCAAAUAACCCAUCCUUCCUGGUGCUGGAGCAAUAUAAAACCUAGAAGCAGCAUAGUGAAUUCAGAGUUAUACUGGUUAUUUGAAAUCUACUCUGAACACCUAUGAUAGAGACUGCAGGAUGUGGUAAAACACUAAGGCAUAUUUCAAACUACAUUAUAAGGUAUUUGAUUAGAAAAUUAAAUAAAUAAAUAAAUAAAUAAAAUAACAUAACAUAAAAUACAAAAAAGAAAAAAAAAAUUAACAAACUGAAUUUGUCCAUAUGCAACAAUAUGCAAUUGUUAGCCAUGAAUCCCAGUUAUGUCGGUUUCCAGUAUUAAUAAUUAAGCAUGAUGUUUAUGAACUAGACCAGCAUUCUAAUAACUCUAGAUUGAAGGGCAUGGAUGUCACAUUUGUAUUCCAUCAUGUGCAACUAACAUCACAUUGAAAUAAUAUCCACUAAAGCAAGUUAAGACCCAGUAUAUCAGAUUAAAUUUUUUCUACCAUGAACAUAAGCUUGAUAAAAAUGAAGAUGGAAAUGCAAUACUUCUUUAUAUGACAUAAUGAAGGGAACCAAAUACAAGGACUCCCCAUUCCAGAUGCAGAAAGCCAAGUUACAACCUUUGCCAAAUAAAGAGAUCCACCAUAAGUUCAUUUUUAGACAUGCUAUAGUUGAAUAUGCCAUCAGUAAGUGAUCAAAAGCCAAUUCAGAUGGGAAUAACAGCCACAAUGUUGGGAAGGUCAAUAACAAAAGCAUUGACUUGAAUGUUGGCAGUGUCAUUUACACUGGCCAUAAGAACCAGAGGUAAUGCAUACAGUUGGUAAGGUGGGGAGGAGGAGAUGAGAAAUUGAAAAGUCUUGAAUUUAUUUGUUUCAUGCAAUUCCGUUUUCCAAUACUCUAUACGAUAAUAUACAUUGUACAGCACAAGAAUAGGGUUGUUUUAAAAUUUUGAACAAAUAAAAAUUUCAUAUCAAUAUCUAAUAUUUAAUAAAAAAGAAUGAAACAAGAGUAAGUACAUUCUCUUCUCCUUAACAUGGUAUUAAAGCAGUCUCCAAACUCUUAACUCCUAGUUGCAUACUUGAUUUGCACUGGAAGUUGCAGUUUGCUCAUUUUGUUAUUCAAGUAAGUUACUUCAAUCUAUCAUAGUUUAAAUGACUUGGGACGGUAGUUGUCAUGGGCACGAAUUUUCCCACAAAUUUUUCGCAUUCACACAGCGCUUAGAAGCCCUCUAAGCCAACAUACUCAAACCCACAUGAGAUUGCAAUCAAGAAAAACCUCACAAAGACACACAAGGCUAUGGAGCUCAAUCCCUAACUUGUAUUUUAUUUCUUCUCUAAAUAACAAUACCAGACAUAGCUUAACAAGACUUCCACAAUCUCUUUGGUGAGUUCAUGCUCUCUCUCAAGCUAUGUAUAUUCUCUAUGAUCUCCAGAUUGCACGAUAAUUCAAAGGGCACUCCAGUCCUCCUUUUAUAGGUGUGACACCAACCACUCCCUAUUUGAUAAGGAGCAACGAAUCCUAGUUCUACUCAAACUACAAUUAAAAUAAGAAUCUAAACUCCUAUUCAAACUCAAAUUACAAUAACAAUUUGAAUUCAACUCUGAACUUUCAAAUGUCUUCGGCCCAUUCCUCUUUCAUUUGAAACUCCUUGUAUCAGGCCACAUAUCAGCCCUUCAAUUCCCUGGUUUGUGGUGCAAUAUAUCUUCCUUAAGCUUGUCCCAAUGCCAAGACAUCUUUGUUGUGUUCUGCCUGAAGUCUACCCACUCUUGUGCCUUGAGUCAGUCCAUUCAUGCAUUUGAAUCAGCUGAUGCAUCCGAUCAGCUUGCUAUAGCGUCUCUAGGCAGCCUACUACAUGUGUCUCUAUGCAACUAGUGUGCAUGCCAAGCCCUCUCUUAGCCUACAGAUCUAGCAAUUUUCCUUGGUGCCAAUCUUUCCUUUGGCUGUAGCCCCUUGUUGUUCCUUGAGCGUGUCAGUCAUGCUCAUAUGUGUUCCCGCAUCUGGAUCACGUCCAUGCUGAGGCAACCUGCCCAAGUUUGCUCUGCCUAGCUGUUGUUAUGGCAUCAUGCCAUGCCCAAGCCCUCUUCUUGGUGCAGCAACGAGUCAUGGCAUUGCACCCAUGACUCCUCAUCUCUAUGCACAAGGCAUUGUGCCCUUGUGCCACGCCACCUCAUUGCACAAGGCAUUUCCCCCUCAUGCUACCGUUGGGAAGGGAAGACUGCAUAGCACCCCAUGUCGUUGCAACCUUGAGUUGCACACCAUCACAUGUCAUGGAGCCCAUAUAUGGUUGCUAGCAAGGCUUGCCCAUGUGCCUUGCUCAUGUUUGAGGACUUGCACCAAAGCCCCUAAGUGUGGCCAUGCCCAUGCCACCUCGUCUCCCUUGAGUCACCCCCACCCUCACCCCCCUUAAAAGAGCAUUUUAAGCCCUUUUAAUUAAUUCAAGAAAAUCUAGAAAAUUUUGCUUCCACUUGGAGUCUCCCUUUUGAAGGUUCCUAUAAAUCUUUUAUCUCUAAGCGAAUUAACCAAGUCACUUAAUUGUUUUGCAACAUUCCUUCCCUUCCCAUAGUGUAUUUCAAGAUCUCUUAAUGAACAAGACAAUUGGUGGAGGGCAUGAAGUAAGUGGAAUUUAUCACCAUAUUGGCCCACCUUUUACUCCAAUUGCUCUACGUACUUCCAUUUCUUCUAUGUAGUGGCACACCUUUCACUACGCAUCUUUAGCAUAUGGGACUUCUAGUUAUAUUGGACUCCAAGUUAAAGCACCAAGUUUGUGAGUCAAGCAAAUAGCAUCACCAUAGUGUUGUUCUAGUCCUUUUUGUUCUAUAAUCAAUAAGAGGAGUACUAGUCCUUUUCAUCUUGUUCAUUUAGACAUUUACAGUUUAUGUAGUGUUGUUCCUAAUGUUGAACUAAACUUUUUUAUUGCUAUUUUAUUAAUUAGAUCAAUGAAAAUGGUAUGAGCAUAAAGAGGCUGAAUAAUAGGUACUAAUCUCUUAAAAAAAACUAUCUUGUAGAAACAUCAUCAGGUGACUAUGCACAAGUAAAUGGUCUGACAAGGCGUGAGAAAAACAUUCAUUUUUGUGCAACAACCAAGUAUUUGCAUCUUAAUCAACCAAAGAAUAAAUGGCUGAAGACAAUAAAUGACUGAACAAAAAGAAAAUCAUAAGUUUUAGGCCAGACACUUUUUUCAUCAAUUAUAUACAACAACAAUAAAUCAAAUAGUCCUAAAUUUCAAAAGAAUAAUGCUCAGCAGCUAUGCAUACUCACAAGUCACAAAUACCUCAUCCUUGACUAAUUUACAUGAAUGAAUUAUUUACUUACCAUACCAAGAGAAACGUUGUAAGAUAGUAUGCAGUAUUCAGGAGUCCAUAGGAUAAUAUUCCAGAAAUUCCAUAUCUCUUCAGUUUCUUUAGAAGACUGAAAGGUUAAGCAAGAAUGAGCUCUCAAUGUAAGUAGACAUGCAUUUCAGCAUACAAAGGGCAAAAGGAUUGAGGUAUCACUUCUUACAGAUUGUUUGCAUGAAAUUCAGUAGUAGAAGAGAAAUUAAAAUGAUUGGGACAAGAUCACUCAUCCAAACAAUAGUUUAUUUACAGAGAAAAGGUCUAAAGCAUAAUCAUGCAGUAGACAAAAUGAAUCUUUUGUGUCAUGUUCCAAUAAUGUUAACAAACUACAUUAAAUUCAUAAGGUUACAUAGAAAAAGAAAGAAAAGACAUUGUUGCAAUAGUUUGGUUGUUACACUGCUAGCACCCAGACUACGACCAAAUCCUUGCAUUGAAAUUGAAUUUCAAACUCCCAAUGUGAAAAAGGAAGAUACAAAAAAGAAAAGAAAAACAGGAGGAAAAAAAAAAAAACAGAGGGAAAGAAAAGAAACAUGGGAUUUCCAUGUAUAAUACAUACAUAUUAUAUCUAUAGAUAAAUGCAUGUAUGUGCAUAUGUCAUAGAGGCUGGUCAGACACAUUUCAAGAAGUUUCACAACUUGCUUUGGAAUGACAAACACGUGGAUCAAUAAAUGGCUUGUCUCCAUUAUUGAGAAAUUGCAGGUAAAUUUCAUCCACUACAGGCAUGGGGUGGCUGGACAAAGUUAUGCCAUUUGGUGGGAUGUAGUGGACUUAAGACAGAAAAUUCUCAAUCAUUCUUCUGUCCCUUGUGCAGUGUUGAAGCUGACAAUAUUAUUGAGCAUACAAGGAAUGUGAUGUAAAACAUCAUUGAGGACCAUGAGCUGCGAAGGCAGGGAGAAAUUAAGUUAUGAUUAAGUUUUGGUGAGGGAUUUUCAGAUGCAGAUCAUAUGGCAAAUUAACUUCAGAGAAUUGCAUGUUUUUAUUCAUUUCCAUACACAUUGAAUAAUCAUAUUUAAAAUCCCUCAUUCACUUGUUUCGCUUCCAUUAGUGCUCCUUCCACAUGCCUAUUAGCAGCAUAGACCUCAUGAUAGUUUGGUAAAGGUAAGACAAUAAAAUUGAAAAAUACAGCUAAAGCCUAAAAUAUUGGCUCAUAAAGAGAGAAACCAUCCAAGUUCUAUCUUAAAUGACUCUACAAGUUCUAAACAGGGAGACAAGGACUUCAACCUGGUCCAUCAAUGCAUAUAAAUGGGUAAUCAUUCCAACAACCAUUACGUUAGAAGUACACUAAAAGAAAAUUAUUAAACAAUGUUGUUUCCAAAAAUUCCAUGUUAAAGAAUAGAAGAACAUACUGCUAUAAAUGAAAUUCAUUCAAAACAGUUCAAACAGUAAAGUUAAGAAUUGUGACUGCAUAUUUUUUUUUAAAAGAAACAAGAAUUGUGACUGCAUAUCACCACACUUGUUUUAUUUAUAAUCCACACAAUGUAUUCUUCCCUAGCAUGUUAUCCCAUUAAGUAACCUCCAGAUAAAAUUCCCUUUCUGACUCUGUCAAUCAGCCAAAAAAUUUGAUGUAAAAUGUAAAAUACAUGGGUACACAAAAACAACUAUAUAAACUGCCAUCCCAUCAUUAAUAAAUCAUUUGUCUAUAACAUAGACUAAUAGCACUGUAAGGCAAGUAGGAAGUACUCUUUUGAUGUGUGCAGUUCUCCUUCACCAUUUUCGCCCUUUGCACUGGAGUCUAUAAAAAUAUGUAUAAGUAGAUUUUUAGAAAUAUCAAGUUUAUCAAAUGUAAAAUAUGGUAUCACAGAAAGCUACACCAUUUUUCUAGUUAUCAUUUGAAAGAUAUUGAUACCUUCAUGGUUGGCAGAGUAGUCAUGACCAUUUGACAUGCCAGAAGCCUAACCUACAACAAAGGCAAUGUUGAAAAAGCAAUAUUCAAAAUUCAAUGAAAAAAACAGAAGACAAACAAAUGAACAAAUAGCAAAUCAUCACACUCAAUUGUUUUCCAAAAAUGAAAAACCAAAUGAAAGGAACAAGGAAUAUAUUGAGAAAAAAACCUAUGAUCAAUGGAUAUGCAGUUGCAUUCUAGCACAUAUAUAGGAUCAAACAAGUAACUAAUCUAGACAUAGCUGCAGCAAAUUUGUGUAUCUCUGAAUGCGUGUCUGCUUUUUGUGGGGGGAUAUUUAUUAUGACAUGUUCUUAGUGCAGACAAACCAUCUGCAUUUACUUGAGGAUUAGGUAAACAUACUUUCCAUUUAAAAUGAGGCCUUGAACAUCAAGCCCCGGUGAGUUUUCAAAUAAGGAAAACAUAAUAGCUUUACAAUGAGUCCCAUAGCAAGAAGGCAUGCAAUUCCAUUCAUCAGCAUACCAGAAUAUAGAAUAGUGUGGACAUGUGGACACAUGCCAGAAUUAGCAUUGGACACACUAACAUGCCAGUCAUACAUAGAAAGACUUUCCAAAGAUAUUAAAGUAAAACACUGGUAGUAAGCAAAUUAGACCCAGAAAAACAUGCAAGUAUAGGCCAAGAUCAAAUCUUAAUUUUAAUUUCCAGAAAAAAAAUAAAAAAUUAUAUCAACCAAUAGAAAUGGUAUCAUCAGCAAUUAACACCAAAACACACCAACAUAUCGGAAUGCAUAUCACGUGUACCAAUCUCCAAUCAGCAUUACACCUGUACAAGUUAGCCUGUAGCAGGUCAUAAUAGGUUCAGACUAUAAAACCUUCCAAAUCUUCCUUUGCAGGGCUUAGAAACUAUUUUCUAAGUAAUUUGCAAUUUUAAAAGCCUGUGACAAAAUUUUGGAUGAAGAGCUUAAACUAUAUACUCACAAACCCACUCCAAAAUUUCCUUAAGGUAAUACACAUUUUUUGAAGUCCUUUCCAAUGUCUUCUCUUAUUUGAGUUAGAAAAGCCAAUGUUUUUAUGAAUUGACUACUACGGCUGUUGAGGUUUGAGGUGUAUAACUAAUUUCUUAAUAUAUCAUAAUUUACAUCAGUCAUUAGAAAUUAAGGUUCCAUCCUUUUACACUAAGAAAAUCCUGAGAGCAAUUAAAAAAUACCUUCUUUAAUAUUAUUAAAUUUAAGUUUCCUUUAGGUCUUUGAGUCUAAUAGAAAUUAGUAUAAAAGGAAUUUUAAUUUUCUUACACUAAGAAAAUAAAAAUAAUAGGCAAAAUAAUUUUCAAAUUUUGGAACUUUAUAGGUAAUGCUUAUUAAAAUAAAGCAACAAAGUUUGUCAUUUGCCAAUGAAUGAACCAAUUGUGGAAAACUAUGCAAAAAAUUUUAUUAGCAUGGAAUUUUUUUUUUCUGCCAAUAUAUAGAAUUCAAUUUCAAACCUGCCCCUCCCAACCCACCACUUGCUACUUGAGGCAAGCUUAGAGGCAGAAAACUAUUUACAAUUCUACGUAUGGAUAAAAAUUAUUUCUUAGAUUUUAUGCCAAUUCCAUAUUUAUAGGUAUCAAUUUAUUAUUCUACUGUUGUCAGAAGCUUCAAUUUUGGGCGUCCUCAUGGCUAUGCCACCCUUAAAUGAGAACAACUUUGGUCUUCUGUUUUUCUUUUUGAGCUCUUCAAAUUUUUGCAAGUUACUUCUAUCCAGGUUCUAGGAAACACCCAUUUUUUUAAAUCUCCAAUAAUUUAGGGUUCUGUGGCUGAGGGAAUAGACUUAUUUUUGGUUGAAGCACAUAAAAUUCUUGGCUAUUUUUUUAUUUUUUAUUUUGCCAUCAGGUCCUUUUAGGUUGAUUUUUCUACUUAUUUUUCACCCACCAAUUAACAUUGCCCUAACUCUGUUAUCUAUCCGAACAAAUGUUUAUGAACUAGCAAAUCAUACUAAAAUUUCUUACUAGUUGACAUGUGCAUCAUCUCAGCAUGUCAUUCCAACACCAAACUACAACCAUAAUCUCACUAACAUCCUAACUGCCUCAAUGAGUAUGGAUUACAGAAAUGCAAUUAAAAUAUACUUCCCUAUUUAAUUUCAUAAUUUUUAUAAUAAUAUUUCAGCAAUAUUUCCACAUAGUAGCUUAUGUGAGAAAUCCCCAUUUCCGUAUAAAAUCGAAAAACCCUAUAGCUUGCGCAUGUAAAUAGAAAAAAAAAAAAAAAAGACAGAUUUUGCAGAAUUGGGAGAGCAGACUCACACCAGCAUGGCCAUUGAUUGAGCAGAAACGCAGAUGACGAUGAUGGUGGUGGAAUUGGGAGAAAUUGUUGAGUUUGUGGAAUGUGGGAACCCUAGGAAUGCUGGGAUUGAAACCCUGGAUUGAAACAAGAGGAUUGUGAGAGAGAAUUGGAAAUUGAAGAAUCAAACACAAAAAAUAAAUCCAAGAAAUAAAAAAGAAGCGUAAAAAUGAAAUAGAGAAGAGUGUGUAUGACGCACCUGAUGAUGUGAAAGCAGCUUCAGCUGGUGAAGGCAAACUUUCGACGGGAGAGACAUGAGCAUACCGGCCUCCGACAACAAUCCCUCCAAAAUAUUCUUUCUAUACCAUUUAUUAUUAUUAUUAUUAUUAUUAUUAUUAUUUUCAGGUUAUUUGAAGUGCAAUGUCUAGCUAUACCAUUUAUUAUUAUUAUUAUUAUUUUAUUGCUAUUAUUAUUUUCAGGUUAUUGAAGUGUAAUGUCCACCAUACCUUAUAUGCCAUCCAUGAUGAAGGCCUUAGAACUCUCCAUGGAGCCUAAAUCUCGGGAUGCUAAUCACCCUAUAAUAACCAGCAUAGAGUAUAUUCAAAGUAUCAUUAAUGACAAAUUUCGAACUUAGGACCAUAUGUCAUUUACUGAGACCACACUUCUUAAUGUUCAUCCUUAGCGACACACUCAUAUGUACCAAAUCAUCCGAUAACCUGUUUUUCCUAUUUUCUCAUUUUUACAAAAAAAAAGAAAAAAUAAGAAUAACUUCUAUUUUUAAAAUUUUAAUUUUUUUUAUAAGUAAAUUUUUGUUCUCAUUAGGACCUGUGGAACCUCCCACAAGUCCUCCCGAAUCAUUUACCACUUGAGUCAUGCCUUAAUGGCUUGUUUUUUUAAAAAAUAAUAACAACUUUUAUAUAAAAAAAAAUACUUAUAAAAAAUAUAUACAUGUCAUUAAAAGUUUAAAGAAAUUUAAAUUUGAUAAUAAUUUUUUAAAUAAUUUAAUGUGUUAAUUGUUCUUAAAAACCGUAAAUAACCUAAAAAAGAACAGUAUGUUUGUAAAUUGACCAAAUUGUUAUAUGGUUUUAAAUAGUCACCUUAACAAUGUUACAAGUGAGUUGAUUAAUUUAUGGUAGAGAAGAAUUACAAUAGAAUUCAAUUAGUUAUCGCAUUUGAAGUCUUUGAUUAUUUGUUGAAUAAUAUUUGCAGCCAAUUAGCUAGGGUUGGCUAACCCAAGCCAAACCUAGUUACCAAUAUGUCCAACCUAUGCUAAACUCGAUUCAAAGUAAGGUUGGUAGUUACUAAACUCAUUAACAACUAAAGUUUCUAUGGAUUCCCACGAGUUUUCAUGGAUUAUCAAAUAAACCACAUAUAAUGGAAUCUCCUAAUAUAUAAAAGACAUAUUUCAAAUUAUAAAUUAAACCAUAUUAUAAAAUAAAAUUUUAAAAGCUAAGUAUAUAUCAAAGUCAUAAAUUAUAUUACUAUUCACUAAUUUUAAUGGUAACAUGAAACACAAGUGUGAAUAUUUAAAAAUAUUUUAGUAAUUAAACAAAAAUGAUAGACUUAUAGUGUAAUGUAAUAAAACUAGCAAAAGUUAUAGUUAUUUCAUUAUCCCUUUUAUAAAUUUCAUAUUUUAAAUAAACUAAUAAAUAAUAUAAUAGUAAUGAAUUUGCUUAGUCUUCAUCAUGUAGAACCAAUUUGAAGAAUUUUUUUUUAACAGGACUGAUUAAUGACUUAAUUAAGGGUAGGUUACAGCUAAAAUAUUUAGUAGGACUGAUUAGUGACUUAAUUAAGGGUAAACUACAGCUAAAAUUUUCCUAGUAGUCUUCCACUAUGGCAAAUUGUGGGAACUAGUAGUGGCCUGUCCAACCUAUAGAGGAAACAAAUAGGUGAGUGAGUUAUUGAAUAUGUGGCUGAGAGUGACCAACCAUUGAGGCUCACAUGAAGUUGUAGUGGCUGAAAGGAAGGGAUAAGAGACCAAAAACAUGCUCAGAGAGAUUCUUGUUAGGAUCAAAUUGGGGGCAUAGAUAUAUCUCUUUGGUAAGAGUUCCCAUAAUUUAGGUAUUAAUGAAAUAGGUAUAAAAUAAUUAUAUAUCUUGAUAUGAUCAUGUUGUUAAUGAUGAUCUAAUGAGUUGAAAUAUUAUGUUUUCAACUGUGUAUAUCUAAUAAAUACAUCAAGUGCUUAAACUUUAAUAUAGAAAUGGUCCACAAUGGCUUGUAUGACUCAUCGUCUUAUAAACAUAUUAUUUAGAUUAGGCUAAAGUGGUCAAAGUAAGAAGAAAAAUUGAUACUUGAUUUGAAGUAUGAAGAAUUCUUCUUAGACUUUGUGUGUAGUGUUGUUAGCUUAUUGUUGUGUUAAAGUCUAUUUUGAUGUAUUUUGGAAAGAAUGACCAACUAGAACCACAAUAAGAUGUUGCAAAACUUAUUUAAACAAGGGCUUGUGAGCAAGAUUUUUUUUUUUCCCUUUCAUGUACAAAUAGUAUGAUGAAUGAAAAUUUGAUUCUCGAUUGUAAUUAGUGUUUUCUUUAAGUUUUAAAUCAUGCAAUGAAUACUUAAAAUUAGCUUACGAUGUCAAAGAAUGUAAGUAAACAAGGUUUUACAUGUUGGAUAUAUAAUAAAUUCAAAACCUUUACCUUCCACAUUGAAUGAUUACAUUUUUUCUUUAAGUGCCCUUUAAUCAUUCUCAUUUUGUUUAAUCAUUUUCUAUAAUGUCUCGAGCAUAGUAGAUUUCUAUAAAUUUACAUGAGCAUUCCUUAACUCUUCUUGAGUGAUCCUAAACUUAGCAUUGAAACAAUCAUAAUUUAGGCGAAGAUGCUUAUACGUCUUCAUAAUCAUCCUUGGUUGCUAGCCAUUUUUCCUUAAUUACUUUAGGAUGUUUAGUGAAGAUGAUUACAAAUAUUAACUAGUUCACUCAAACAUUUUUGUAUGAGUGUAGAACAAUUUUGCAUUCUUUCCACAUCACUUAUGCAUCUUCGUUCCAAGAAAUAAGAUAUAGAACUCUUAUGUUUUGCCUACACCACUUGGUUCUCCAACCCAUUGUGCUUAUGCAUCCUUUUUAUAUCACAUAUGCGACUUGCUUCUCAUUAAGAUAUUUCACUUACAUGUUCUUGUAUAUGCAUAAUUUAGGAAAAAAUAUUUAAAAAUAGAAAAAUAGAUUUUAAUACAUAUAUUUGGAACAAUUAAACUCAAACUAUGCAAGUGACCUUGUCUACUAUGUAGGUGACUUUGUUUACUACAUAGGCAAAGUAUAUGACAGUGAUAGUCAAGGAAGCUAUGUGGUUGCAUGGUUUAGUGGAGAAUUUAAGAGUAAAGCAAGAUCACAUUGUGAUUUAUUAUGAUAAUGGGAGUGCCCUAAAUUUAUUUAAGAAUAAAAUUCAUCACUCAUUGGUAAGGCAUAUUGAUGUCUAAUUUCAUUUUAUUUAAGAGAUUCUAGAAGAAAGUCAUACCUUAUUUUAGAAAAUUACUGAUGUUAAUGAGGUAGGUCAUAUUUAAAUGUGAUCCAUGUUGAAAGGAUCAAUGUACCUUUAGGUGUGUAGUAGCAAAAUCUUUAAAGAUUGUUUGGUUAGCUUCAUUUAAAUUACUUAGUUAAAUAUUACAUAGUCAAUUAUAUGUUUGACUUUUUGAACUAGAACAUUUAGAUUUUGGUUGUUGUAGUUGUUAUAAUUACUAUUUAGGUUUUUAAAAAGGUAUAAAUUUAUAAUUUUAGUUGGUUUUAUUAGUUUCAUUUAAAAUUCCCAAGAAACUUCAGUGAAGGAAAACAGAGCAAGAGAGUUUUUGAGAAUUGCUUAUAAUUCUUGUAUAUUAUUUUGAUAUCUUUAGUGCAUUCAUCUUAUCAUUACCAUAGAUGAAGGCAUAUUGUCAAACCAUAUAAAUUGUUUAUCUCUUUGUCUAUAUUGAGCUGCCAAGAUCAGUUCCUUGUAAUCCAAUGGCUUAUUUUGAUUCCACGAUGCUACAAUGUAUUGAAUUAAGCAUAGGGAUUAACAAUUCCAAUCAUAAACAAUAAGAGAUCCUCCCCAACAGCAUAAAAAACUUGAGAGACCCGAGGCUCGCAUCUCAGAAUAUGCUCUUGAACUAACACUAAAGAUGCCUAGAUUCACCACCACCCUUUCCACCCCAAUGUUGUUAGAAGUAGAAUCUAAUCAAAUGAAGAGUUCCUGAUAGUUGCGAGUUCUUAUGAUUUUUUUCCAUCAUUUUCUGACUUUUUUUUCAUCCAUUACGUACGUCCUUCUGAGUGGAGUUCUCCUUUCAUGGUAUCAGAAAAUCAUACUCAAUGAAUUCGUUAUAACCAGACCAUAACCAGAACCUCCAUGGCGUGUUUUUCCUGUGUUUUUUCUGAAAAUAUAGCUACAUUUAUACAUAUUUUUAAGAAUAUUAAAGGCAUUAUCAAAGGAAGAAACCGAGAAAACUGAUUGUAUAGAAAUCUAUAAUUGUGCUUACUUUCAGUCCUAGUCACAAAGUUUCAACCAGAUAAAUCAUGUCGAGAGAUGCCCAGCAAGUGGUGGUGGUCCAGGAUGCAUCCAGAGAUGUUAGUUCAAGAGCAAUCCUUAGGAUUCUCCAUGACUUAACACUUAAGCCUGGAGAUGACCUUACACUCCUCGGAGUUCUUCACCAGGUUAAUAAUCCUUGUACGCUUUCUUUCAUGGGAGGUAGGAAAAUACGUAAAAAUUCAUGCCUUUUUUUUCUUUUGAGUACAGAAGAAAAAUCCAAGAAGAAAGAAAUAUUAAACAUAGCACCAGGAAAAUGAUAUAUACCAAAAGGGAAAUUGUGCAGGUUUAUAGAUUGAUGAAUGAUGUGUCAGAUUUCCCAAUACAACUAUUUUAUUCUAAGGUAUACUUUGAUAAUAGAGACAACUAUUUUAUGAUCAAAUGAAAAAAUGAGGUAUAACAAUUAACCCAAGACAAAUCCUUAAGUGAUACUUUAGUUUUUUAUGAAAUAAAUGUUCUUUUUAUAUUAGUAUAAAAGAUUAUUUUUUCUUAGUUUCAUUUAGGGAAAAUUUUGAUUUUUUAAAGUUUUAAAGUUGGUUAAUGUAAAAUUUGUUUUUUAUCUUUUAGAUUUUCUUUUCCAUAUUUACAAAAAUAGAUAAUUAAAUAAACUUAGAUAAAAAUAGAAUUUUCAUGUUCACUUGUUUGCCUUAUGAAUUUAUUUUACUAUUAAAAUAGGUGCUUCUUAUUAUUUAAUUUUAAAAGUGAAGAUGCAUGUUUUAAUAAAUUCUAAGAGAGGACAAUGUUUAAAAUAAAAAAUUGAAAUAUCGUGGAAAUUAAUAUUUUAUUUUAAAUACAGACAAUUUCCAUGUAAUUUUGUUUGUAUAUUAUCACUACAAAUCAACGAUGACUCCAAAUAGCCAUUGGCCUUAAGAGAUGUCAAGCUCACAACAAAAAUAAUGUUCUAAGUUCUCUAAAAAUAUUUUAAUUAAACACAAAGGUAGUCCAUCAUCUAAUCAACAUUUGCAUAUACAAAACCAUUUUAGCAAAAGUUACAUCAUCCGUUAGUAUAAGCAAACAUGAAUAAGUAUUUCCUAAUUAAGAAAAAUAUUAAUUCAAAUAUUUUAAAUUGGCCAACAAAUUAGGAUAUUGAAAUAAUGGUCUCUAUAUCAAAUGAGUUAUAAGAAAAGGUAACAUUAUCUUUCAUCUAAAUUUCUAUGCUUUCACAAUCUUCAAAAUUAAUAAAACAAUAAGUUAUCUUUCAUUUGAUGCCAUUGGCUAUAUUGUAUUUUCUCGUGACAAAGUGAUGAUUAUCUUUUUUUUUUUUUUAUGCACUUGAUUGAUUUGGUUUCCACCAAUGUGACUUUAGUGAUUUAUCCUUCGCCGGUUGUUAGGAUAAUGGUAGUGGUUAAUAUGAUGUCGUCAAUAGAAUAACUACCUACUCUAGGUAGUAUGUUGGAUAUGAUGUUAUAAACCUACUUAUAGAUUAAUAUAGUUCAACAAAUACUAAUUUGAGAGAGAGAGAGAUAGGUCUAUGGUGAGUUGUAGUGAAAGGGAAGGAUUAAGGCUAGGGUUUGUGUGGGUAUGAAAAAGAUAAAAACAUUUUUAUUUUCAUAUCCAUUUUUGGAUUUUAAAAAAUAAAAAUAAAUAGGUGGAUAUAGAAAGAGUUCAAGUGGUUCGUUUGCAAUUUCCCUUCAUAAAACAUCACAGUUGUCAAUGAGAUCUAUGCACUAAGUAAUUUUAACAACCUUUGUUUGUGAAUUGCUUGUUACUGCAUUAAGUUUUGGUAUUCUCCUCCAUGUAGGUGAAACAUAUCAUGUUUAUGUAGAAUCAUUAAUAUAGUGUUUAACAGCUUCCAUGAAAAAGAAAGCGUGAGAGCUUGGGGAUAUACUUCCCAACUUAGAGGACAUCUCAAUAGCAAUGAAUAGAUUUUCAUAUAAAUGGUUAAAUAGUAUAUAAAAUAAUCGAAGAUGUCUUGUUUUAGUUUACCUCCUAGGUAGAUAGCCUAGUUACUUCAAGUAGUUUUGGCAACACCAUUUACUAUCAUCUUCAACGAGUAUAUAUCCUUCAAGGCAAGGCCUCACUUUCUUAGCUCAACAAAAAGUUUAUUAUGAUAAGUUAUCUUGAUAACUAAUGACUAAUCUUGGUGUAUAUAUAUAUAGUUAAGAGGGAUGUGAAUCAAUGAGAAAUAGUUUCCACUUUGUGCUAAUGAUAGGUUUGAGUCAAGGUUCAAAUUUUCAUCCAUGGAAGUAUGAAUGUUGAUCAAUAUGAAAUUCUGGUCCAUCUUGUGAUAACAAAUAGUUUAUCAUAUGUAACUCAAAAUUAUUCUUUCUAUACAUUCAUCUUGUGCACCCACCUUUCUGUUUCUUUAUUGUACGUAUCACUUUCUCUUAUUCCAUAAGGAGAAGCCACUAGACUUGAGAAAUCAAUUAGAGAAUGAUACAAUUCCAACAAGAUCGAGUAUGAAACAUUUCUUAUCAAUCUUUUCAUAGUGACUCAUAGCUUGUAGUAAAUUAAUGGGCUAUUUGUUUUUUAACUUGAGUUUUGAAGCAAGUUGUUUUAAGAUUUAAGAUAAAAGUAAAAAAGAAAUUUACUUUUUCUAUUAACACAAAAUUAUCUUAGAAAAUAUGAUACGUUAAAAAAUAACCAUUUUAAAAAUGACAAAUCUUAUAGAAAAAAAUAAUAUAAAAAAAUAACACUUAACACUAUUAAAUAGUAUUUAGUUUUGAGUUAUAUUAAGGUAUAUAUAUAUAUAGACACACACCACCUAAGGUGAUGUUUUACUUGUUUGUUUGUUUUUUCUAAAAUCUAAAUAGAUUUGAAUUUGGAUUGAAUUUAAAUAGAGCAAAAUGUCAUAAGUGUUUAGACUCUUUGUGCUUUAUUGUAUUUGAAAUAUGUUAAGUGUUAAAUUGUUUAUUUUUACUUAUGUCAAAAUACUAUAAGUAUUAAAUUUAUUUAUUUCACUUGUUAAAAAUGUCUACAAAAUUAAUUAUAGUAUUUGUUAUUAUUUUAGUUUUAAAAAUUUACAAUUUUUAAAAUAUAUAGUAAUUUAAAUAUUUCCAAAAUAUCAAAAUUAUUACGAUAAUAAACAUUUUAUAAUAAUUAAUAUUGUAAUUAUUUAAGCAUAAUUGGAUAAUAACAAGGAUUUCCUAUUAUGCUUGGUUACUAAAAAAAUAUUUUAAAAAAUUUCUAAUUUGACACUUAUUUCUAUAUGGUGUGUCUUCAUAUUUAAAUUUAAAUAUUUUCCAAAAUAUCAAAAUUUAUUACUAUAAUAAAAAUUUUACAAUAACUAAUAUUGUAAUUAGUUAAGAAUAAUUAUAUAAUAAUGAGACUUUCUAAUUAUGCUUGAUUACUAAGAAAAUAUUAAACAAAACUUCUAAGUUAACAAUUAUUUCUAUCUGGUGUAUCUUUGGAUUUAUGGAUUUGUAAUUGAAAAAUGUGUUUUAUUAUUGAGAUUAAUUCAUUAAUUUUUAUAUUUUAGAUUUUCAACAUUAAAUCCUAACAUUUUAUUUUUCAAAAUUAAUUAUUAUUGCUUAUUCUAAUAAUGUGGACCCCGCAUUUCGGCUCAUGCACUUCCACUCGAUGGCGAGCUCGAUUUUUAUUUGAAAAACGAUUUUAUUUAUUAGAAAAUGACUUGGAGUCACCACUUAUUUUUGUUUUAUUUUUAAAGGGUAAACAAAAUACGAAAGAAAACCCUAAGUGUGACUCCUUAUUUUGGAAAAGAUAAUCCACGAAAAACCGGAUCGGGCUCGGGGGUCAGGUUACUUAUCGGGAAGGUAUGGUAAAGACCGUAGCACCCCUCUAAGUCCCUAAAGUCGGGUCUCUACUAAUAAAAUGAAGCUAACGUGGCAAUUGAUGAGGGAAUCAAUGAAUACUUAGUGUAAUCAUGCACAAGUGAGAAUUAAAACAUACAUAUAGAAAGACCAGAAUGGGAGUAGAUGCGUACCUGGGUGAUGAGCCACAAUGCGCUAUCAAGAAAUGGGAUUAGUGCAUAGUAAUGAACAUAAAAUGUGUCAAUCUUAUCACCAAACAAGAGAAAGAACCACCAAUAGCACGCAUGACAUUUCGUUCAAAUUCAUUUUUAUUUUAAAGAAAAUUUAUUUGAUGUUGGGCCCCCACCAUAGCCCAUCUACUUUUGAGUGAAUCGAUUUCGUAAAUUCCAUCAUCAAGAAUUACGAAAAAUAAAUUCACACUUAUUUUGAAACAUUUUGAAAAUCAUGGAAAAUUCAAAAGUGGCUCGCCGGAAAGGAAAUGGUGGCCAAAUUUCAUUGAAAAUGGGAUUUUUAGGUCCUAAAAAUAAACUAAGGAUGAAAACUUAAAAAAAAUGUCAAAAUUAUUUGAAGAAUUUAAAAUUUGAGAAACCAUUUGAAAACUGGAAUAUGAUGGAUUAUUUUAAAAUCAAGGAUGAUGAAAUGAAAAGAGGUGGUACGUGGUCACCAAGACUACAUGUCAAAAGUGACCAUGCAACUCAUGCAAGAGUAGGUCUACGGGUAAGAGUACUGGAAUUGGGUAUAAGAUAACCAAUAGGAAUGGGGUAAAUUAAGAGACCCCAGCGGCAAGCAACUUCAUGAGGCCUUCCUUUGUUGAUGUGUACCAGAACCAACCUUCUUUUUGCCUUUUACAAACUUCUGUAAAGAUCCACCUCUACAAUUCUGAGCUUUUAUGCAUGAUUCAAAGAUAGCAUGAUGUUGUGCUUGGAUGUUCUCUUGGCUAUUACUGCCUUUUCUCCUUGUUGACCGAGAAUUAGUACCAUCAGGCAUCAAGUUAUGCAUUUCUUCCCUCAUCCAAACAAACAAGUUUUCUCUUGCAACUUUAAGAUCCUCUAAUAAGGACUCCAUGAAGAUUUUAAAAUCAUCCAAUGUUGCAGGAUCACAUGCAUUGCUCUUACUCUUCUUCUUAUUAACUUUCUUGAAAGAAUCCCUCUUCGUCUCUUUACUAUAUAAAUUAUUCCUCUUGCUUGAUCCAAUCUGCAUUUUGUUAGCUUUCCCAAUUUUGAAUUGAUCCCCUGAACUACGAUCAGACUUACCUUCUUGUUGAGAUCUAGGAGUACCACUGGUUUCAUCAUUUUCAGGCGAAAUAAGAGAGGAAACCAGUUUGUGCUUCUUGAGAACUGGCUCACCACUGGAACUCGAUUUGGAAUUAUCACUUGAAGAAUCAACGUCACUGUCUCUCCUCCUGAACUCCCACCUCUGCUGAAAUUUCAGGUCUUCACUCAUGUUAGUACUUGGGGAUAUAAUCACAACUGUAUAACUAUGUGCUCAAUCCUCGGGAGAGUCCGACCAUAAACGACUAGACCCACUUAUCAUCAAAGUUUCAACUGCUUGUUUGGAGAAUGAAAUCAGUUUGAUGGAAGGAUUUCCACUGCAACUGCACCUUGAACUCGUUUGAAAGAUUGUACCAGUGAUUCUAGCAGCACCCCUCCUCACAAAUCAAAUUUUGUGAAGAGACACCAUGAUUAAACCGCUCCAUCAUUCUCUUUCAUACACCCAGCACAAGAGCAUCCUCUGUGGAUGAAGCCCAACCAUUGCUCUGCAUCCACUUGGAACAAUCUUCUUAGCCCCAGAUGGGAGCUUGAUCCUGCUGGUGCCAUUAUCAGGGUUGUGGCUGACGACAAUAGCUCACUUGCCGGAUGCCCUGGCGAAGACACCUCGAUCACCAACGUGAUCUUCAACGUUACAGACCUCGGCACCUUCGGGAGUAGAGCGCAGGGGCAGAACGUUAUCGGCAAUGAGGGUGGCUUUCUUACUGCAGCAAACGAACUGGCCCGUGUAUAUGCUCUCAGCCACCACGAUAGGUUCAUCAUGACUGCAACUCCUACUAAACCAUAUCCCUGUCUCAGCAUCAAUAACCAGCUAGGUACUGCAUGUAUCACCAACACCACUAUCGAGGUCCAGGCUAUCACAAGUUCUGUUGCUAGGCAGAGCAGCAGGAAGUUGGUUAUCAAAGACAUGGUAAAUUUUAUCACCACCUAGGCGCACGCCAUCGAGAUGCUCUUUGUAUGUCUGAUCGAAGACACAAGAAAUUUCCAUGAUCAUGUAUAACUUUCUUCCAUUCUUCUUCAGUUGCACCAGUACCAAAUCCAUAUCAGCCAAGGACCCUUCACGCACAAGUAGCCACAGAUCUGUCAGAGAUGCACUUGAUACAAUUUUGCGAGCAACUGUAUGAUGAUUCUGCUUUUGGCCUGGAGGUGGAACUAAACCUUCCACUAAUCUAUAUUUUUCUCAAUAAUAUAUAUCCUCUAACCUUGACAAAAUAAUAACUUAAAUCCCAGUGUUGACUCCUUGCUUCUCGCCACUUAAGCUAACAAUGAUUAUGCCUUGUCACCAGAUGACUUCAAGAGCUAGGUUGUCCAAAAUCCUGUUAAGAAAUUAGUCCACACCAACUGAUAACAAGCUGAUGUGGCCCUCGAAGACAUUGAUUGAACCUAGUCCAUGUUGUAGUCACUUUUUGAAUUUCAUGAUCAAGAAAAUGAAGAGGAAGCCAUUUAGAUGCAUGGUUGAAAAUGGUCAACUGUUAUGCCCCCAUCAUCAUCACCUCUAGUAUUAUGAACACAAACCAGUUGCAACCGCCAUUCACAGACUCCCAUCACAGUUCAUGGGCCUGAAAUGAAUCUCCAACUAAUGGUGUAAGCAACAAGCUGAAUGUUGUUAAAAAUAUGAGAAAUGGGUGGAGAGUUGUGCGUUAAGAAGCAGAGAAUGGAAUAAGGGAAUAUACCCCUUCCCUCAAAGGCACAGAGAUGGAAUCAAGUAAUUGAAGCCGAAGGAAAGCCUUUCGGGUAGCCAAGAAAGCUUGAUUUACAUAUUCUGCAUUACUUUCAGCAACAUUGGCAAUCACAUCCCUGUCUGAGAGGCCAACUGGUUGUCCUUUGUGGUGAGUUCAGUGUCAUUUUAAACUUCUCCAUUGUAUCAAGGGAUAGCCAGCACAAGAAAGAAAUGAUACAAUGAAGCAGACAUGAGGCAUCUUUAGAAAUCCUCUGUGGAUGACAUUUUAAAGGCUCUGUGAUAUUCUGAAGCAUUGCUACUCAACUAUGACCUCCAUCCCUGAUAUAAAACACUAAACCAACCUCAAUCUACUUAACAUGCAUCUCGGGUACUCCAUAGAGAUUAAGCAUCUGUAAUCAUAGCUUCCGCUCCUUGAAUUUGCGUUCUCAGAUGGAGAUGCACCAAUCAAAGCAAACCACAGACAAACACCAAAAACAGAGACGUAUAGAGAAGAAAAUUGAUAAAACAAAACAGGGAUAGGUGAAAUGAGAGUUUGUUAAGCAAAACCUGGUCCCAUAAAUUAUCAACAGGCUUACCAGUUAGUGGGAGGGGAAAUGGGUUUAAGGAGAAAUGAUAGGAGAGAUACAUUCAGACAUCACGCAAUAAAACUGGACAAGAUUCAUACUAUUUCUCUCAACUAAAACCCAUAAACAAUAGAUGGAUAUAUAGUCAUAGCAAAUCCAGUGGAUGCUCAGAGAUCAACAAAAGUAGCCAUAUGAUAUCCACACACAAAUAGCUAAAUAACACCCACUAAUGAACAAAAGAGAAUGAAUAGCAAGAGAAAAAAAUAGAGAUGGAUAAGAAACAUACCUGGAAAUACCCCUCUCCAGUAAAAUCAGCUGAACUGCUAGUCCAUUGCUCUCUCCCCCUUCCUCUGGUUCCCCUCAAGUUAAAACAAUACCCUUCUCAAAUAUCUCCGACCAAAAAACCUUCUCCAAAAACUUCCCUUUCUCCUCUGCCAACCCCCCUCCAAAAAGCAUCUCCCUCUUCUCUACAACUGGCAGAUACGCUCCUCCCAUAACAGAAACGUUCUUCUCUAAACGUCCCUUUGGGAUCUCUUAUCAAACCUCUAAUGACUCUCAAGACUAGGUCACCGAUAUGUAGUGGUAUGGGCUUGACCCGCUUUUUGAAAGCGCGGGCCAUCUUCCUCUAUUAUGCACGAACAUGGUCUGUUGCUCUCAAUCUCAUCUCAUAUAGGAGAUUGAGCUGAUCAAAUCGAGCCUGAGCCCAAUCCGCCUCGGGAAUCUGCUACUUUAGUGCUACUCUCAAUGAACUCAUCUCGAUCUCAACUGGUAGCACUGUCUCCAUACCGUAUACCAAUGAAUAAGGUGUGGCUCCUGUAGAGGUGCGAAAAGAAGUCCGAUAUGCCCACAAUGCGAAAGGGAGCUUCUCUGACCAAUCCCGAGAAGUCUCAACCAUCCUCCGCAAUAUCCUCUUAAUAUUCUUAUUCGCAGCCUCUACUGCCUCAUUCGUCUACGACCUAUACGCAAACGACCUAUGAUGUCGGAUGUCGUAUCUCUGUACUAAGGUAUCAACCUCUGCUCUGAAAUGUACCCCUCUAUCUGAAAUCAACUCAUGAGGGACUCCAUAGCGACAGAUAAUGUGUGAUCUGAUGAAACUAGCAACUCCAGCUGAUGUCAAUCUCUCAUAUGAGGCGGCCUCCACCCACUUGGUGAAGUAAUCGAUGGCGACCAGGAUGAACUCAUGACCACUGGAAGAUUUCGGUGAAAUCUUUUCGAUGAUGUUAAUACCCCAUAUAGAAAAUGGCCAUGGUGAAGUCAAUGCGUGCAACUCAGAGGACGGCACGUGAAUGAGAUCUCCAUGUAUUUGACUCUUGGGACAUCUCUGAACAAACUGACAACAAUCUGUCUCCAUGGUCAACCAAAAAUAGCCAAUCCUCAUGAUUUUACGGGCCAACAUAUGCCCUCCCAUAUGUGGUCCGCAGACUCCCGCAUGAACCUCUCACAUCACUCUAUCGACAGAAGCGUAGUCCAAGCAUAAUAACAGCAUCCCAUCAGGUGAUCGUCUGUAUAGUGUCUUGCCACAAAUCACGAAUCAUGCAGCCAACUGUCUCAAUGUUCUCUUAUCCUUGGCCGUGGCGGCCUUAAGAUAUAUGCCAAGUCUCAAAAAGUGAUAUAUGUCAUGAUACCAUGGCAAACCAUCGUCUAUCUCCGUAUCAUCGAUCAGAAAACAAUAUGUAGGAGCAAAUCUGGACUUAAUCAGUAAAUGACGAAUAGUGGCAUCAGCAGGAAUGUCAAUCAUGGAAGUUAGAGUAGCUAAGGCAUCAGAAAACUAGUUAUGCGCUCUAAGCAGAUGUGUGUAUCUCAAAUCAUCAAAUCUCCCAACCAGUAGCUCCAAAUAUGGCGGUAAGGCCUAAGUUUCACAUCUCUAGUCUUCCACUCGCCCUGAAUCUGUCUCAAAACCAGAUUGAAGUCGCCAAACACCUCUAUCUAUCUAAUCCCGAGCUCAAGGGCCGUCUCUAAUCCCAAGAUACAGACCUCAUACUCAACAAUGUUGUUUGUGGCCGGAUGUCGAUCCAAGAAUGCCAAACAAAUAGAUCGGGGAAUGUGAUCACCAUGAGGGGAUAUCAACAAGACGCCUAUCCCGUAUCCAGAAUGGUUGGCUGCACCAUCAAAGUACAUGUGUCAACCUGAUAAACUAGUCACAACAGCGACAUCCUCGCCUGGGAAGUCAUCAUCAAUGGCUCUACCAUUGGAAACUAGUAAUGAGGCUAAGUGAUCUACAACAAUGCUCCCUCUUAUGGACUUCUGAGUGACAUAAUGGAUGUCAAACUCGGUCAGAAGUACCAGCCAUCUCAUGAGACGACCGAUCAAAGCGGGUCUGUCAAAAAAAUAUCUCAGAAGAUCUAGAUGGGAUAUCAAGUGCACUGAAUACUCGGUCAUGUAAUGUCUUAGUCGGUGAGUGGCCCAAACCAAUGCCAAACAGUAGCGCUCAAUCAUGACAUUCCUUGCCUCAUAGUCUAGCAUCCUCUUACUCAAAUAAUAAAUGGCUUAGUCAUUGCCUGAAUCAUCAAGCUGAGCUAACAUGCACCACAAUGCUACAUCUGAAAUUGACAGAUAUAGGAGUAAGGGACAACCUGGUGUAGGAGGCGCCAAGACUGGAGGUGACAACAAGUACUUUCUGAUCCUCUCAAAUGCACGCUGACACUGAUCAUCCCAAACAGUAGGUUGACUCUUCCUCAAGAGUCGGAAAAUGGGCUCAUAGAUGUCUGUCAAUCUGAUGAUGAAUCUACUGAUAUACUGAAGUCUACCCAAGAAGCCCCUGACCUCUCUCUCUGUCCUCGAUGCAGGCAUGUCAAGGAUGGCUCUGAUCUUAUCCGAGUCUACCUCUAUGCCUCUCUCUCUGACCAUAUACCCCAAGAGUUUCCCAGAAGUCACUCCGAAAGUGCACUUCUUGGGAUUCAGUCUCAAUUUGAACCGUCGGAUCCUCUCAAAGAACCUCUCUAGAGUUGCUAGGUGAUUUGGUCUGUCUUGGGAUUUCACUAUCAUGUUGUCUACAUAAACCUUGACAUCCCGAUGCAUCAUGUCAUGGAAGAGGGUGGUCGUCGUUCUCUAAUGGGUGGUUCCUGCAUUCUUCAAUCCGAAUGGCAUGACUCUAUAGCAAUAAGUACCCUACUCGGUAAUGAAGGACGUCUUCUCCAUGUCCUUUGGAGCCAUCAAGAUCUUAUUGUACCAAGAAAAUCCGUCCAUAAAGGACAACAUCGAAUGACCUGUCAUACUAUCAACCAACAUAUCGAUGUGUGGGAGAGGAAAAUCAUCCUUAGGACUGGCCUUGUUGAGAUCUCGGAAAUCAACACAAACUCUCACCUUGUCGUCCUUUUUGGGAACAAGGACUACAUUGGCCAGCCACUCCGGAUACUCGACCACUGACAAAAAUCCUACACUGAGUUGCUUCUGGAUCUCCUCCUUCACUUGCAAGCUCCAACGAGGGUGCAAUCAUCUCAACUUCUACUUAACCGGUCUAGCAUGGGGCAGAAGUGGCAAACGAUGUUGGACGAUAGAUGGAUCAAGGCCUGGCAUGUCCUCAUAGGACCAUGCGAAAACGUCCAAGUAUGCUCUGAGCAACUGGAUGAGGUUGUCCCUCUCAUCAUCAGAUAAAUCUGAUCUGAUCCUCAACUCCCUAGGCUGAUAUAUUGUGCCGAAAUCAACAAUCUCCAUGUCCUCUAUAGCAGGUGAAACUCUCUGAUCAAAGGGAUCCGAAUCGGAAAUAGAAGAUGAGUCAUCAUCUGAGUCGUGUUGUGCAAUCUCAUCAUCAAUAUCAAAAAUCUGUGAUGUGGGUGAAGAUGGUGCAGAUAAAACAAUAUCGUAAAAGAGAGGCAAAUUUUAAAAAAUGCUCAAAUCCAUAGAUGAAAAGUCAGAAACAUAGUCAUGAUGGGAGACAAAUCCCGAUAAAACAUCAAAUGAAAGAGGUGAGUCUACAAAGUCGAACAUUCCCUCAACUAGGCCAAUAGGGCCAUCAAGAAAAUCAUCAACAGCUAUAAUGUCCUCAGUAAUCUCCGAAGUAGGGGCAGUCUGGAUCUCCUCAGCGAUCUCAAUGAAAGACACCCCGAAGAGAUCAAAUGGUGAAGUGAGCUCAGGCUGGACUAUCUCCUCAAUCUGGCUCAAGCUCAAUGCAAGCAUCUCAUCGACGUACUCGUCACAUGGCAUAGCUCCGUCUACUAUGUCGCUAAUCUCAACAAAUGUCUUGUGAUCAUCGAUCUCAUCCAAUAAGCAAAGCGUCAUAAGGCUCGUGCGAUCUGGAGAGGCAGGAGCGAUCAACGCAGAAGUCGAAGGAUCAAGGGCUCCGUUACUCAAUUGUAACUGCUGGACGAGGCGCUGAAGCUCGGCCUCCUUGGUGGUGUUGAAUCCUCUGAUGAUCCCAUCAGAUGGUGCAUGUGACUCCGAUGCCCUCACAAAGUAAUCUGCCAGGCUCAUGGUGUAUGGGCGAACAGGAUAAUAAAAGAGCGUAUGAGUCAGUCGAGCCCUCACCCUCUCCUUGCUCAAUCGCGCCAUAUAACGAUAAUCGGCCUCAGUGGGGAUGAACCUGAGUCCGAAUGGUACGUCGUGAUCAGGGAUGGCUAUGAACUCACUAGGCCCAUGCUGACACUACCCUAACCCUAUGCCGGGAAAAUAAGGCAUACUCUGCAUCAUAUCGAGCACCACCGUGCUACUAUGCUGGUCAAAGGACAUGGCUACGAAAUCUCGGUAGAAAUCUUCUAUCUCCACGGUUUGUACCUCAUCAAAGGUGAAUCCAGUCAGAAAAAGAUCGUCAUCAGUGUGACUAAUCUCAAGCACAGGCUUGGCAAAAAUGAACAUAUCUCCCACAGACUGCACCACGACGACCUGGCCAUCGUGAAUAAACUUCACCUUUUGAUGAAGGGAAGAAUGAAUGGCCCCAGCUCUGUGGAUUCACGGUCGGCCCAGAAACAGGUUAAAGGAUGUAGGAAUCCUCAAAACCUGAAACACGGUGACAAAAGUGGCCAGAUCAAUUAGUAGUUCAAUCUCUAGUGUGCCCAUGACCUCCCUUCGAGUACUGUCAUACGCGCGAACGGUCUAAGUGGAGGGACAGAAAUCAGAUGGUGCAUAGCCGAGGGCAGUGAUGGUGGCCAGAGGACAAACGUUCAGGGUCGAGCCAUUGUCCAGAAGGACAGAUGGGACUCGACGGCCUGAACAACCAACAGAUAUAUAGAGUAGACGCGUGUGGUCUGAGCCCUCUGGUGGCAAGUCAUCAUCGGAGAAUACAAUGCAUGUGGCUCUACCGACCGUCAUCAUAUGAAUCAAUCCCUCAUGGGAGGUGGUAGUCUUAACUCUAAUCUGGCUCAGGGCUCAAAUCAGAGCAUCAUGGUGAGUGGUCAAGGAUGCCAACAAACUCCAGAUGGAAAUACGAGCCUGAGUGCUCUAUAGCUGCCUCAAAAUCUCGGCGUCCUCUACUCUGACCUCAUCGGGAACAGAUGUACCCUCAACUGGCUUAGCUGCUGCGCGAGGUGGCUAUCGCAACACUCUACCUCCUCAAAGAAUAUACUAAACAUCCAAAGUUUGAGAAUCAUCAACAUGCGGAGCUUGAACCUCCUCAACAUUCGAGAUCAAGAUGAAUGGCGUCUGGACGCUGUAAUAUGGAAAAAUCAAUGGCUCAACAGUGGUAGUCUGUACUAAUGCCACCUGGGGAACUAAUCCGAAUGAAAUGGGCAUCUGAGGCCCCAAAGUCGCUCCGUCCAUCUCAUAAAUCCCAUUUGACAUGAUAGGCUCUGGCUCAAUGUCAUCACAGCUCAACAUAUGGAUAUAGUCAUCAUGAUCAAAGAACUCCAGGAAAUGUAUGCUAUCGACCGGUGGGGGGACCACAUGUGUAGUGUGGGCAAGUAAUGGGUUUGUGGUUACACUCGGCUGACCCAAGUGCACCAAACCCUGGUCGAUCAGAUCCUGGAUGGCAUGCCUCAAAGUGGUGCAGCGAUCGGUCUCGUGUCCAGGCCCUUGAUGGUAUGCACAGUGCAAAUCCAUCCUGAAUUAAGGUGGAAUCGGCUGAGGUGGCAGCCUGGGAGUGAGAACGGUCAAUAACCCGGCCUCUGUAAGCUUCCGAAGAGCCUAGCUCAAUGGCAUGCUUAAUUGCGAGAACUACCUCUGUGUCCUCAAAGCAGAUGGAGCAAAAGUCUGCUGAGCUUUGGGUUGAGGAUAAGGCGUUGUGGGUCUCGCAGUGAAUUGAGCAGCAUAGCAUGGCUGUCCUAUGGCCGUGUAGGAAAUUGGGGGUCUCUCAAUGUCCUGGGUGGCAUAAUAAGGCAAAGCCAAAGUCUGUGGCAUGUAGACUGAUCAUAAGUCGGGUGAGGCGCUCGUGGCCUAUACUGCUGAGGUGGAUAUGAAGAAUGAGCCUCAGGAAGCUAUGGGAUCGGCUGAUGGCGCCUGGGAGGUCUCUAACUGGAAGAACUAAUGGCGCUCACGUCAACUGAUCUUUGUCCUCCAAAGGGCUUCUUCCCCUUAACAUCACUAGGGGAAGAAUCUGUCCACAAUCCUCUAGAGAUGUCGUCCUCGACAUCGUAUAAAGUCAAAACCAAUGAACCAAAAUCUGUGAAUGGUACCCUAACCACGUGUCUGGCGAUCCUGGGCUGUAAACUCCUCAAGACCAUCUAUAUCUGAUCUCUCUCUGAAGGUCUAUCAAUGAUCUCGACAAUCUUCCCACGCCAGCGGGAAAUGAAUGAAGAAACUAACUCAUCUAUUAUCUACCUCAGAGCCUCGAGCUUUCUCCUCGAUACAUCCACGACAGUGUUAAAUGAAAACUGUCGUAAGAACUCCUGGGCCAAGUCGUCCCAUGUUCGGCGUCGUGAGGACUUCAAGGAUGCAAACCAACGUUGGGCCGUCCCACUCAGAGAUAGUGGAAAUAAAGUGAUCAUCUGAGACUCAUCCAAUCCAUGAGCCCUCAUCACUGUGCUAUAGAGUCUGAGGUGGAUGCGUGGACAACUAAUGAUCGUAUAUCUCUUGAUGUCUGGCAUCCUAAACUUAGCCGGCAAACUGGCUAUCGGCAUACCCUCGAAAUCAUCCCAAACAAUUGAUCUAUCUGACACUCUCAUCUGCCUCAUACGCUGUUUAAGACAGUCCAUACGUGCAUGAGCAUCAUCAACGACAGUGGUCUGGACAACAGCGGGUGGAACAAUCUCAGAAUGUCCAUGUAAUAUAUAGGGUGAGGCCUGAGGCACUGAAGGAACGGGUGGUGGUGGUGGAUGUGGAUGUGAGUCAUACGACGUCUCAUCCUGAACUGUUGGUGGUCUACUUUGCUGACCACUGAUCUCCUGCCUGAGGCUAGCCAAAGCCUCCUGGAUAGAAGCCAUGGUAGCCGUAAACUGAUCCAUUGUAACAACCUGCUGAUCCAUACUCGGUCUCUCUGAAUACCGGACUAAUCUCCCCUCUACUCUGACCCAAGAAGGCGUAUCCAGACUGUGAACGAAGAUCCGAUCCUGAUCGAUUCUUCUCCUACUCCUCUCCUCAAGUCUCUCAAAACCAGCAUCCAAAAGCACCUCCUUCGACCUCUCCUAUCUUCACUCCCCUCAAAAGCACCAGAAGUCUCUCAAAAAUCUCUUUUGCCCCUUGCCAAAAAGCCCCCUCCUCUCCAAAAUAUCUCCCCACAAAACGCCCCCUACGCUUGCCAGAAUAUCCUCUCUCUCAUCCGAUCCUCCUAACAGACUGCGGCCUCUCUAGAAUGUUCUUUCCACGUGUUCAACUCUCAUUUGCUCCUCGAUUCCACUACCUAAUUCUCUGUCCACCAACCACGAGGUGAUACGUGGCUCCUUGAGAGCCUUCCACCUGGCAAAAUGAGUUGCAGAAAAUGCAUGAAAGUGAGGCCCCAAAAUGAGGGUCUACAAAUAGGUUUUUAGAUGAGUGUGAAUUGUGUUUUGGAAUUCUAACUAAAAAAAAUUCAUUAGAAUUGAUGAUAGUUUAUUUUAGUCUUGUUCUACUAUAAGAGGUUGAAUUAUAAAAAUUUGUAGUACAUACAUUUCUAAUAAAAAUGUUUAUGAUUUAAGUAUUGUUAAUUUUAUUAUUAAAUGAGGAAUCUACAAAAAUUUAUGAAAUUUAAUUUUGUUGAGAAUUUGAUGAAUUAUGAAGCAGAAACAGUAGCUAAAUGUGGUAGAAUUUUGAUUCAAGUUUUGGAAUUUAUGAAUUUAUUUAGAUUAAUUUGUUACCCAAAUUAAGUUACUUUUAUGUUGUUGGGCUUCUUUUAAUAAAAAAAAAAAAUCAUUAAAAUUUAUAUCUAAAUUUUAUCAAGAAUCAAGAGGAAAAAUGGACAAAAACAAAGCAUAUUUCAAUCAUUUCAUUUUUUUUUCUUGAUGACAACUUUGUUAAUUUAUAAUAUAUUCAUUUUUCUUCCAAAUUACACAAAAUUGAAAUAGUUUAAUUCUUUCUUCAGAUAAAAGUUAUCUAAAGUCAUAAAAAAAAAUGAAAUUGAUUUUAUUUUAUGUGAGGAAUUAGGUCUAAAUAUCAUAACACAGUUAGAGAUCAAAAAAAUAUAAAGAGAAAAAAAAUGACUUUUUCUAUUAAUAUAAAAGUUAAAAUUAAUUCAUUUUUUCCUUAAGUAUAUAUAUAUAUAUAUAUAUAUAUAUAUAUAUAUAUAUAUAUAUAUAUAUAUAUUUUAAAAAAAAAAGUAAUAAGCUGAAAAAUAAAUAGUUCUAAAAUGUAUUCAGUCUUGAAGCAACUUACUUUAACAUUUGAGUAAAAAAACUAAAUAAAAAAUAAAAAUAGAAAAAAUCAAGCCCUAAAGCAUUGGAUGAGCCAAUGAUCGGAUACUUGAUUUUAACUAAGCAGUUACUUGUCAAUAAUUGUGUUCAUGUUCAUCUCUGCCAAGUACCUUAAAAUGAAAAGGAACAAGUUCAUAUAAAAUCCAAUUUGUCUUUCUCACCCAACACAAUUGCAACCAUCCACCACCAAUUCAAUAUCUCGAAAAACCUUCAAUGUCUCUAAUAGAACCAAAAUCAUGUUAUAUUUGGGAACAUUAAAAUCUUGAUGUAAUGCAACAUUUCAAAAGAAUUUUUCACUUUGAUCUAUGCUCAUAUCAACAUUUCUCUUUGAUAUAGGCAUUUUUCAAAAGAAUUCACCUAUCUUUUCUUGCUAAAGCCUUAAAUUUCUCUCUUCUCUCCAUAACAAACCUUGAGCAUGCAACUUACUAAAUAGACAUUACAUAGGAUUCAAAAUUAAUUUUCAACAAUUCUCAAGUAUAGUGCCUAUUGCAUAAGCAAAUAUACUUUUAAAGAUAUUGUUGAUAGCCUUCUCUAUGCUAAUAGCACUUUUAAUGCUUGGGUUGAUCUUUAUGAUUGAUUCCACCAAAGCAAUGCCCCACGAAUCUUCCAAAUCGAGAAGCACAUAGUUGUUCUUGAGCAAAGAUCUAUGGAUGUCAACACAUACUACACUAAGCUCAAGGUCCUCUAGGAUGAGCUCAAAAAUUAUCAACCCAUUCUUGUCUAUCACUAUGGAGGCACAAAGUCUUGGUUAGACACCAACAAUAGGAGUACAUCAUGCAAUUUCUUAUGGGUUUGAUUGAGUCAAAUGCUUAAACUUGAACACAGAUCUUAAUGAUGUCUUUGCACUAGUUGUCCAAGAAGAAUGCCAAUGUACUAUUAAUCAAGGCUCUUUUUUUCCUAUCGAUUCUCUUAUGCCCAACAUUUCAAAUUCCUCUGCUUUUGUUACAACAACAAAUUUUUCUCGAAAUUCAACUUUAAAACCCAAGUGUGAGUGACCCUAAUAUUCCCACUGUGGCUUGCAAGAACAUAUUGUAAAUAAAUGCUAUCAUCCUGGCUAUAAGUCAAAAUCAAAGAAACCUGAAGUAAAAAAUUCAAGCCACCUAGGCCAAUGCAACUAUUAAUGAGACUAUUAACUCUGGUUCACCCCUUGGAUCUCUUACUUUAGCUCAGUGUCAUCAAUUGUUUGCAUUCUUGAGCUCUCAACUUCAUAACAACUUUCUUGUUAUGCUAGAAUCUCAAUAGCUAGAACCCUUUGUUUCCCAGUUCAAUGGUAUACUAUCUUUUUCUUCUGUCUCAUAAUUUUCCAAUUUCUUUUUCCACCUGGAUUUUGGACAUAGAAGUCGCACAUCAUGUUUGUUGUUCAUUAAGCACAUUUACACAAUCUACUCCAGCACAAAAUUCUUUUGUAACUUUGCCUAAUGGUCAAUCUGUUGUUAUUAAUCGUAUUGGUUAUGUGUUUUUGUCUCCUGAUCUCAUCCUUAAUAAUGUCAUGUUUGUUUCUAAUUUCCAUUUCAAUCUCCUCUUUAUCUGUUCGCUCACUCAAAGUUAUAAAUCUUCUAUUAAUUUUAUGGUUGAUUCUUGUACUAUUCAAGGCCAUACACGGACCAAAAUGAUUGGGAUGAGUAGAAGACAUGGUAGCCUAUACUUCUUAAAUAUAGUCAAUUUUCAUUCCACUACACCACAAAUUUUCAGUCCUUGUAAUAAUGUUUCGUUGUCUCAAAAUGAAAUUUGGUUUUACCAUUUAGGUCAUCCUUCUUAUGUAACAUUACAAACAUUCAAAAAUGAAAUAGAAGUUAAACCAAAUUCUGGUGAUUCAAGUCAUUGUUUAGUUUUCCAUUUAGUCAAAAGAUGCAAAUUACAUUUUAUUUCUCACAAUUAUUUGUCUGUUUUGCCUUUUCAACUCAUACAUUGUGAUGUUUAAGGUCUCCUUCACACAUUUACCAUUGAAGGUUAUAGAUAUUUUUUUUACUAUUGUUAAUGAUUGUACUCAUUUUAUUUGGGUGUAUCUUUUGCGUGCUGAGCCUGAUGUUACUGAAGUUAUUCCUAUUUUUUUUUCUCAUUGAUUCAAACUCAAUUUGGAACACAAAUAAAAUUUGUUCACUCAGAUAAUCCUCCUGAAUUGGCAUUUUUUGACUUCUUUCAUGCAAAAUGAGUCAUCUCAUUUCAUUCUUGUGUUGAUUAGCCUCAACAAAAUUCAAUAGCAGAAAGAAAGCAUCAACAUAUCUUAAAUGUUGUAUGGUCUUUAUGUUUCCAAUCACAUAUUCCAUUGGUUUAUUGGGGGGAUUGCAUUCUUAUUAUUGUACACUUAAGAAAUAAAACUGCAUUCCCACUUUUGUCCAAUAAAACAACCUUUGAACUUCUUUGGAAAAAGAAGCUUGCAUAUUCACAUCUUUGUAAUUUUGGUUGCCUAUGUUAUGCAUCUACUUUAGAUCGUCAUAGGACAAAUUUCUCACCUCAUGUCAUUCCUUUUGUCUUUCUUAGGUACCCAUCUGGUUAUAAAGAAUACAAAUUAUUGAAUCUAGUCACUAAUUCUGUGUUUAUCUCCCAUAAUGUGGUAUUUCAUGAGUCUAUAUUUUCUUUCAAAACUAUUCAAACUUAUUCUCCUCUUCCAAAUAUUUUCUCUGAUACUGUUUUACUAUUUCCUUCUUUUUCUUCCAUUCUUGAAUCUACAUCUUUGCCAAUAUCAACAAUUCCUACUGUUUUCAUACCUUCUACGUCUCAUUGUCAUCCUAAUCGUGUUCGUAGGCCUCCUUUUUAUCUAGCAUAUUACUACUGCUAUUCUUGUUCCCACAGCACAUCUUCUACCUCACAUCCUCUCACACAUGUCCUUGAUUACACAAAAUUGUCAAAUUCAUAAAAAUAAAAAAAUGAAUAAAAGUUUGUGUUAUUUCCUAUAAUUUUGAACCCACCACAUACUUCAAGGCUGCUACUAUUCUAGAUUGGCAAGAUGCAAUGUCUGCUGAGUUAGGAGCUCUUGAACAAAAUGACACUUGGUCUUUAACUACUUUGCCACAAGGAAAACAUGCUAUUAGGUGCAAAUGGGUGUACAAAAAUAAGUAUAGAGUUGAUGGAACUAUUGAACAAUACAAAGCUCACCUUGUAGCUAAAGGCUGCACACAACAAGAGGGCAUAGACUAUCUAGGUACCUUCUCUCAUGUUUUCAAAUUGGUUACUGUUAAGGUUUUGCUUGCUUUGGCUACCAUUAAUGGUUGGAGCCUUCCUUAGAUGGAUGUCAAUAAUGUGUUCUUACAUGGUGAUCUUUUUAAGGAAGUUUAUAUGACUCUCCUAGUUAUCACCUGAAGGAAAAUCAUUAUCCUCACACUCUGUUUACAAAAUUCAAAAGUCUUUAUAUGGCUUGAAACAAGCAUACGACAAUGGUUUUCCAAACUCUCCAAUUUCUUACUUGUUGAAGGUUUUUAAACAUUCUAAUGCAAAUCACUCUCUUUUUGUCAAAGUUGUCAGUACUCACUUCAUUGCUCUGUUAGUUUAUAUGGAUGACAUUGUCAUUGUUAGUAAUAGUGAUGAGCGAGUUGAGAAAUUAAAAGUUCUAUUUAGGAAAGCUUAAAUACUUCUAAGGCCUUGAGGUGGUGAGGUCUAAUAAGGAAAUUUCCCUUAGUUAGCACCAUUAUGCCUUACAAUUACUAUCAGAUAUAGGCUAUGUUGGUUGUAAAUCAAGGAAAACACUUAUAAAUCCAAAUGUGAAGCUCACACAAGACAAAGGUGAUCUAUUAAAAGAUCUUUUAUUUUACAGAAGAAUGAUAGGCAAAUUGCUUUAUCUAACCGUAGCAAAUCCAGAUUUAUCAUUUUCAGUACAUAAAUUCAAUCAAUUUCUUGCAAAGCCCAGAGUUCUUCAUAUGUGGGCAAUACAACAUGUGCUUCAGUACUUGAAAGCAUGGUUUGAAAUAUUGGUAAACACGGAUAUAUCGAUACUUGGAUUUUAUGAAUAUGUUGGAAAUAUUGGUAAAAUAUCGGUAAAUAUUGGUAAAAUAUCGGUGGAUAUUUUGGCAAAAAUAUUGGUGAAACAAAAAUUAUUCAAAAUUCAUGGAAAUGUUUGGAAAACUCUAAAAAAAAUGAUAAAAUAAGCAAGAAUACAUAUGUUAAAGUUAUUGUAAGUGGAAUUGACAUAAAUAUGGUCAAUGAGAAAAAUAUGGAGGGAUAUAUCAAACUUAAUAAUUUAUUAUUUAUCUUAUCAAAUUAAUUUUAAUUUAUAAAAUAUUAGAACUUCAUUAUUUUUUUUAUUUUAGUAAUGUUUUGAAUACAUUUAUAUUUUUAAUAUUUGUAAAAUAAAAACAUUCAAAAUUAAAUAAAAUUAAAAGGAUAAACAUAAAAAAAGUGAACUGAUAGCAAUUUUUAAAAAUAAGAUUAAUGAGAUAAAUGAUGAUACAUUUAAUAUUAAAACUAUAAUUUAUUUAAUUCAAAUACAUUCAACAAUGUAAAAUAAAUUAUGAUGCAUAUAUAAUUUUUUUGAUAUUUAUAUUUUUUUUAUAUAAUUGUCAUAUAAAUGAUAUAAAAAAUAAAAUAAAAUAAAAGACUUGUUAAGAAAAUUAUAAUGAUGGUUUUAUACUUUUAUUAAAUAAUUAAAUAAAAUUUUAAAUAAAAUAAUUAGAAUUAAUUUAUUUAUUCUUUUAAUGAUGAAUUUUACCAUAUUUAUUGUGAACAUAUAUUUACAAAUGUGGACUUGGCCCAAUAGUAGUCAGGCUUCACCCAAGCCUUUUGGCCUAGGUUUGAAUCCCCUUGGAUGCAAUAGAAAAAAAUUUGAAGGAAUUUACCCGAAUAUCGACAUCUUUUCGAUGAAGUUGAUUGACUUUCGGUGUACAAUAUCAUGUCGACUCUCCCUGAUAUUUUGACGAUCAACUUUUAGUGUGGAAUAUUGUGUUAGCUCUCCCUGAUAAGCAAAAUAUCGACAAUAUUUCAUCAAAAUUUUGCAACAUUUUAGUGUGGAAUAUCAUGUCGACUCUCCCCAAUAUUUCAACAAUCGACUUUCAGUGUGGAAUAUCGUGUUAGCUCUCCCUGAUAAGCAAAAUAUCGACAAUAUUUCGCCAAAAUUUUGCAACAUUUCAAACCAUGCUUGAAAGUUAUGCAGGACAAGGUUUUUUUUUUUUUUUUUUCAUUAAUAGAGUUGAAAAGGUUUGUUGAUUCAAAUUGGGCAACUUGUGUGGUCUGUUAAUGAGUUUUGCUUUUUUUUAUUUAUUUAUUGUUGAUUCCUUAAUUUCCCAGAAAUAAAAAAGGCAGCAUACAGUUUCAAGAUCUUUUGUUGAAGUUGAGGACAAAUUUAUGGCAAAUGCAACAUGUGAAUUGAUGUGGUUACUUUCUUUAUUUAGAGAUUUGCAUGUAUCUCGUCCUAAGCCUGCCUUGCUAUUUUGCAACAAUCAAGCAACUCUUUAUAUUGUAGCUAAUCCAAUUUUUCACAAGCACACUAAGCACAUUAAGAUCGAUUAUCACUUGGUUAGAAAGAAACUGCAAAAUGGAAGCUUGAAGACACUACAUAUUUCAUCUAAACAUCAAGUGAGAGACUUGUUGACCAAACCUUUUUCUUCACCUCAAUUUCUUUUUCUUCUUAGUAAAAUCGAAAUUCACAAUAUUCAUUCUCCAUUUUGAGGGGGAGUAUUAGAAUAUUUGGGUAUCUUGCAGUAUGGUUACAAGUUAAGUAAAGAAUUGUUAGUUUGUUAAAUAAUUGUUAGCUUUUUUUUUUUUUUUUUUUUUGCAACUAGAUGUGUCUAUUCAAUAACUUCAUAUGGUUAUAGUUAAUUAAAGAAUCCUUUACGUAUUAACUGUUAAAAUAAUUUGUUUCCAACUUUCCUAUUAAAUUUUCUUCUGCUCAAGAUUUCAAAAAUUAUAGUUCAAGAAAGCUCUUUCGAUUUCUAUGUUGCACUGUAUCUUCUUAUAUGUUAGUACAAAUCAUACUCCUCUUUUUACCUCUUCAAUGAAUCCUUUUAGGAGUAAGACCACCAAGUGAGCACCCUUAUAUUGAUCCACAAGCUUUUUAUUACAUAUUUUUUGUUUGUGCACACCACCUCAAAUUUAAGUGGCCCAUAAAUUUUAUACUUUGGAUACCUUACCAUCCAAUCAUAAGCAUAAACUAAAUUUGAAAGGAUAAGAUUAGUUUAUUUUAGAGAAAUUGAGCUCCAAGUCCCCUAGCCAAACAUGAAGUUUUGAAGCAUGAAAUUUUUGUGAUGGGACAUAAUUGCAAUCCUUAUUAAAUUGAUCAAUUGUGUUAUGCCAAGAAUGCAAAUUAUGCAUGGCAAAGUGGUUAGAAAGUGUACAAAUGCACCAUCUUUUUACUUGUUUGUUUACUCAAAUUUCUCGGUCAAUUUUUUUUUUUCAUUCUUAUCCCUCUUGAUUGAGGCAAACAUGUUUUGGCUAGUGCUCUCAAAUUCCUUAAAUAUAUUCUUUUCAAUAUUGUAAACAUUUGGCUUGGUCAUUGUUAUAGUUAUCAAUUGUGUCAACUUUUACUUUCUCUCAUCCCCAAUUACAUAUGCACUUUGUAGCUUUAAUUUUUUUUUAGUGAUUAAUCUUAGUUUUUAUCUAAUUGUUUGCCUUAUAGUCUUUGACAUAACUAUAAGUGUAACAUGUACCUCUCACAAACCAAAAGACAUCACUUGUCUUCUUUAAUUUAAACAUUUUUGCAUCUGUGUAAGAUCUGAAACUAGAAUUUCACAACAUCGCGUAGUCAUUUUCUCUAGUUGUUUCUCAAAGCUCUCUUCAAGAUUUAGUUCAUGUUCAAUUACCAACUUUGAGUUUUCACUUUUUUUUUUUCCCAUGAGUCAUGAGGAAAUGAAUUUCAACUGUGUUUCAUCUAUCCAUCUCUCUUAAAUUGUUUUAUUCGAUAGUUACCAAUUGUAGAAUUGUUUUUAUAUAUUCUUUUCAUAGAUAUUGUUAAUAAAUUAUGCUAAAUGAGUAGCUUCCUGAUGUGGUGAGAGCUAAUUUUGUUAUUGCUAGGAUAAUAUCUUUUUAACUUUCUUAACUUUUUCCGAAUUAUAAACCACUCAUGCUUUGACCAAUCUCCAUGUGUUUUUCAUUUGUUUGGAUUUAUGGGCUUUUGAUUCUAUUUGGUGAAUAGAUAAUAAGGAAUUAAGGAUCUGAGAUUGACAUUACUUUAAGGAUGUUUGAAGAUGACAUAGUGAAGCAUAGAAUAUUUUUUUGGGUUGUAUCUCCUCAUUUCCCAUACUUAUGGUGGACAUUGAUGAGUUGGAUUAUUUGAAUGAAAUGAGCUUUGGAAAAAUACUAGUAAUUACAUGAAUUGUUGCAAUAUAUUUGAGUGAAAAUAUUAUGUUAGUGUCUCUCCAUGUCACUAAUUCAAACCUGUUACUUUCCAUUGUAAGUGGUAGAAAUAUAUUUUUUAUUUUCUAGAAAACAUUACUCUAACUUGUGAAAAAGGUUCUUAUGCCUCCAUAUUAAAUGUUAUAUGAUGGAAAAAAAACUUGAAUCUCUCUGUUUCCUCAGUCUGGAUCAGGUUAGGAAUAUGCAUAACUAUCCUAGGCUUUUUCUAAAUUCUAUGCACAACAAAAAAAUUAAUUUUUUUUAUACUUUAUAAGGAUCUAGAAAGUGCUAACGAAAACUAUACCUCAAAUUCGGAUGCUCCCGAGUCUUCCGCUCGAUGACUCAAACCUUGAUCUUGGCACACUUCUAAUGGGGAGGAAAUGAGGGUGGAGGCUAUAGUUUUCUCUCUCUCUGGAUGGUGGACGAUAAAAGCUAUGGAACCCCUAACCUCUAGGGGGUAUUUAUAGGGUUCCUAAGUGGGCUUAAGUGACUUGAGCCCAUACAGGCUUGGGUCACUUAAUCUAACCCAAAAUGAGUUCUAACUGAUUAAUUAACCCAAUAAGGCUUACUAAUUAAUCAAUUAGCCCAAUCAAGAGACCUUGUUCACUUACCCCUAUACAACCUUGCGUAAUUAUCAAAAUGCCCUUAUGCACAGAAGUGAACUUAGAGUCAAUUCAACCCUCAUAACCCAUGCCAACAAGGUAUAUGAGUUCAAAGUGGGGACCAUUGGGACCCAUAGAAAUACUGACUCCCUCAAAAUCAAAUUCUAAAGUUGAUUCAAUAUCACACUAUAGAGAAUCAACUAAACUCCAAUAUCUUAUGUAAAUAACAACGAGACACUAAGUGAUCGGGUCUGUGACUUGCUAUCCAUUGUGUUCAGUCUCCCCAUGAACUAAUGUCCGUAGUUUAAUAAGGUGAAAGCUAUUAGUCUUUCAAGACUACCUCUACCUUCUAUUUUGUGUUCAAUUGACAUAUCUUAGCUCUCAAAGAGCCUAUGUCAAGUUCCAUUUAAUGAACUACAUGACCAUAGUUUCCAUGAACACACCUCCUUAAGAUCACCCAAGGGGACACACUAUCUCAAUCCUAAGAGAUAUCAUAGUGCCUCUAUUGAAAAUACCUAUUACUACCAGCUUCUAUCAACAAUGACCCAAUCCAUACGGAAUAUAUGAUCAGCUUACGAUUUCACCUGUAGGUCAAAGUCAUUGCCAACUUUAGCACAAGCUUAAUAUUCUCUCAAGGUUGAGAGACAACACAAUGAAACAGCUUGGUGAGGUCAUGACUCAAUAAUAGCCUUAAGUCAUGACUCACCAUAAGUCUUGUCCAAUGUGUAACCAUACAUACUAGUGCACUCACCAUGGGAAACCCAUCCUGAUAACCAAGACCAGUGAUCCCUCCAAUUAGGAGGUGGUGCACUACAACCUUUAAUGGGUUGCCUAGACCCAUGAACCAAUUGUAAACAAGUCAUCUAUUUGCAAGGAACCCAUGACUUAGAUCUUCUGUGCAACUCCUAAUGCACCUAAGUCACGUACAAUACAAAAAAUGCAGACAAGAAUGCUCAUAAAGUAUAAUAUAUGGAAUAAGAAUAGAUAAAAGUGAAACUGGAACAUCAUUAAAUAAAUAAUGAAUUCCAAAUUUAUUACAUCAUGUCAUGAUUUUAAGUGCUUUAUCCUAACAUUAUAUAUUUGAGAUAAACAUGAUAUAAUGAGAUUUAUGUUUCUUUGUUAUAAUAUUUCAAUAAGUAAUUGUGUUUUAAUUUUAAUAAACUAUGCAUGCAUGAAACAAUUCAAGUAUCAUUAGCAUCAUUGGUAUCAUUGUGAGACAAAAGUUUCUCUUAUUACAUACUAAAGAGAUUUAAGUUAUCAAAAAGUGAAAACGGUUUUAUCUAGGCUAGUUUCAAGUUGACAACUUUUAAAUUGUUUAUCAUGUGAUAAAGAACUUUUCCCUACAAAUGAUACUUGAAUUGUAUAAUUAGACAGUGUAGGAAAACAUAAUAUCUAUGAAGUUAACUGUUUAUUCUUAAUUCAAUUUUUAGAAAUUUUGGUAGUCUUUCCUCUUAUUCUCUGGGUGCAUAUUUGGAUAAAGUUGCAUAGUAUGCCUUGUCCAUUUUACAUACUUAGAGAACUAUAAGGAAAUUCUACUAAAACUUCUUUAAAAUGAAAUUGACCACAUUGGUCAUUGACACAUAGAGAUUAUGUAUUUCUAUAUGGGAUAGGAACUACUACCGAAUUUAGGAUGUUGGAGAUGUUAGAAUGCAUAAAACAUGCAUCAAAAUUUGACAUACUCAAAUGAUUUUCUUUAUUUAGUAAAUUAGUAUAGAUAAUGUUUGAUGCAAAGGUCAUGGACAAACCCAAUAUAAUAAUAUUAAUAUGCACUAGUUUUAUUGAGGUUAUACAUCCCUUUUAAUGCAAGUAUUCAUGGUCAACAACAUUUAUAACUUAUUAGUCACUACUACAAAUAAGAUAUACCAUGACCUUGUUUUUUCCUUGGCACUUUUAAAAAUGUUAAUAAUUAGCGUGAUAUUUCAAAAGUGUAGAUCUAUGUUCAUAGAUCAAAAUGGUUAGAACAAUGCUUACUUUUUUUCUUUUAAAUUUGGCAUCUUAAAGAAAUGUUGAACUACACUUUCUUGAUUAUUAUUUGAACAAAAAAAAAAGGUUGUUAAACGAAUAGCAUAGAAAAUGUUGCUAUUUUCUUCAAUUUGAAGUUUGAUCACUAUUGAAAGUUUGUUCUUAAAAAAUGGAUCAUUUGUGGAUUUCAAAGGAUAGAGGACUAAAGGAGUAUGGGGAUGGGGUAGAACAUUUUUAUCACAUUUGCAAUAUAAAAUUCUGCAUAUAAAAACUCCAUUAAAUGUCCAUGCUUGUAGAGUGGUAAUAUGAUAUUUCAUACUCCUCAAAGAUUUCCUCAAAGAUUUCCUCAAAAUAUUAGAGAGCAUAUGUUUUUCUAUAGAAUUAAUCAGAAUUACCAUAUAUGUUAUUGGCAUGGGGAAGCAACUCCAAGUGAACCACCAACUAGAAGGGUAGAACAUUAUAAUAUGGUUCAAUUUAAUGAUGUAGAUAGUACAAUAGAAAUGGUUGAAGUUGUACAAGUUGAAUGUCAAAAUGACCUAAAAUUGCUUGAAAGAUUACUUCAAAUUGUUGAAAAACCUUUUAUAUCCUAGUUGUAGAAAAUUCACACAAUUGUUUGCAUUGGUUAAAUUAUACAACUUGAAAACACACUAUGAGUGGUCUGAUAAAAGCUUUUCAGAGCUUUUAAAAAUGCUUAGAUAUAUGUUGCCUCUAAAUAAUGAGUUACCCUUGUCUAUGUAUGAGACAAAAAUGGCAUUGAAUACAUUAGGAAUGGAAUAAGAAAAAAUACACGCAUGCCCCAUGAUUGUAUACUUUACAGGAAUAAGUUGAAAGAUGCAUUUCAUGUCCUAUCUAUGGAACUUCAAGGUGAAAGGUAGAUAAUAUAGGAACUAAAAAAAUGACAGGAACUCCUGGGAAAGUAAUGUGGUAUUUUCCUCCAAUUCCAAGAUUUAGAAGAAGGUUUCAAUCAUAAAAAAUCGUAAAAGACCUCAUAUGGCAUACCUAAGGAAGAGAUUUAGAUGACAAAAUGUGUUAUCCAGCUGACUCUCUAUCAUAGCUAAUUGAUCAUAAAUGGCCCAACUUUGUUUCAAAACCUAGAAACUUGAGACUUCCCAUUUUAGCAGAUGGUAUAAAAUCCUCACAAUUCAUUGAUUAGCAAAUAUAGUUGUUUGUCCUAAAGAGCUCGAAGCAGCAACUAUGGACAAUGUUUUUUUUAUCAUAAAGAGUAAGUUAUGGGCAACACUAUGGCUGUAAAUAGAGGUAAAACCUUUAACUUGUUUUUAGUUUGAUUUUUCUUUUCUUUCAUAAUGGAAAUAGAAAAUCAUCUAAACAAAUAGGACCUUAAUAAUUUUUUUUUUCUACAAUUUAUUUUUGAAUAAAAUAAUUUAAAAGAUUCCAUUCUUAUAUUUGUUAGACUUUUUUUUAAUGAAGAAAAAAAUAGUCUCCCUUUUAGCAUAUAUAUUAUAUAUGAUUAACAAUGGGUAUAAUAAAAUUUAUUUAAUAAAUAAUUGAUGUGACAUUCUAAAUUGAAAGUCAUAAAUUAGCUCAUUAGUUUGAUGUUGGCCCUAAAACUACAAGACUUGAUUACAUACUUAGAUUUUAUUCUUGAAAUUUAAGAGAUAAUUGAUGUGACAUCUUGAAUUGAAAGUCAUAAAUUAGCUUAUUAGUUUUAUGUUGGCACUAAAACUACAAAACCCAAUUACAUAAAUUUUGUUCUUGAGAAAUGUCAUUAUGGUUCAUAGUAAGGCUUAGUUUGGUGUGUUAGACCAUGCAUGCAUGAUAUCUCUUCACAUUCUCUUGUUUUUUGACAAACAUGCUACCAUACUUAAGGUGUUUGUCAAGGCUCAUCUUGGACUACUCAAAACUUUGGGGUCCUUUCUUUGAGUUCACAAGCUUCUUUCCCCUAGUGUCAACCCCAACUCCCAAAAUCCACUCCUUAGUAGUGCACUGACGAAAUCUACAAAUGCACUAUAAAGUGAGAAUGGCAUCAUGAAAAUGUAUUAAUGCAUCGUAGAUGUGGGAACUUAAAAAUAUAUAUAUAUAUAUAUAUAUAUAUCUAGAGUUUAGACUUGUUUCUAUUAAUUAGAAAUUACUAAGCAAUGAAUCUUGCUAGUGUGGAAAGUACCAAUAGAUUGACCAAGGAAGGUAUAUGUAAAAAAGAUUGACAUUGUCAAUUGGAAAAAUUCCUUUACAAACGUCAACCCUAUCUUCCUAACCAUCAUGGAUGUUGAGAAGUAGAUAUCGAUGACUAUGAUGAGGAUCACAAAGGAUUAUCAUACCAAGGAGUUAGACAUUUGUUGGGUUAUCAACAAUUUUAAUGAGGGUGGUAUUAACUAUUUGGUUGUUGAUAGUGUAUUGCGUAGUUCCACCAAGCCAAUCUGCUCCUGCAUUGAGAUCAAUCUCGAUGAAAAGGUAGCAUAUAUUUUUCAUUUCCUAAUUCUAUCAAUUGCUUCAUGGUGCCUUUGUCUAAUAAGCUUAACAGGUUCUUCUACAUUUUCACCAUUUAAUUCUCUAACGUUCAUCAUGAUAGGGUUGAAAUUUCAUCAUCAAAUCAAAACAUAUCCUCCUAUAAGAGGCCUUUGAAUUCUGAAAUAAUCAAUUCACUUUAUUCUCAUAUUGGCAAAGACAAGCUUACACUAUUGGAAAGACUACCCCUAACCUUUGCCCUCCCAAAUAGCAAAGAUGAGAGAGAACCUUUCACAAAAUCACAAGAAUUAUUCAAGUUUGGAAUUCAUAGGCAUUGUUAUUGAAUUUCAUUUGUAUAAAAUUGGUGUGUUGUGUUUAUUUUGUUGGUAUUAAAAUUGAAUUUUUUUUAAUUGCAAAUUGAUGAUUUUUUUUCUCUCUCACAUUUAUACCCAUUAGAGUUUCUUAUUAGGGUUUGUGUUUGAAAUUUGGAGAAAGUAUGGUGCAAUUGUUCAUCGGUGUGGUGUACCAUUUUGUUUGUUGUAUCUAAUAUUUGGGUAUUUGAUUUAAUUUUAUUGUUGUUGAAAUUGAAAGUUGAAAUCCAAGUUAAUUGUUUAACUAGCUAUUUGUAGUUGACUUGUUUUGCACCAAUCUUGAUUACCCAUUUCAUGGGAAUAAUCGAUUCCAAUUUUCCUUCAUGGUUACUAAAAAUAUAUUGUAGGUGAAGGACUAUUAUGGAGUAUAUUAAUUCACAAGAAAAAUGUUCCUUUAGUUAGUAAAAACUUCAUUCAUGUGGUCAUUUAUGAGCAUCAUAAUAAUCCAUAUUAAAAAUAUUUAAAAACAUUAAUGCACUAAAACAUUGAUUUCAUCAACAAAAAUACACUCAUUCUUUUGACUUAUAGCAUUCAAAGAUGUUUAAAAAUAUAUAUGUACAAUAAAACAUCAUCGAAUUUAUUAACAAUUAAACUUUUAACCCCAAAACAAUCCGUUACUUUAGUAGAUAAGACACUAUUGGAAUAACAUUAUUUUUAGCUCAAGUUAGAAGUUAAAAUGAUAAGGUUAAAAGAACAAAACCAACAAAAAAAAAAAGUUAUUUUUUGUCAAACUUGACACUAGUACAAUUUAAAUAAUGUAGCUCAAUGCCCUAUUGAAUUGAGUCAUAUAACUAGACUCCCUAAUUAUAUAUUAUGAUACACACACAACCUUUGGUCUAGUAUACAUGAUUAAAUUAAAUGCCAACCUAGUUUGCAAAGCUAAACUGGAAUCCCAAAUCUAGUUCAUUAUAAAUACUCUUCAACCAACUUGCUACAACAUUCAAAUAAGACAAUGACAAUGAUAGAAAACCAAAAAAAUACCUAAUAUAUCAUUGAAAACUCCUUCCUAAAGGAGGUAAAAAAAAUCAUGAAGUAACUUUCUUCUAUUAAUAAAAAUGGGAAUACAAUGAUCUAUAUAGUGUUUUAACUCGAAACUGAUGGUAUUACAAAUAUUAAAGAAGAAAUUUAAAACACACACACACACACACACAACAAGCAUGUUGUCAAGCUUAUAAGAGUUGGAGAAAUUUCUCCAUAUAAAUCUUCAAAACAUGAUGGAGAGUAACCUUGACAUUUAAGUCAAUAAUAUACAAGGAAAGACAACCCAAAAAGAUACAACUUUGAGAACAAACUCUCCUUUUUGCUUUUUUACAUAACCUUUUUUUUUUUUUUUUCCUUUUUGAAAACUUCUCUCCUUUCCUCUAAUUGUUACACCAUACAACAAUCCUAAAAAAACAGAGUUUAAAGGCUUGUUUGAUAACUGUUUUUAAAAAUAAUUUUGAAAAAUAGUUUUUGAAAAUUAUUCUCUAAUGUUUAAUUUGUAGAACAAAAGUUUGUUUGGAAACCCAAAAUAUUUUUAACAUGUUUUUAAUGUUGUUAAAUAUGUUUUAAAAAUAAUUUUUAUGUUUAGUAUUUUAUUUUUAAUCAUUUUAUAUGUUUAUAUAAUUAUUUUUUAAGGCAAACCUUAAAAAAUAAGUGAAAAUAACAUAAAACACUUAAAAGAUAUUAUCUGAAAACACCUUAUUUUAUUGUAACAGAAAAUAAAAAGCGGUUUUUGGUUGUCAAACAUGUUUUCUUAAUUUUUUAUUUUGAAGAAUAGAAAUUUGUUCUUGAAAAUAUCUAGUUAUCACAUUAGUUAUUGCCCAUUUUAUGAUUUUAAUUAUUGCUUAAAAACUAGUUUUUCAGCUAAAAAAGAAGGUCCACUACUUAUGGGUCAAACCUUCAACUUUCAAACCCGAACACAAAGUUAUAGUCAAGACUAAUAUUCACAUAUUAGUAUUAAUAUAGUUCAUUAAAUAUGAAUUUCUAUUGAAGCCAAAAUCGAGUUUUUAGGGGAAGUAACAUUCACUUUCAAUUAAGCAAUUUUUAACUCAUAAGUUAGUACUUGUAACAAAAUUUCUUAAUAGAGACUUUAAUUGAGUUUUAAGAAGAAUUUUUUGUUUGUUAAAAACCAAUUCAAACAAAAUCUAAAACUAAUAUUAUUAUCUAAAAGACAUAAUGAACAACAUAAACCAUAAACCAAAGUGGUAGUGACAACCAAUAUGUAGCGUCAAUGAAUAAUUGAAAAUAACCUCAUUUUCUAAUGACCUCGAACCUAGAAGCUCUAAAAUUCUUGCCUAAUUCCUUGUGAUGACUUUGGUUCAACCUUAAUGGCGAGGGCAAAAUUCUAAAUAAUUUUUGUCACAACUCAUAAAUUUAGAAGAAAAAAAUGAGAAUAAAUGGAAUCCCUAAUGAGAAAUUGUUAUUUUUCCCCUUUAUGACAAAAAUAGUAACCUACUAGUAUUAUUAAAUAACAUGGAAAUUAUUAUUUCAACUUUAAUACCAUGUAUGACAUAACUUUAACAACCUUAAUUUAUAAGAUUAUUUAAUUUAAAAGGAUAAAACAAUUACAUAUUCAUAAGAAUCGCUUCUAUUUUUUAAAAACAAUAAAUUCCAUUUUUUGGACAAAAAUACCCUCCAUUGUUUUUAUCAACAUUUCACAAUCAAACACUUAUUGGAAAAAAAAAAGUAUAAGGGUAGCUAUAUUAAAAUGAGGUUAUAAUUAUAAUACUCAAUAAGUGGAGAUUUUUUUUCCAAAUAUUGGGAUCAUCUUCUCCAUUUGACACAAAUAUUUAUAAUUUAUAUUAUAAUUACUCUUAUAGUAAGAGAGAAAGAGUAAUUUCACAUGAAAUGGACCCAUAAACAUAGAUUUAUUAUGAGGCAUGAUACUAUAAUAAUAAUAGGAAAUAAGACGAGACGUGAUACCAUAAUAAUAGAAAAUAAGAUAAGUAAUUCAAUACUUAAUGAAGGUCUGAAAUAAUUAUGUUUCUCAUUAAAUGAUAUUAAAGACGAAAAAAAACUUAUUAAUUUUUAUUUUAAGUAUUAAGAUUAUUUAAUAAAAUUAACUUAAAAUUUAUUUUAAAUUAUCAAAUUGAUAUAUUUAUUUUCAUAGAUUAUAACUAAGGUAAAUGAAAUCAAGUAAUAAUGGAUGUCAUGUAGUGAAAGAGAUCCUAGAGGCAACGGGACAAAUUGUGGUAAAAAAUGUCAAAUAAAAAUACGAACUUAAGAACAAAUUAAUUGUUUGUACUUAUUACUUAAAGUUGUUAUUUAUUUUAUAUUAUUAAAUUAUUUUACUAAAUAUGCUUAAUUUAUUUAAUGACUUAAAUUAAUUUAUUAGUCACUUUAGGCUAUUAAAUCGGGUUUACCAAUCAUAUCGAAUACAUUUGGCUAGUAGGCCAAGACUCAAGAAUAUUGCUAUCAUAUGUUUUAUGUAUUAAGGUGCCAAGAAUAAUUCACCACAAAAUAUAUGAUGAGUUGAUAAGUAUAGGAUACAAUCUAAAAUAUGCACUUGAUUUCAUCAUCUAAAUAAAUGCUCUCGGCAAAUGGAUCAUCCUAGCUGAUACCAGAGCACAAGCCGCCAUGGACAGGAGGCAACGGAGAAACCCUUCUGCUUCUUCUUCUGCCUUUUCAUCUCCAGCUUCAUCCUCAUCGCGUUUCCGCUCAGAGAAAUUCUCCUCGAAUCCCCCAAAAACUAGUAACUCCCUGGAGGAUGCUCACCAAUUGAAAAGCAAAUGUGGGAAGCCACAAAGACCAAAGCAAGAGGAGGAAGGAGAGCAAGAUCCGAACAAUCUUCUCUCCUUAGUUGGAACUUGCCCAUUCAUGUGCCCUGGUAAAAAUGCGUGCUUAUUUUUCCAUUUUUUUAAAAUUCUAUUUUCCUGUUAUUCUGUGUUUGGUUUCCGAGAAAUUGGAGGAAAACAGUAGAAAAGAGAAGUGAAUCUGGAGUUUCUGUGUCAUUUUUGUGGCUUUUACAUAAAUUUUACAAAUAAAAUUGAUAUUUCUCCCCCUUUAUUAGAUACCAAUCUGCAGAAGAUGUAGGAAUCCCAAAAAAAAAUUCGCUUUUGCCUUUACUUCCCCCAAAUCUUUCAUAAUGGAAAAUGGACUUACCACCUCUUUUAUCACUUUUCCUUUACCAUGUCAGGUUUACAUGUAAUCAAACACUGUAUUUGGAGUAGGGCACUUAUUCUAAUGUCAAAUGGUGUUGAAAACUUGAAUUACUGGAUCUUAAGACUCCAGAAGAAAUUUGAUUGUUUAUGAUUAUUGCUCCAUGAGAAGGGAAAGGGAUUUCUUUUGUUUUUGCUCACAUAUAUGGCCAAAUUGAUUUAUCUCCUUCUCAUACGAACAAAAUAAGGACAUUUCUUGUCUUGCUGCCUUUUAUGCCACCGGUUCCACAUGCUGAUGUGACAACCCUUUUGCUAUUCUGUACAAAUGGUAGGAAAAUUCUGGUAAGACUGGUGGCCAGCCUAUCAUGUUCAGGGAAUAAAUUCAUUGUAUAUCUGGAAUUCACUCUAUAUCAGCAUAGGGUGUUGAUACUGAUUAUAAAUGACAAAUUCAAUUUAUUAUCCUUACAUUAGGGAGUGCUAAAAGGAUGCAAAUUGUUCAUGUUAUACCCAAAGACAUACAAGUGAUGCUAGAGAUUUUCACAAUGUGGAUAAUCAUAGAGUAGAGAUGAACACUAUGGAGUCUUUUGGCAUGUGUUCAUUCCAUGUACGGGAACAUGCAUUGGAAGAUUAUGUUUCCUCCUCCCUUCCCCUCCCCAAAGUUAAUACUAUGUUGUCAUGGCAAGAACUUUGGUGACAUGCUUCUGAGUGGAAUAGCCUCCUAGAAGUCCAUUUAUGUGGCAGUUGGCAAGUUCUUCCGGUCAAUGAGAACUUUGUGACUGUCUGAUUGUUGUACUAAUCAUCAUCAGAUUUUUUUUUAAGUUCAAGUUGUAAAUAGCCUUUCACAGUUGAAGGUAGCGAUGAAGAGGCCUGUUGACAUAAUUAUUUCUUCUGCUUGAAUGGAUUAAAAUCAGAUACCACACCUUCAGCCUAGAAAACUAUGGACUUUCCUAUGUACCUGCAAUUGGCUGAAUACUGGUGUGGCACUGACUAAAGGCUCUCUGAUGCUGUUAUUAAUUUCCUGAGCAAAUUAGAGAAAACAGAGAGGUCAUAAUGUGAAUCAGUUACCUCUUGAGUAGGGAUGAAGGCUUUUUAUAACUUUUUACUUUCUGGUUAGGCCUUGGAAGCACUUCUGUGAACCAUGAUUUUGUACUGUAAAAUUAGAUGGGAUGGAUAGGUCACCUUAACUCUACUUUUGGAAGUGAUUGGGGAGCGCAUGACUGUAUGAAUAUUGAUGUGUUCUCCCCAUACAGAGCCCAACUUCUUUUUGAACUAGGAAGCAUGAAGGGUGGGUGGAUGUGGGCUGAGGAAGGAAGAUUUGACUUGUGUGCCGCAGGCCUGCGGUACCAAUUUGUUCCAGAACUUGAUAAGGCCCAUAAACUGGUAGGCAAGUUUCAUUAUUUGGUCACCACUGAAUUUUGGCAGUAUGGCCACAAGGAAGGUAGGAAGGAGAGGGAGAAGAGAAAACCCCAAUUGCCAAUUGCAAGCUUCCGGUUGGCACAGUGCUCAUUGCUGACAUUUUCAUUUGAUUUUGACCUUGCAACAGAUACAGCUUAACAUGAUGGACCAGUUUUUCACAAUCUUGUGAUUCAUUACCCAACUUCUAGUAACAGUUUCUCAGCAGAUGACUCACCUAUGACAGGCUGAUGAUGUCUGCACACAACUUGAAAGGUAUUCAUGCCAAGGUGUGAAAGGUAAUAUUGUGACACCAUUUUGCCUAUUCCAGAAAAUGUAACAAAUGUAUGGCUGGUUCUUGACCUAAAAAUGCUGGCAUUGGUCACCAAGUGCUAGGGUGAUUCUUGACAAAAAAUGUUCGUAUUGUUCAGAACAAUGAUUUACAACUUCAGAUUGGCCAUCCAGUUAACGAUGAUAAUCACUUGUUUUACAAAGUUCAGUGUCAUAAAAGCAAAAUAAUUUUGUCAACAAAUAUGCGGAUAACUUUAUCAUAAUUACUACUUAUGGAAGUUAAGGAUAAGUUGGGUAAUGUGAGAAAGUUUUGGUCAGAGGAUAUGAGGAUAAAUUUGUUGCAAUUGCUAAGCUUCACCUCCUAGGACUACUAGGAGAAACGUAUGAGCAAUAGAACAAAUUUACAGUCCAUCCCCAUUAGCUGCAUGGAGAGGUUGGGCUUAUUGCUGCUAUGGUGGAGGUCACCUUCUUGUAGACUUUGAAAUCUGCGAAUGAAGAGGCAGAUUUCUUAGAGGAAUUGGUAGGACUCCAAGCCCCCCAAAUGACAGGGGGGUGGGGAGGAUGGGGGUGGUGGGGGGCCAUUUCUAAUUUCAUGUCUUCUCAAUGUGGAUUUGAGGUUUAACGAGAUUUUUGGGAAAUCAUUAAGGUUAAAAGUAAUUGAAAGAGUGUGUCUGUGGAGAGCAAGAGGGGGAAAUGUUUGGUUCCCAACUGGGGUUGCUUCAUCUGACCGUUAAUCUCACAGCAAACACCGACGGAGCGUUGUUGUUGGAGGCUUCCAGGUUCUCUGAUCAAUUCUCUUGUUCUUUGUUUUCUUUGGGGAAGCGGGAAACCUCUCUUUCUUCUAUUCCUUCUGGGCGGGAUGGGGAAGGUGUUGCCAUUGCCAGGGUUUCCGAUCAGGGCAGUGGUUUAGAAGCCGUAGGGGGAGCUGUUAUGGGCCCGUUAAGGAUGAUAUUGGCGGAUGGGAGGGAGGCCGAGGUCUCAAAUUUGGCGGGUAGGGAGUUUGGGACUUUCGAGGAGGCGUCAGAGGGGGUUUCGAAAAGGGUCUCCCAAGAGGAUGAAGAAGAGAGGGACAAAGAGGGGGAACUGUGUUGGCAUUCUAGUAGCUUGGCUAAGUUCAGCCGCUAUCUUGGAAUGCCGAUGGAGGGCUUCGAAGGGGAAAUUUUGUUUUUGCUUAAAAGAAUGAAAGAGAAGAAACUUCAAAAAGGAAAGUUGAAUGGCAGAAAAAGGAAAAAAUUGGAGUCAUCAAAAUUCGAAAUAGAAUUGAGAAAGUUGGAAUGGACAGUGAAUUAUCUUGGAGGAGGAGGAGGAGAGGGGGGGGAAGUACGAGCAGGUCUAAAUGAAGCUCCGACUGCUCACUUGGAAUGUAAGAGUGACCAAUAAUUGUGAUAAGAGGAAGGUGAUCAAAGCGUUGAUAAAGAAGAAUAGGGUGGAUCUGGUUUGCCUAUAGGAAACCAAGAUUUAGGAAAUGUCAAUGGGCAUUAUCCGUAGCUAAGGAGUGGGAAGAUUCCUUGAAUGGGGAGCUGUAGAUUCAAGGGCACAGCUGGAGGUAUAGUGGUGUUUUGGGAUAACAGGGUGUUGGAUUUGGUUGACCUUCAAAAAGGAUUGUUCUCUAUUUCUUGCACUUUUAAGAGUUGCGAGGACGGUUUCAUAUGGACGUUUACAAGGGUUUAUGGCCCAACAUUGAGGAGGAAUAGGGAGAGUUUUUGGGAGGAGUUGGGGGCCAUUAAGGGGCUUUGGAAUGGGCCGUGGUGUGUUGUAGGGGAUUUUAAUGCCAUUCUAAGUCCGGAAGAGCGCAACAGAGGAGGGAGCUUGAAUUCAAACAUGAGAAGGUUCUCAGAAGUUAUAGAAGAUCCAGAGUUAAAGGAUCUGCCUAUGGUUGGGGGUCCUUUUACUUGGAUUGGAGGGGUGAAUAACCAGUCUUUUUCAAGGCUGGAUCGUUUUUUGGUUAAUGAGGGGUGGGACAGUCAUUUUGGUGAUGCGAGGCAGUUUGUUCUACCAAGACCUGUGUCCGAUCACUUUCCGGUUCUUCUGGACGGAGGGGGCCUGAGAAGAGGCCCUUCCCCAUUUAGAUUUGAGAAUAUGUGGCUGAAACUGGAAGGUGUUAAGGACCUUUUGAAGCAUUGGUGGGAGGAAGGUAGCUUCAGUGGAUCCCCAAGUUUUAUCUUGGCCGAAAAACUAAAAUUUAUGAAGGCUAAGCUGAAGAAGUGGAACAGAAACACAUUUGGUAGGGUUGAAUAUAGAAAGAAUUUGGCUUUGGAGCAGGUGGAGUUUUGGGAUACCAAGGAGAAAAUUAGCAGACUGUUGUUGGAAGAGCUGGAAGCUAGAAAAGAAGCGAGGGAAGAUUAUAAAAAAUGGGUCUUACUUGAAGAAAUCACGUGGAGGCAAAAAUCUAGGGAAGUGUGGCUGAAAGAAGGGGAUAGAAAUACCGGUUUUUUCCACAAGAUGGCCAAUGCUCACAGGAGGAGGAAUAAUGUGGACAGAAUUAAGAUUAAUGGAGCCUAGCUUACAUAGGAGAAUGGAAUUAGGGAAGGGAUUGCCAAUGCUUUUAGGUUGUUGUUGUCCAAUCCGGGGGAAUGGCGCCCUUCUAUUUUCGAGCUGCAGUUUGAGACUUUGGAGCCUUUGGACGCUAGUGCCUUGGAGAUUCAUUUUUCGGAAGAGGAGGUCUUCGAUGCACUAUUGGGCUGUAAUGGGGAUAAAGCCCCGGGGCCAGAUGGAUUCUCUAUGACCUUUUGGCAAUUUGCUUGGGAUUUCGUGAAGGCUGAUGUGAUGUGUUUCUUCAAGGAGUUCAAUGAAAAUGGCAAAUUUGUUAAAAGCCUAAAUGCAACUUUUAUGGUCCUAAUCCCAAAAAAAGCAGGGGUUGAAGCCUUAGGGGAUUUUAGGCCUAUAAGCUUGGUGGGAAGCUUGUACAAGUGGCUGGCCAAGGUCUUAGCUAAUAGGCUAAAAAAGGUGGUUGGAAAGGUGGUCUCCAAGGCUCAAGGGGCGUUUGUGGAAGGUAGACAAAUCCUAGAUGCAGUGUUGAUAGCUAAUGAAGCCAUUGAUUUGGUUCUCAAGAAUAAUGAGAAUGGCAUUCUGUGCAAACUGGAUAUAGAGAAGGCGUAUGAUAACAUGGACUGGACUUUUAUUCUCACAGUUAUGCAGAAAAUGGGUUUUGGGGAAAAAUGGAUCAGGUGGAUUAAGUGGUGUAUAUCCACUGCAGGUUUCUCCGUGUUGGUCAAUGAAACCCCUACGGGUUUCUUCCAAAGCUCCAAGGGUUUGAGACAGGGUGAUCCCCUUUCCCCUUAUCUCUUUGUGAUAGUUAUGGAGGUCUUUAGUGCUUUUCUUAAAAGGGCUGUAGAGGGAGGUUUCUUAUCGGGUUGUAGGGUGAAGGGUAGGAGUGAAGAAGGGGUCCUAAUUUCCCACUUGUUGUUUGCUGAUGAUACACUGGUGUUCUGUAAACCUUCACAAGAUCAAUUGACUUAUCUCAGUUGGUUACUUAUGUGGUUUGAGGCCGUUUCGGGAUUGAGAAUAAAUUUGAAAAAAAGUGAACUCAUUCUAGUAGGGAGGGUAGAGAAUAUGGAUGAUCUUGCUUGGGAAUUUGGUUGUAGACUGGGUAGCCUUCCAACCACCUAUUUGGGGAUGCCCUUGGGUGCUCUUUUUAAGUCAGUUACAGUUUGGGAUGGUGUGGAAGAGCGCUUCUGAAGAAGGUUAGCCAUGUGGAAGAGACAAUAUUUAUCCAAGGGAGGAGGGCGACUCUUAUUCGAAGCAUGUUAUCGAAUUUACCCAUCUAUCUCAUGUCAUUGUUGUGCUUACCAAGCUCAAUUAGACGGAGAUUAGAGAAAAUCCAAAGGGACUUCCUUUGGGGUGCAAUUUGGAGCGAAAGCCUCAUUUAGUAAGAUGGGAGUUGGUGUGUUUAAGUAAGAAGAAAGGAGGUUUGGGGGUCAAAUGCCUUUCCAUUCUCAACAAGGCUCUUCUUGCUAAAUGGAAUUGGCGUUUUGCAAAUGAGAGAGAAGCUUUGUGGAAUCAAGUGAUUAGGGGGAAGUAUGGAGAAGAUAGAGGGGGUUGGUGCUCUCGGGAAGUGAGAGAGGCUCAUGGUAUGGGGUUGUGGAAAGGAAUAAGGAUGGAUUGAGAGUUGGUGAGCGAUAGGAUGGUUUUCAUUGUUAGUAAUGGGAGGAGGGUGAGAUUUUGAAGGGAUAGAUGGUGCGGGGAUUCUCCUUUGUGUAUGUCUUUUUCUUCUCUUUUUGAUUUGACUGUUGAAAAGAAAGCGUGGGUGGCAGAUUUUGGGACCCUUUGGCUAAGGGGGGUUUGGGGGGGGGGGGGGGGGUGGGAACCCCGUUUUUUAAAACUUUUCAAGAUUUGGGGGGAGAGGGAGGGGAAAAAUUUUUUGCGAAGGUUUCUGGUUAAAAAAUUUUUUGGGNNNNNNNNNNNNNNNNNNNNNNNNNNNNNNNNNNNNNNNNNNNNNNNNNNNNNNNNNNNNNNNNNNNNNNNNNNNNNNNNNNNNNNNNNNNNNNNNNNNNAAAAAAAGGGUGGGGGGGCAAUUUUUGGGCCCUUUUGGUUAAGGGGGUUUGGGGGGGGGGGGGGGGGUUGGAACCCCUGUUUUUAAGAGCUUUCAAUGAUUGGGAGGUAGAGGAGGCGGAAAGAUUUUUGCAGAGGCUUCAUGGUAAGAGAGUUAUUGAGGAUGUGGAGGAUAUGGUGUCUUGGACUGAAACUAAGAGUGGUAAAUUCUCGGUCAAGUCUCUUUAUGUUGCCCUUGAAGCGGGUUGUUCAUCUCUGUUUCCUUUAAGCUAUAUUUGGAAUGUGAAUGUGCAGCCCAAGAUUAGUUUCUUUACAUGGGAGGCUACGUGGGGCAAAGCCUUAACCUUGGAUAUGGUCCAGAAAAGAGGACGGGCAUUGGCAAAUAGAUGCUUUAUGUGUCUUGAGAAAGAGGAGACCAUAAACCAUCUGCUCCUUCAUUGUUCAAGAACAAGGGUGUUAUGGGAUCUACUUUUUACUUUAUUUGGGGUGUCUUGGGUAUUGCCUUCUUCAGUUAGAGAGACCCUUCUAAGCUGGAAUGGUUUUUUCGUGGGCAAAAAAUGCAAAAAGGCGUGGAGAGUUGCUCCUCUUUACAUUUUCUGGACGGUUUGGAAGGCGAGGAAUAGAUUGGCUUUCAAGGAUGAUAUGUUGUCAAUUUAGCAACUGAAACACUCUUUUAUCCUUUCUUUUUGGUCCGAGAUUAAGUUGUUUAUAGAUGAUUGCCCUCUAACUAUAGCUAAUUUUAUUGAUUGGUUGGGCUCUAAGUAGGAUUGGGUUGUUGGGCUAUCUUUGUUUUUUAGCCUUGUUGGAGGCGGGUGUAUAGGUAUUGUAUACCUUGAGUCACUUUUUUAGCGUUUCUUUUAUAUAUGAAAUCUUAUUUACUUAUCAAAAAAAAAAAAAAUGUAAUCGAAGACUUUCACAUUAAUGAGGUAAUGAAUAACCACUGAUACUUCUUCACCCCAAAGUUCCUUCACAAAAAUUUGGUAAGUGAAGAACCAUUUCUGAGUUGUGAAGCACCAAUUCCACCUUCAUUAUCUUGAUCUUUAGAAAGAGGGAUCCAACUUGAUUUGGGAUUUUAUACCUGUCAACCCAGUCACUAAUUUUUAGGAGAAUACUUCCAAUUUACCCUUGGGUUGCUUUAGAAAGUUUCUUAAUAGUGCCAUCUCUCUAGCUUAAGGGGCUUUUGUUAAUGGAAGGCAAAUACUAGAUGUGGUUAUCAUUAGUAAUGAAAUCCUAGACAAAUACUAGAUGUGGUUGUCAUUAGUAAUGAAAUCCUAGAUGAAAAAUUCUGUUCUAAGGACGAAGGGAUGGUUUUUAAAAUAGGUUUUGAGGAAGUUUAUGAUCACAUAGAUUGGGGUUUCAUGUAUGAUACAUACUUUGAAUAGGGAAGGCCUUGAACCUGGAUGGCACAAAGGGACUGGAUAUUUUGAGGUUGUUUUUCAAACUGCAGGCUCUUUAAUGGUGUUAUUGAAGCUGAGUGUUUAGCACUCGAGGAAGAUUCGGAUAUGGUUGUUUGCCUGGAUGUAAUGAACCUCCAUAUUGAAGGGGAUUCCUUUGUUAUUGUCUCAAAACCUUCUUUGAAGGCAAAGGUCCUUAGUGGAUUGCUCAUCAGAUGGGGUGGCUUCAUAAUCAUGCUAGAGACAUUGCUUGUUCUUCUCUAUUGAGGCCCAGAUCAGCUAGCCAGGUGCAUGGCUAUAUUUUUCUUAUAGGGAUGCUAAUAUCUGAAAAUUUUUAUUGAGAACACUUACUGCUCUUUGAUUGGUUUGAGGCAUGGAGUGGCUUUUCUGUUCUCUUCUUGCCAUACAUGCAUAUCAUCCCUCUUUUUUAUCUUGUUUAACUCAAUAAAUUCUCAUUUGUUAUAAGGAAAAAAAGAGAUAUUAUGUUACAUGAUGGAAGGACUUUAUUCUGUUAUGGAAUAGGCAAAACCUAGAUCUAUUGGCUAGAGCUAUACAGUAGGUUGUUGGGCUGUUCAGCAUUGUCUUUUUUUUGGAUAGGUUUGGCCAAUGCCCCUUGAUGUUACUUUUUGGUAAUGUAAUUUUCUUUGAUUUUUCUUGAAAAUUCCUCAUUUUUCAAGCUUGCUUGUAUAUCUUUCCUUCUUCCAUUAAUGAUUGUUUGAUUCCUUACUAAAAUAAAUAACAAAUUAUGAUGCAAAAGGAUUACGUUUAUGGAAAAUUUUGAGAUUUUCACCAUAUUAGAGUCUCUGAAGUUGGUACUUGUCUUGACACAGAUAAUAGGAAUCAUUUUCCCCCCAAACUACAUAAGACAUGUCUGCUACUUGGUAAUGUUCCAUUGGCAGUUAUAAACUCUCCUGUCAAAAGUGAAUCUGUUGUAGCAUUCCAAAUGGUGUAGUGUCGUACAUAGAUUGGUAAUUGAGGACUUUAUUAUGGAUUUUGUCCUGUUGUGGUUGUGCCAACAAGUUCUAUCCUGUUCUUUGUCUUGCUGAUUUGGGUGGUUGUGCAUCAUGUUCCUACAGCUGUAUAAUUAUGCUUCAGGAGCAUAGUUAUUCUGGUUUUACCAUCCAGAUGAUGGUAUUAAAGUAUUUGUAUUCUAGAUUGCGCAACUCCUUAUAUGGGAUAUUUUUGCACCAAAUGCUUAGUGAUCAAGAGAACUCUCAUAUUAAACACAGUCAUCUUCUAUUAAACUAAAUUCCUUAAGUAUGCAGUCUCACAACUACAUCAUACCAUUCUUUUCCUUUUUUAUUCCUUUCUUGCUAUUACAGGUUGGUUGCCACUAAUAUAGUAGAAAGCAAAUUACACGACCCUGCUUCCAUAAGACCUUUCUUAUUCCAUAGGUUGAAAUAGAAAAAACACUCGAUGGGACUAAUGUUUCUCUUUGCAACCAAGCAAAUUAAAAUGUUUUGAAACCCAUGCUGCCAUGAUCUUAGCUAAUUUGCAUUUUAUAUCUCUACCCCUUUCUAUUUACCAUAAUGAUGCAUGCAUCUAGUCAAAUUGUGUAUUUCUUAUGCUUAUAUUUAUUUCCUGAUGAGUUUAUUCUGACUCUUUGAUCAGGAUUUCUGCAAUCACAUUGCUUGCUAUUGAAUUUUCAAUGGCUUAAUAUGAAUUAUUAAUAAAGAUGUUGUUUAAUUAUUUCAGCAGCUUAUACUUGGUAAUUUCUUUUAACAACUCUUAUCUCUGAUGUUCAUUUGUAAUAUAUAGCUGGAGAAAGGGCCCAACGUGAACGCCUUCGGGACUUGGCUGUGUUUGAGAGGUUACAUGGAAAUCCUGGGAAAACAUCUCCAAGCCUUGCUGUCAAAAAGGUAAACCCUACAUCUCAUUCCUCUAUACCGCAUCUUAGCUUCUCAUCUUGCAUCGGACAAUGAUACUCUUAUUGAAUCAUCUUUACCAUAUCAGCCAUCAACAUGUGCACUUAUUGAGCGCUAAUUCAGGCACUGAUACUUGUGCUUUUGUUUUGUUUUGUUUUAUCUUGUCUUGUUUUGUUUUGGAGGUGAUUGUGUUGGAUGACCUAUAUCUGUGUUAGACACCAAAGCCUAUCUUAAUGCUACUGUAAAGUAAGACUAUGCUAAUAAGCUAUUGAUCUGUUACAGGGUUUAUGCCAAACUGAUUUUUUAGUUUCUCUAGUAGAAAACUUGUUUUUUCCCCUGUUAUAUCGGUGCUAUUGUUGGAUUUGUGUUUGUUGUUGAUCAAGCAUUUGCUGAAACCUUUUUUUUUUUCCUUUGCUUCUUGAUGUGCAAAGCAUUAUUGUUUGAAUUUUAAUGAUCCCAUUUGAUUCACUAUUCAAUAUUUUUAUUUGAUAUUACAUCUAUCUCAUUUGUUUUCUUUUCUUAGUUUGUUUGUUUGUUUUUUUUUUUUUUUUUUUUUUGAAUUUGUGACAUUUGAAUUUGAUGGAGCCACCAUUAAUUUAUUUUUCCUUAUUAUUGUGGGGUGUGCUUUAUUUUGUUCAAUUGUUGUUGCACUAUUAUUGUCAUGUAACUUUUCUUUUUUGUUUUGUUUCUAUUGUUCCUAUGAGCAUUAAAUGCUUCUAAAAUGUAUGGAACAGGCUAAACCUUUCUAUAGUUUUUUUAAAAAAAAAACUCAUUUAUUAUCUAUUUUCUUGUGCUCAAAAAAUUAUAUUUUUUUAGUAAAAUUGAAAAUUUAGGGAGCGCUUAGGCCUCAGCGGCUCAACCCCUUGAGGGUUUAGGCCUGUCAUAGCAAGAUGUAAACCCCCUUGCCUCUUAUGCUUUUACCUUAUGAAACUAUACCAAGAAACAAACACCACAACUCCCUGCUGCCAUCAAAGGAUACUUCAAAGUUUGCUUCAAAUCAAUCUUAAGGCCAAUUAUCAUAGGCUUGUCAUCAUGUCACUAAAAUUGGUAUUGUAACCAAAGUCCUAUUGCGAAAUCUUCAAGUUGCAGCUCCUCCUUUUCUGUUGGCUCUUGUAUUGUUAGGUGGCCGCAACCUGUUGCUUUUCUUAUGCUUUAUGAACUACUCCAGUUAAAAUAAUGCUUCAAGUAGAUGCUUUCUGGAUCUUGAUUCUAGCAAGAGGCUUAUAUUGCAAAUUUUUUUGUGGAGUCCUAGAUAGGUUAACUAGGAAGACAAUAGCUUGCUUAAGAGGAUUGCCACCUCUCCUUUUGGGUUUGUAAAAAUUUUGGUUCUCCCUUGACCUUGGGAGUCCUAUGGUUUCAAUUUUGGAUGUGCUCUAGGUUGUAGCCUGUGUUAUGCUUUCUAAAUGGUAAUCUUCUUCUUGUUUUAGCUGGGAUGCUUUUGUUUAUUUUGCUCGUUUGUUUUCUUUGUUUCUUUAUUGUGGCUGUAGGAUCACCAAUCAACUUUUUAUUCUCUGCAAAAACUGUUUAUGUUUCAUAACGAAAAAGGAAAAAACAAAGGCAAGUUAGCCUAGAAUAGGUUUUAUCUUGUUUCUUCUUUUACCAUUAGUGUGGAUUCAAACUCAGGAAGAGGCCUUCAAACAAGUGGCAUUUGUGUUUUUUAAACAUAUAUCUUUAUUCAAUCAUUGUUAAGUGUUUGUUGUCUUGUCUGUUCUUUUGGUUGUUUUUGUCUUUGUCAAAGUGUAUAAUUAUAAUAUCCCACAUUGUAUAGAGGAAAAAGUUUCUAACGCUAUAUAUGUAUGAACUUUUUUUAAUCUUGUUGAUUCGUUUUUAAGCCGCGAGGGUCGUUUAGGCUCAAAGCAAAUAAUAUCCACACAACUGGGAGUAGGUUGUUACAAAUGGUAUCAAAGUCAAUCCUCGACCUUGGUAGGAGAGUUUGCUUGGCCUAAAAUGGGUGUCCGUUUAUUUGACCUUACAAUCCUAUGGGACACAAUAAGGACGUUGUGUCUGCAUGAGAGGGUGAUUGUAAUAUCCUACAUUACAUAGGGGAAAAAGUUCCUAACGUUAUAUAUCAUAGUUUUAAAAGGCUCAAGGCGCACCAAGGCGCAAAGUAGUCCUGGAGCCUGAGGCGCAAGGCGCAUCUAAGGCGCGGGCUUUAGUGAAGUGAGGCGCACCCUAAUUUACAUAUAUAUUUUUAUAUAAUAUAAUCAAAUUUAACAAUCAUUUAUUUGUCCUAAACACAUAAAUCAUCAAAUAUCAUCCAAAACUUCAAUUUAAUAAACAAAAAACAUAAAAAUAAAGAACUCCAAGCAUAAAAACAAAUCCAAAUCCAUAUUGCUAAUUGCCUAAUACAUAUCCAAAUCCAAAGUUUCCAAACCUAAAGGUCCAAAACAUGAAAUUUGUCCACAAUUCAAAAACAUCAUUAAAAAACACUUAAAUCACAAAUUUGUCCACAACAAGCAAUCAUCACUCCUCCUCUAAAUCAACAAAAUCAUCAUCAUCAUCAUUUCCAUCACCACAUUUGUAGCCUUCCCCAUCUUCUUCAUCUGCUGAAUUAACCAUGUCUCCAUCUUCAUCUUCAUCUAUUAGUGAAUAAGAAGGCAAAGUUCUAGAACUUGAAGCUAUCCCCCUUGUUGGUGGUAUUAUGCUUGAGCUUGCUCUAGCUCUAGCUCUAGUAUCAAACCUGGCCUCCUCAUCUCCAGCAGCUCUAGCAACAUCACCCCAUGUCAAAUUGUCAUCAUCAAAUACAAAAUCAUCUUGUGCACCUCCAUGAGAAUCCUCAUCUUCCAUUCUCCCUAUCAACCAUUCAUUGCUAUCAUCUAUAUCUUUCAAGGAAAUUGGGUCAAUGGUGUUACGUUCAUUGUAUCUUCUCUUCAAGGCUCGAUUAUACUUGAUGUACACCAAAUCAUUCAAGCGUUGAUGAUCUAACCUAUUUCUCCUCUUGCUAUGAAUCUGCAAAAAUUCAUAAGCUCAUAAAUAUAUUUUAAAAUUUUAACUUUUAAGUUACAUUCAAGACUCUAUUAGACUAUUACUUGUAAUUAUUUUGGAUUUGGUCACUCACAUUCUCAAAGAUGCUCCAAUUCCGUUCACAACCCGAUGCACUGCAUGUUAAGUUGAGGACUUUCAUUGCAAACUUUUGCAAAUUUGGAGCUGAAGCUCCAUAUGCAGCCCACCAUUCAGCUGUAGUAUAGAUAUUAACAAUUUAGUGAAACAAUUCACCUAUUUUAGCAAAAAUACAAUCUAAUCAUUUAAAUAAACAAAACUAAAUAACUAACCUGGUGCUCUAGUCUUUCUUGUCCUAACAGCUAACUCAUUCCCGAAUAGUCCUUGGGCAUUUGUGAACAAACUCACUUCGGCCACAACUUUUUCUUGCUUAGCAGGGUCUCUUGUUAGCCUUAAGAUGCAUUUAUACAAAUCACUCAUAAUCUCGGCAUCAUGCUCUAUUUCUGGCUUAUCAUAGAAGAAUUCCGGGUUCAAAAAGUACCCUGCUGCAUGCAAAGGCCGAUGAAGCUGAAUCUCCCACCUCUUAUCAAUGAUGUUGAAGAUUUCUUUGUACUUCUCUUCAUUUCCAUUAAAACUUCUCACAAUUGCAUCCUUAGCUCUAUUCAUGGCCUCAUAGAUGUAUCCCAUAGGAGCUUUUUUUUCACCAUCAACCAAACGAAGCACACGAACUAGGGGACCCGAAACCUUUAAGCAAAACACAAUAGUGUUCCAAAAUGAAGGCAUUAGAACUAUGUUGGCUAUAGUUUUCCCCUUCUACUCUUUUGCCCAUUUACUAUCUAACCAAUCUGAGCUUGUAAACAUCUUCCUCAAAUUGUUUUUUUGUUCAUGCAAUCGCGAUAAUGUGAUGAAAGCAGUUGCAAACCGAGUCUUAGCAGGCCUAAGCAAUUCCCUUUGUCCAGUAAACCGCCUCAUCAUGUUGAGUAGCCCUGAGCGAUUAUAAAUAUACCGAUUUAGUGAUAUAGCCCUCUCCAAUGUCCUCUUGAUGUUUGGUAGCUUUCCAAUAUCUUCCAACAUCAAGUCAAGGCAAUGUGCAGCACAUGGUGUCCACUACAAAUGUGGACGCUUUAAUUCUAACAACCUCCCUAUAUGAAAUUGUAGAUAAUAAAUUUACAUAAGUUCUCAAGAUAAAUAAUUCAAAUUUUAAAAGUAAAUAAAAAUUCAAGAAAUAGUAUUUAUUACUUGCUAUCACAUAACUUGAGUGAUUAUCUGUUAUAACUUGAAUAACAUUCUCUUCACCAACUUGCUCUACCCAUUUGUCAAGUAAUUCAAACAUCUUUUCUCCCGUCUUAAUCAUUGAAGAAGCAUCAAUGGAUUGCAUGAACAUGGUUCCCUUUGAACAAUUAACCAAAAAGUUCACCAAAGUUCUCUCUUUCCUAUCGGUCCAUCCAUCCGACAUAAUUGAACAUCCAUUUUUCCCCCAUUCCACCAUAUGAUCUUUCAUCAAAUCUUUUGUGAGAGCCAAUUCUUUCUUAAGGUUAGUAACUCUUACCUCAUGAAAAGUUGGUCCCUUCAUACCCACACCAUAUUGGCCAAUAGUCUCAAUCAUUGGUUGGAAACUCGGAUAUGUGACUGCAUUAAAUGGAAUAGCAGCCUCAUACAUCCAUCUUGUGAUAAGCGUGCAAGCUCUUUCUCUUGCUUCCUUUUUGUAGGCAUCAUUGAUGGUAGUUUGAUUCAUCUUUCCACUCCUUUGAUUUUGAACAACCAUCUCUGCAUUAGGAGUGAAAAAAUGAUCCAUAGGACCUUUUUGUCUUGGUUUUUUUGAAGAAAACGUCCUACCACUACUUCCUCCUCGGUUACUACCUCCACUAGAAAUGUUGGUGACAUUCGUUCUACUAUUAAUCUCCUCACCAAUAUCUUCAUCUUCCAAACCAAACAAAUCUUCAUUAACAUAUUCGCUCCCCAUAUUCAUUUGCUCUUUUUGAUUUUUCUUGGAACUCAUAUACUCUUCCAUUUCUUCUCUAACAUGUUCCGGACAUUUUCUAAACUUUUUAGCAUUUCUAUAUCCACCAACAAGAUGUUGUUUGUGUCUAUAGAUGCCUCCUUUGGUUACUUUCUCACAAAAAAUGCAUAUGAUGGUGUUCAAAUCUUUUUCAUUAACCAAACGACCAUAUUUCCACCCCGGAUCUCUUCUUCCACUUGCACUAGAGUCCACUUGAGUUUCACUCUCAUUAUCCAUCUUGCAAACAAAUUAUCUAUACUCCACAAUAAAAUAAUUAUAAUUAAAUUAAGAAAAAAAAUUGAAAAAAAAAUGCAUAUCACAUUAUCAAAUAUCACAUUAACAACAAAUAUGCAUGAGUGCUUUUUAUUUAUUUAUUUUUAUUUUGUAAAAUUUUCAUGUCAAAAACUCAAAAUAUAAUAUUUAUUUUUAAAAAAAAAAAAUUACCAAUGAGAGUUAUGAGGUAAGAAUGGAAAAAAAUGCAGAAAAGUGAAGAAAAAAGAAAAAUACCGAGGUUCGGAAGGUACGUGACUAUUUCCCCUAUUUUUCUUCUUCUUUUUCUUCUUCUUCUUCACUUCUCCAGCACAGAAGAGGCUAAGGCAAAAAAUGGCAGUGGUCUCGGGUUGAGAAAGACCAGAAAAGGGGGCUGGAUGGAAGGAACAAGUCAAAACGGCGUCGUUUUGGUCCCUGUUCACUUAAAUGAACAGGCUCCAAAACGACGUCGUUUUGGGCCCAAAAAAAAAAAAAAAAAAAAAGCUAGGGCUGCGGGGCGUCUCUGCAACCCGACUGGAGGAGGAAGAAGAAGAAGAAGAAGAACAAGGAGAAGGAGAAGGAGGAGUGCGUACCUGGUCGGACCGUCGGAGGCGACUCGGGCGAUCGCCUCGCGCCUUGCUGGAGGCGAGCGCCUUGCGCGCCUAAGCGGCGCCUUCGUGAAGGGGCGUCGCCUCUCUUCAGGCGAGGCGCCGAGGGUGGCGUCGGGCCGCCCCGAGCCUAGGCGCGCCUUUCAGAACUAUGUUAUAUAUAUAUAUAUAUAUAUAUAUAUAUAUAUAUAUAUAUAUAUAUAUAUAUAUAUAUACUCCUCUUAACCUUGUACACGUAUUUUAAAGUCAUGAAGACCACUUGAGCAUAGGAUGGAUAAUAUCUAUACGGUUGGAUGCAGGUUGUUACAAUAAUUACUUUUGAUUUUCCUUUCAUAUGUUUAAUUGCAUAACAUUAUUAUAGCAAAAUAUUAAUCUAUCAUAAUGCAACGUCUUGUAAAGCUUAUGUUGGGUGUCAUGAUUUGAUCUCUUGUCAUUUUUAUUAUUCUGAUUCAACAUCAUCUUAGCUUAUAAUCAUUUAUACACUUGAUGCAUGAGAAAUGAAGAUGCUAUAAAUUGUAGGAUCUUUUUCUCCAAUUUGUUCCUUGAUAUUUUAUAAUGCCAUGAAAUGUCUAUAUUUUGAUGCAGAAAGCCGUUCACACUCCAUCUCUCUCACUAGUUUUGCAGAACCAUUGCCACUAAGCACAUGCAGGCGUCAGAUGUGCGGCCACUUCCAGUGUUGGAAGAGACUUUGAACUACCUAUUAAACCUGUUGGAUGCCACAGAACAUCCUUUUGAAGUGGUUCAUGAUUUCGUCUUUGAUAGGACAAGAUCAAUAAGACAAGAUCUUAGCAUGCAGAAUAUCAUUAAUGAUCAAACAAUUCAUAUGUUUGAAGAAAUGGUAUGAAUUUCUUGAAACAUAAUCUCAAUUACCUUUUUUUCUGAGCAUUCAUCUCCUCAACAUACAAUAAGUUAGCCAACCCAUUGCUAAACACUCUCCUAGUUGGAGAAAAUAAUCAAAGUAUACAAGAGAUAAAAUGUUGAAUAAUUGAGUCAUUAUCCUCUCUUUUUGCUUUAUUGAAUAAGAUAAUUUAUUCGAUGGAGUCCAAAUGAGGUGAAACUGUGAUCACACAACUUGAAGCCUACUUUACAAUGGAUAAAUGAAUGGUCUGAUUUUGAAUCUUUCUUGGCACAUUAGUUAUUAUCCAAUCCAUUCUAAUUAAAUUAUCCACUAUUAAGUGUCUAUUUCCAGUCACCCUCUAAGUUAUGAAAGACCCAUAGAACCAAAGCAACUCACACCACCUGUGAUAGGAAUUGGUGCUCUCUUCCAUAAUGUCAAGUUUUCCAGUACACUUGCUGACUUUGUAGAAUAUGCCUACAAAAAGGGCUGCCACCUCCUAAUUCCCAAUCAUAGAAGUUUCUUAACCAUAUUUCAAAAGUUGUAUUUCCUGUUCCCUCUCUUAAAGUUUUUUAAACCUAUAUAUCUUUAUCCUAGUAAUUCGGAAAAAUGAGGAAAUUAUUUAACAAGAACUCCAUCAAUUUGUUCCUCAAAAUUUUAUAUAGUUUCUCUCUCUCACUUUUGAUUCAAAUUCUUGAAGCAAAGGAACAAAUUCAUGGCCAGUAACAUUUUUAGCCAAGCAAUAGAAUGCACGACAAGCAUGUAUAUGAAUGAAUUGUGUUUUUUAAUGAUAAUAGAUCAGAUAUUUUAAUCUCAUCCUAAAACCUUUGAGUUAACUAAAAGCCGCAUCUUAUGUUCUGACUUGUGGUUUGUUUCAUAAUAUAGGUGAAAUUUCAUAUUAUAUCCCACCACAAGCUUCACAGUUGUAGCAGCAAGCCAAGUUUUUCUUCAGUUCAUUACCUCAAUAUGGAGCAGCUGAAAAAGUGUCUAAUAUCUCUAUAUGCUCUAUACAAAGAAAAUCGAAAUUCAAAUUCUAUUUACAAGAAUGAACCUGAGUUCUACUCAUUUCACGUUCUUCUUCAUCUUGGCUCUAACAACCAACCAUUGGUGGAUACUUGCUUCCGUUGUUUGUUUGAGUUCAUCUUUUUCAGUAUCUCUUGCUGCCUUGUACUGGUUUCUGAAUAUGUUACUAUUUCUGUUUUGAAGGGAGAGUCACUCUCUUUGUGGUUGGGUCGUGUACCUUCUCUCAUUUUAAAGUCAAAGGAAAUGUGUUUUGCUCGGAGACUUUUAAGGUGACCGUAAAGCUAUUAUAGAUUCGACUUGCAUUUAAAUUGUUUAUAUUCAUUUUACAUUUAACUCAAUGUAGAGUGGUUCUGUUUUCCAAUCGAUUUUUUUCUCUUCUUUUAGUACCCAAUGUUAAAAAUUUUGUUUUCAUGAACUGAAAGAUCUGUCUUUUCUUGUAACAGAUUAUUUCGGAUGGGCAAUUAUAAGCGUUUCCUUUGUACUACAGCAACUGAGGCAUCUUAUUUACAGUACUACAUAAUUGAACCUUACAUCAAUGAGGUUGCUUAAAUAUGUUGAUUUUGCUAGAUUUUUCAGUUUGAAAAAUAUAUGCUUCUUUGUUCAUUUAUUGUUUUCCAAUUUCAUUUAUGAGAAUAUAUCUAAAAUCUAGACUCGAGUACUUGUGCUUUUGGGUUUUAUUUUUCUUUCAUUUUUGUUAGUAGUUGUACUUCAUUAUUCUUAAAUUUCUCACAGUUGUUUCUUUAUGUGGUUUAUUGCUCCUCACUUUCUUCAUUCAUCUGAAGUGUUCAAAUUCAAUUUGCUUGUUUCAUAAACCAGGUCUUAUUUAGAAGUUCUUCUCAAUUGCCUUUUUUAGUGCUUUUAAAGGACAUGCCUGAUUUAUAUAUAUUUUUGUUGGUUUUCUUUUGACCGUAAAAGGUUCGAGCAUUGGCAUUGUCAUGUGUAAAUUAUUGUGGCUACAAACUUCAUCCGUAUCCAAUUGCACACUUGUCCAAACUCUUGAUGAUGAAGGUAUGAUUGCAUUUACUAGCAUUAAAUUGCUAAAAUUUGUCAUCCAAAGUUCCAAUAUCUUUUGAACCUUGAAGGCUUCAUUUGCAUUUUUGUAGGAAUUAGAUGUGGAAUCAUUUUGCAAUGCUUGUGGUCUUGAGACCAGCACUGAUGAACGGGGAAAUAAGUUCUUAUCAACCAAGCAAACAAACUUCCAUUAUCCCAAGGAAGUCUUUCCAAGCUAUUGCCUUCUGGGUUUGGAACACUUUUAGAGGUAACAAUCAAUUGGAACUAGUUACUCUUUCAAACUUCUUAUUGUACAAAUAUAACCUGCAUGUGCAACCAUUUCUGAUCCCAUAAUUUCAAGAAUUUAUGACACCUUCUAGUGGUUAGUUUUUCUGGGAAUAGAGUAAAGCAAUCUAUUCACUCCCAGAAACUAUCGUCAAAGGAACAGUAGAUAACCCCGCAAGACCAAAUUUAUGUGUGUGCAUGGAGAUGCAUGUUUUCUGCAUCCCAAUCAUGCAGUGUUGUGCCAAAUGGAAUAAUAGCAGCUGAUGAUAAGUGGUAUUUCUAAAAUCUUCUAAGAGUAUUCCAUCUAUUGUAAUAUUGUUUUCUCAAAAUUGUCUUUGAGUCUUAUAUGUAAAUAUUAGACUUGACCUCUUGUAAGCUAUCAACUGAUGUUGUAACUUAACUUGAAAGGGAAAUUCUAUAAAUUUAGCCUUGGUUUGGCUGUUGGAAAGCAAAGAAAAAUUAGGUUAAUAGUGAGUUGAUUUCUUCCCUUCCCAUGGAUGUAAGCACAUUCUUGAAUCAUGUUAAUUACUUUUUGGUUUAUUUUGUUGUUUUGUUGUUUUGUUGUUUAUUGUUCAAUUGUCUCCGCAUAACAAGUGGUAUCAGAGUUGUUUCCAACACAACAGAUGAUUCCUGUGCUAACACAAAGUUUGAGGCUAAACGUAAGAUGGUAAAAGUUUCUAGAAUAUUUCCCUAUGACAACUGCCAAUAAAGGAUGUACUUAACAGAAAGUUCAUAAGGUGUUACAUGGCAAGUUGAACAAAACCAAUAGCUAGAGAUAUCUGAAAUAUUUGGGGCCACUGAUCCAACAAUAGCAGAGAAUAACACAAGAAGAGACCCUCUAAUCACCAUUUUUUCUUUGAUUCUUCUCUACAAAGCAUCAUCUUCUUUAUACAAAAAGACAACCCAUUGCUGAGCCCACAUUAUUCUCUACAUAUCCCAAAAAAGCCCUCUAAAUUUUAGGGCAUGGUGCUCUUUUUAGGGGUAUUUUGGUACUAAAUUUGUGGUAGUCUCUCAAAUACCUAAACUACCCUCCAGAUUUUAAGGCAUGGCCCACUCUUUGAGGUGGUAUUUUGGGUACUAAUUUUUGUUAGGAGAGGUUUUGGUGUGGAAACUGGAGGGCUUUACACACGUUGCAUGUAUUUUCUUUUGCAUGCAUUACACAUAGAUUGGAGUUUAUGCAGUUACUCACUUUUUGUUCGUCCAACAAUACUAUAGUGCCACGUCACCAUAUGAUGGGCUCUUUAGUCUUUUCAAACCCAAAAAAAAACACUAAAAAAAAAAAAAACUAAUACUAAAAGGAUUGCUAACUAGCUAUGUGAAGAUGAACCUCUAUAGCUAGCUUCUUAGAGGGACCAUAAUCGCUUAGGCCAGGGAAGUUUGAGGUGAUAAUAUGUCUGUGAUGCCCUUAGAUGUUUUAGGCACAUGUGCGUUACAUUAAUGUAUUCAAUGAGUCUAUAACCUUGAUUGACAGGUCCGAGUAAUCUUUGAAAUUUCAUUGUGGUGGGAAGGUUCCAUGUGAACAACACUUGCACAUGGGUUAGUUAAUCUUAAGAGACGGGGGAAGCUCAUCUAACAGCACACAAUGUGCGAGCUUUGAAAGGCAAUCGGGUUAACAUUUCUGAAUUGGGACAUGACAGCGGACAACAACAUUAGGUAGUCCAAAGAUGUCGUCAUAUUAAUUGUUAUCAAUAUUUUUAUUUAUUCAAUAGAGAUUGAGGAUUAAAAAAAUACCACAAAAAUUAGAAAAAACAAAAUUAAUUACAUGGCUUACAUUUCAAAUAUUUAAUAAAAUAUUGUAUGAAAGUUGAAUAUCAUACACUAUUAAAUGGUUGGAUUCUCUUCUUUAAUUUUUUUAAUUGUCUCAUCCUAUUAAAUUACUCAUCUAAUAUUAAUUUAUUUUAAAGGUGAAAUUAAUUAUAUUGUAAAAAACUUUUAACUGACCAGAGUUUGUGCACAACAUCUAAUAUAUACUUAAAUAUAAUCCUCCAACUAAGAAAUGAAAUCAAAACUUAAAAAUCAUUUAUAUAUAUAGAUAUAUGUUAUCAAGUUUAGGUAGUGAAGCAAUUAAUGUGGAUAUAAAAUUAAUGCCAAAACUUUUGAUUGUUCCUUCACAUUCUCCACAACCAAACAAAGGAUAUAAGAAAAAUAAAGAAAGAAAUUUAGGGUAGUUUGAUUUUUGUUCUCAUCUUGUUGUGAAGUUAAUAGAGGAAUGCUUGGGUUGGUGCUCAAUAGUUAAGUGACAGCAGGGUAUAAUGAUUCUUCCAAUCGUGUAAAUAUUAUUUGUUUUAAUUUCAAUGGAUCAUCGUCACUUUAAAUUGCAUCCACAUGGUUAAGAGCAACUCAUAUGUAUAUAAUAUCAUGAAUUUCUUCUUAUUCGAUACGGAAUAUCAAAUUAGGUAUCUUUCAAUUUUAGGUAUUGUGUAAGUGUUUCAACUCAAAUGACUUGGCUUAAUGUAUACUCAAAGCCUUGACAAAGGAGCGUAUAUGUAAUAAAGUGAAAAUUAAACCUUGUCGCCCUUCUAUCUCUAGUACUCCAUUAUCCCUUAAACAUGUGCAAAAAAAGAUAUACACCUUUGAUACAUUAAUUAAAAUAAACGAUAGAAAAAGAGAUUUUAUAUAUCCAUGUACAUAAUUUGAUUAGAUUUGUUAUAUAUGAGAGAGAGAGAAAAAAAAAAAAACUGUUUAGAUUAAGGAUCUCAUUAAUUAAUACCUAGAAAAUAUAAAAGAAUAAAAAAAGAUUAGAAGGUGUGAAUCAGAAGAUAAGACUACAUUUUUUAAUUAGAUUCAUCGAAAGAUGGCAUAUUGUAUGAACAUUUUUACUCUACAUAUAAAAACUUAUAUUAUGGUUGAGAUGUAUUAAUUUGUCAUAUUUUUGGACAUUUAAAGUAAUGAGUAAUUACACUAAAUUAAAUUAUUGACCUUAUUAAUCAAUACCUCAAAAGUAUAAAAUAGUAAUAAAUGAAUAAGACAAACUUCAUCGAAAUAUUUUUAUGGGCACAUUACGUAAAUAUUCUUAUUUAAUAAAAGUUUAUAUGUCAUUAAAUGAAUAGAGAAUUUUAACAUUAAUUGCAGUGCUAAGUAGAGGAGAUCUCAUAUUUAAGCUGUUGAUUAAGGCUUAUUACUUAAUAAUUUAAGUUGACUUUAAGUUAGAUUAUAUUUAAGUUAUUUACGUAAAAUUUAUUAUUUAUUAUUUAAUAUUUACUUUAAGUAUUAAAGUUAUUUGAUAAAGUUAAUUUAAAAAUCAUUUUAAAUUAUCAAAUUGUCAUAUUUACCUUCAUUAAUUUGAUAACUAGAUGCAGAUAAAUGAAACAAAAAAAAAAUUGAGAUUAAGAAUAAGUUAAUUAAUUUGAUUUAACACUUAAAAGUAACUUUAAGAUAUAAUAUUAAGUUAUUUUAUCAAAUAUAUUUAAUCUAUUUAAUAAUUAAAUUAAGUUAUUAAGUUAAUGAAUGAUUACCAAACACCUUAUAAGACCCAAAAAAUCGAAUGAGUUUUAAUAGUUUCCAGGAUGGGCAUGACUAGGUGGUGGUUCAAUGCUGAUUAAUCAUAAUUCAAUCAAGGCAAAAUAUGUAACAAAUACAUGUCAAACUGCACCAUCCAAAUGGGCGCCAAGAACGUUACAUUUGACAAAUGCCAUUAAACCUCGACAGCUACCAAUUACUUGAAGCUCAUUAACUUCAUCUUAAUUUGAUCCAAAUUGCAGAAACAUGUGAAACUCCAUGAAUCUAUGGUGCUAUGGUGGCCUACAUUCAUAUAACUGGGGACACUUUGGUUUACACUACAAUGACCCCAAACAGGGUUUGUAGAGACUUUAUCAAGAUCACUAGCUUCAAAAGACUAAGGAAAGAAAGAUGUUCUCAAAACUUGGAGUCAAAUUGCAGAUAAAGACCUAAAACUCCCACUUAACGUGUUUGAGGAAUUGUUGUUUCAUGGGGAUAAGCUGUUUGGUUUGUACAUGUCUCCUUGGUGAUACUUAGAGUUCGGCGAAGUAUACGUAUCCUUUGUGAUCUGGUUUGUAUAUGGGCAGAUGAAUGUUGAUGCCAGGUUCAUAUAUGUUUCUGAUAUAUAUCACCCUGGAAGGAUCUAGAUCAAGGGGAUGAGUUUCAAAAGCUUGAGUAGGUUUAAGAUGUUCCGAGAAUUGGUGAGCAUGAUAUAUAUCAAUAUGAUAUUGCAGAAGACAACAGAGCUUCUGAAAUUAAUAUGUCAGGUUCAAUAGUGGGAAAUCUUAUCAGCUGUCACUUACUGUAAUCGUAUGCUCUCAAUAUUCAUUUGUUGAAGAAGAAAAAAAAAAUUGCUUUCACACUAUUCAAUUACAAGAGAAUGUUCAAUUAUAGAAGAAAAUAAUAUUCGCUAGUCUCUUUCAACUUAAUCAACAUGCAGAGAAAAGCAGUGAAUAAUAACUUACAUACAUUGUCUCUCUACCCCUACUUGUUACUCAUCAGCCAAGCUUAUGGUAAUAUAAGCUUGGGUUCAUCUCUCUAUGCCACUGAUGAAAACUCCACAUGGGCUUUGCCUUUCUGGUGAUUUUGCAUUUGGAUUCCGACCCUCUCCAAGUGAAGAGGACCUAUUCCUUCUUGCUAUCUGGACUGCAAAUGGAAGUUAACUGGUGCCAAGAGGAUCAAAAGUUUGGGCUUACCACCAAUGGACAGCUUGUUCUCUAGAGGCUAAGAUAUAUGGAAGACAAAGACUGGUAAUGUGAGCAGCGAACCAGUGCAUGGUGCCAUGCUUGGAGAUGGAAAUUGUAUACCAGUAUAUGGGAGAGCUUCAAGCACCCAACUAAUACCAUAUUGCCAAUCCAGGGAUUGGUGUUGGAGCCUACUGUGCAGUUGCUAUUUUUGAGGACCUGAGGUUUGCAAAUGGAACUGGAAGCUGUUGGAGGAAAAGACUACCUCUUUCAAAUGGGAGGUUGGAUCAAACUGCUGUUUCCAGAAGUGCUCUAAUCAAGAUAUUGAAGUCCAGUGAACUAACUUCAGGCAGAUGCAAGCAAAAUAAAGCAAUUCUAAUACUCUCAGUCCUCUUAGGCCCCUCUGCGUUCUUCUUCUUCGUUUCUCUAGCUGCAAUUUCACUAGUUUUCUACUGCUUGAACCUCAAAAAUCUGCAGCUUUAUCACAGAAUCCUGAGUACAAGCGAUGGUAGAAGCCUUUGGCACUGUCUAUAAAGGGAUAUUACCAUCAGGUUCUGGAAAUUCUGUUGCUGAAAAGUUGGAGAAGGUGGUGGGAGAAGAUGAGAAAGAAUUCAAAGCAGAAGUGAAUGUGAUGGGCCAAACUCACCAUAAGAAUCAAGGACACUUGCUGCGUUACUGUUGUGAGGGUGAACACUGACUACUGGUGUUUUUUUUUUAUGCACAAUGGCUCUUUAUCAAGCUUCCUUUCUGGAGGCGCCCGAAAGCCCUCAGAACACAACUCUUGGAUGAUUCUUUUACAGCCAAAGUUGCAAACUUGGACUGGGAAAGCUUCUGAUAAGCAACCAGACUAGAACACUCACAGGCAUCAGAGGGACUAUGGGGUAUAUUCAGACAACUCGGGCAGCCUAUGUCUCUUAUAAUAACACGUUAUGAAGCAUCAGCUCAAUGCUGGGGUUCAAUCUGCAAAGCAAGGGAUUCAUCAAUGUUUCCUUCAAACUAAAUAAUAAGGAACAGAAAUGGAUCAUUCUGCAUUUUCAGUGGUGUUUGUUAUAGCAUUUAUACAAGAACUCUAGGGGUUUCUAUGUAUAACUUCAUUCCCAUUUUGUAUAAUCCAAAUCUCUUCAAUCGAUUAAAUGUAUAAAUGAAUCCUAUUCAUUGUUUGGAGUAACAACAAAAUUCUGGAAGACUGGGAAAGUUUCAACACUGGAGAGAAAACAAAAUGACAAGACCAUAAAUUCUGGAAGAGGGCUUUGCUUUCUAACCAUUACCAUAAUUUUAGAGCUCAACCCGGAUGAGUAAAUUAUAUUUCAGAAUGUUCAGGAGAUAAUUCUAAAGUGAUGAACCUUCUACUCACAGUUUCUUGUUCUUCUUGAACAGAGCAAUGAACAUCAAUAGUUCAGCACCCAGGAAUCUCCCCUCUCCAAUUCCUCCACUGGGAAAAGUCACCUUUCCAGUUAAGAAAAUCUUCAGGAUUAAUUUGAGCAAAACAUCAGAGUAUACAUCAAGAAAGCCUUGAUCAAAAUCAAAAUACAUCAAGAGCUGCCAUUUUCUUCUAUUUCCUCUUCCUUGAAUGGAAUGCCUUUUGGACUGAGGUGAUCAAUGGUAACAGUCUAACACACUCCUUAAGCUUUGAUUGAGGUCAACGGGGAUUGGCACAUUUAAUGACUUUGAAAUCAUAGCUGUGUGAAGGGAGGCAAACAUGAAUCUCAGGAUAAUCAACAAGUCAACAACUAUCAAUCAGUAAGGAAAAGGAAAAGGAAAUACCUUUGGAUAUUUACAAAUAAAAAAUUUGAGAGAGUCCAGCUGCUCUGUACAGAAAGGCUUGAGCUUAUUCCAUGGCCAGGCUUUAGAUGGUUCUGAAUUACGGAUGAGAGGAUUGAGUUUUCUUUCAUUCUGCAAUAAGAUUAAAAACAUCAAUGAAACACUAAAAGUUUAUAUAUAGAAGCCCUUUAAAGAUGAGAAUUGGUAAGAGAGCUCACCCAUGGUCUAGUAAAACAACAUCUGUUAGAUAAGUAACCACCAUUCGAUUGUCCAGCUAAUGCAUUUAGACAGUCCAAAAUAGCUAAAGACAGUCCAAAAACUCAUUUGACUAAUAAUUUUCUAAAAGCAGUAACAUAAAACCUGGAUGAAGAAUCCACCCCUCUACCUGACACCACUUCAAUACCAAAUAAAAUGUUACGAUGACCAUUUAUAGUCUUAAGAGACAGUGGGUGUUGUUUGGGCUCAAGACCAUCAAAAUUGGCACAGAAACAAGUACAACAACUAUCUAAUAAAGAGAUUUAUGCAUGUAACAAAUGCAAAUGAAAUAUGAUACAAGAAGUUCAUAGAUUAAACAAAAAUAGAUGGCAAAAUAGAAGGAUAAGGUCACAGACAGGACAAUAUUAAAAGAAAUUAUUAUUUUUCCGACCUGAAAAUCGAGGCAUUUAGAACAGUACAAGUUUGUAAGUAGUCCAUGGAAACCAGGGAACUUAUGCAGAUGUUGUAUUCUAUUGCAUAAGGCAAACACUCAAUACUUACAAGCAUAAUCAUGCCCAGAAAGCCAUGAAUCCCUUUUUGUUUUGCUUUUUUACCUAUUCUCAUCUCUUAUUGCCAGAAGUGCCCAGGAUGAUACAACCUCACCAAAUAAGUUAGAAACCAGCCCAUUCAGCAGGUUGAGUAGCCAGCUUGCCCUCAAUCUUCUUUGAGUCAACAAACAGUUGGGCAUUAUUGCCUCCAAUGGAGGGUCUGGAAAUAUUAGAGCCGGCAGCAGGGGUGGCUGUAAAACUCUCUGUUCCAAAACCCCAAGUUUCAGGGCCAGAAGUUCCUUCUUUGGCUGGUUUGUUGUGAUGGCCAUUUCGGGUCCUACCAGACUUGCUAUUGUUGUCUGGGCACCUGCCUCAGAGAAAGCCUGCCAAAGAUUAGAGUCUGGGCCAGGGGAAACGGAUUUUCUUUGCUGGAGUUCCCAGUCUGUUGCUUCAAUCUUUUCUCUGUGCUGUUACGAGAAGAAAACCUAUCAGACACAUGAAUGGGUACAAAAAGGUAAACUUCAGGUUUUGGUUGUAUUGAAAAGCACAGGAAACUUCACAAGAGGCAAAUUAUACCCCAGACUUAUUGAAGAAAAAUGAAGUACAAUUGACUUACCCAAAUGUCUACUUCCUCAUUUAUAGAUUUCCUCCUAAACAAAUCCCCACAUCUAGGACAGGAAAAGGAAGAAGCUGGGAGUCAACAUUUUUUCAACCAAAUGUCAGCACUAACUUAUCAAAAAACAUAGUUUUCCAUUCAACCUCGGGAGCUGUACUUUCUGAUAUUGUCUUCUUAAAGUGCUUAUGAUUGGUGGAGGUGCUUCCAAAAUCACACAACUUCCAUGAUGCAUUAGGGCCCAAUAGAAGAUUCUCAGCAUUUAUAUAAGAACUUCAGGGCUUAUACGUAUGAUCAUGUUACAGUAUAAAUCAUAGUGAACUGGUGGAAUUUGAUUAUUAGCCAACCUCAUCAAAAACUGUUUCACAGUUGAGGGGAUUGUUAACCUUGCCAUGGGCCAAGCAGCAAUUUCUGGAGAAGCUGGGUGACAAAGAGUACCAUCAUUUGGACUAGUUUCAAUGGAAAUUCCUCUGUUUUUAUACAUGAUAUCUUCAGCUUCAGCUUUUCCUUUUGCUUUUGACAUGGCUGAAACUGAUCCUGAAAUAAAAAAUCCCACGCAAGUAGAUAUUUAACAGAAGAGGAUCCGAAUCUCUUCAAUUGAUUAAUGUAUAAAUGAAAUAAUCAAAAUUUUUAGAUAAUUAUAGGGAGAUGAACCUUGUACCUCUGAGUUUCUUAGUCUUCUUGAACAGAGCAAUGAGCAUCAAGUGUUGAGCACCCAGGAAUCUCCCUUCCUAUACAGGGAAAAUCUGAACAAUCUAUCUUUCUUCAUAUUCCACUUCCUUGCAAAAGUCAAAACAUGAAGAAAAUAUCAUCAAAAUUGAGACAAAAAUAAGUGCAUCAACUGUCUCAAGAAGAGAUUUAUGCCUAUUGCUUACCUUUUGCAGAAGUCCACUUGGUUAGAGCACAUUUUACAUGGACGCCCAAUCACUGCAAGCUGCUGAACCAAAGGAGAGUUCAAACAUCUAAAAAAUUUGACUAACUCAAGUAUCAUAAAAUACUUCACAUGAAUUCUAAAUGAUCUCAUAUCUAAAAAACAUUGGCAUAAAAUUAUUGUUGUUUACCUUACAUAUUUCUUCCAUGGUCAUAAUCGAAACUUUGUUUAUCAUAACAAAUCUUCUAUGCUCAUCCUGAUUACUAACAAUGAAAAUUGAAAUGAAAAGAAAAAAAAAACACAAAAAAUGAUGAUUAGUUUGGUUUGAUAAAUUUAGCACACACAAUUCCCUUUUUCUUGCCCGAAAAAGGAAAGAGUAAAAAAAAAAAAAAAAAAUUAAUAAUUUUUCAAAACUAGCAAUUAUAAAUCUAGUUUGGUUCUCAUAAAAUUUAUGGGAAAGCAGGGAAAAAAAAGUGUAAACUUUUUCUCUUGUUUGAUUGUUUAUGGGAAAAUUGAGGGAAAAACAAAUAUUUAUGAGGAAUCUAUUUAACACUUUUGAGGAACCAAAAAUGUUUUAGAUGUUGUCAAAUCGAUAAUUUAAAUGUAUUUAAUUCCAAUUAAAUGAGUUUAAUCAAACACAUGAAAUCGUGAAUAAAAUUAUUUAAAAGCAUUGAAAUUCAAGUCAUUAAAGUUGUCCAUAAAAUUUGGUAUAUUGAAGCAAGAAAAAAACAAAGCAAUUUGAAUGACUUGCUAAUAAAGCAGCUAACUAGAAUAUGCCCUAGAGUUGUUCUGUGCCUUGUAUAUAAGAAAUAAACAAAGAACACAAUAAAAAUAAAAAUAAAAACCAGAAAAUAAAAUACAAACAAACGAAAUAUCCAUGGUUCUUCGUUAUUUUUUUCUUAAUUUUUCAAUGGUUAUUUUUGCAAACCACCAAAUCAAAACAGAGCAUGAAAAUGUGUUCAAUAUUUAUUUCAGGCUUGAAGCUUCAAGAAAAAGAAAAUCUUAAAUCAAAUAAACAAGACUAGCGAAUGAAUUGGAACUUGAAAGAAAAGUUCAUGCGCAAAAGAAUUACCUGACUCUAUAUUGGCGGAGUGGCACUUUGAUUAAUAUAGCACACCAUUGAUCACUAUUUUUGGAACGUGAGCUAUAUAACGCCAUUCUUCCCCUUUCUCAAAUUGACACCGUUUUUCCAGUAAAGGACACCCAUCGAUGACCAGAAAAGAGAGAGAGUCUGGAAGUCUUUCUUUUGUCAAGUAUUUGAGCUUACGACAGUUCAUGAUCACCAAUGUUUUAAGAGAGGUGAGGUGUUGAAGACCCACUUUUGUCAAGGAUUGGAGCAUUCGGCAGUAUACGAUCUCCAAAUUUUCAAGAGAGGUGAGGUGUUGAAGACCCCCUUCUGUCAAGGAUUGGAGCAUUGGGCAGUGUUUGAUCUCCAAAUUUUCAAGAGAGGUGAGGUGUUGAAGAACCGAUCCUAUCAAGGAUUGGAGCCUUGGGCAGUAUAGGAUCCUCAAUAUUUGAAGAGAGGUGAGGUGUUGAAGAUCCGUUUCUGUCAAUGAUUGGAGCCUCAAGCAUCCAUAAAUUCCUAAUUCUUUUAGAGAGAUAAGGUGUUGAAGAACCGAUCCUGUCGGGAACUGGAGCUCUGGGCAGUUUCUGAUCUCUAAUUUUAGAAGAGAGGUGAGUUGUUGAAGACCCCUGCUGUCAAGAGACUUGAGAUCGGGAAAUGAUUCAAUUUGAAGAGAAGUCAGAGAAGAGGGCAGCAAACACUCCUUGGGAAAUAAUUCAAUGUCUUCACAUCCACCUUGGAUUCUUAAACGAGUAAGAGAGGUCAGCCUUUGCAAACCCCACUCCACCUGGGGCGUGAGUUGGUUGCACUUCUUAAUUUCAAGUAUACGUAGGUUGGAAGGCAAACCCUCUCUCUGAAACAACAAUUCUGGACAAUCACAUAAAUACAACUCCUGUACAGAUGACUGUGUGUGUGCCAACGACCUAAGGUUGAAGCACCUAUCAAUCAAACAAGACUCUAAGUUGAGAGCGUGCAAUUCGAUAGAUUCAAGAUCAGAGCAACCAAUUAGACGCAGGGAACAUAAAGAUGUGGGAUCACCCUCUGAAACCAAAAUGGAGAGCUUCUCAAGCCCCUUAAGACCAUCGAUUGUGAAAUCAGUCAACUUGGGGAAGAUGCCUAAUGAGAAGGAUAACGUGAGAGAAUCAUCGAUAACACCACCUUUGAUUUCUAGACUUUCAAGGACUGGGAGAUGGCAUCUGAACAACUCAGGUACGAGAAUCUCUAAUUUCGAGCACUCAGAGAUGAAUAGUGAUUUCAGUGUAGUGGGUAAACCAACUUUGUGCAGGGAUCUAGAAAAACUGCAAUCAUAGAUUUUCAGAUCAUGUAUGUUGGUUUGCGAGAUUUCCUCCUCUAGCAGAGACUCCGCAUUAUCACAUUCUCUAAUUGAGAGCUGGUGUGGUGCCAUUGGAAGUUGACUCCACUGAGACACAUCUAAAAUUUCAAUUUCUGAAGUUUGAAGAGCUGUGAAGUCACAACCUGCCAUUUGCAACUGCAGUUUACCGAAAUCCACCAUCCUCAACUGACGAAUUACAGGAACUGUGAGUGAAGCCAUAAGCAGUUGCGGACAUUCAUGAAUUUGAAGUUCCACCAAUGAAAGAAGCUGUUCUGGUAAUUUCCCAGUGAGUUUGGGACACCUUCGUAUAAAAAGCUUUUGGAGACGAGGGAAUUCUCCACAACAUAACCAUUUCUCCCAGUUCUGCAUAUCCUCAAAUGAUAGUGUUUCUAGGAAUUGAAAGGAAGCAUUCCCAUAGAACUCAUCACCCACACACUCUACUCCAUUCAUCCUUGAGAUUUGCAGAUAUUUAAGCUGGGUUAGCUGUCCAAGUGGUGGCAAUGUUGAGCAAUUGCCACAACCCCGAAGCUCAAGGGACACGAGAUUCAACACUGAAGGAUCUCCAAGCCAAUUUGGAAAUCCUUCACCAGGAUAGUUUGUGAUGGAGAGUUGUUUUAAAUUUGGGUGAGGUUGUAACUUGUUGAGUAUAUCAUGCGUUGUUGCACCACUUUGUGUAACACCAUUGGUACACUCGUCACCCCAAUCAAAGAUUAACUCAUCAAGAUAACUUUUAUCCUUCAUAUUAGCCCUUGAUGCAUCGUUAACACUCACUACAUUCUCCAUGUUUGAAAUAUAAAGUUUUCCUCGAAUCUCUGACAGCUCUCCCAAUUCUCCAAUUCUUAAUCCAUUGUUUUGGCCCACAAUAAAUUGAGUCAACCUUUGUAAACUUUUUAAUUGACCAAUUCCAUGACUUGACAUUUCUCUCAAUGAACCACAUCCAUGAAUAUCAAGAUAGCGCAAAUUAAUCAAUUUUCCCAUCUUUGAAGGCAAUUCAUUAAGUCUUGAACAUUUUAUUAGCAUCAUCGUUUGUAAAUUGUAUAAACAACAUACUGAUUCAGGUAAUUUUUUAAUCCUUGUAAAAGACAAAUCCAAGUGACGCAAAUGUUUCAAAUUGCCUAUUGAUAUAGGCAAAUCAGUUAUGUCAUAUGCACAUAAUGAUAACACGCGUAGACACCACAUUUUUGGUAAUAUAUCUUGCAAAACUCUUUUACUCAAAGUAUACCUAGGAUAGUCUUCCAUUGGCUUCACUCCUAAGAAUGUUCGAAGAGAUUUAGCUUUAGUCAUAGCCUCAAAAUUCUUAAAUGCUACCAAAUCGUUAUAAUCAUCACUAUUAAAGUACAAAAAGUGGUGAGCCUUCUCAGAUACUUUUGGUAAUUUAUCAUCAUCUUCCACUCGAGCACAAAAAUCUCCAGACACAUGUUGAGCCAAUUCAUGUAUUAGAUCAUGCAUUACAAAGCAUGAUCCUUUUCUUCCAAUAGAUUUUUGAAAGAAAGACUUGGCAAGAAGCUCAUCAAAAUAUGACUCACCGAUCUCUUCCAUUCUCCUUCCUUCGUUUUGUUGUGGAUGUAAAAGACCUUCUGCCAUCCAUAAUAAAAUCAGCUUCUCUUUGUAGAAUUGGUGGUCCUGGGGAAAAAUAGAACAAUAAGCAAAACAAUGCUUCAGAGGUAAAGAAAGAUGAUGGUAGCUUAAUAUCAAAGAUGGAAGAAUUUCGGAGCCACUCUGCGGAUGCCAUAUUUCACUUUUCAACACAUCGUCCCAUUCCCUUUUUUCGACCUUAGAAUACAAGAGACAGCCGAGUGCUUUCACAGCCAAAGGCAAUCCUUGGCACUUGUCCACAAUCUGUCUGCCUAUGCGUUCAAGCUCAAGGAAUGCGUUGGAGUCUCGAUCUUGAAAUGCAUGCUUUUUAAACAGGGACCAACUAUCUUCAGAGCUUAAUUUCCCAAGAUGAUGAGUAGGGACUGCUCGCAUGGUUGUUGCAACAGAUUGAUCACGACUGGUCACGACAAUCUUGCUUCCCUCUGCUGCAGCGAGGAGUGGAGUUCGUAGAAUAUUCCAACCUUCACGAUCACUAAGCUCCAUAUAACCUUCAUCACGAGGCUUCAAAUUCCAGACGUCAUCAAGAACAAGCAGAAAUUUCUUGUUACUAAGUUGCUCUUUGAGUUGAAGCUGAAGCAAAUUUAGGUUGUCAGCAGAAGUAGGUGGAGAACGAAUUUCCUCAAGAAUUGUUUUGGUGAGUUUGAUAAGGAGAAACUCAGUGGAAACACAGACCCAUGCUUGCAAGUCGAAGUGUUUCUUCACUUCCUCAUCGUUAUAGAGAAGCCGAGCAAGCGUGGUCUUGCCGCUGCCGCCCAUGCCCACCAUGGACAUCACCCCCAUUUUGUCGCCUGUUGUAUUGUCAGAAAGCAACCACUCCACCAUCUCCUUCUGAAUUUCAUCCCUGCCGACAACAAUGGAGUCAUCCUCCAAAGAAGUGGAUAUUGGUGAUCUUGGUCUUGGUGACCGUUUCUCGCCCCCACCUUCUGCCAGCCCCAACCCAACUUUUUCUAGUGCGAUUUUUUCCAGUAGAUCAAUCAUGCCCCUGACCCUGGACUCCAUGCUUUUGAUAGCAAAUGGAGUCUUCACAGAAGCAGAGAACUUGUUCCAUUUCCACGCCUUAAGAGUUCCGCCGGUUUGGGAGUCAGCAGCUUCCAUCUUGCAACGCAAAGCGUCGGUAGCGAUCUCGUCCAACAGGUCUUCCGCAUCAUACACAGCACCCGUGACAUGGACGAGCCACUCUUUGACAUUUGGGUUUGAAAAUUGCUUCACCUCCGCAUCAUCGAGCACAUUGAGAACAACCACGAGUUUCCUCUUCAACUCGUUGAGGAGUUCAUCGCUAAGGUUCCGUCGCCGAAUGAAGUUUAUGAGCUCUGGAGAAGCCAACCUUUCGAAUAGAACUUGAAGCGAAGCUGAGAGGAGGGCGUCCGCCAUAUCUGUGUCGACUGUUGCUUUGCAAUAGGAAUUUAGAGGAUUGGUUUCUGUUACCGCGAUACCACCAAACUGCAAAAGACUGGGUUUGGAUCACCACACUGCAGAAUGCUUGAAGGAAUCAUUGUUGGUGGUGGACCUAGCUGCCAGAUAUUGGUGGUGGACCCAGCUUCACUGCAGAAUGCUUGAAUACACUGCAGAAUGCUUGAAGGAAUCAUUGUUGGUGGUGGACCUAGCUGCCAGAUAUUGGUGGUGGACCCAGCUUCACUGCAGAAUGCUUGAAUACACUGCAGAAUGCUUGAAGGAAUCAUUAUUGGUGGUGGAUCCAGCUACACUGCGGAAUGCUUGAAGGAUACAUUAUUGGUGGUGGACCCAGCUGCCAAUAUUUGUCAAACACCAUAAUUGAGUGGUGAGAAAAAGAACAGGAAAAGCAAGUGGGAGGUAGAUGCGCUUUCCCCGAGGCGAACGCAAGUGGAAGCUGGAUGGCGCAUGCCCUACAACAACAACAUUCGGUAUUUUUCUUUUUCAUCGACGCAUUUCUUCUUUCUUUCUUCUAGUAUUAUUAUUAGUAGACAUAUGCACACGAAUAUUUGUUUAUAACAUUAUCAUUCAUAAUAUUAUAAAAUUUAUUAUUAAUAAUAUUUAUACUAAUAUUAUUUUUUAAUAAUUAUAUUAGUAUCAUGAUUUUAUAAUUAGUCUCCUUACUUUUAUUGUUUAUAAUAAUAAUAAUAAUUAUUAUUAUUAUUAUAUUAUAUUACGUAUUUUCACAUAAACAAUGAUAUAUGCACAAGACAUUAAAAUUUUGAAUAUUAUGGUUAUUAUUAUUUAAUAAUAAUAUUAUUAUUUGAUUCAAAAAAAGUUUAUAAUAUAAUAAUAACAAAAAUAAAUUUUUUUAAUAAAAUAAAUUAUAAAAAUAUAAUAAUUUUAUUAUUUAUAAAAUAUAUUUAUUUUAAUGUAAUUAAAAAAAUUAAAAUAAUUUUAAAAAAUUUAAAAAUUUUCAAAAAAAGUUAAAUGGAAUGGGAUUAGGAUGGGAUCGAUCCAUCCCAAUGUCAUCCCGUUGUCAUCCUAACUCACCUAAUGAUAAUUAAGGCCAUUUUUUAUCAUUGUUUUUUUAAAAUGGUCUUUUAUCCUUAAUAUAUAUAUAUAUAAUAAUUAGAAAAUAAAACAUAAUUUUUGUUUUUAAAAAUAAAAAAUAAGGCAUUUUUAGAUCAUACCCUUUUAGUUACUUUUACUUGUUUUUAAAAAAUUAUUUUAAAAAGUAAUUAUAUAAAUAUAAAAUAAUAAAAUAAUUUAAAUAAAAAUUAUUUUUAAAAUAUAGAAAAUUAGUUAAGAACACUUUAUCUUCUCAAGCUCUUGUUUUAUAAAAUAUCAUAAAAUAAUUUUCAAAAACUUUUUUUUUUUCACUAUUUUGACAACCUCAACUGGAAUAAUACACAACAAAAAUAAAUAAAUAAAAAUAAAAAGGUCCAAAGAAAGACAAACGUGUCCAGUAAUGCACUUAAAUUCAAUGAACCUAAAAGCCAAAUGUGCAGUGUUGACUUUUCAACCGAGAGUUCACACAUGCCCAUUUUUUAAAGCACUAUUAAUAUAAAAUAUAUAUUUAAAUAAAAAUUAGACUUUUAAAAAAAUUAAAAUAUAUUUUUAAAAUGUUAAAAAAAUAUUUACAAUAUUUCCUUAAAAAAAACAUCUUCCAAAAACAUUUCUUUAAAAAAUACUUCCACCGAUAACAAUUCAGACACACUUGUGAUUUAAUAGUUAAAUAUUCUUUCCAACAGGAAUUCAACUAUCGGUUUGUAUUACCACGAUACCAUCAAACUGCGAAAGACUAAUUUUGGAUUACCAAAAUGCAGAAGAGCUGAAGGAAUCAUUGAUGGUGGACGACCCAGAUGUCCACAUUAUUUGUCAGACACCAUAUUUGAGUGAUGAGGAAAUGAAAGAAAAGCAAAUAAAAAACAAAAAAGGUGAUGCCAAACAUGGUCUUAUAAGGUGGGAGGAGCGAAAGCAACAAAGGAAACUAGCAGGAUUUUUCAUUGCUAUUCCAUACCUCAAAGGACAAAUUUUGAAUUACCAAAAUACAAAAGACUUGAAGGAAUCAUUGAUGGUGGUGGACCCAGAUGUCCACAUUAUUUGCCAAACACCAUAAUGAGUGAUGAGAAAACAAAAGAAAAAGCAAAAAAGGUGAUGACAAACACGGUCUUGUAAGGUGGGUGGAGCAAAAGCAACAAAACAAACUAGUAGGAUUUUUCAUUGCUAUUCCAUAUCUCAAAGGACUAAUUUUGAAUUACCAAAAUAUAGAAGACAUAAAGGAAUCAUUGAUGGUGGUGGACCAAGAUGUUCACAUUUGCCAAACACCAUAAUUGAGUGAUGAGAAAAUGAAAAAAGAAAAGAAAAUGCCAAACAUGGUCUUGUAAGGUGGGUGGAGUGAAAGCAACAAAGUAAACUAGCAAGACUUUUCGUUGCUAUUCCAUACCUCAAAGGAUUGAUUUUGAAUUAUCAAAAUACAGAAUACUUGAAGGAAUCAUUGAUGGUGGUGGACCCCGAUGUCCACAUUAUUUGCCAAACACCAUAAUUGAGUGAUGAGAAAAUGAAAAAAAAAAAAAGUUAAGAAAAAACAAAGAAGUGAUGCCAAACAUGGUGUUGUGAGGUGGGUGGAGCAAAAACAACAAAACAAACUAGUAGGAUUUUUUGUUGUUAUUCCAUAUUGAGAAAAUAAAGGGCUACUCUAAAUAGAUAAAAACACCCAAGAAAGGAGGUGAAUAGAAGUUAAAAAAUUUCUUUUUAAACACAAUAAAAUUAAACACAAGAAGUACAAAUAUAAAGAAGUAAGGUUAUAGAAAGUAAACUCAAAUUUAUAGUGGUUCGACACUUCCUUACUUACAUCCACUCUCCUCAAGCUUCUAAUCGAGUGAGGGUUCCACUUAUACUUGAAGUUUCAACCAAACUUCUUAUCACUUUUUACACUUGGAUUCCAAUUCCAAUGAAGUCUUACACAAUCUCUUCAAGUCUUUACUCACUUGAAGGUUUUAACACUCAAUUAACAAGUUUGAAUCUCUCAACCUAGCUCAACAAUGACUCAAAUACAACUCAAGGCUAGGAUGAAUCACUAAGGUGCACUAAAGAAUAUGCAAAUGAAAAUUUAAUGCACUAAGAAAAUAAUGAGAGCUUUUAUGGCAAUAAUAAGUAGGUAAACAAAUAAAUGCAAGUGUUCUCUUACUCAUAAAUGAAGUAGAGCUCUCAAUUUAUAGGUUUCUAACCUCAGGAACUAAAAAGCCAAAAAACAGUCUCGACUGGUCGAGCUGGGGGUUGACUGGUUCACUAGUCGUUGAAACAUUAAAUGCUUGGCAUGUGACCGUUACCCUCGACCAAACCUUAAUCGAGAAGACAAAUCCAUCAACCAGGAAAGAAAGACUACUAGAAGAUAGAGAAUGUUUUUUACAUCUCUUAACUGGACCUCGACAUAGAAGGAGUAAUCGGUAGACCGGUACCCUAGCUGAUUGAGCCGGUUGGCCAGUGUCUCGACUAGUUCACCAUUUUUAGUCCGAAAACCUAUCUUUUUUUGGUCUUUUUGCUUCUAGCACUUAGGCAAGGACUUUAGAUAAAAUAAUAUGUCAAUUUUGAAAUGUUUUGCCUAAGGUUCAUUUGAUAGAACUCGGAUUUUGAUGGAAAUGUAACUUUAAUGCAUAAACCGAGUUUUAAAGAUGUAUGAAAUGAUAUGAAUAUCUUAAGUACAUUCAUGCAUUCAUCUUACGUAUGUUUCCUAUGAUUAAAAGGUCUUUCAUAAGUCUUGAUCUUGCAUUCAUUAGGUCCUUUAAUGAAUUUCCAAAUUAACACCUGAAAUUCUUUAUAAUUCAAAUCAAUUAGUAACUUAACCAUGAUUUUUUAUCAUCAAAACAUAAUUAGGAAAAUCAUUAGGCUAACACAUACCUUAAAGGACUAAUUUUGAAUUACCAAAAUAUAGAAGACUUGAAGGAAUCAUUAAUGGUGGUGGACCAAGAUGUCUACAUUAUUUGCCAGACACCAUACUUGAGUGAUGUGAAAACGAAAGAAAAGCAAAGGAAAAACAAAAAAAGGUGAUGACAAACAUGGUCUUGUGAGGUGGGUGGAGCGAAAGCAACAAAACAAACUAGCAGGAUUUUUUGUUACUAUUCCAUACCUCAAAUGAUUGAUUUUGAAUUACCAAAAUACAGAAGACCUGAAGGAAUCAUUAACGGUGGAUGACCCAGAUGUCCACAUUAUUUGUCAAACACCAUAAUUGAGUGAUGAGAAAAUGAAAGAAAAACAAAGCAAAGGAAAAAAAACGUGAUGUCAAACAUGGUCUUGUAAGGUGGAUGGAGUGAAAGCAACAAAGCAAACUAACAAAAUUUUUUGUUGCUAUUUCAUACCUCAAAUGACUGAUUUUGAAUUACCAAAAUACAAAAGACCUGAAGGAAUCAUUGAUGGUGGACAACCCAGAUGUCCACAUUAUUUGCCAGACACCAUAAUUGAGUGAUGAGAAAACAAAAGAAAAGCAAAGGAAAAGCAAAAAAGGUGAUGUCAAACAUUAUCUUAUAAGGUGGAUGGAGCGAAAGCAACAAAGAAAACUAGUAGGAUUUUUCAUUGCUAUUCCAUACCUCUAAAUCACCAUAAUAAUAAUAAUAAUAAUAAUAAUAAUAAUAAUAAUAAUAACAAUAACACCAAAUUUUAAGGUUAUUUUUUGUUAUAAAAAAAUACUAGGAAAAUAAAAAAAAAUUAAGGAAAAUGAUUUUUUUCAUAUUUGAUUUCACUAUAGAAAAUAUAAAAGAAAAUCAAAUAUAAUUAAAAUUAAUUUGAAAUUUAUAUAUUUUAAAAGUAUUUAAUCUUUUUAUAAUUUAGAAAAAUAAGUAAAACGAGUUUGAAGAAAUGUAUAAAAAUAAUUUAUUAAAUUUAAAUUUAUUUCUUAUUUUCCUUCAUUUUUUCUUUUCUUCUACUUUUUCUCUCUAUUUUCUUUCCUUCUCAUUUUCCCUCAAAUUUUCCAAGAGCCAAACAUAGCUUAAAGGUUUAGAAUCUUAUGCACAAGACUUUCAAUUUUUUUUACAAUAUUAUUUUAUUAGUUAAGAAUUAAAAUUUAAUGUACCAUAUCUAACACUAACAAAAAAAUUUAUAACAACCGGUCUUAUCUUUUAAGAAUGUAUUGUUUAAAUGAGAUUAAAAAUUAAAAAUAAAUUUUAAUUCAUUUAACAACUAAAUUAAAAUGAAAUUUAUAUAUAUCAUAAAUUUAUACAAUUUUGAAUCAUUUUAUAUGGAGGAUUGAGAAUGGAGAGAUUGAAGAAUUGUUUGGUGACGAGGAGAUUGAUUGAAGAUUUUAUAGUCUUAAGGUUCUAUGGGAUGAAUUUUUUUGUAAAGAGUUUAAAUUUUUGUAAAAAAUAAAAUUAGUUUUAUGUUAUCUUAUUUCAUGGAAAUAUAAAGUUUUAAUUCAAAGAUUAUGUUUCAAAAAUAUUAUUUUUAAAAUAUAUUUAGUAAAGAUUUAUAAAAAUUUAAAAUAAAAUUUAAUUAAUCUAUAAACUAAAUUAAAAUAAUAUUUAUAUAUUAUUUUUAUAGAUUUACAUGUAUAAAAUCUUUAAAAUGCCUCAACUUAAAAUAUCCUUACAAAAUUUCAUUAAUCUACUAGCAAUCCGCCUAUUGUCUCUAUAUAGAGUCUAUUUGCAUUAGGAUGAAUACCAUCAGAAUAAUAAUUACGUUCCACAUAUGACAUAUCUUAGCUUCCACUUGGAGGUUAAAAAUCAUUAUGAAGAUUUGGACAAUAAUUCAAGUAGGCAUCUUUGAAAUUUGACUUCCAAAUCCCUUUGUCAAUAUACACCACCCUAUGACAAUUAAAUAAAUUAGAAGGAAAAAAAAUGUUGAAGGAAUGACAUAAGAAUAAUUUAUGUAUGACUAGAUUUAAAGUUUAAUUAUAUGAGGAAUCCUUCAUUAUGAAAAUAUAAGGAACAAUUAUAUUUAAGGAGUGGAUGGGGUUGAUAAUGACUAAAGGGUACAAAUUUUGCAUAAUUGAACUAAAAAGGUAGAAAAAGUUUGUAGAUUGUUGUGGAAGAUAUAAACCCAUUUUGUGAGUCAAAAAUGCUCAAAAUACCCUUAAGAGUGUUUUAAAAAAAAGGACAAUUAAGUACUCAUGAUAAUUAAUAUAUUAAGAUUUCAAGAAAAAUUAAUAAUAAAUAAAAUCUUUUUCUAAAUCUAUUUAACAGUCAUAUAGUUUUUAUUUUGUUUUAUUUUUUCAAGUUGCAGCUAUUAUCUUAAUUUAUUUUUCAUUUUAAGGUUCAAUUAUUAUUAUUCUUUAUUUUGAUUAAUUAAAUGAAACUGUAUAAGACAUGUUUAUAUUAAUUAACUAAAAAGGAUAGAUUUUUUAGCAAUAGGAUUAAAAUAAAUAAAAACAAGGAAUUUGAUUUUCUUUAUGAAAUAGAUUGGGAAAAGUAUAUUUCGAUACAUUCGUAUGAAAAAAAAAAAUCAUAAAAUAGGAACUCAAGUUUAUAAAAUACAAAUUUUAAACAUCCAUCUAAAAAUAAUUAUCAUUUCAUGCAUUUUUUUUGGGUCAAAUAUAUUAUAUUUGACAAUUUAGGUAUUAUCUUUUAAUAAUAUAGGUACUACCUUCACCUGCAUAAAACUUGAAUUAUUUUUAGAUAGUUUAUAUUAUAUAAUUAGUUAAUCCUUUGAUAUAAAUAUUAAAUAAUUAAAAAAUAUAUCUUUUUUUUAAGAAUUUUAAUUAUAUUUGGCUUUCUUUUGUAUUUUCUAUUGUGUAAACCACAUAUAAGAAAAUCAUUUUCUUUUACAUUUUUUUUCUUUCCUUGAUAAUUUUCGAGAACCAAACAUGACUUGGAGGUUUGGAUAAUAGGGUAUAGAUGCCAGAAAUACUGGAAUGGGUUCAGGUUUUCCAUGCUAAAGGUCUUUAUUAUUAUUUGGUAGCACUUUUCCAAAAUUGUUCCAUUCCCAAAACCACUUAAUUUGCUUAAAUAUUUUUACCUCACGAUAUCAUAACAUUAUAAUGGAAUAGAUUUUGUUGGUGUUCAAAUCAUGUCAACUCAAUUUCCAAACCAUUCGGAUUGUCAUUUGGUGAAAAAUAGAAAGAAAUUUUACUUUAUUGAAAAGCAUUUCAUUUUGAUUUGAAUAUGCUGCAAUGAAAUAGUUACUAAACCAUGGGGUAGCAGAAGAAGUAAUCGAGAAAAUGAAGAAGGAUGUUCAAGAUUCUUUAUGCUGCCAUUGGAGGAGAAGAAUGCUUACACACAGCUACCAAAUAGCAUUGAAGGUUAUCACAAAGAAUUACUCAUUUUAUCAAUUUUUUAGAGUUUUCUUUUCAAUAUUUUUAUGAGUUUUGAUAAUUUUCAACAUUUUAAUCCUUACUUGAUGGCACUUUGCUCGAGUUUCCACCUUGUAUAUCAGGGCAAUCUUAGAUGAGUAUUGAUCAGAGCUCCAAAAGGUUUCAAUUUGCCUAUUAAAGUUGAUGGCCAAGAACCUUAAGAUCAAUCCUAACCAGCUCACAAAUAUAUUUGAGAAUGGAAGACAACAUGUGAGGAUGAAUUAUUUCCCCCUUGUGUGCAUGCAAGAAAGGUUGUGGGCAUUUAUAAACCUAUGAGCAAUGAGGAGUUUUCAAGACUUCGCCUGAGUAGAGGAAACUUAAUGGUAAGAGUACAAUAAGUCAUAUGAAAUUGGAGAAUUGAAAGAGCAUAAGAACCAUGUUUUAUUAGAAGACCUGUGAAAGUUUAAUCAGUCAUGGAACUACUAAGAGGGGAUGAAUUAACAGUUUUCUUAAAUUUUGUUCAAAGUUUAUGAAUUUUAUUUUUUAUAAUUUUUUUUACUUAGAUUGAAACUUAUUAAUCAAGGUAAGAUUUCAGUCACAUCGAGAAACAAACAUUUUAUGUGAAAAGCAACUGAUAAAAUCUUGAGUUUACAGAUGUAAAAACCAUAAGGCCAAAGACUGUAGAACUCCAACCCCAUUGAAUCAAGAAUAGAAACACAAAUUUAUCUACUAACCUACACUAAUCUCUUAUCUACAAUGCAACACCGUUAUAGUCUUAAGUGACUUGAAAGGAUGUGAAUCUUUCUCACAAACUUCAUAAUGAAAUUCAAAUUAGCUUUGAGAGUUUAAGAGUAAUAAUGCAUAGCUUUUGUGUGCGAGUUUUUAAGUGCUCCCCCAAAAGACAUAUUUAUACCCAAGUGAACUUAAGACUCAAUUUAAAGCAUGUAUUUUACUAUAAAAAAAAAUUAAAUACAAAUUUAAGAAACUUCAAGAAUUUUGGAAAGAUAAUUUUAAAAAAAAAUUCAAAGAGAGUCAGAAAAUGUUUCCUUUUUAAAUUCUCAAUUUAAUUUAUUUUCAAAUUUCUUAAGAGUUUAAGAAAUAUUUUCUUUUUAAAUUCUCAAUUUAAAACUCUCUUUUAAAUUAAUUUUCAAAUUUCUUAAGAGUUUAAGAAAUAUUUUCUUUUUAAAUUCUCAAUUUAAAACUCUCUUUUAAAUUAAUUUUCAUGUAAGUCUACUCUAUACAUUUUACAUCGUUAUUCUCAAUUAACUCAAAUGUAACAUCCCCGAUUGAUUUUGCACCAACCUUAAGUCUUCAAAGACAAUGAUUGAGGCAUUUCUUCUCCUAUUUUCUCCGAUGUAGAAAAAAAAAAAAAAAAACUAGAAUAAGGUUAAGGCAUUUCUUCUCCUAUUUUCUCCGAUGAAAAAAAAAAAAAAAAAAAACUAGAAUAAGGUCAAAGCUGGUUUAUAGCAAAAAGUCUUAAUUUGAGUUAGCCUUUUUUUUUUUUCAAAUGAUAUGCAGGUCCAUCAAACCUUCAACUCAAAUUUUUUAUUCAAAGAUCACAUGUGGAUAUGUGAACAAGUAAAAGUUGAGUUUUACCUAACAUAUCAUUUUGAAAAUUAGGAAAUUUAAAAGGUCUUAGAUUGUUGAACUCACCACCCUAUCUAUUCUACAAAACAAGUAGAUUAGCAAAGAAAGAAAUUGUACCCACGAGUAUAGAGUUUUGGGUUAAAACGACCCUUUUGAUGGGAAAAAUAUUAAAUUUAACCACUUUGUCAAACUUAUGUGUAAAAUGGUUCUUUUAUUACCACGUAGGAGUCAUAUCACUAAAAUAUAUACAUAUUUUUAAUUUAAGUUGAAGCCUCAAUUACCAAUUAAGGCUUCAAUUGUCAAUUACGAUUUUAUUUUUUAACCCGAAACCUUACUUGUCAAUUGAGGUUUUAACUAAAAAAUGAAACCUCAAUCACCGACUGAAACUUAAUUUUUUAAUUGAAGCCUCAAUUGAUAAUUGCGAUUUUAUUUUUGAACUGAAAUCUCAAUUGUCAGUUGAGACUUUAUUUUUGUGGAAGGAUUACGUGACACUCACGUGACUAGAAAAAAGCCAUAUUGAAUAUUAGUUUCAAAAGUGGCUUAAAAGAUAUAUAUUUAUGAUCAAAGAUGCCAUUUUGACCCAAAAUCCCAUGGGUGCAUGAGACUCUAGUUAAUCAUAGAUUUCAUAAAUAAAAAUAAGAGUUAGGAUGAUUCAACCCCAAAGCAUCAAGAAUUCUUUAACAUAAUGUUAGAACAUUUUCCAAUUUAAAUUCGAGAGUUAACUUUAUUUGAAUAUGCUUUUGAUUUUUUUUUCUUUUUUUAAAAUAAGCUUCAGUGUUUUUUUCAUAAAAAAAAAAAUAAAAAUAGGAGCUUCUAUAUAGAAAGAAAAAUUUUAUCCAACAAAUAUAAGGCUCACCUUAUAUCCUUAUAAAAAAUUUAAAAUUCAAAAUUUUUUAAUACCUCAAAAUUUUUAAUCAAUAUUUAAAAAUCAUUAUAUUUUCAAUAUGAUCCUUUAAAAGUUUAAAUUACCUAUAUUUUUUAUUUUCAAAAAUACAAAAAAAAGAAUGAUUUUUUUUUUUUGUUUUUUAAUUAUUAAGAUGAAUGAAAUAAUCGCAAAUUUGCAAAAAUAACUUCUUCCAUGUUUGAAUUUGAAAAAUAACUCAUUUCCAAUAUAAAUACUCUUCAAUAUUUGGAUUAUUUUAAUAUAAAUUUUAGAAGAAAGUGUUACUUUGACGGGAAAACAUGAAAGACAUUUUUAUUAAAAUUUGAUCUUUUUUUAAGGCUAAAAUAUAUGUAGGUUUAUAUUUACAAUUUGAGACCAUUUCGUCCUCUUAAUCAAAUAACUUAAAAAAGAAAAGAGUUAAUUCCACAAGUGGGUUUAAAAUACUCACAAAAUUGCAAAAUAUAUCUAUAUAUAUAUAUAUAUAUAUAUAUAUAUUACCCUUACUUAAUCAAUUCGUGUGUUGAGCACAUGACACUUCCGUUCAUUAAAGCUAACACCGUUAAAUAACAAAUGUACAUUGUAGCUAUUUAAGAAGUAUGAAGGGCACAUUGCUUAAUUUUAGUACAUGGUGAGAAACUUGUUGAACAAGUUAUGUGUAAAGUUUUAUGGUUCAUGUAUGAUAGGAAAUAUAGAUCUACUACAACACUGGAUUUGCAAUUUGGGUUAAUAUUUAAAGAAAAGACAAUAAGACAAAAAGAAUUAAACUUUUGGUGGAAAACAAUAAAGAAAGGACUACAUGGAAAAAGGGAAGAGAUCAUUAUAAAGGAAGAUUAUUGAAUAGAAAUAAUUCCAAGAACAUAAGGCAAGACAUAGAGUAUCACUACUACUAUCACAAAAAGGGCUAUAUCAUAAAAUUUAUGAAAUUUUGAAAAAGACCUAAAAAAUGAAGACAAAAAAAAAAAAAAAAAUCAAAGAAGCCUACAAGUGUAACUAGUGUUCUUAAAGUUAAGAAAUGAAGGUAAUAAAUCAAAAGCAGAUUUGUUAAUAGUUUUUAAAAUGCUUGAAUUACAAAUUGUCUACUUGUACCAUACGAGCCCUUGUAAAAACUGGUUUGACAUGUAAAUUGUUUGUAAAAUCAUUUUAAUGGGCAAUGAUGCACCAAGUUGCUCUAUGAGAAGCGUAGGGGUUUGCGAAACCAUCGCUUGUCGUGGCAUACAUCGUUGGGGAAUGACGGAUGAGGGCAUCCAUGGGAAGCCAAUGUCUACCCUCACUCCACACCCCUCUAGUACAAGGCUCUGGGAGGGAGAGAGGCAACAAGUGUGUGACACUAAGGUAAAUAUGCCCAACCUUAUGGCUUUGGGAGCAACGUGCGUUUAAAGACUUGAUAAUUCACAAAAUUCUACAAUUCAUACCAAGUAUUGCAUUUAACGACGUUCUUUAUCAAUGAGAGAGCCUAGAUAUCCAUUGUCAAGAAUUAUUUAUGUAUGAAAACAACAACACCUAACCGACAUGCCCAAGAUCAAGGCAACUAGAAGCUCAAGUUACUUAGUGCGUUUUGUGCCGAAGUUUGUUGUUUACUCAAGAGGGCUUUGUGAAUAUUUGUAAUAAAGGGAUAAUACAGAGUGAGCCGUAAUUUAGCAUCUUACACGCUCAGUUUCUUCCAUUGGUGGCAUAUAUUAUUUUGUUUGUCAUUGAUGAUUAUUUAAUAAAACUAUGAGAGUAUUUCAUGAAAUAUAAAUAAGAGGUUUUUGGGAUAUUUAAUCGAUGGUAAACAAAAGAUGAAAACUAAGUAGGGAGGAAGAUAAAAUAUUUUAGAUUUGAUAGUGGACUUGAGCAUUAGAACAAAAAGUUCACAAAGUAUUGUGAGAAUUCUUAUAGUACUUAACAUUUCACAUGUAUAGAAAUUACAAAGCAAAAUGGAGUGGUUGAAAAAUGAAUAGAACACCAUUGGAAUGACUAGGUGGCUAAGAUUAACCAUUCGGUUACUUAAGAAUUUAAGGGUUAAAGCUAUCAACAUAACUUAUCAUGUAAUUACUUAGUUGUCAAGUUUUACAAUUAUUUUCAAUAUUCCAAAAGAAGUGUCAAGUAAAUCAAUUGACUUUUCAUCUAUUGAAAUAUUUGAUUGUUGCACUUAUCUUCAUAUAUAGGUGAAAAAAAAAUUCAAUCCAAAAUAAAAAAAAGGUAUAUAUUCCUUGGGUUUGAAAAAAGGAUUAAUUAAAGACUGUAGAUUUGGGGAUCCAACAAUUAAAGGAAAAAAAAAAGUGGUGAGUAGAGAUGUAUUCGAUGAAAAACAUAUGUUAAAGAAAGAUCAAGGACAAAUGAAAUUGUUAUUGAAAAAAAAUUCAACUACAUGACCAAUCAUCGAGAUGAAAUUUGAGGAAAAUGUCGUUAAAUACGGAAAUGAAAUCCCUCCUAAUCGAUGUCCCUAUUGGAACUUUAUAUGGGCAUCUUUCUCUAUUGCUCUAAAGAAUCAUCGGAUUGGGUAAGGACAUCAAUUUGAAGAUUUUUAUUUUUUUUCAUUAUUUAUUGGAAUAGGAGAUCUUUAAAUUUUUUUGGGGCACAAUUAGGAGGGAUGAUAGUUAUCAAUGUCUUGGUGCUAUGUCAAAUGAGAAUCCAAUGCACAUGUUGACUAAAGUUGUUCUUAAGGAUAAGUUCAAGCAUUAGUUGAAUGUCAUUAAUUUUUCAUUUUGUAGAACAUGGAAGGUCAAUUUUAUUGAAGAGCUAGGUUAGUCAACUUCUAUUAGGACUUCUAUUGAUUCUUGAUUUGACUAGAGGGGCUCCUAGCAGUAAACUUGUAUGGAGGGGCCCUAUGGAGACGCAAGAGAUGCAAGAGCUGCCAAUCGGAUCGACCAAUAAAUGAUAGGCCCAUACAGAAAUGUCCCUAAAAUAGGGGAUUGGUUGAUUGGAAAGCUUAGGCAGAGUAUAAAGGAGAACAAUUUAGCAUUUUGGGAAAAGCACAUAUGAAGAUGUUUACAAGUUUGGAAAAUUGAGUUAAAGAAGAGAUGGUCUAAAAAUGUUUCAAAUUUCAAUUUUAUGUUUUUCUAAGUUUGAUAUAUCCUGUUUGGAUAUUUGGGAAGUCUUCUCUUGUUACAUAAGAUAGUCCUAUGAUGAGAUUUGUUAUGAAAAUAGGUUCUUCAUCGUGUGAAAUAUUCCUAUGAAAUUAAGAAGGAAUAUAGGAAGAGUUUUGAUUGAAAUUAUGAAUCUUUUUUUAUGUAAUUAGAACUAAAAUAUGAGAGUUUUAAAAUUGUAAUUACACCUUUGAAUAUAAAUAAUUGAUAAUAGUGAAUUAAUUUACCUUCUCCCUCUAGAUGUAGGUAAAUGCUAAAUUAUGUUAAAUCUUGUAUUCUCAUAUGAUUUUUUUUUUCAUUUAUUUUUCAUUUUCUUGCCCAUUUCUAACUUGCUAGUUGCUACUACAUAAUAACAGGUGGUAUCAGGCUUUUUGUGUUUGCACAACAAAUGGUCUCAGUUUUUCUAGCACCACAAAAAUGAUAUUUUACUUAAUUGCUCCUCAGUGGAAAAGUUGGAAAGAAAAAUUAAAUCAUCGACUAUACAUUUUUUUUUUUUCAAAACUUUUCUUGUCUUUGGCAAGAAAAUUAGUAUAUGAAGUAUAAAAGAAUUAGAAAAUAUUCAAAUUUUAAAUGAUUUUUAUUAUACUUUGUCCACUUCCUAUUUCAUAUAUCAAAUUACAAUAGAAUUUAAAAUUCUUUUAUAUGUUUUUUCUCCCUUUGCUACCACAUAAAUGCAAAGACAUUAUGUGAGUUAAAUACCUUAAAAGAAAAAGAAAUUAAAAUGUGAUAGAAAACAAAAGUAACCUCUUUAAAUUCAAGGAAACAAAACACUAAACUUUUUCAUGUAUCUUAUUCCAUUUAUAAAUGCAACAUGACAAAAAUAGACAAAAAUAUAAAUGGGAGCCCUUCAGGUCCUUUAUUUUAUAUUUUAUUAACUUCAACCAAUUCUAUUUCUAUAGCACAACCGAUGUUAUAAAGUUCAAUGAGUAUAUAAUAUAUAAAGAUACUAAUCAAUACGAAUUAUUCUUUCCUUCAAAUGGCUACUUGUAUUAAAAAUUAAAUGUAAUUCCUCCUAAACAAUAAAAUAUGUUGACACGAUUUCAAUGAAUAUACAGUACAUAAAGAUAUGACCAAUUAGUACGAAUUAUUCUUUCUUUUAAAUAGCUACUUGUACUAAAAUAUAAGUAAACGUAAUUCCUCCUAGAUAAUAAAAUAUGUUGACACGAGGAGGAAUAUAUUUACUAAUUAUAUCAUUUGCAAUAGCCUCAAUCUAGCGACGUUCUUCGAACCAACCAUAGACUUUAUUGAGAUAGGUUAACCAAGGGAGCUCCCACUCUCAUAACUCGUAUAUGAAAAUUUCAUCUUGUACAACUCAAAUAGAAACCCAUAAAUACUGGUUGAAACCAAAAUGUAAUAAAAAAUAAAAAAAAACAUAUUUCAAUGGAUCCAAUUAGUAUUUUUCCGAUCUCACAAACAAAUUUUUCUUCAUUUUGUUUUUUUUUCAUUAAUCUUUGUAAGUAAAUUAUAUUUUAAUUUAACAAAGCACUAAACUUUAAUUUUCAUGCAGGAUCAACUAGCUUUUCAUAAUAAAAUUUAUCAAUAUAGCUGAGCAGAGAUUUGAUGUAAUAAUACCAUACAAAAUUCAAGUAAAAUUAAAUUAAUCAAAUAGGACACUAUGGUUAUAUUUGGAUACAUAUUCUAUUUUUUAUUUUUAAAAUUAAAAUUUUGAUAUAAAAUAUGACAACCCUUUGUAUAAAAAAUAAAAAUUUAUCCUAUAAUCUUAAAACUACUUUUCAAUAUUUAAAAAAAAGAAAAAAAGAGGACGUGUCCUAAAAUUUUAAACAAAUUUAAAAAUAUUUUUAAAUACCCAAGAUAUCCACUUUUUUCUUUUUUUAAUAAAAAUUCCUAUAUUUUAAUAAAACUCUAUUUUAAAAAAUGAAAAAUAAAAAAUGUAUCCAAACAUAAGCUAAAUUGUUAGAUUUUAUUGUGAGAUUUCUUAGAUUCUACAAUUCAUAGUGAAAUGAAGAUGAGAGAUAACCGACUGAACUAUGAAAAAAAAAAAAUUAACAUUGAUGAGAUUCAAAAAUGCUAGUUAAUGAAAGAGUUUCUCCGCCAGGAUGACUAAGAAAAAUGCUGAAAUAUGUGUCAUGCCCAAAGCAAUGUUACAAUGAAGAAUAGAAUGAGAGCUAACCCGAAACAAAAUCCGACAAUCGCCAUGAAAGCCUGGAUGCAGAGGAAAUGUAACUAGAGACAUGUAAGGAAUCAUUAAGCAAGUGAGAACAAUAUCAAAAUCUCAUGUACGACUUACCUUUCCCUGAGAUUCAAACUUGAAUUUUACUGUAAACCAUGACAAUCCUCUAUCUACAAUAGGAGCAAGUGCAAGGGCCCUGCAUGAGAAGCACCUCUACAAAAAUCACAGAAAACCCAAAGGAAAAAAAAAAAGAUUAAAUAAAUAGAAACUAGUCUACCAGAAACCAGGAGGCUGCAACAAAUAAUCUCCAAAUGUCAGAUUUAAUAUUUAUUUACGAAUGCCGCUAAAAGGCCUUUUCAUCAGAGAAAUCUAAAAUAAAAAAGUAUAAGGAGCCAUUUGGAUUACAGAGGUCAAAGAUUGGGUUGGAUAGGAGCAAGUUUAACCUCUCAGUAAAAAUGAAAAUGCAAGGCCCAUCAUCAACGCUAGGUUCAAAAAUUGACACCAUUUCUUGAAGACUUUCUUUUUUCAUUCUUCAAUUGUCAUUUUGAUUCAAAGAAGCGGCAGCAUGAUAGACUAAACAAUCAUCAUAAACCCAGUUGCAAGUUAUAAGGAUAAGAAAGAAAAUGAACAAAAAACAUAUAUGAGAGAACUGAUAGGCCAAAAAAAUCAUUGUUGAAGGAAUCGAGCAUAAAUCUCUGAACAAAAUUUAGCUGAAAUUCACUGAUUUUGGGUUAUUUUGUGAUAAGAGCAUUGCAAUAUCCCAAUAAACUGUUACGCUAACUAAAGAUUUAAAACAGAAUUUAGCUGCUUACCCUCCAGCUCUGACAAGUUUAGUGACCUGGCUGCCUGCCCACACCAUAGCCAUGAUUUUGACAAAUCUGCCAAUUGGAUUCCAUAUGUCAAGAUAUUUUGAAAAACUUGUGCAAAAAGAAACUUUUUGGAAUAAGUUUUUACCUUUCAACUGCCGCCAAAUAACCCAUCCUUCCUGGUGCUGGAGCAAUAUAAAACCUAGAAGCAGCAUAGUGAAUUCAGAGUUAUACUGGUUAUUUGAAAUCUACUCUGAACACCUAUGAUAGAGACUGCAGGAUGUGGUAAAACACUAAGGCAUAUUUCAAACUACAUUAUAAGGUAUUUGAUUAGAAAAUUAAAUAAAUAAAUAAAUAAAAUAACAUAACAUAAAAUACAAAAAAGAAAAAAAAAAUUAACAAACUGAAUUUGUCCAUAUGCAACAAUAUGCAAUUGUUAGCCAUGAAUCCCAGUUAUGUCGGUUUCCAGUAUUAAUAAUUAAGCAUGAUGUUUAUGAACUAGACCAGCAUUCUAAUAACUCUAGAUUGAAGGGCAUGGAUGUCACAUUUGUAUUCCAUCAUGUGCAACUAACAUCACAUUGAAAUAAUAUCCACUAAAGCAAGUUAAGACCCAGUAUAUCAGAUUAAAAUUUUCUACCAUGAAUAUAAGCUUGAUAAAAAUGAAGAUGGAAAUGCAAUACUUCUUUAUAUGACAUAAUGAAGGGAACCAAAUACAAGGACUCCCCAUUCCAGAUGCAGAAAGCCAAGUUACAACCUUUGCCAAAUAAAGAGAUCCACCAUAAAUUCAUUUUUAGACAUGCUAUAGUUGAAUAUGCCAUCAAUAAGUGAUCAAAAGCCAAUUCAGAUGGGAAUAACAGCCACAAUGUUGGGAAGGUCAAUAACAAAAGCAUUGACUUGAAUGUUGGCAGUGUCAUUUACACUGGCCAUAAGAACCAGAGGUAAUGCAUACAGUUGGUAAGGUAGUGAGAAGGGGAUGAGAAAUUGAAAAUUCUUGAAUUUAAUUGUUUCAUGCAAUUCCGUUUUCCAAUACUCUAUACGAUAAUAUACAUUGUACAGCACAAGAAUAGGGUUGUUUUAAAAUUUUGAACAAAUAAAAAUUUCAUAUCAAUAUCUAAUAUUUAAUAAAAAAGAAUGAAACAAGAGUAAGUACAUUCUCUUCUCCUUAACAUGGUAUUAAAGCAGUCUCCAAAUUCUUAACUCCUAGUUGCAAACUUGAUUUGCACUGGAAGUUGCAGUUUGCUCAUUUUGUUAUUCAAGUAAGUUACUUCAAUCUAUCAUAGUUUAAAUGACUUGGGAUGGUAGUUGUCAUGGGCACGAAUUUUCCCACAAAUUUUUCGCAUUCACGCAGCGCUUAGAAGCCCUCUAAGCCAACAUACUCAAACCCACAUGAGAUUGCAAUCAAGAAAAAACUCACAAAGACACACAAGGCUAUGGAGCUCAAUCCCUAACUUGUAUUUUAUUUCUUCUCUAAAUAACAAUACAAGACAUAGCUUAACAAGACUUCCACAAUCUCUUUGGUGAGUUCAUGCUCUCUCUCAAGCUAUGUUUUAAGAAAGUUCCCCCUCUCAAUAUACCUCUGUAUAUUCUCUAUGAUCUCCAGAUUGCACGAUAAUUCAAAGGGCACUCCAGUCCUCCUUUUAUAGGUGUGACACCAACCACUCCCUAUUUGAUAAGGAGCAAGGAAUCCUAGUUCUACUCAAACUACAAUUAAAAUAAGAAUCUAAACUCUUAUUCAAACUCAAAUUACAAUAACAAUUUGAAUUCAACUCUGAACUUUCAAAUGUCUUCGGCCCAUUCCUCAUUCAUUUGAAACUCCUUGUAUCAGGCCACAUAUCAGCCCUUCAAUUCCCUGGUUUGUGGUGCAAUACAUCUUCCUUAAGCUUGUCCCAAUGCCAAGACAUCUUUGUUGUGUUCUGCCUGAAGUCUACCCACUCUUGUGCCUUGAGUCAGUCCAUUCAUGCAUUUGAAUCAGCUGAUGCAUCUGAUCAGCUUGCUAUAGCGUCUCUAGGCAGCCUACUACAUGUGUCUCUAUGCAACUAGUGUGCAUGCCAAGCCCUCUCUUAGCCUACAGAUCUAGCAAUUUUCCUUGGUGCCAAUCUUUCCUUUGGCUGUAACCCCUUGUUGUUCCUUGAGCGUGUCAGUCAUGCUCAUAUGUGUUCCCGCAUCUGGAUCACAUCCAUGCUGAGGCAACCUGCCCAAGUUUGCUCUGCCUAGCUGUUGUUAUGGCAUCAUGCCAUGCCCAAGCCCUCUUCUUGGUGCAGCAACGAGUCAUGGCAUUGCACCCAUGACUCCUCAUCUCUAUGCACAAGGCAUUGUGCCUUUGUGCUAAGCAUUAGGCAUCACAUCUGAGUCGGCUUCCCUUAUCUCUAUGCACAAGGCAUUGUGCCCUUGUGCCAAGCCACCUCAUUGCACAAGGCAUUUCCCCCUCAUGCUACCAUCGGGAAGGGAAGACUGCAUAGCACCCCAUGUCGUUGCAACCUUGAGUUGCACACCAUCACAUGUCAUGGAGCCCAUAUAUGGUUGCUAGCAAGGCUUGCCCAUGUGCCUUGCUCAUGUUUGAGGACUUGCACCAAAGCCCCUAAGUGUGGCCAUGCCCAUGCCACCUCGUCUCCCUUGAGUCACCCCCACCCUCACCCCCCUUAAAAGAGCAUUUUAAGCCCUUUUAAUUAAUUCAAGAAAAUCUAGAAAAUUCCGCUUCCACUUGGAGUCUCCCUUUUGAAGGUUCCUAUAAAUCUUUUAUCUCUAAGCAAAUUAACCAAGUCACUUAAUUGUUUUGCAACAUUCCUUCCCUUCCCUUAGUGUAUUUCAAGAUCUCUUAAUGAACAAGACAAUUGGUGGAGGGCAUGAAGUAAAUGGAAUUUAUCACCAUAUUGGCCCACCUCUUACUCCAAUUGCUCUACGUACUUCCAUUUCUUCUAUGUAGUGGCACACCUUUCACUUCGCAUCUUUAGCAUAUGGGACUUCUAGUUAUAUUGGACUCCAAGUUAAAGCACCAAGUUUGUGAGUCAAGCAAAUAGCAUCACCAUAGUGUUGUUCUAGUCCUUUUUGUUCUAUAAUCAAUAAGAGGAGUACUAGUCCUUUUCAUCUUGUUCAUUUAGACAUUUACAGUUUAUGUAGUGUUGUUCCUAAUGUUGAACUAAACUUUUUUAUUGCUAUUUUAUUAAUUAGAUCAAUGAAAAUGGUAUGAGCAUAAAGAGGCUGAAUAAUAGGUACUAAUCUCUUAAAAAAACCUAUCUUGUAGAAACAUCAUCAGGUGACUAUGCACAAGUAAAUGGUCUGAAAAGGCGUGAGAAAAACAUUCAUUUUUGUGCAACAACCAAGUAUUUGCAUCUUAAUCAACCAAAGAAUAAAUGGCUGAAGACAAUAAAUGACUGAACAAAAAGAAAAUCAUAAGUUUUAGGCCAGACACUUUUUUCAUCAAUUAUAUACAACAACAAUAAAUCAAAUAGUCCAAAAUUUCAAAAGAAUAAUGCUCAGCAGCUAUGCAUACUCACAAGUCACAAAUACCUCAUCCUUGACUAAUUUACAUGAAUGAAUUAUUUACUUACCAUACCAAGAGAAACGUUGUAAGAUAGUAUGCAGUAUUCAGGAGUCCAUAGGAUAAUAUUCCAGAAAUUCCAUAUCUCUUCAGUUUCUUUAGAAGACUGAAAGGUUAAGCAAGAAUGAGCUCUCAAUGUAAGUAGACAUGCAUUUCAGCGUACAAAGGGCAAAAGGAUUGAGGUAUCACUUCUUACAGAUUGUUUGCAUGAAAUUCAGUAGUAGAAGAGAAAUUAAAAUGAUUGGGACAAGAUCACUCAUCCAAACAAUAGUUUAUUUACAUAGAAAAGGUCUAAAGCAUAAUCAUGCAGUAGACAAAAUGAAUCUUUUGUGUCAUGUUCCAAUAAUGUUAACAAACUACAUUAAAUUUGUAAGGUUACAUAGAAAAAGAAAGAAAAGACAUUGUUACAAUAGUUUGGUUGUUACACUGCUAGCACCCAGACUACGACCAAAUCCUUGCAUUGAAAUUGAAUUUCAAACUCCCAAUGUGAAAAAGGAAGAUACAAAAAAGAAAAGAAAAACAGGAGGAAAAAAAAAAAAAGAGGGAAAGAAAAGAAACAUGGGAUUUCCAUGUAUAAUACAUACAUAUUAUAUCUAUAGAUAAAUGCAUGCAUGUGCAUAUGUCAUAGAGGCUGGUCAAACACAUUUCAAGAAGUUUGACAACUUGCUUUGGAAUGACAAACACGUGGAUCAAUAAAUGGCUUGUCUCCAUUAUUGAGAAAUUGCAGGUAAAUUUCAUCCACUACAGGCAUGGGGUGGCUGGACAAAGUUAUGCCAUUUGGUGGGAUGUAGUGGACUUAAGACAGAAAAUUCUCAAUCAUUCUUCUGUCCCUUGUGCAGUGUUGAAGCUGACAAUAUUAUUGAGCAUACAAGGAAUGUGAUGUAAAACAUCAUUGAGGAGCCAUGAGCUGCGAAUGCAGGGAGAAAUUAAGUUACAAUUAAGUUUUGGUGAGGGAUUUUCAGAUGCAGAUCAUAUGGCAAAUUAACUUCAGAGAAUUGCAUGUUUUUAUUCAUUUCCAUACACAUUGAAUAAUCAUAUUUAAAAUCCCUCAUUCACUUGUUUCGCUUCCAUUAGUGCUCCUUCCACAUGUGUAUUAGCAGCACAGACCUCAUGAUAGUUUUGUAAAGGUAAGACAAUAAAAUUGAAAAAUACAGCUAAAGCCUAAAAUAUUGGCUCAUAAAAAGAGAAACCAUCCAAGUUCUAUCUUAAAUGACUCUACAAGUUCUAAACAGGGAGACAAGGACUUCAACCUGGUCCAUCAAUGCAUAUAAAUGGGUAAACAUUCCAACAACCAUUACGUUAGAAGUACACUAAAAGAAAAUUAUUAAACAAUGUUGUUUCCAAAAAAAUUCCAUGUUAAAGAAUAGAAGAACAUACCGCUAUAAAUGAAAUUCAUUCAAAACAGUUCAAACAGUAAAGUUAAGAAUUGUGACUGCAUAUUUUUUUUUAAAAAGAAACAAGAAUUGUGACUGCAUAUCACCACACUUGUUUUAUUUAUAAUCCACACAAUGUAUUCUUCCCUAGCAUGUUAUCCCAUUAAGUAACCUCCAGAUAAAAUUCCCUUUCUGACUCUGUCAAUCAGUCAAAAAAUUUGAUGUAAAAUGUAAAAUACAUGGGUACACAAAAACAACUAUAUAAACUGCCAUCCCAUUAUUAAUAAAUCAGUAGGUCUAUAACAUAGACUAAUAGCAUUGUAAGGCAAGUAGGAAGUACUCUUUUGAUGUGUGCAGUUCUCCUUCACCAUUUUCGCCCUUUGCACUUGAGUCUAUAAAAAUAUGUAUAAGUAGAUUUUUAGAAAUAUCAAGUUUAUCAAAUGUAAAAUAUGGUAUCACAGAAAGCUACACCAUUUUUCUAGUUAUCAUUUGAAAGAUAUUGAUACCUUCAUGGUUGGCAGAGUAGUCAUGACCAUUUGACAUGCCAGAAGCCUAACCUACAACAAAGGCAAUGUUGAAAAAGCAAUAUUCAAAAUUCAAUGAAAAAAACAGAAGACAAACAAAUGAACAAAUAGCAAAUCAUCACACUCAAUUGUUUUCCAAAAAUGAAAAACCAAAUGAAAGGAACAAGGAAUAUAUUGAGAAAAAAACCUAUGAUCAAUGGAUAUGCAGUUGCAUUCUAGCACAUAUAGAGGAUCAAACAAGUAACUAAUCUAGACAUAGCUGCAACAAAUUUGUGUAUCUCUGAAUGCGUGUCUGCUUUUUGUGGGGGGAUAUUUAUUAUGACAUGUUCUUAGUGCAGACAAACCAUCUGCAUUUACUUGAGGAUUAGGUGAACAUACUUUCCAUUUAAAAUGAGGCCUUGAACAUCAAGCCUCGGUGAGUUUUCAAAUAAGGAAAAUGUAAUAGCUUUACAAUGAGUCCCAUAGCAAGAAGGCAUAUAAUUCCAUUCAUCAGCAUACCAGAAUAUAGAAUAGUGUGGACAUGUGGACACAUGCCAGAAUUAGCAUUGGACACACUAACAUGCCAGUCAUGCAUAGAAAGAAUUUCCAAAGAUAUUAAAGUAAAACACUGGUAGUAAGCAAAUUAGACCCUGAAAAACAUGCAAGUAUAGGCCAAGAUCAAAUCUUAAUUUUAAUUUCCAGAAAAAUAAAUAAAUUAUAUCAACCAAUAGAAAUGGUAUCACCAGCAAUUAACACCAAAGCACACCAACAUAUCGGAAUGCAUAACACGUGUACCCAUCUCCAAUCAGCAUUACACCUGUACAAGUUAGCCUGUAGCAGGUCAUAAUAGGUUCAGACUAUAAAACCUUCCAAAUCUUCCUUUGCAGGGCUUAGAAACCAUUUUCUAAGUAAUUUGCAGUUUUAAAAGCCUGUGACAAAAUUUUGGAUGAAGAGCUUGAACUAUAUACUCACAAACCCACUCCAAAAUUUCCUUAAGGUAAUACACAUUUUUUGAAGUCCUUUCCAAUGUCUUCUCUUAUUUGAGUUAGAAAAGCCAAUGUUUUUAUGAAUUGACUACUACGGCUGUUGAGGUUUGAGGUGUAUAACUAAUUUCUUAAUAUAUCAUAAUUUACAUCAGUCAUUAGAAAUUAAGGUUCCAUCCUUUUACACUAAGAAAAUCCUGAGAGCAAUUAAAAAAUACCUUCUUUUAUAUUAUUAAAUUUAAGUUUCCUUUAGGUCUUUGAGUCUAAUAGAAAUUAGUGUAAAAGGAAUUUUAAUUUUCUUACACUAAGAAAAUAAAAAUAAUAGGCAAAAUAAUUUUCACAUUUUGGAACUUUAUAGGUAAUGCUUAUUAAAAUAAAGCAACAAAGUUUGUCAUUUGCCAUUGAAUGAACCAAUUGUGGAAAACUAUGCAAAAAAUUUUAUUAGUAUGGAAUUUUUUUUUUUCUGCCAAUAUAUAGAAUUCAAUUUCAAACCUGCCCCUCCCAACCCACCACUUGCUGCUUGAGGCAAGCUUAGAGGCAGAAAAAUAUUUGCAAUUCUACGUAUGGAUAAAAAUUAUUUCUUAGAUUUUAUGCCAAUUCCAUAUUUAUAGGUAUCAAUUUAUUAUUCUACUGUUGUCAGAAGCUUCAAUUUUGGGCGUCCUCAUGGCUAUGCCACCCUUAAAUGAGAACAACUUUGGUCUUCUGUUUUUCUUUUUGAGCUCUUCAAAUUUUUGCAAGUUACUUCUAUCCAGGUUCUAGGAAACACCCAUUUUUUUAAAUCUCCAAUAAUUUAGGGUUCUGUGGCUGAGGGAAUAGACUUAUUUUUGGUUGAAGCACACAAAAUUCUUGGCUAUUUUUUUUUUUUUUUUGGCAUCAGGUCCUUUUAGGUUGAUUUUUCUACUUAUUUUUCACCCACCAAUUAACAUUGCCCUAACUCUAUUAUCUACCCGAGCAAAUGUUUAUGAACUAGCAAAUCAUACUAAAAUUUCUUACUAGUUGACAUGUGCAUCAUCUCAGCAUGUCAUUCCAACACCAAACUACAACCAUAAUCUCACUAACAUCCUAACUGCCUCAAUGAGUAUGGAUUACAGAAAUACAAUUAAAAUAUACUUCCCUAUUUAAUUUCAUAAUUUUUAUAAUAAUAUUUCGGCAAUAUUUCCACAUAGUAGCUUAUGUGGGAACCCUAGGAAUGCUGGGAUUGAAACCCUGGAUUGAAACAAGAGGAUUGUGAGAGAGAAUUGGAAAUUGAAGAAACAAACACAAAAAAUAAAUCCAAGAAAUAAAAAAGAAGCGUAAAAAUGAAAUAGAGAAGAGUGUGUAUGACGCACCUGAUGAUGUGAAAGCAGCUUCAGCUGGUGAAGGCAAACUUUCGACGGGAGAGACAUGAGCAUACCGGCCUCCGACAACAAUCCCUCCAAAAUAUUCUUUCUAUACCAUUUAUUAUUAUUAUUAUUAUUUUCAGGUUAUUUGAAGUGUAAUGUCUAGCUAUACCAUUUAUUAUUGUUAUUAUUUUCAGGUUAUUGAAGUGUAAUGUCCACCAUGAAGCCCUUAGAACUCUCCAUGGACCCUAAAUCUCGGGAUGCUAAUCACCCUAUAAUAACCAGCAUAGAGUAUAUUCAAAGUAUCAUUAAUGACAAAUUUUGAACUUAGGACCAUAUGUCAUUUACAGAGACCACACUUCUUAAUGUUCAUCCUUAGCGACAUACUCAUAUAUACCAAAUUACCCGAUAAUAUGCUUUUCCUAUUUUCUCAUUUUUAGAAAAAAAAAAAAAAAGAAUAACUUCUAUUUUUAAAAAUUUAAUUUUUUUUUAUAAGUAAAUUUUUGUUCUCAUUAGGACAUGUGGAACCUCCCACAAGUCCUCUUGAAUCCUUUACCACUUGAGUCAUGCCUUAAUGGCUUGUUUUUUUAAAAAAUAAUAACAACUUUUAUAUAAAAAAAUACUUAUAAAAAAUAUAUACAUGUCAUUAAAAGUCUAAAAAAAUAUAACUUUGUUAAUAAUUUUUAAAAUAAUUUAAUGUGUUAAUUGUUCUUAAAAACUAUAAAUAACCUAGAAAAGAAUAGUAUGUUUGACCAAAUUGUUAUAUGGUUUUAAAUAGUCACCUUAACAAUGUUACAAGUGAGUUGAUUAAUUUAUGGUAGAGAAGAAUUACAAUAGAAUUCAAUUAGUUAUCGCAUUUGAAGUCUUUGAUUAUUUGUUGAAUAAUAUUUGCAGCCAAUUAGAUAGGGUUGGCUAACCCAAGCCAAACCUACUUACUAAUAUGUCCAACCUAUGCUAAACUCGAUUCAAAGUUAGGUUGGUAGUUACUAAACUCAUUGACAACUAAAGUUUCUAUGGAUUCCCACGAGUUUUCAUGGAUUAUCAAAUAAACCACAUAUAAUGGAAUCUCCUAAUAUAUAAAAGACAUAUUUCAAAAUUAUAAAUUAAACCAUAUUAUAAAAUAAAAUUUUAACAAAGUCAUAAAUUAUAUUCCUAGUGACUAAUUUUAAUGGUAAGAUGAAACACAAGUGUGAAUAUUUAAAAAUAUUUUAAUAAUUAAACAAAAAUGAUAAACUUAUAGUGUAAUGUAAUAAAACUAGCAAAAGUUAUAGUUCUUUCAUUAUCCCUUUUAUAAAUUUCAUAUUUUAAAUAAACUAAUAAAUAAUAUAAUAGUAAUGAAUUUGCUUAGUCUUCAUCAUGUAGAACCAAUUUGAAGAAAUUUUUUUUAAUAGGACUGAUUAAUGACUUAAUUAAGGGUAGGUUACAGCUAAAAUAUUUAGUAGGACUGAUUAGUGACUUAAUUAAGGGUAAACUACAGCUAAAAUUUUCCUAGUAGUCUUCCACUAUGACAAAUUGUGGGAACUAGUAGUGGCCUGUCCAACCUAUAGAGGAAACAAAUAGGUGAGUGAGUUAUUGAAUAUGUGGCUGAGAGUGACCAACCAUUGAGGCUCACAUGAAGUUGUAGUGGCUGAGAGGAAGGGAUAAGAGACCAAAAACAUGCUCAGGGAGAUUCUUGUUAGGAUCAAAUUGGGGGCAUAGAUAUAUCUCUUUGGUAAGAGUUCCCAUAAUUUAGGUAUUAAUGAAAUAGGUAUAAAAGAAUUAUAUAUCUUGAUAUGAUCAUGUUGUUAAUGAUGAUCUAAUGAGUUGAAAUAUUAUGUUUUCAACUGUGUAUAUCUAAUAAAUACAUCAAGUGCUUAAACUUUAAUAUAGAAAUGGUCCACAAUGGCUUGUAUGACUCAUCGUCUUAUAAACAUAUUAUUUAGAUUAGGCUAAAGUGGUCAAAGUAAGAAGAAAAAUUGAUACUUGAUUUGAAGUAUAAAGAAUUCUUCUUAGACUUUGUGUGUAGUGUUGUUAGCUUAUUGUUGUGUUAAAGUCUAUUUUGAUGUAUUUUGGAAAGAAUGACCAACUAGAACCACAAUAAGAUGUUGCAAAACUUAUUUAAACAAGGGCUUGUGAGCAAGAUUUUUUUUUUUUCCUUUUCAUGUACAAAUAGUAUGAUGAAUGAAAAUUUGAUUCUCGAUUGUAAUUAGUAUUUUCUUUAAGUUUUAAAUCAUGCAAUGAAUACUUAAAAUUAGCUUACGAUGUCAAAGAAUGUAAGUAAACAAGGUUUUACAUGUUGGAUAUAUAAUAAAUUCAAAACCUUUACCUUCCACAUUGAAUGAUUACAUUUUUUCUUUAAGUGCCCUUUAAUCAUUCUCAUUUUGUUUAAUCAUUUUCUCUAAUGUCUUGAGCAUAGUAGAUUUCUAUAAAUUUACAUGAGCAUUCCUUAACUCUUCUUGAGUGAUCCUAAACUUAGCAUUGAAACAAUCAUAAUUUAGGCGAAGAUGCUUACACGUCUUCAUAAUCAUCCUUGGUUGCUAGCCAUUUUUCCUUAAUUACUUUAGGAUGUUUAGUGAAGAUGAUUACAAAUAUUAACUAGUUCACUCACACAUUUUUGUAUGAGUGUAGAACAAUUUUGCAUUCUUUCCACAUCACUUAUGCAUCUUCGUUCCAAGAAAGAAGAUAUAGAACUCUUAUCUUUUGCCUACGCCACUUGGUUCUCCAGCCCAUUAUGCUUAUGCAUCCUUUUUAUAUCACAUAUGCGACUUGCUUCUCAUUAAGAUAUUUCACUUACAUGUUCUUGUAUAUGCAUAAUUUAGGGAAAAAUAUUUUAAAAUAGCAAAAUAGAUUUUAAUACAUAUAUUUGGAACAAUUAAACUCAAACUAUGCAAGUGACCUUGUCUACUAUGUAGGUGACUUUGUUUACUACAUAGGCAAAGUAUAUGACAGUGAUAGUCAAGGAAGCUAUGUGGUUGCAUGGUUUAGUGGAGAAUUUAAGAGUAAAGCAAGAUCACAUUGUGAUUUAUUAUGAUAAUGGGAGUGCCCUAAAUUUAUUUAAGAAUAAAAUUCAUCACUCAUUGGUAAGGCAUAUUGAUGUCUAAUUUCAUUUUAUUUAAGAGAUUCUAGAAGAAAGUCAUAUCUUAUUUUAGAAAGAUUACUAAUGUUAAUGAGGUAGGUCAUAUUUAAAUGUGAUCCAUGUUGAAAGGAUCAAUGUACCUUUAGGUGUGUAGUAGCAAAAAAAUUCUAUUUGGACCUAUGUUUUUCUCUUGGAACCUCAAUUCUUUAUUUUUUUUAAAGAAAAAGUGGACAUAUCAAAUUAAGCAACAUCAGUCUUUUAUUUUUUUCAUUCUUGCUUGGUUUUUGUCUUGAAUUUAGAGUGGAGAAGAUGUAAUAAAUGAGUAAGGAAAGAGGUAGAAAAUAAAGAUAACAUUAGAACUAGGGAUUGUAAAAGAGGAAGAAGAUGAGGACAUUUUUGGCAAUGUUGCAUGUCAAUUUUCUAUUUAAUGAUUCCCCUAUAAUAGUUUUCAUAUUCAUUAACUCUCUCUAAACUAAGCAACAUAUUUCUUAAAUAUUUUAAAUUCUUAUUUAUUCUUAAACUCUUUCAUUCUCAACCGGCCUUUUCACCAUUCUCACAAACCUAAAAUUUGCUCUCAAUUUAUUUCAAUAAUGUUGACAUAAAAGUAAAUAGGUAAGUCAACAUUCAACUUUUUUUUUUUUUUACAAACCAAAAUCUAAUAUUUUUGUUUAGAAACAAAAAUUGAACAAAAAUGUAUAAACUAAGAGAAAGAAAAAGUAAAAACUAGAGACUUGUAAUUGUAUAAAUGUCAAGAUUUCAAGUUAGUAAUUUAUGUCAAUAUUUGUUUUUUUAUUUUUUUUCUUGAUUUUUAUAUACCAUUUUAAUUAAUAUUUUCAAUUUUGUGAUUGAAGUCUCAAGAAUUUAUGUUAUGCUUAUUUUAUUGUUUCCAUGUCAAAAACCAAUGUGAAAUUAGUAUGACAUGUACACUUAUUAUUUUGAAGCAUAGUGUUGAUAUCUUAUUUUGUAAAACCCAUGACGAUCAAUCAUUGUCUCUCAUGUGUCUCAUUUAUGACAUGUGAGUUUGACUAAUUAUAUAGCAUCAUGCCUCAAAGAUUAGUGUUACAUAUCCAAGACAUCUCUCUAAUAAACUUGACAUUCAUUACACUUUUCUUACCCUUAAUCUUUCAUACAUGGAUAGGUCCAUGUUCUACCUUCAUAUCUCCUAUGCCAUAGUGCUACAUUGUUUGAAAAUGAAUUUUUAUCUUCAAUAAGAUCCUAAGUCACAUGGAUGACUAUGAAGCAUGGAUGUCGCCCAUAGUGAAUGUCGAGGAGAGGGGUAGGGGUGUUUCUUACUCUAUUCUUCCUAAAGAUGGUAUCGCGUGCUUCUGAUAAUUGUUUCAUUUUUAAUCUAGAAAAUGCAUGCUUCCUAAAAACUAAUAGUUGUUAUUGGUUUAUGAUCUUUUAUACCCUCUUCUAAUAUGUCAACCUUAAAAUAAUGCCUUGAUGUUAAUAAAUCUACCUAGUUCAUGAGCAAAGCUUAAGGUUAUGAAAUGGACUUUGUGUCAUUAGUUGUAAAUCUAGUUUCCCUACCCAUUAGCAUUUCAAGAUUAGUUUGAGGGUCUUGGUUUAGUAGUUAGAUCUUAUACUUACCAAGGUCGGAUCAACACGCAUUGAUCUCAUUUUAGCUUAAAUGAGAGAGAUGACAAUUGUGUCUUCAUUAUAGGUGUCAUAUGAAGAAGUUUGUAUAUCCUUAUAGAAUAAUUAAUAUUCAAAAUACUAUUUCAGAGCAUUAUAAAAAAACUUCAUUUCUAGCCAAAUGAAAAAGAGUGAUAUUCUUGGUCUCUUUGAUCCUACUACCACCAUUUCCACCCAAUCAUCUACUCUCACUUUGCUUUGCUCUCAUUUUAAACUCUUGGCACAUUUAAAACUUUCAAGUUUUAGUUGUAAGCUUAUAGAUACUAUUUUAGAAAAAAAAUAAAAUUGCAAGUGAGAUCUAAUAUUUUGUUUUGAGAAAAGUAUUGAAAAAGCCCAAGGCUUAGAAACUUUGAUUUACCUAUGUCUAAUUAUGAACUUUCGAAUGAAGAUAACAAUGUUAUAUAAUUUAAUAGUUGAAGAGAGUUAGAAGGUUUUUUCUAAUUUUGGAGCAUGAUGUACAUUAUGAGCCUAAGUCAUGACAACUUAAGUCGCUAGGAAGAUCAGUUGCUUAACAUGCCAAUAGGGUCUUGUUUAGUGGGGGUUUGUGUGUUUGAAUCUCACCUCAUUAUUUCCAUGAUUUAUUGAGCCUCAAUGUAAGUCUAAUAUGAGGUUAGUUGUAUAGGAAAAUUUUUCUCUCCAUGUGUGGUAUGGGGUUGUAGUGAGAGAGAGUGUUAAAGAAUGGGAUUAAAUCUUAAUAGUUUAAGCUUUUAGAAAAAUCAAAAGUUCAACUUGGCAUUAGAGUCUUAUUUAUUCAAAGGUUAUUAGUUUGGACCUCAAGACAUAUUAUUUCCCUAAUUUAUUGAGCAAAAAGAAGGCUAGAUAUGAGGUUGCUGAUGAGAAGUUAAUGGAGGGUCCUGAGUCCAAGUUCUCCCCUCAUUAUUUAUCUAUCUAAUUAUUUAUGACCAUAAAGUGCUUCUCAUGGUAGGUAUGGGCUCACAUAUGGGGGGAGGAGGGGUGUUGGAGCAUUAUAUAUGUUAUGUGCCCAAAUUCUAACAACUUAGUUAAGCUUUUAGGAAAAUUUAUUAUCUAAAAUUAAUAUUGUUUUGUAAUCAAAGUAAAAUCAACCUUAGUUAUUCAACAUAAUAAAAAACAUUAGUUUCCUGAUUGAAAAUGGUAAGGACUAAGUAAACUGAUAUAAAAUAGAAUGUUAUUAUAGUUUAUGGGGUGAAGUAUUAGCACUAUAAAGUUAAGUAACUAAUUUGCUAAAAUUACUAGCUAAAACUUGAAAAGUCUUAUCAAAGUGAAAAAGAAAAUAAAAUUAAACUCUUUAUUUUACAUAAUAGCAUAUCUAUAUCCCCUUAAAUUAUGAAAUUCAUGUUGUUUUUUCAAAAAAAAAAAAGAAAGAAAGAAAGAAAGAAAAAAAAAAAACCUAGAAAUGCCUACUAAAAAAAAGUCGAUUGAUACACUCCCUAACCAUAAAAUUGAGUUGUAAAUAUAAAUUAUAGUUCAUCCAAGUCUUUAUACGACUUUAAGAAAUCAAUAGCUAGUUUCAUUUACACCAUUGGUUCGUUUUUUUUUUUUUAUUCCAUUGAAAAGAAAGCAAUAAAAAUGAAUUGAGACAAAAAUGAGAAUACAAUCCAUAAAAUAUCAAUAGAUUUGUAAACUCAUUAUAAAGUUCAUAAAUCUUUAGAUAAAAAAAGCAAUAUAAAGAGGUAAAAAAUUAGGAACUAUCAAGUUGAAAAAUAGAGUGUAUGGUAAAAAAUAAAAAAUAAAAAGAUAAAACAAACAACAUUUUAAAGUAAGGGUACAAUAGUUAUUAAAAUGAAUCACAAUAAAAGUUUUCUAAAAAUUGAAAAAAAAGAGGAAAAGUUUUUGGUAUGCUUUUAUGGUUUAGGGGGUAAAGGUUCAUAAUACUCGUCAUUUUAUCAUCUUUAUAGGAAAAAAAAUUUAGACUCAACUUUAUCACAACUCAUAUGAGUUAAAAAUUUCUUGAAUGUAUUUUCUCUCAAGUUUCUAAUGGAUACCCCUUUAUCAAAGGUGUGGACAUUGAGCUAAAUUCACCAUUAAAAUUCAUCAAGUUUCUAUUUUCCUUUUCCUAAUUCAUCAAGCUAUAUUUAUGAAAUAUCCUCAUUCUUCAUUAGUAAUAUCAUAUUGUCAAAAAAACCCUUAAUAGAUCUACACCUAUCACCAGUUAAUAGAUAAAAUAACUUAACAAUUAGUUUUAAGUUUUAAGGACUUUACAAGACAAGCUAAGAACCUCAUAUUGUUUGCACACAAUUGACAAGUUGAUUUGUUUUAAAAAGUAAAAUGCUAAAGAAAAUCCACAACACGUGUUGUUUUAAAAAUCUUUGUAUUUAUAUGACAAAAAAAAAAAAGAACCAAUAGUUUAAAUUGGAAAAGUUUAUGCAAAUUAGAUGAGGAAAAUGCAAGCCAUAAAAUAACAUUCAAACGUUAUCAUUCUCUAAGAAACAUCAAGAACAUAUUGAGAGAACCAUUACUCAACAUAAUAAAUUUGUCUUGAAAGGAAAAGAAAAUCAUCAAAGCAAUCAUAUUUGUGAUGCAUUCUGAUUUCCAUAGUGUUUCCAUAUUUACUAUUAGGAUAAAAAAAUGGAAGUUGAAAAUUAUGGCAAUUCCUUGAGACAAUGAAUUAGAGUAGUAGAAAAGGAAAAAAAAUAAAAAAUAAAGAGAAAAAUAUGGUGAGUGAAAAAUAUUUUAACCCCAUAAAUUUUUCUUUCACAUCUCUUUAAAUUUAUUAAUAUCAAUUCUUUUCUAAAUAAACAAUGAAAUUUUUGAAAUUUCUUGAAAUUUAAACAUAUUUACUAGUUGUAUCAUCUCCAGUCACCUAAAUCUCAAGAUGUUCUUCAAAUGAAUUAUAGACUUUAUUUAGAUAGGUAAACUAAGGGGACUCCCCCUCUAAGAACUGUAUAUAAGAAUUUCAUCUCAUACAACUCAAAUAGAAACACCUAAACACUAGAUGAAACGGAUAUAUAAUAGAAAAAUGUAUUUCAAUGGAUCCAAUUGGUAUUUUUCCUGUCUUAGAUAAACAAACAAAUUUUUCUUCAUUAAUCAUUGUAAGUAAAUUAUAUUUUAAUUUUAAAAAGUACUAAACUUUAUUUUAAUUUUCAUGUAGGAUCAACUAACUUAUCAUAAUUAAAAUUUGUCUCUAUGGCUGAAUAGAGCUUUGAUGUAAUAAUACUAUACAAAUUUCAAGUAACACUAAAUUAAUCAAAUAGGAAACUACAGUUACGUUUGAAUACAUAUUCUAUUUUUUAUUUUUAAAAUUAAAAUUUUGAUAUAAAAUUUUUUUUUAAAAAUAUUUUAAAAUAAUUUCAAAUACACAAGAUAUUGACUUUAUAUAUAUAAAAGUUCUUAUAUUUUAUAUAAAACUCUAUUUUAAAAAAAUAGAAAUAAAAAAAUGCAUUUAAACAUAUGCUAAAUUGUUAGAUUUCAUAGAUCCUACAAUUAAUAGUGAAAAUGAAGAUGAGAGAUAACUGACUGAACUAUGAAAAGGAAUUAAAAUUUAUGAGUUUCAAAAAUACUAGUUAAUGAAAGAGAUUUUGUGCCUGGAUGACUAAGAAAAAUGCUGAAAAAUGUGCUAUAGAGUGGCUUUUCCUUUCUCCUCUUGCUAUAUAUGCAUAUCAUCCCUCUUUUUUAUCUCGUUGAACUCAACAAAUUCUCAUUUGUUCUGAGAAAAAAAAGAGAUUAUGUUAUAUGAUGGUAGGACUUUAUUCUGUUAUGGAAUAUGCACACCCUAGAUCUAUUGGCUAGAGCUAUACAGUAGGUUGUUGGCUUGUUUAGCAUUGUCUCUUUUUUGGAUAGGUUUGGACAAUGCCUCUUGAUGUUGCUUUUUGGUAAUGUAUUUUUCUUUGAUUUUUCAUGAAAAAUUCCACAUUUUGAGAUUUUCACCAUAUUAGAGUCUUUGGAAUUGGUACUUGUCUUGACACAGUUAGUAGGAAUCAUUUUCCCCAAGCUACAUAACACAUGUCUGCUAAUUGGUAAUGUUCCAUUGGCAUUUAUAAACUCUCCUGUCAAAAGUGAAUAUGCUCUAACAUUUCAAAUAGUGUGGUGUUGUACAUAGGUUGGUAAUUGAGGAUUUUAUUAUGGAUUUUGUCCUAUUCUGGUCGUGCCAACAUGUUCUGUCUUGUUCUUUGUCUUACUGAUUUGGGUGGUUGCGCGUCAUGUUUCUACAAGCUGUAUUUUUAAGCUUCAGGAGCAAAGGUAUUUUGGUUCUACCAUUUAGAUGAUGGUACUAAAGCAUUUGUAUUAUGGAUUGCACAACCCCUUAUAUGGGAUAUCUUUGCACCAAUUGUUUGGUAAUCAAGAGAACUCUCAUAUUAAACAAAGUCAUCUUCUAUUAGUAAUAAUAAUAAUAAUAAUAAUAAUUGUGUGAUUUGGAUGCUUGUGAGUGACGAACAAUAGGGUUGUUUAGGUGUUGUUGGGUAUUGAAAAGUAUAGUAAUAAUAAUAGUAAUUUUUUUUUUAAAAAGUUUUAAUUUAGUUUAAGUAUACAAAAGAAAUAAAUUGUUAGAAUAGGAUUUGGAAGAAAUAUGAGUUUAUAAAAAAUUUGGAAAUUCAUUAAAUUAUAUUAUUAUUGUUUAAGAAGUUGAAAGUAAUAUGGGGUGGUAAUAAUAUUAUCAUACGAAAUUAAUUAGGAUCCCUAAUACUAAAUAAAAUAUCUUUAGGAUUGUCAAAUUUUUACCUUUAGAUAAUUGUGUAUGAUAUUAUAUUAGGUGGGGAGUAAAUUCAUCAAGCUAAAUACUUCAAGUUUUUGAGUGCUUCUUCAAGGUAAGGGAAAUUAAUGCAGAUUUUUAUAAAAGAAAAUAAUUUUCUUUUUAUAUUGUAUUUUGAAUUGUGUAAAAAUAUUAUUUUUAUCUUUACACAUGGAUCAAAUAUAUGUUUUGUAUGGAAAGUAUGUUUGAGCAUUUUCUUUAUUUAUGAAAAAUGAAAAAUUGAGGAGAUAUGAUGUUUUGUUUUGUAAGUUUGAAUUAAUGAAAUAAAGUGUUUGACUUUGGAUUAUAUGACCCUAGUAAACGAGUUAUAAUUGUUAACUUUUUUUGUCCUAGUCAACGAGUUAUAAUAGUUGAUAUUAUAUGGCCCUAGUCAACGGGUAAUAAUAGUUGACCUUAUGGUCAUAGUCAAUGGGUUAUAAUAGUUGACCUUAUGGUCCUAGUCAACGGGUUAUAAUAGUUGACCUUAUGACCCUAGUCAAUAGGUUAUAAUUGUUAACAUUUGGUUUUGUUCAUCUUAAAUGGAACAAAUUUGAAACUAGUUACUCAAUUGUGAAGUCCCACCUAAUUGGGCACCAUUUAUCAUACGAUAAUCAGAGUAAAGAUAUUUUGAAUGUAUUCGAUUUGGUUUUGAAGAGAAAUUGUUUUGAAAUGGAUAUGAGAAAGUUUUGUUAAAAAGUAUGAAUGUAUUAGCAUUUUGAACUCAAAAGUUUUUAUGAAAAUAAGUAUAUAUUAUAUCUCCUAUUUGCAAGCAUAAUUGAAAACGUUUGAUCCAUGAAACUGUAUUAAUGUUCCUUACUAUGCUUUGAGCUCAUCCCCUUUUGUUGAUAAUCUUUCAAGCAACCUCAGUUCGGGUGAGAAGUGACCGUUAUGAGGGAAAUUCGGCUUUAUUAGGACAUUUUUUUAAACUCUUUUUAUUUUGGAUAUUGUUUAGAUGUUAAAACUUAAUUCUUGUUUGAAUUAUUUUGAGUUUUGAGUUAUUUGGACAAUAACACUUUGGUUGAUGUAUUAGUUUUUUUUUUAAAGGUGAUACUUGGAGAUUUUAGAAUUUUGUCUUACUACUUUGAACAGAGAUUUGAUAAUUGGUAAAUUUCUAGUUAUAAUACGAAUGUUUGUGUCGCUUCCACUUUGAGCUUUUGGACUCGAGGUGUGAAAUGACCGUCAUGUCCUUGAAGUGGGUUUUGGGGCAUGACAUAGAGAGAUACCUAUAAGACUUUUUGGACUAUUGGGUUUGGAAUACUUGAAUUUAUUAUAUAAUUAUCUCGAUAGUCAGUUUCUUAAUUUGGAAAAAACGCAUAGAUUGAUGGUACUGAAUUUAUCACUUAAUUCUUUGUCAGGUCAGAUCCUAGAAAAUAUUUCCAAUCUUUGAAACCUAACGCCAUUGAACAUUUCAUAACAUUGCCUCUUUGGAAUGGUUCUAAAAGAGUGGGGCUAUUAGGAGGUUUCCAAGAGCAUUCGCAGGGAUCCAGAGCUAUUCGUGCAAUCCUUGGAUAAACAAUGUUAGAUAGCACAAGGACAUGCAAGCUUGAAAUAAAUAGAGGUAUUGUAGACCCUCAAUUUUGUCCCUUGACACUUGCAUUUUAUCCUAUGGGUGUCACAUGCACCCAUGCUUUCAUAUGAUUUCUCCAUGGCCUCCUUUUGGCCUUGAUAGGUUUCUGAGCCUUGUGUAGGUUCAUUUGCGGUCCAAUGUAGUGCGGGUGUGUAGUUCAUUUUGGAGUUCCAUCAUGGCCAAGUUCCUAGUUGUCACAUCAUGCUAUAGGGAAGGAAGUGAGGCCCCCCAAAAAUUUUAGUUCAGUUGGAAUUCAUAAGAGCGGGUUUGAAUUCAGAGCACUUGGGCUUGUUUUGAUCAUAUCUCCCUCAUCCGAACUUGGAAUUGCGCACCGUUUUUUUUUUUAUGGACUCCUUAUUCGUCAAGGAAAAUUUCAAAAUUUUUUUUCUCAACCAGCUUGACCGGUUCCCAAAGUUUGAGAUUUUUUCUCAAUCGGAUGAACCGGUUGGGAACCGGUUCAACAGGUGGCUUGGUGGCAGCCCCGUUUUAUAAAUGCUUUGCAUUGUUUCGGCCGGUUCUCCCUCAUCUGGGCUCAGAAUUGAGCACCGUUUGUUUUUUGGAUUCCUUGUUCUUUGAGGAAUCUUCUGGUAAAGUUUCAGAUUUUUUCUCAAUCUGAUGGACCAGUUGGGAACCGGUUCAACAGGUGGCUUGGUGGUAGCCCCGUUUUGUAAACGCUUUGCAUUGUUUCAGCCUGUUCUCCCUCAUCUGGGCUCAGAAUUGAGCACCGUUUGUUUUGUUGGAUUCCUUAUUCUCUGAGGAAUAUUUUUAUAAAGUUUAAGAUUUUUUAUCAAUCGGAUGAACCAGUUGGGAACCGGUUCAGCAGGUGGCUUGGUGGCAGCCCCAUUUUAUAAACGCUCUGCAUUGUUUCGGUCGGUUCUCCCUCAUCCGGGCUCGGAAUUGAGCGCCGUUUGUUUUGUUGGAUUCCUUAAUAUCUGAGGAAUCUUCUGGUAAAGUUUUAGAAUUUUUUUCUCAAUUAUUCGAGCCAGUUGGGAACCGGUUCAACCGGUUAUGCUAGGUAGCUCCAGUUUCAGCGUGUUUUAACCCCCAUUUUUGUUGUGGCUUGGGCCCUUAGACUCCAAGGCACUUGUAGGCCACCUUUAGGGUCUGAAUCCAAAUUUGGUUUGAAUUAAUGUGGGCCUACCUAUGAGUCGAGGGUAUUAUUGGCUAGGAAGGUUAGGGGGUUAUUGUGAAUGUUUGGCUUGGGUACAUUUUGAUGUUUGAUUAAAAAUGCUUGUAUCUAUUGAUUUGCCCUUGUUUGCAGCGCUUGGCUGGGGACCCGAGGUACGUACUUGACUUGUUGGGAAUUGGAUUCAUUUGCAUGCGUGGGGCUUGGAUAUGUUUGCUUGUUGUGUGUUUAUAUUGCUUGACUAACCUCUUAUGUAGCGCUUAGCUAGGGACCUCAGGUACACACCUUUUAGCUUUGAUUUGUGGAGACUAAGUGCACGCUAGAUACUGAGCAGGUUCGUGUGAUCUAUGUCAUUUGUUUAGCCUGAUUGAUCAAUUGAUUUUUGACCCAUAUGCUCCCAUGUGCCCAAUUCAUUAGUAGAGAGUAGAGACCGAGUUCCAGGCCUAAAGAGGUGCUCCCUCACAUGAGGUACCUUCCCAAUAGGUAACCUGAUCCCCGGACCCAGAAUCUAGUUUUCCCAGAUUGCUUUUUCCAUAUUGGAGUCAUUAAGGGUUUUUGUUCUUACUUGAUUUUCCCCUUUAUAAAAUAAAAAUAAAAAGUAAGUGGCGACUCCAAACAAUCCUCACCGGGAACGGAUUUUCCAAAACCCAAAAACACACUUACUUUCUUAUUCUUUUAAAAAGCGUGUCGCGUCGGCCCGUGGAUCGGGUGAGAGUCCACAAAUUGGUGACUCCACUGGGGAUCGAACCUAGGAUCUCUGGUUUCAUAAGAGAAUCAAGCUUGAACUUGAAUUGGGUAUAUUGGAGCACAUGGUUCUCUGAUCAGUAGACUCUUAGGCUACAUAGAUGACUAAUGAUCACGUACUUGAUUGGUAUCUGGCUUGCACCUUUGAUGUGUUGAUGCUUGUGUGUCCACUUGAUUGGUUUUAACAUGCUUGCUCAUUGUUGAUUGGUACUUAGUUAUGAGAUUUGGGAUUGUCAUAAAUGGUCAGAUUGUGUGUAGAUUUUAUGGUAGGCCUUGCCCUUUGCGCAUAACUGUUUGCUGCAUGGCUACACUUUUUCUUGCAUGACUGUUUGCCGCUUGUGUUUUGGGGCGCGCUUGUAUCCCCUUAUUUUCGAAUUACUAGUCUUGGUUGACUAUUCCUCAUUGAUUGCUUGAGUUGUUUGGGAGUCAUUCCCAACUGUUUGCCUUCGACCAAGAUAGGGGUUUGGGAGUAGGGUCUAGCAUAAGGGUUAUAUUGAUGUUUGGGAGCACUAUGAAGAUGAUGGAUAUCCGAGCAAUGAAGAUCUGUAUAGCCCUGAGCUGGAUUUCAUGGAUACAUGCGUGGCCAGUGUGUCGCUUUGAUUGUUGAUUGAUUGUAGGUUAGGAUCAGAAGUUGCGUAUCCCUGUGGGUACAUUCAUCUAGCUUGUAGGACUUGCCUUUUCCCAUUAUUAGCUUUUGAGCCACCUUACUUCUGAGGUAUCACCAUGUCAGAGUCCUGUUCCUACCUGUGGAGCCAUAUAUUGGAUUAGCUGUUGACAUCACAUGUCAGCUCAUUCCUUUAGAGGAUUUAGUUGUAAGAUUGCAUUACUAGAUUGAUUUAAGGAUUAAUAGUCACGGGAACUGACGUACCCCUUUCCUUUUGUAGGAUUGUUGAUCGAGACCGACUUGGGUUCUCGAGCUUGGAUCUAGAUCGGAGGUUGAUUGGUUAGAGGAUCAGAUCUACACAGUCAGUUAGAGCAGAUAUCAGAUCAUAGAGAUAUGGACCCCCAAUACGCCACUAUUGACCAGUUGACUGAGAUUACAGAUACCAUGGCAUCACUCCGGGAUGCUAUAUUGGGAUUGGGUCAGAGAAUAGAUGGGCACCAGGCCCAGCCAUUGCCGGUUCCGGGGAGCACCCCGCUUGACUCUACUGCACCUCCACCUCCACCAUUGCCAUCUAGGCCUACUAUACAGUAGGAUUAUAUAGUUCCAUCUCCGCCACCACCCCCAAUUUAGUCAGCCCCGUGGGCUAGGGCCUUUAUCUUACAUGGUCAGACUGAGACUACGCCACAUUCUGUUGUGUCACCUACACAGAUUGUUGAUGACACUCAGGCCCAUAUCGAUAGGAUUGAGCAGAGGAUCAGGUCUCUACAUGUUUUUGAUGGAUGGGUUGGGACGGAUAUGAUGACUUGCCAGUGGCAGCUUUGCUAGUUGAGUUCUGCAUGUCGGACAUUGAGAGGUACACGAGGAUAGGGUGCCCCUGUAUUCAUUUACAAUUGUAUAGCACUAUUAUGCGCUGGCAUAGAUUGGACAAGGCACAGAUGAUCAUGCUAUUCCUUCUGUCUCUAAGUGGUGCCGCUCAGCGUUGGUUUGCCUCAUUGGACCCUUCAAGGCACCGGACAUGGGCUGAUUUGGCACAGGAGUUUCUUAGACAAUAUUCUUUUAAUACUAUAGUGGAUGUAUCCCGAAGGGAGCUAGAGGCCCUCAAGCAAAGGCCAGAUGAGUCAGUUACUUCAUUCAUCUCCUGCUGGAGGGAGAAGAUAGCACAAAUUAUAGAUAGAUCCUCCGAGCGUGAUCAGAUCAGCAUGAUUAUGUGCAGUCUUCACCCUCGCUUUGCCAAGCAUCUCAUGGGCUUUCCACAGACAGACUUUGGAUCAUUGGUUCAGGUCCUCUAUGGCAUUGAAGAGGGCAUAGCUAGAGGAUUAUGGGUAGACUCUUCCCGUUCAAACUCAAAGGGGAAGAAGCCAGGGUCAGGAUCCAGGCCUUCAGAUGUUGGUACCAUUGGCACGAUAGGGCACAGGUCCCAUCGUCACCCUCCUUCUCAGAGACAGUUCUUAGACACUCUUUACCAGAUGAUACAACACGAUCAGUACAAACCAGUUGCUCCCUAUAGGCCGACAGGGCCUACUUAUCUAUAUCUGGCACCGUAGCCGAUAUAUGCUACAUAGGCUCCUUAGAGGCCACCUGUACAGUUCCAUCAGCAGUAUAGAGCACCGCCUCCACCGAGGUCGGCUAGGCAGUUUACAUAGUUAGAGAUUGGUUGAGGGGGGUUUGAUUGCUCCACUACCACCCAGACCAUCACCACAUCCUACCCCACUAGGAUUCAGGAUAGAUCUUCACUAUGCCUACCAUCAGAGAGCUGGCCAUGAUACAGACAAUUGUGCGAUGCUGAGGCACGCCAUUCAGGACUUGAUUAAUCAGGGUUUGGUUGAUUUAGGACGCCCUGCAGUGACUACAGACCCACUACCUACUCAUGACAUUAGAGCUGUAUCUUCACCCCCGGGGAACGUACAUUUGAUUGAUUUUUCAGGAGAUGAGAUAUUCAUGAUGGGGUGGGACGGAGAGGCUCCUCAACCUAUUAGUCUGUACGAGGACUCAGAUUUUAGUGGAUAUAUCCAUGGACAGUAAGCUCCCAGGCCAUUCAGAUUGAUCCCGAAUGAGAUUCCCCAACAGACAGCAGUAUCGUCGGUAUACUUACAACAUGUUCUGCCCAUGACACCCUUCAUUCUAUUCCUGGAAGAGUAUAGGCCCGUUCACAGAGAUGUUCAGAUUGUUACACGGAGUGGGAGAGUAGCUCAGCCUCUACCCUUUGAUAAGUCUUUUGUUGGCACAGAUGUUAGAGAUGAUGUUUAGAGAGAGGAUGAUGAGAUAUUGCACCAGCUGUGCACCACACAGGCUCGCAUAUCCAUUUGGAGCCUCUUGGCAUUGUCCAGCACACAUAGAGAUGCCUUGGUCAGAGCUCUUAGUUAGAUCAGAGUUGACACUGCUACUACUCCUGAUGGACUGAUUCACUUUCUGACGGUUGAUAAAGCUACAUGCAUUGUAUUUUCAGAUGAUGAUUUACCACCUAAGAGAUCAGAUCAUGUUUGACCCUUAUUCAUUGAUGUUGCUUGUUCAGGUUGUUGGGUGCCGUUUGUCCUGCUAGACAACGGCUCCGCCUUGAACAUAUGUACAUUGGUUACUGCCAUUGCUUUGGAAUUUUCACCAUCCGAUUUUGGGCCAUCUACGCAGACCUUCAAAGCAUACGAUGGGACUCAGAGGACAGUUAUGGGUACUCUCACUACACAUGUCAUGAUAGGGUCGGUCAGAUAUUCUAUACUCUUUCAGGUUUUGAGGAUCCAGACAUCCUUUAACUUACUUCUCGGCUUCCCCUAGAUUCAUGAGGCGGGUGUUAUACCAUCUUCCCUUCAUCAGAAGGUGAAGUUCAUACACGAAGGGUGCAUUAUCACGAUACAGUCAGACAGAGACGUUGUUACCUCUUCCAAGCCAGUGUUACAGAUCAGUCACAAUGAGAAUGACUUGCACUUGACCGGAUUUACUUUUGAUGAGGUUCAGGUUGUUAGUUUAGAGGAUGACAACAGAGACAUGGUACCUAUGUCUUUUGAUCAGUAUAGCGGCACUUUGGUACUCAGUAUGAUGAGAGGCAUGUCCUAUAUGCCUGGCUUGGGAUUGGGUCACCGCCAACAGGGGUCGUGCGAGUUUGCUUUCACAGUUGAUCAUGAUAUACCACAUGGAUUGGGUUACACUCCUUCUGAGGAGGAUGCAUGACACAUGGCGCGAUUGAUCCGAGAUAAGGUGAGAGCUCGCUUGUCCGAGGUUCCAUUCGAUUACCCCCUUCGCCCAUACACUUUUCAGUUGGCUGACUAUUUUGCCAAAGGAUUAGAGCAUGCACCCCACACAAAGGGAGUUGAUCGUGUUCAUGAGGUAGUUGAGAUUCAGGGUAUUCAAUAGGCCUUAGGACAAAUGUGUUUUGAGUUCUGAGACCACCGAGCCACCCAAGGCCAUGGUAGUUGCAUCCCCAUCGACAUUGGUCGUAUCCUUGACACAGCCCCAGGUGGGCCCCAUUAUGCUUUUGAUAUGUUUGGAGUUUCUAUGAUUAAUUCUGAUGGUGUGACACUUUAUGACGCUUGCACUGACACGAUGGACAUGAUCGGCACUGGCCGCAUUUUGGAUACUUCCCCACCUAGGCCCCGAUCCGCUUUUGAUGUGUUUGGGAUUUCUAUGCUUGAGUUUGAUGGUGAUGGACUUGUUGCUACUAAUAUUACUCAUGAUACUAUUUUUGUUGAGGGAGUGUUCGACUCUGUGGACCUACCUCUUUCUUUUGACACUAUGUCCGGGUUUGUCACCCGCUUUGAUGACAUUUCUGAUGGUAAUAAUGACAUGAGUAUUUUCGAGUAUUUGCCUGUGUCACAACAUUUUCCUUUGAUUGCACCACGAGCAUCCACAGCACAUGUAUGUGAUGUUGAUGAUGUGGAAGACACAGAUGACCCACUAAGUGGUCAGUCAGAGUGUGACUCUGAUUCAGAUACGGAGGAUAGGAAAGCUACACCCAUUUCUGGUAUCACUGAGUUGAUAGAUUUUGGGGCACCUAACUAGCCUAGGGAGCUUAGGAUUGGCUCUUCCCUAUCUCCCGAUGAGAGAAGUAGAUUGAUAGACCUAUUCAGGUCAUCCUUAGAUGUAUUUGCAUGGUCGUAUGAGGACAUACCGGGCCUUGACCCCACUAUAGUUCAGCAUCACCUGCCCAUUUUGCCAUAUGCUAGGCCAGUUAAGCAGAAAUUGAGAAGAGUACACCCUCGAUGGAGUUUGUAGGUGAAAGAGGAGAUUCAGAAGUAACUCAGUGUUGGAUUCUUGUCAGUGGUUGAGUAUCUUGAGUGGCUGGCUAAUGUCGUCCCUAUUCCCAAAAAGGACGACAAGGUUAGAGUUUGUGUUAACUUCCAAGAUCCGAACAAGGCCAGUCCUAAGGAUGAUUUUUUCUUCCAGCACAUCUGAUUCGUGCCCAGUCGGUGUAUCAGUUGAUUCAUGUCCAGCUAGUGCUCCUUGCUUGAGGAAGUAAUCAACAAAAUUUAUAACCUAUUACACCAUGAACUAGGGUAGCAAAGACAAAGCUACUAUAGCAUAGUGGCUCUAGGAUUGUUCACUGGGAAGGGUUUUUAAUUCAUAAAUGAUACCAAUUCAAAGCUGAAUUGGUGCCUUUUGAUUUCAAGGUUAGCUUUAAAAGAAAACAUAAUUUUUGGAUGAAAAAGGUUUGGUUUAAACUAACGGUAAAGAAAGUAAUGGAAAUUACUUAUGAAGAAAAACAUUCCUUGAAGGUUUAGGUUCACAGGGGAGGUUCCUCGUGCAAAAACAGAGCUCUGGUCAUUUGGUUCAUUUCCUCGCAUUAGAGAAUUAACAUAUAGUCAAUUCUCUAAUCGGCUCUGUACAGAUGCUUCCCUUUAAUGGGUUCAAACACUAAAUCACUCUCACUGAUGCACCUUGCAAUGGCUCAUACCUCUCACCUAGCACUUGCCAUUCAAGGUGAUCUUUAACCUUGGACUUCCCGUCAAAAGCUCGUAAGAGAUAACUAAUGGAUGUCUCCUUGGAGUCCAAAAGCUUACCAAGUGUUAGCUAUUCUAGAAAAUCCUACCUUCAAACCACCUCCCAAAGGCUCGCAAUAGAUAAACUAGUGCAUCUCAAUGGAGAUCACUUGCCUUAUCAAGUGUUGGCCUAGGUGAUUUAAAGGUGUUUUAAGUUAACUAAAAACAUAGAAAUCAUUAAUGGGUCAUACUUUCUCUUCAUUAAUGGCUGAAACCGCAAAGCUACUAAUUCUUGCACUUGGAACCUUUCCCAGCAACCUUAACUCCAAGGAACUAAAAGUCUAGCCACUCAUUCUCUGAGGAAACAUCCUUAGAGCUUGUUUGGCUAGUAAGAAAAUACAAUUAAAAUGAGAAGGUAAAGCAGAGCAAAACUUUGUAUUUUUCUUCCUUUUAAAAACUAUACAAAAGUUUUUUCGUCGUCCUUUUUUGGGAACAGGCUCCCGAGAGAUAUAUAUAUGGAAAAUUACAAAAUAUCUAUCUGAGGUUAUUCACCCUUUUUCCAAACUUAAUAACUAAGGAAUCCUAUAAUUGGUGGGUUACAAGGAGAUUUUGGGGAUUUAGACAACAAAUAUCUAAAGCAAAAUAUCUCAAAAUAUCCCAAAAUAUCGGUGGCAAAUAUUAGGACGCUUCAGGAGAACACCGCAGCACUGUGCAAAAUGGCUGCUCUUCCAUCCGGGUAGACGCUAUCAGAUGAUCCGGAUACGUCCGUCCGGAGAAGUUGAAACACUCUCCUUUUCUAUCCGACAUCAGAAUUCUGGACGUGAACAUCUGGGUGGAAGUGGUGGCAGUCGGGUACAAAUUGGCGGCAGCCGGGUGCAAAAUGGCGGCAGCCGGGUGCAAAUGGCGGCGCACAUCCAGAUACAAAUUAGCGGCAGUCGGGUGCAGAAUGGCGGCAGCCGGGUGCAAAUGGCUGCGCACAUCCGGAUACAAAUUGGCGGUAGCCGGGUGCAAAUCCUAUCUGGAUAUGUGGUCCGGAUGCUCUCCGAUGGUGUAUCCGGACGCCCUGUCCGGGUAUACUCCUUACAUAGAUUCCAAAUAACUCUCCUCAAUUUCAGAUUUGCUUUGGUGAUAAAAAAGCUAUCAAAACACCAAAACUUAACACAUUUUUUAUUAGAAUUGAUUGCAAGGUCCUUAACAUGCCAAUUGAGUUAAAAGGUGAUAACUACUACUCAAAAGUGUUUAAAAGAGUUAAUUACAAGCUAUGAAAUAGCACAUUUUGAGUAGUAAUCACUCCCCCUAACCGACAUAUUGCUAGUCCCUUAGCAAUGAAAGAGAGAAAAAAUAAAAAUAAAAAGUACUGUAAUUUACAACAUCAUGCUGAUAAAAAAAAAACAAUUUCCAAGCGGCAUGAUGAUCUAACUCUCACAUGGAAUAUUAAAGAAAUAAAACUCAAACUUCAACAAGAGUUAUCAAAAAAUUUGUCUAAUCACAAUUCUUAAAGAGAAGGCUUUAUGCAAAUUUAAGCUUUAAAAGAGUUUCCACUCCCAAAGGGUCAAACCUUACUCUUCCACAAAAAUCUAAGUGUUACUUGAUAGCUUCCGAAUAUAGUAUGUUGAACUAAUCUCUCCCCCCAACCUAACUCUUUUCCAACACUUAGUAAACUGACCAAAUUCAAUAGGCUAAGAACGCACCCUUUUAUUUCACAUUUAAGGUAUUCUUUUCUAAAUUGUCCAUGUAACGGGGGUCCAUCGAUGACUCCCAACCAAUUAAGGUUUAGGGCAUCAAGCUUUAAGGAUCUUUCAACCACUAACUCCUCGAAUUUUACCCCGGACUUUUGAGAAUGAAUUUUUAUACCCAAGCACCUACAGUAUGUUAAACUCCACCUAUUCACCCUUGUAACGAGCAUUGAGGUCGGUGACUCCCAACCAACGAAGGCUUAGGGCACCAGGUUUUAAAGAUUUUCACCAUAUACCCCUCAGACCUUGCUCGGGUUUCAAGGCAAGCAAACAUUUUUUUAUUUUUUUAUUUUUUAUUUUUUUAUUUUUUUUUCCCAAAGGCUCAUUGGCCUUUUACAAGGUGUCCUAACACUAUUAAAUGAGGGCAAAGGUACCAAGUCUAAAAUUUUCUUAAGUCAAGAGGGAAAUAGUUUUUCAUCUUAUACUCGGAACUUAUUGUGCACAGUGUGUGAAUAGCUUAAAGUGGAAGACAUAAGCUUGAAUUCAAUAGAAAUUUCAACAAUUCAUCAACUUUAAUAAGCAUAAUACAAACUCUAAGUUAAGUAAAAAGACAAAAAUUCAAUUUCUCCCAUUUCAUUUUGAAAAUUUUUCCUUAAUAACCAUGGAGAGUAGAAUAAAAACUUAAAAAUUAAGCAAAAAACAACUAAAUUACCAAAAUAGCUUAGCAUUAAUAACAAAAACUUCCUUCCUCAACUCCCCCCCCAACCAAGCUGAACAUUGUCCUCAAUGUGACAAAGCGAUUAAAAAAUAGGGAGAAAGUGGUACCUCCUGAGUGGCGUGAAGUCUGAGAUGUAUAGGAGAAACCACAUGUUUCAAAAAAACAAUAAAAGAUAUGAGUAGAGGAAUUAAAAUAAUAUAAUGCUAAGUGUGGUCACAUACAACCAAUCCCACUAUAUAACACUAAAAAGAUGGGGAUUUCAAAAAGGAAAUACAUAAAGUAAAGUAUGUAAAUGAUCAGAAAUGGGGAGGAUGAUGCUGGUAAGCUGAUGACUCAGGCAUGGGGCUCUGCAGUGGUAGGGGUGAGAUGCUCAAUAGCUGAUGGAAGACCCAGAUGGUGCUGAAGCUGACUCAGGAUGGCAGUGUGCUGAGUCUGGGUGGUCAAAAUCUGCUCCUGCUGAGAACGAAUAGCUGACAUCUCUUGAGCAAGGCUGCUCUGAGUCGCGGUCAGUGUCUGCAAUGUGUGGCAUAGGUCUCUAUACUCUGAAAUGGGUAUGGUCAUUCUAAGCUCGGUUGAAGUAGAAGGCUCUGAUGCAGCUGGAAUAACUGGCGGGGUGCUAUGGGUGGCAGGAAAAGCAGAGGGUAUAUCCUCAUGUAUGGGCUCUGUAGAUGCUCUCCUGGCAGCUGGUAUCUCAGCUGGCUGUGGGUCCUCUGACUGCUGUGGCUGUGGAAGCUCUGGAUGCUUUGUUCUAUAUGCUGUCAUAUUGGUUCACUUGUCGAGAGUGAAUACCUCUCGGCAUAUGCGUUUGCGCUCCAACUGAGGGUCUGAUGGAUACCCCAGAUGCUCCAAAAUUUGGCAUAGCAAUCUCGGGAAAAGAAGUGGAAUAGCAUCUGCUCGCAGCAGCUUCUUCCUAUGCACCUUCUCUUCAUAGUAGAGAAGGACAGCCAUAAUUAGAUGGUGAGGGCCAAAGAAAUAUCCCUCUGAUAUCCUAAACAGGGCUUCUAGCAGAACUCCUCUCCUCUGCACCCAAUGCUGAAGUGGAUAAAUGUUGUGGCGCAAGAGUGCAUCAAUGAAGAACAUGCUCGGAGGAAGUUCCUUCCUCAACAGAUAUGGAUUUGUGGAUGUUCCUCUGGACAAGAGAUGAACCAUUUCAAGCUGGGGAGGAUUAGUCCAUACUCGAUAAUCCUCUAGACGGGCUGGCUCAUAUGGAAUAUGCAGGGCCUCUGCUAUGUGGCGAGCUCCUAAAAUACAAUGACGUCCGUCAAUGGUGAAGUGAAUAAGAGUAGCAUCUCUGACCUGAUUAGUAGUCAUGGACUGAUAGAGUUCCGUUGCUACUCGGGGAUAGAAAAAAUCCCUGGGGGUCAACAAAUGCUCCAUGCGAUAUCUGUGCAGUAGAUGGAAUGAGUCUGCUAGCUCCGGCUGAAGCCUGAAGGUGGCUGUGUCAAAACACAGCUCAGAGUGAAAUGGUCGAGCUCGGCAGUCCAAAUUCCCUUCAAUGGGCAGCUGAGGCUCCACCGGAGGUUCUAAAGACGACGCCAGAGUUGGGUCUGGCGAGGGCUCUAGAGAGGGCUCCGUUAAGUCGAUUGGCUUUGCAUUUACUACCCUGGGUUUCUUUUGAGGGGGACGGCCACCUGACCUGGUCUGAUAACGCCUCGCCGGAUGACUCAACGGCAUGGGCUUGGCCGAAGGUGGGGCGGCUACUUGUCGCGGAGGCUCUAAUGUGGAGCCUUGAAUAGGCGCCUUUCGCAAGACUCUCAUGCGGCUUGACGGAAAUGAUGACUUUGCUCCUCUGGUUCGCGCCAUGGCGGACUGAAGAAAAUGGCCGGAGGUGAUGGCCGAUGGCUCGCGCGGCUUCGGGCUCAGGUGAAAGAGAAAACAGACGGUUGCUCUGAUGUUCUUCCUUUCUGAACCCUUUUGGCAGCUUAAAUGACCGAUUUUUAUAAAAAUAAAGGAAUAUCAAGGGUCGUUUUCACAGCUCAUUUCGCAACUGCGAAAUGAGGGGAACUGUGCUGCGAAAUGGCACUCGUGUGCCAAGAGGGUGCUUCACAGCUGCGAAAAUUUUCGCAGAGAGGGGCCUGAGGUUGCGAAAUGAUUUCACAAAGGCUUCUUUUAGGUUGCGAAAUCUCGCAGACCUCUGUUUUUCCCCUGUUUUACACUCUUUCUUGCUCCAAACGACUUUCCUUUAAUUUCUUUGCAAUUCCUCCUACAUGAGAUCAUUUAGAAAUACUAAGUUACAUAUAAAUACACAACUUAAGACCAAAAAUCACAAGAAUUGAUAAAGCUUGAAAUUAACAAAAUUAACAAAAACAAACAAAACAACAAAAAAAAAAAUUAUGGACUUUGGUGAAACCAAGUCCAUCUAACCCUUAUUUGAUUAGGCUUUCUGUGGCUCAAGGAGGUUGAUUUCCUCCUUUUCUGGUUUGAAUGGCUCAAUGAAUGGCUUGAGACGAUGACCAUUGACCUUGAAAAUGUCAGUGCUUUUGGAAUUUAGUAAUUCCACCACUCCAUUGGGAUACACUUGGUGAAUAAUGAAAGGGCCUAUCCACCUUGACUUGAGCUUUCCUGGAAAGACAUGGAGUCUUGAAUCAUAAAGCAAGACUCUUUGUCCUUUAUGGAAUUCUUUGUUGGAGAUUAAUUGAUCAUGCCACCUCUUCAUCCUCUGUUUUGCAACUUUGGAAUUGAUGUAAGCAUCAUUUCUUAAUUCCUCCAUCUCAUUAAGGUCUAAGCACCUCUUUGCCCCAACUCUGAUCAAGUCCAUGUUUAACUUCUUGAUUGCCCACCAAGCUUUAUAUUCAACUUCCACAGGGAGAUGGCAUGCUUUGCCAUAGACUAGGCGAUAAGGAGACAUACCAAGAAUAGUCUUGUAAGUUGUUCUGUAUGCCCAUAGUGAAUCAUGAAGCUUAAUAGACCAAUAUUUUCUGCUCGUGAUCACCACCUUCAUCAGUAUAUUCUUGAUUUCCCUGUUUGCUAGCUCCACUUGCCCGGAAGUUUGAGGAUGAUAAGGUGUAGCUACCUUAUGCUUCACUCCAUACUUGGCUAAUAGGGUUUCAAAAGAUUUGUUGCAAAAAUGAGUACCUCCAUCACUGAUUAUGGCCUUGGGCACCCCAAAUCUUGAGAAGAUGUUCUCCUUAAGAAAUUUGAGAACCACCCUGUGAUCAUUAUGUUUACAGGGGAUUGCCUCAACCCAUUUAGAAACAUAGUCUACCCCCACCAAGAUAUAAGAGUUACCAAAAGACAUUGGGAAAGGUCCUAUGAAGUCAAUACCCCAAACAUAAAAAAGAUCAACUAUUAGAAUGGGGUUCAUAGACAAUUGAUUUCUUUUUGUUAGCUUCCCAAGCCUUUGGCAUCUAUCACAGCUCCUACACAUGAUGUGGGAAUCUUUGAAAAGAAAUGGCCAAGGAAACCCUGAUUGCAACACCUUCAUGACUGUUUUCUGAGAGGCAAAGUGGCCUCCACAUGCAUUUUCAUGGCAAUGGCUGAGGAUCCCUUGUUGCUCUUCUUUAGGGACACACUUUCUUAUGAUCUGAUCUGCACAAUACUUGAAAAGGAAGGGCUCUUCCUAAUAAUAAGCAUGAAUCUUUGCAAAGAAGUGCUUCAUGUCUUGUGCAUUCCACUCACUUGGAACUUCACCAGUAACUAAAUAGUUAGCAAUAUGAGCAUACCAAGGAGCUUUCUCUAGCAACAUAAGUGAUUCCUCAGGAAAGUCAUCAUUAAUAGGUAAGACAUGGGAAUUGUGUGCUAUAGCCAACCUUGACAGGUGGUCAGCUACCACAUUCUCCACCCCUUUCUUGUCUCUGGUCUGGAGAUCGAACUCUUGUAACAAAAGAAUCCAUCUAAUCAGCCUUGCUUUUGCAUCUUGCUUCGUCAAUAAAUACUUCAAGGCUGAAUGGUCAGUGAAAACAAUGAUGAAAGACCCUACCAAAUAAGCACGAAACUUGUCUAAGGCAAACACCACAGCUAACAAUUCUUUCUUUGUAGUUGUGUAGUUCCUUUGAGCCUCGUUCAAUGUUUUGCUUGCAUAGUAGAUCACGUAGGGCUUCCCAUCUUCUCUUUGGCCAAGUACAGCUCCUAUAGCAAAGUCACUGGCAUCACACAUCACUUCAAAGGGUAGUUGCCAGUUAGGAGCCCUCACUAUUGGAGCGGUUGUUAAGAAUUGCUUCAGUUGAUCAAAGCUAUUUUGACAUCUCUCAUCCCAGACAAACUUAGCAUCCUUAGCCAAAAGCUCACAAAGAGGUUUUGAAAGAUUAGAGAAAUCUUUUAUAAAUCUCCUAUAGAACCCUGCAUGGCCAAGAAAUUGCCUUAUUUCUUUCACAGUUGUUGGGGACGACAAUUUGACAAUAAGCUCCACCUUUGCCUUAUCAACUUCAAUGCCUUUCUCGGAGAUGAUAUGGCCAAGGACAAUUCCUUGACGUACCAUAAAAUGACAUUUCUCCCAGUUGAGCACCAAGUCCUUCUCAAUGCAUCUGUUCAGAACUGCUUCCAAAUUGACUAAGCAUUCCUCAAAUGUACCUCCAUAAACGGUGAUGUCAUCCAUGAAAACCUCCAUAAUUCGCUCCACCAUAUCACUGAAGAUACUAAGCAUACAUCUUUGGAAUGUUGCAGGUGCAUUGCAUAAACCAAAAGGCAUUCUUCUGUAGGCGUAUGUUCCAAACGGACAUGUGAAAGUGGUCUUCUCCUGAUCUUCCACAUCAAUUUCAAUUUGGAAAUACCCUGAGUACUCGUCCAAGAAACAAUAAAAAGGAUGGCCUGAGACUUUCUCUAGCACCUGAUCAAUAAAUGGGAGUGGAAAAUGAUAUUUCCUUGUCACAACAUUCAACUUUCGAUAAUCAAUACACACCCUCCAACCUGAAGUGAGGCGUGUAGCAAUUUCUUCUCCUUUUUCAUUCUGAACCACAGUAAUCACUGACUUCUUUGGUACCACUUGAGUAGGACUCACCCAAGGGCUGUCAGAUAUGGGGUAAAUAAUACCUGCUUGAAGUAGCUUCAGCACUUCAGCUCACACCACCUCUUGCAAAUGAGGAUUCAAUCUUCUUUGAGGUUGACGAAUUGGUUUAGCUUCUUCCUCCAUAUAAAUGUGAUGUGUACAAACCAAAGGGCUAAUGCCUUUCAAGUCAGAUAUUUGCCAUCCUAUUACUUUCUUACACCUCUUGAGAACUUCAAGUAAAGAAAUUUCCUGAUGACUAGUAAGAGAUGAAGAUAUAACAACAGGACAUUGAUUAUUUUCUUCAAGGUAUGUAUAUUUCAGCUCCACAAGCAGAGGCUUCAAAUUGAGCUUUGGGGUCUCUUUUUCAGCAGCUUCUCAUUCCUCUUUAUUGAACAAAGGUAGAAUCUCUUCUCUCCUCCUCCAACCUUGUAGAGUAGCAAGCACAUUAGGGGGUUCAGAAAACCCUUCUUCAAGAUCCCCAAGACUUUCAUUCAGCUUGUCUUGCAUAUUCUGAUUACAGUGCUCCUCCACUAGAGUGUCGAUAAUGCAUACCUCUUCUGGAUCUUCUUCUUCUUCCGGAGUGAUUUGCUUUUUAGACAUAUGAAAAAUGUUGAGUUCAAGUGUCAUAUUGCCAAAAGUGAGUUGCAUGAGUCCAUUCCUACAAUUGAUGAUUGCAUUUGAAGUAGCAAGGAAUGGCCUUCCAAGGAUGAUAGGAACUGAAUUAGCUUCCUUUACAGUAGGAUCUGUAUCAAGAAUAACAAAAUCUACUGAAUAGUAGAAAUUAUCAACUUGAACUAAGACAUCCUCAAUUACCCCCCUUGGAAUUUUUACUCAUCUAUCUGCUAGAGAUAGGGUGAUUGAUGUUGGCUUCAACUCACCAAGUCCCAAUUGCUUAUAGACAGAGUAUGGUAGCAAAUUCACACUUGCUCCCAAGUCUAACAAAGCUUUCUCCACUACCUUUCCUCCAAUCAUGACUGAAAUGGUAGGACAUCCCGGAUCUUUGUACUUCAAAGGAGACUUGCAUUGUAUGAUUGCACUUACUUGCUCAGUCAAGAAGGCUUUCUUGUUCACAUUCAACCCUCUUUUGAUAGUACACAGGUCCUUUAGGAAUUUUGCAUAUGUUGGAACUUGCUUAAUCAUAUCCAGCAAUGGAAUGUUGACCUUCACUUGUCUCAAUACUUCAAGGAUUUCUGAUGCAUUUUUUAUCCCCUUUUUCCCAUGCAAAGCUUGAGGAAAAGGUGGAGAUAUACGUUUCUUCAUCAAUUCUUCCUUAAUAAGCUCUUUCUCCAUAUUUGCAUUCACUGUUGAAUCACGGUCCUCCUUCUCUUCACUAACAUCUUUCUGUUUUCCUUUCAUUUCCUCCCCCUUCUUUGUUUCUUCUUCUUCUUCAACAUGUGGCUUGGGUGUUGGUGGCUCAACCUUUUUACCACUCCUUAGAGUGAUCAAGGCUUUAACAUUUUUCACCUGUGACGAUUCUCCCUCAUGGAUUUCCAUUUCAUGGAUACCCUUGGGGUUUUGGUGAGGUUGAGAAGGAAAUCUACCCUUCUCUUGCACUGUGUUCAAGUUAGUGAGCCUUGAUAUUGAGUAUUGGAGAUUAUCUAUCUUUUGAGAUAGAUGAUUUUGCAUCCCAUUCAUCCUUCUCUCUACACUGUCAAUUCUUUGACUGAGUUGAGCAUUGAUGGCUUUUUGGUCUCCAACAAAAUCUUCCACAACCUUGCUUAGAUUCGCUAUUGCUUUUUCAAGACUUGAAGAUUGUUGAGAUAGUUGAGCCGGUUGAGAUGGUGGAGCCGGUUGUUGGUAUUGAGGUGCUCUUGCCUUCCAUGAGAAAUUUGGAUGAUUCCUCCAACUUGAGUUGUAAGUAUUUCCAUAUGGUGCAUUGUUAUUGGGCUUGAAUUGACCAACAACAUUUGCUUGAUCUCCAAACAUUUCCCUUACAGUUGGAAUUGUAGGGCACUCCUCCACCAAGUGUUCAUAAGACUGACAAAUAGGACACAACUUUACUUGCACUGGUGCUUCAGCAACAGCUUGCACUUCAUGCAUCUUUUUCAGUUCUAGCUCCUCCAAUCUUCUUGUCAUAGCUGCAAAUUUUGCUUUCAUAUCAUCAUCUUCAUUCAAGGUGUACAUCCCAGCCUUAGCAUUGAAAGCACUCGAUUGAGACUUCAUCUUUCCCACUUCUCCUUUGUUGGGUUCAUCCCAUCCCCUUGAAACUUCAGCCACAUAACUCAAGAAAUCCAUAGCUUCCUCAGGAUUCUUACUCAUGAAAUCCCCUUCACACAUUGUUUCAAGGAGUUGCUUCAUUGAGGAAGACAUCCCAUCAUAAAAAUAGCUCACCAACAGCCAUGUAUCAAAGCCAUGGUGAGGACAAGCAGUUAUGGCUUCUAUAUAUCUUUCCCAACACUCAUAGAAUUUCUCAUUCUCUUUAGCUGAGAAGUUUGAAAUUUGCCUUUUCAAGCCAUUUGUUCUGUGAGUAGGAAAAAAUUUCUUGAGGAAUUCAGCUUGUAAGUCAGUCCAAGUACGGAUACUCCUUAGCCUUAAAGAAUUAAGCCAGAUCUUGGCCUUAUCCUUUAAAGUAAAAGGAAAUAGCUUAAGCCUCAUCAAGUCGAUAGAAGCUCCUUCCUCUCGGAAUGUAUUACAAACAUCUUCAAAUUCUUUGAUAUGGGCAUAGGGAUUCUCACUUUCCAUUCCAUGGAAAGUUGGUAGAAGUGGCACAAUAUGAGGUCUGAUCACUAGCUGCUCUGUAGGGGGCACUAUACAUGAUGGUGCACUCAUACGAGGUGGAUGCAUUCGGUCCCUCAUUGAGAUGAAAGCAUUGGGAUUAUCCUGGUGACCAUGGUGACUAUGCUGAUCUUCAGGUGUAGCUUCCAUGAUAUUCAAGCUCAAUUCCAAUUCCUUGUUAUGAGGUUAUCAAGUUUAACAAGCCUUCUUCCACUGUCUCGUAUCUAAUUUGGCAUACACAACUAGUAUCGAUUGUAACUAAGAAAGAAAAACAAAAAUAGAGGAAAACAAAAAAAAAACUACCAAAAAGAGUUCGAUUAACUAAAACUAAAUUAAAAACUAUGCUAGUAUAUAAACGAGUAAAAGAAAAAACUAAAAGAGUUAGUAAAAUGAGAGAAAAUUCACUAAACUUGUGAUGAAAACCACAGGUACCUUGAAAUAAUAUCACUAUGAAGUUGGCACCUUCCCCGGCAACGGCGCCAUUUGAUUCGUGCCCAGUCGGUGUAUCAACUGAUUCAUGUCCAGCUGGUGCUCCUUGCUUGAGGAAGUAAUCAACAAAAUUUAUAACCUAUUACACCAUGAACUAGGGUAGCAAAGACAAAGCUACUAUAGCAUAGUGGCUCUAGGAUCGUUCACUGGGAAGGGGUUUCAAUUCAUAAAUGAUACCAAUUCAAAGCUGAAUUGGUGCCUUUUCAUUUCAAGGUUAGCUUUAAAAGAAAACAUAAUUUUUGGAUGAAAAAGGUUUGGUUUAAACUAAUGGUAAAGAAAGUAAUAGAAAUUACUUAUGAAGAAAAACAUUCCUUAAAGGUUUAGGUUCACAGGGGAGGUUCCUCGUGCAACAACAGAGCUCCGGUCAUUUGGUUCAUUUCCUCGCAUUAGAGAAUUAACAUAUAGUCAAUUCUCUAAUCGGCUCUGUACAGAUGCUUUCCUUUAAUGGGUUCAAACACUAAAUCUCUAUCACUGAUGCACCUUGCAAUGGCUCAUACCUCUCACCUAGCACUUGCCAUUCAAGGUGAUCUUUAACCUUGGACUUCCCGUCAAAAGCUCGCAAGAGAUAACUAAUGGAUGUCUCCUUGGAGUCCAAAAGCUUACCAAGUGUUGGCUAUUCUAGAAAAUCCUACCUUCAAACCACUUCCCAAAUGCUCGCAAGAGAUAAACUAGUGCAUCUCAAUGGAGAUCACUUGCCUUAUCAAACUAGUGCAGUCGGGUACAAAUUGGCGGCAGCCGGGUGCAAAAUGAUGGCAGCCGGGUGCAAAUGGCGGCAGCCGGGUGCAAAUGGCGGCGCACAUCCGAUACAAAUUGGCGGCAGCCGGGUGCAAAUCCUAUCCGGAUAUGUGGUCCGGACGCCCUCCGAUGGUGUAUCCAGACGCCCUGUCCGGGUAUACUCCUUGCAUGGAUUCCAAAUAACUUUCCUCAAUUUCAGAUUUGCUUUGGUGAUAAAAAAGCUAUCAAACACCAAAACUUAACACAUUUUUUAUUAGAAUUGAUUGCAAGGGUCCUUAACAUGCCAAUUGAGUUAAAAGGUAAUAACUACUACUCAAUAGUGUUUAAAAGAGUUAAUUACAAGCUAUGAAAUAGCACGUUUUGAGUAGUAAUCAACAUCGAUAUGCUAGUUGACAGCACUGCAGGGCAUUCGAUGUUGUCCUUCAUGGAUGGAUUUUAUGGGUAUAACCAGAUUGUAAUAGCUCUAGAGGAUAUGGAGAAGACUUCUUUCAUCACUAAGUGGGGUACUUAUUGCUACCUGCUUAUGCCAUUUAGGUUGAAGAAUGCGGAAGCCACUUAUCAGAGAGCUGCUACUACUUUAUUCCACGACAUAAUGCACAGAGACGUCGAGGUAUAUGUGGAUGACAUGAUAGUGAAAUCCCGAGACAGGGCAGAUCACUUAGCAGCACUACAGAGAUUCUUUGAGAUGAUCUGACAGUUCAGGCUAAGAUUGAAUCCCAAGAAGUGUACAUUUGGGGUGACUUUUGGGAAAUUGCUAGGACAGAUCGUCAAUGAGCGUGGUAUAGAGGUUGAUCCCGAAAAGAUCAGAGCCAUACUUGACAUGCUUGCUCCGAGGACUGAGAGAGAGAUUAAAGGCUUUCUUGGCAGACUACAGUAUAUAAGUUGUUUCAUUGCUAGAUUGACAGACAUAUGCGAGCCUAUCUUCCUUCUUCUGAGGAAGAACCAGCCUACAGUUUGGAAUGAUGAUUACUAGCGCGCUUUCCAGAAGAUUAAGGAGUGUCUCCUCUCUUCUCCAGUUUUAGUGCCUCCCACACGGGGGUGGCCUCUGCUUCUGUACUUGUCCGUUUCAGACAUGGCUUUGGGAUGCAUGUUAGCUCAGCUCGAUGAUUCAGGGAAGGAGCGAGCCAUUUAUUAUCUGAGUAAGAGGAUGCUGGAGUAUGAGUGCAAAUACAUUAUGAUUGAGGGCCUCUAUUGAGCAUUUAUUUGGGCCACCAAGAGGCUGAGGAACUACGUGACAGAGUAUUCCAUAUUAUUAGACUCACGAUUGGAUCCAUUGAGAUAUUUGUUUGAGAGGCAUGUCCUGACUGGUAGGCUCAUGAGAUGGUUGGUGCUGUUGACAGAGUUUGAUAUUUAGUAUGUUACACAGAAGUCGGUAAAAGGGAGCAUUGUUGCAGAUCAUUUGGCUUUUUUUCCCGUAUCUAACGACAAACCGAUUGACGAUGAUUUCCCUGAUGAGCAGUUUGUCUUAGUGACCAGUAUUGCAGGAUGGUGGUUAUACUUUCAUGGUGCUGCCAAUCAGUCGGGGUUUGGUAUCGGUAUCCUAUUGAUAUCACCACAAGGUGAUCACAUUCCCAUAUCAGUCCGAUCGGCAUUCUUUGAUCAUCAUCGACUGACGAAUAAUAUUGUUGAGUAUGAGCCGUGCAUUACAGGUUUGUAGACUGCGCUAGACCUUGGAGUCAGAUAGUUGGAGAUCCAUGGGGAUUCCAACUUGGUUAUUCAGCAAACUUAGGGUAUUUGAAGGACUUAGGAUGAGAAGUUAAAGCCCUAUCAUGCUUAUUUGGAUUUGUUGGUUGAUAGGUUUGAGCAGUUGAGAUAUAUACAUCUGCCUAGGGCAGAAAAGUAGUUUUCUGAUGCAUUAGCCACCUUAGCUUCUGUGAUUGAGAUUCCUGCGGGAGUGAUAGUGUGACCAUUGGUGAUUGAGACUAGGUCCGCACCAGCUUACUGUUGUUUGAUUGGGGAUAUUGAGGACCAGGAUGAGUUGCCCUGGUAUCAUGACAUUUAUCAGUUCUUGUUAUGUGGCGCUUACCUUGAGUCAGCCUCAACCAAGGAUAGGAGAGCUUUGAGGCAGCUAGCCACUAGAUUCGUGAUUUGUGGAGAGUCCUUCUAUAGACGAUCACCCGAGGGCUUAUUAUUGCUGUGUUUAGACCAUACCUCUGCAGAUAGAGUAAUGAGAGAGGUUCAUGCAGGAGUUUGUGGCCCACACAUGGGGAGACAUAUGUUGGCCCGAAAGAUUAUGAGGACAGGUUAUUUCUGGUUGACUAUGGAGGUAGAUUGUUGCCAGUUCGUUCAGAGGUGCCCAGAGUGUCAGAUGCAUGGUGAUCUCAUUCACGUGCCACCUUCGGAGUUGCAUGCACUCACAUCCCCUUGGCCAUUUUCAGUGUGGGUUAUUGAUGUUAUUGGAAAGAUCUCACCCAAGUCUUCUAGCGGGCAUGAGUAUAUCUUAGUUGCCGUUGAUUAUUUCACCAAGUGGGUGGAAGCUGCUUCUUAUGCUAGAUUGACAGCGGCCAAGGUGGCCAAAUUCAUCAGGUCACAUAUUAUCUACCGAUAUGGGGUCCCCCCGAGCUGAUUUCUGAUAGAGGGUGUAUUUCAGGGGCGAGGUGGAUAUAUUGAUUAAGGAGUAUAGCAUUUAGCAUCACAGAUCGUAUGCGUAUAGGCCGCAGACUAAUGGGGCAGUUGAGGCUGCAAAUAAAAAUAUCAAGAGGAUUUUGAGAAAUAUGGUCGAGACUUCUCGGGAUUGGUCAGAGAAGCUCUCUUUUGCAUUAUGGGUUUACCGUAUAUCUUUUCGUACUUCUACCGGGGCUAGCCUGUAUUCUUUGGUAUAUGGUAUGGAGGCGGUGCUGCCUGUUAAGAUUGAGAUGGGAUCCUUGAGAGUAGCAUUAGAGCAGCAAAUAUUUGAGACUGAAUGGGCUCAGUCCCAUUAUGACCAACUUAGUCUUCUAAAUGAGAGGAGAUUGAGGAUAGUAGAUCAUGUUCAAGCUUAUUAGAGGAAGACGACUCGUGCAUUUAGAAAGAGGGUUAAGCCUAGGAAAUUUCAGAAGGGUGACUUAGUCUUGAAAGUCCUCAGGGGAUUGAUCAGUGACCCUAGAAGCAAGUUUAGACCGACUUGGAGCGGGCCUUAUGUUAUUCGAGAUUUGACCCGAGAGGGAGCCGCCUGGCUGACGGACUUAGACGAAAAUCAGUUUAAGGAGCCAGUCAAUGUGGAUCAGUUGAAGAAGUUUUAUGCGUGAGAUCAUGGUUAGAGGAUGGGUGGCCAUCAUUUUUUAGUAGCCAUUUUUCUUGUUGCACACCCACACAUUGAUAUAUCCUAUUGCUAGCCUGUUGUGCCUCAUGUGGUUUGUUAUGGCCUAUUCAUUCACUUAGCCUUGCAUACAUUUUCUCACCUGGGUUGGGGGCCUGUCCUUUGCGCUUUACAUUUAUUGAUUGGAUCUGUGAGUAUCGUGAGCUUUCUGUCAUUGUUCAUGUGUUCUUUCUUUGGUCAUUCAUGGUUUCUUCUUUCGUCCAUUGUGCAUUUUCAUUUCAUCUGGCUUUGAGUUCUGUUUCUAUCAUCUCGACUCUAUUCGCUUCUGUUUUCUCUUAUGUGAUGAUAACACGCUCUUGUCUUGGAGCUACAGGUCAGGCCUUUCACACCCUUCAUUCCACUUGUAGUCUUUGAUCUAGGAUUCUUAGGUUGAGGUGGGACCAUUUGGGAUGAGAGUUUUGAGGUUCUUUUGGUUGGACUAUGCUAGUGUGGCAUUCAGCUAGCUUUGGUUAUUUGGCGCAAAAAAAAAAAAAAAAAGAAGUGCUUAUUUGGUAUUUGUUGUUAUACUUGGGAUUAUCAGAGAUCAUUUGGGUUUGAGAGAUUUAUUAUUCCUCUGAGAGUUGGAUGAGAGCAUUGUACAAUCCUUCUCCAUGGAUUUGGGUGACACAUUGGGAGUAAGGUUUGGGUUUCUUUGGCACUCGGUCCCCUGGAUCAUUGUUUACAUCACCUUUCCCAUCUUACAGUGACUUGCUUCAGUCUGGCGUUCUUGGGAUGAGUUGUUCAUCGUUGUCACAUAUUGCUACAUUUUUAUCCUAGCUUGUUCCUCCAUUUUCUACUACAUCCAAUCAUCAUUUGUCUUAUCCCUUUUCGCCUUCUUCUAUCCUCAUCGAAUGUCGUUUAGCUUUAUGAACGACGAGUUCUUUGGUGCACAUCACCUAUUGUUUGACAUUAUUCAUUUGGAUGUAGGUUGAGUCACCUUGCUCACUGAUUUCGUGCCCAGCUGGUGUACCUUGAUUUUGGUCCUUAGAUAGGAGUAAUCAACAAAAUUUAUAACCUAUAUCACCAUGUACUAGGAUAGCCUCAGCUAACAUAGCAUAGUGGCUCUAGGAUCGUUCACUAGGAAGGGUUUUCAACUUGCAACUGAUAAUAAUUCAUAGUUGAAUUGAUGUUUUUUUUCAUUUCAAGGUUACCUUUAAAAGAAAACAUAAACUUUGGUUUAAAAAUGAUUGGUUUUAAGCUAACUAAAAAUAGAGUAACAAAAAUGACUUAAGUGGAGCUAAUAUCCUUGCUUUCUUCUUAGGAGGACGGCUAGUUGACUUCUUUGCACGAGAAGAGCUUGCCCCGAGUGUGGUGGGUGAUCUUCUUGUCUCAUAUCGCCUCGAAUGAGAACUCAAAGGCGCGCCCUCUACUGAAGGUGGGACGACAAGUGGCUGUGAAGGCUCAAUCAUGGAGCCUUGCAUAGGGGCCACUCUUGGUGCUCUGGGAUGGCCUGAGGGAGAUGAGGUCUUGGUUCCUCGGGUUUUUGCCAUGGCUGACUCAGAGAGGUUUGAGAGAGGGUGGUCGGAGGUGCGUGCGCGGCUUGGGCUCAGAUGGAGGUCCUCUGGAAAUGGUGCUUUGGCUUGGCUCCUAUUUUGCACCAAAGGGAGGUUUUCGCAAGGCAAAUGACCGGUGUAAAGUGAAAAAAAAUGGAAUUUAAAAAGUUAAAUUAGAAGCCAAGUGACGGUUGAGAUUUUUCGUAGAGGAGCGGGCAUUUCGCAGCGGAGGCCCAUUUUCACAGCCAAGGACCAUUUUCGCAGCCCAUUUUGCAGCUGCGAAAUGAGAAAGUGGGGCUGCGAAAUGGCACUCGUGUGCCAAAGUGGGGUUUUGCAGCUGCGAAAUGGAGCUUUGGCUGCGAAAUUGAGCUUUUGAGGGCCUUGGAUGGUUUCACAGAAGGUUUCGCAGUUGCGAAAUGAAGGCUUGGGCUGCGAAAUGACACUCGUGUGCGAAAAGAAGGUUUCGCAGCUGCGAAAAUUUUGGCAGAAGAGGGCUAUGGGGCUGCGAAAUUGUUUCGCAGAGGAGGACCCAUUUCGCAGCAAACCCUUGAUUUCACAGCGAGUCCCUUUUGGCUGCGAAAUUAUUUCACAAAGGAUGGUCGUUUUCGCAGGGGGCUAUUUUGGGCUGCGAAAUUUUGCAGGCCACUGAAAUUUCUUGUUUCUGAGCUCCUUUUGGCUCCCUGAGACCUUCCUUCACCUCUUUUGCAAUUCCUCCUAAAUUAGAUCAUUCAAAAAGUCUAAGUUACAUAAAAAUAACAUAAAUUAAGACUAAGAUUAAAAUCAAAACAAUUAAUAAAGUUCUUAAAUUAACAAAAUUAAACAAAAAAUAUGGACUUUGGUGAGACCAAGUCCAUUUAACCUCUUUCUGAUUAGGAUUUCUGUGGCUCAAGGAGGUUGAUUUCCUCCUUACCUUGCUUGAAUGACUCAAUAAAUGGUUUGAGACAAUGGCCAUUGACUUUAAAGGUGUUAGUGUUGUUGGAAUUCAGUAAUUCCACCACUCCAUUGAGAUGCACUUGGUGAAUAAUGAAAGGGCCUAUCCACCUUGACUUCAGCUUCCUAGGAAAGAUAUGGAGCCUUGAUUCAUAGAGUAAGACUCUUUUUCCUUUUCGGAAUUCUUUGUUGGAGAUUAACUGAUCAUGCCACCUCUUCAUCCUCUGUUUUGAAACUUUGGAAUUGAUGUAGGCAUCAUUUCUUAAUUCCUCCAUCUCAUUAAGGUCUAAGCACUUCUUUGCCUUGGCUCUGAUCAAGUCCAUGUUAACCUUCUUGAUUGCCUACCAAGCUUUAUAUUCAACUUCUACAAGGAGAUGGCAUGUUUUGCCAUAGACUAGGCGAUAGGGAGACAUGCUAAGAAUAGUCUUGUAAGCUGUUCUAUAUGCCCAUAGUGAAUCAUGGAGCUUAAUAGACCAAUCUCUUCUGCUCGUGUUCACCAGCUUCAUCAAUAUAUUCUUGAUUUCCCUGUUUGCUAGCUCAACUUGCCCGGAAGUCUGAGGGUGAUAAGGUGUAGCUACCUUAUGCUUCACCCCAUACUUGGCUAAUAGGGUUUCAAAAGGCUUGUUGCAAAAAUGAGUACCUCCAUCACUGAUUAUGGCCUUGGGCACCCCAAAUCUUGAGAAGAUGUUCUCUUUGAGAAACUUGAGAACCACCCUAUGAUCAUUGUGUUUACAGGGGAUUGCCUCAACCCAUUUAGAAACAUAGUCCACCCCCACCAAGAUAUAAGAGUUACCAAAAGACAUUGAGAAAGGUCCCAUGAAGUCAAUGUCCCAAACAUCAAAGAGAUCAACUAUUAGAAUGGGGUUCAUAGGCAUUUGAUUUCUUCUUGUUAGCUUCCCAAGCCUUUGGCAUUUAUCACAACUCCUACACAUGGUGUGGGCAUCUUUGAAGAGUGAUGGCUAACUAAACCCUGAUUGCAACAUCUUCAUGGCUGUUUUCUGGGAGGCAAAGUGGCCUCCACAUGCACGCUCAUGGCAAUGGCCGAGGAUUCCUUGUUGCUCUUCUUCAGGGACACACUUCCUUAUUAUUUGAUCUACACAAUACUUGAAAAGGAAAGGUUCUUCCCAAUAAUAAGCAUGAAUCUUUGCAAAUAAGUGCUUUCUAUCUUGUGCUUUCCACUCUCUUGGAACUUCACCAGUAACUAGAUAGUUAGCAAUAUGAGCAUACCAAGGAGUUUUUUCUAGCAACAUAAGUGAUUCCUCAGGAAAGUCAUCAUUAAUAGGUAAGACAUGGGAAUUGUGUGCUAUAGCCAACCUUGAAAGGUGGUCAACUACCACAUUCUCCACUCCUUUCUUAUCUCUGAUUUGGAGAUCGAAUUCUUGUAGUAAGAGAAUCCAUCUAAUCAACCUUGAUUUUGCAUCUUGCUUUGUCAAUAAAUACUUCAAGGUUGAAUGGUCAGUGAAAACAAUGAUGAAGGACCCUACUAGAUAAGCAUGAAACUUGUUUAAGGCAAACACUACAGCUAACAAUUCUUUCUCUGUGGUUGUUUAGUUCCUUUGAGCUUCGUUCAAUGUCUUACUUGCAUAGUAGAUCACAUAGGGCUUUCCAUCUUCUCUUUAGCCAAGCACAACUCCUAUAGCAAAGUCACUGGCGUCACACAUCACUUCAAAGGGUAGUUGCCAGUUAGGAGCCCUCACAAUUAGAGUAGUUGUCAAGAAUUGCUUCAGUUGAUCAAAACUCCUUUGACAUCUUUCAUCCCAUAUAGACUUAGCAUCCUUAGCCAAAAGUUCACAAAGAGGCUUUGAAAGCUUAGAGAAAUCUUUUAUAAACCUCCUAUAGAACCCUGCAUGGCCAAGGAAUUGCCUUACUCCUUUUACAGUUGUUGGGAAUGACAAUUUGACACAAUAAGUUCCACCUUUGCUUUAUCAAUUUCAAUGCCUUUCUCGGAGAUGAUAUGGCCAAGGACAAUUCCUUGCUGUACCAUAAAAUGGCAUUUCUCCAAGUUGAGCACCAAGUCCUUUUCAAUGCAUCUAUUCAGAACCGCUUCCAAGUUGACUAAGCAUUCUUCAAAUGUACUUCCAUAUGUGGUGAUAUCAUCCAUGAAAACCUCCAUAAUUUGCUCCACCAUAUCACUGAAGAUACUUAGCAUACAUCGUUGGAAUGUUGCAGGUGCAUUGCAUAAACCAAAAGGCAUUCUUCUAUAGGCAUAUGUUCCAAAUGGACAUGUGAAAGUGGUUUUGUCCUGAUCUUCAAUAUCGAUUUCAAUUUGAAAAUACCCGGAGUAGCCGUCCAAUAAACAAUAGAAAGGAUGGCCACAGACUCUCUCCAACACUUGAUCAAUAAAUGGCAAUGGAAAAUGAUCCUUCCUUGUCACAGCAUUCAAUUUUCUAUAAUCAAUACACACCCUCAACCCUGAAGUGAGGCGUGUAGAAACUUUUUCUCCCUUUUCAUUUUGAACCACCGUGAUCCUUGACUUCUUUAGUACCACUUGAGUAGGACUCACCCAAGGGCUGUCGGAUAUGGGAUAGAUAAUACCUGCUUGAAGUAGCUUCAGAACCUCAGCUCGCACCACCUCUUGCAAAUGAGGAUUCAAUCUUCUUUGAGGUUGAUGAAUUGGUUUAACUUCUUCUUCCAUGUAUAUAUGAUGUGUAUAGACCAAAGGACUGAUGCCUUUCAAGUCAGAUAUUUGUCAUCCUAUUGCUUUCUUACACCUCUUGAGAACUUCAAGUAGACACAUCUCCUGAGGAGUAGUAAGAUAUGAAGAUAUAACAACAGGGCACUUUUGAUUUUCUUCUAGGUAUGUAUAUUUCAACUCCGUGGGUAGAGGCUUCAGAUUGAGUUUUGGGGUCUCUUCUUUAGCAGCUUCUUGUGCCUCUUCUUUAUUGAACAAAGGUAGAAUCUCUUCUCUUAUUCUCCAACCUUGUAGAGAAGCAAGCACAUCUGAGGGUUUAGGCAACCCUUCUUCAAGAUCCCCAAGACUUUCAUUCAACUUGUCUUGCAUUUUCUUAUUACAAUGCUCCUCCACUAGAGUGUCAAUAAUGCACACCUCUUCUGGACCUUCUUCUUCUUUCGGAGUGAUUAGCUUUUUGGACAUAUAGAAGAUAUUGAGCUCUAGUGUCAUGUUGCCAAACGUGAGUUGCAUGAGUCCAUUCCUACAAUUUAUGAUUGCAUUUGAUGUAGCAAGAAAUGACCUUCCAAGGAUGAUAGGAACAUAAUCCGUUUCCUUGACAAUUGGGUCUGUGUCAAGAACAAUAAAGUCUACUGGAUAGUAGAAAUUAUCAACUUGAACUAAGACAUCUUCAAUUACCCCCCUUGGAAUUUUCAUUGAUCUAUCUGCUAGAGAUAGAGUGAUUGAUGUUGGCUUUAAUUCACCAAGUUCCAAUUGCUUGUAGACAGAGUAUGGUAGCAAAUUCACACUUGCUCCCAAGUCUAACAAAGCUUUCUCCACUACUUUUCCUCCAAUCAUGAUUGAAAUGGUGGGACAACUCGGAUCUUUGUACUUCAAAGGAGACUUGCAUUGUAUGAUAGCACUCACUUGCUCAGUCAAGAAGGCUUUCUUAUUCACAUUCAACCCUCUUUUGAUAGUACACAAGUCCUUUAGGAAUUUUGCAUAUGUUGGAACUUGUUUAAUCAUAUCCAGCAAUGGGAUAUUGACUUUCACUUGUCUCAAUACUUCAAGAAUUUCUGAUGCAUUUCUGAUCCCUUUUUUCCCAUGCAAAGCUUGAGGAAAAGGUGGAGAUGUGUGUUUCUUCAUCACAUCUCCCUUGAUGAGUACUUUAUCCGGAUUUGCAUUCACUGUUGAAUCAUGGUCCUCCUUCACUUCACUGGUAUCUUUCUUCUUUCCUUUGAUUUCCUCCCUCUUCUCUGUUUCUUCUUCUUCUUUUUCUUCCUCUUUAACAUAUGGCUUGGGUGUUGGUAGCUCAACCUUUUUACCACUCCUUAGAGUGAUCAAGGCUUUGACAUCUCUCACCUGAGAAGAUUCUCCCUCAUGAGUUUCCACUUCAUGGAUACCUUUGGGGUUUUGGUGAGGUUGAGAAGGAAAUCUACCCUUCUCUUGCACUAUGUUCAGGUUAGUGAGCCUUGAGAUUGAAUAUUGGAGAUUAUCUAUCUUCUGAGAUAAGCCAUUUUGCAUGUCAUCCAUCCUUUUAUUCAAUGUAUUCUCUACACUGUCAAUUCUUUGACUAAGUUGAGCAUUGAUGGAUUUUUUAUCUCCAAUAAAAUUUCCCACAACCUUGCUUAGAUUCACUAUUGCUUGUUCAAGAUUUGAAGCUUGUUGAGAUGGUUGAGCUGGCUGUUGGUACUAAGGUGCUCUUGGCUUCCAGGAGAAAUUUAGAUGGUUCCUCCAAUUUGAGUUGUAAGUAUUUCCAUACAAAGCAUUGUUGUUGGGCUUGAAUUGUCCAAUGACAUUUGCUUGAUCUCUAAACAUUUCCCUAGCAGCUAGAAUUGUAGAGCACUUCUCCACCAAGUGCUCAUAAGAUUGAAAAAUAGGACAUGGCUUGACUUGCACUGGUGUUUCAGCAACAGCUUGCACUUCAUGUAUCUUCUUCAGUUCUAGCUCCUCCAAUCUUCUUGUCACAGCUGCAAACUUUGCCUUUAUAUCAACAUUUUCAUUUAAGGUGUACAUCCCAGCCUUAGCAUUAAAGGCAUUCGGUUGAGACUUCAUCUUCUCCACUUCUCCUUUGUUCGGUUCAUCCCAUCCCCUUGAUACUUCAACCACAUAACUUAAGAAAUCCAUGGCUUCCUCCAGAUUCUUACUCAUGGAAUCUCCUCUACACAUUGUCUCGAGGAGUUGCUUCAUUGAGGAAGACAUCCCAUCAUAAAAGUAACUCACCAAUAGCCAUGUAUCAAAACCAUGGUGAGGAUAAGCAUUGAUGGCUUCCAUGUAUCUUUCCCAACACUCAUAGAAUUUCUCACUCUCUUUAGCUGAGAAGUUUGAAAUUUCCCUUUUCAAGCCAUUUGUUCUGUGAGUAGGAAAAAAUUUCUCGAGGAAUUCAACUUGCAAAUUAGUCCAAGUCCGGAUACUCCUUGGCCUUAAAGAAUUAAGCAAAAUCUUGGCCUUAUCCUUUAAAUUAAAAGGAAAUAGUUUAAGCCUCAUCAAGUCGAUUGAAGCUCCUCCUUCUUGAAACGUAUUACAAACAUCUUCAAAUUCCUUGAUAUGGGCAUAGGGAUUCUCAUUUUCAAUCCCAUGGAAAGUUGGUAGAAGUGGAACAAUAUGCGGUCUAAUUACUAGCUGCUUUGUAGGGGGCACUAUACAGGAUGGUGCACUCAUACGAGGUGGAUACAUGAGGUCCCUCAUUGAUCUGAAUGCAUUGGGAUUGUCCUGGUGACCAUGGUGACUAUACUGAUCUUCAGGUGUAGCUUCCAUGAUAUUCAAACUCAAUUCCAAUUCCUUGUUAUGAGGUAUUUCAAGUUUCACAAGCCUUCCUCUACUAUCUCGUAUCCAAUUUGGCAUACACAACUAGUAUCAACUGUAAUAAAAACAAAAACAAAAGAAAACAAAAGAAAACAAAAGAAAACAAAACUACAAAAAGACUAAGAUUAAUUAAAACUAAAUUAAAAAAAAUGCUAAAAUAUGAACAAAUAAAAGAAACAAUUAAAAGAGUUACUAGAAUGAAAGAAAAAUCACCAAACUUGUGAUGAAAAUCACAAGUACUCUGAAAAGAUAAUAUCACUGUAAAGUUGGCACCUUCCCCGACAAUGGCGCCAUUUGAUUUCGUGCCCAGCUGGUAUACCUUGAUUUUGGUCCUCAGAUAAGAGUAAUCAACAAAAUUUAUAACCUAUAUCACCAUGUACUAGGAUAGCCUCAGCUAGCAUAGCAUAGUGGCUCUAGGAUCGUUCACUAGGAAGGGUUUUCAACUUACAAUUGAUAAUAAUUCAAAGUUGAAUUGAUGUUUUUUUUCAUUUCAAGGUUAGCUUCAAAAGAAAACAUAAACUUUGGUUUAAAAAGGAUUGGUUUUAAGCUAACUAAAAAUAGAGUAACGAAAAUUACUUAUAAAGAAAAGUGUUUCUUGGAGUUUUAGGAUCACUGGGAUCAGGCUCCUAAUACAAAAACAGAGUUCCGGUCACUUGAAUCUUUUCCUCGCAUUAGAGAAUUAACAUAUAGUUAUUUCUCUAACCGGUGUGGUACAGAUGCUUCCCUUUUAUGGAUUCAAACACUAAAUCCCUCUCACUGAUUCAUCUUGCAAUGGCUCGUGCCUCUCACCUAGCAUUUGUCAUUCAAGGUGAUACUUAAUCUUGGAUUUCCUUUCACAAGCUCGCAAGAGAUAACUAAUGGAUGUCUCCUUAGAGUCUAAAAGCUUACCAAGUGUUGGCUAUUCUAGAAAAUCCUACUUUCAAACCACCUCCCAAAGGCUCGCAAGAGAUAAACUAGUGCAUCUCAAUGAACGGAGAUCACUUGCCUUACCAAGUGUUGGCCCAGGUGAUUCAAAGACGUUUUAAGUUAACUAAAAACAUAGAAACCAUUAACGGGUACACUUUCUCUUCAUUAAAAGUUGAAACAACAAAACUUCCAAUUCUUGCAUUCGGCACCUUACCCAACUACCUUAACUCCAAGAGACAAAAAGUCUAGCCACUCAUUCUCUGAGGAAACAUCCUCAUUUGUCUAGUAAGCAAAAUACAAUCAAAGUGAGUAGGUAAGGCAGAGCAAAACUCUGUAUAUUACUUCCUUCAAAACUAUACAAAAGGUUGUCUUUAAGAACAAACUCCCGAGAUGUCUGUGUAAAGAAAAUUACAAACCAUAUAUAUGAGGUUAUUCACCCUUUUGUUCUUACUUAUUAACUAAGGAAUCCUAUGAUUGGUGGAUUACAAGGAGAGAAUGGGGAUUUAAACAACAAAUAUUUGAAGAAAAAAAUCUAAAAGAGUCGGUCGCAAAUAUCUGGAAGCACUCAGGUGGAUUUCGCAGGCAUGCAAGAUGGGCUGCGAAAUUUCGCAAGUUGAAAGUCUCCAUUUCGCAGCCAAAGGUUGAUUUCAACUUUUAGCUUGGUGUGAUUGGCUUCCAAUGACUAUAACUCCUUCAUUUCAGCUCCAAUUCAUGCACCGUUUGAAGCGUUAGAUUCCUGACUUCCCAAGCUUCGAAACAACAUAUAGUAUGCAUGAAAUGGACUCUAGAAAGUGCUCUAAAUGUGUCCAAAGUUGUUGUCCUCUUGAAUUCUUCAUGUUAGAUUUCUCUCUUUGCUUUCCCUCAUUGCAUUCAUGAUUUGCUUUUGGAAAAGGACUAUAGAGCUUCAAAACUUGGGUUCUUAAUGUAAAUGAGCUUUCAAUUGCUUUGCCAUGGAUUCUAUAGAACUCUCCUCAAUCUUGAAUUGCUUUGGUGAUAAAAAAGCUAUCAAAAACACCAAAACUUAACACAAAGUGAUUAGAAAUGAUUGCAGAGGUACUUAAUAUGCCAAUUGAGUUAAAAGGUAAUAACUACUAUUCAAAAGUGUUUAAAAGAGUUAAUUAUAAACUAUAAAAUAGCACUUUUUGAGUAGUAAUCACUCACAUGAUUCUAUGAUAUUUGGCAUUGCAUACAGGGGUUUGGCAUUUAGUUAUUGGGUAUUUGGGCCUUUGUGUCCCAUCAUUUCAUUCACCUGUCACCCCUGGCCUACAUUACGGUCCGAGUCGUAAGACCACCCUGAGGCCAUGAGAUCUCGUAUCUGCUUCGAUGCGGUUCAUUCGGAUAGGCUCCAUCUACUGAUUGAGUACGGGAUGUCAACAGGUCUCCAUUGCUUCAGGGAAUAUCGAGGGUCACAUAUUGCCUUUCCAUUCAGUUUGCUUGCCUCAAGUCCAUGAUCAGAGGCAAAUGAUACAGAGAGUUGGGACCGUUGAAAACGUCUUUGCUUGAUGCUUUGACAUGUUCAUACUAGGGCAUACCCUCAUCCUUGCAUACUGGCUUCGACUCUUACACAUGUACGCAGGCAGUUCGUUUCGCCUAGAGAUGUUUUGGAUAUCAGAGUUUAAGUAAGCCCCACAUUCAACUUGGUUUCUUCAUACAGCAGAGUGCUUUUGGGAGCUGACCUGAGAUCAAAUUCACGGUAUUCAUUGACCCAGCAGGAGUGUGCACACCCGGGCAUACCCCAUUCAUUGUCUUGUUCGCUAGCUCAGACAAUUGGGUCUUCAAUGAUGUAUUUCAGAGUUUUCAUUGAGAUAUUUGAGUUUCAGAGGUAAACAUUGGGGCAUACCCCUUAUCAGUUUUUUUGUGGAUAUUGGAUGUUAUGGAUUAGGGUGGAGGGUUUUUCCUCAUGGAUGGAUGUUUGUGAUAUUUCCAGCUUUUUGACUUUGAAUCUAUGUGCAGUUGUGGGUUUCUAACAUGGUUUUGAUGCCUUAGACUGGAGCAUGGCCCUUUCUUUGCACUUUUGGUCACUUUUAAGAGUUGUCAUACAGGGGCAUACCCCCCAUCUUUCUAUCUUGUUGGUGGGGUUAUUCAUUUCUUGUUUAUCGGCGUUUUCUGAUGUCACACUAAGGCACACCCCCUUUCUUUCGUCAUGAUUGACGGGUUUGACUUUUCUCUUAUUUGAUUCAUUUAUUGACAUUUUUCGGACGCCACACUAGGACAUACCCCCCUUUUUCAUGGUGCCAUUACUUUUCAUUUCCUUUCAUUUCAAUGGCUCUCUAGCAUCGUGCCCGGAUCCCCUAGUCAUUUCGGCGGCUCUCUAGCAUCGUGCUCAGAUCCCCUAGUCAUUUCGAUGGCUCUCCAAUAUUGUGCUCAGAUCCCCUAGUCUUUUGGGGGCUUACCCGCAUCAUGCCCGGAUGCCCUGGUCAUUUCGGCUGCUCUCCAGCAUCAUGCUCGGAUCCCCUAGUCAUUCGGCGGCUCUCCGGCAUCAUGCCCGGAUUUCCUAGUCAUUUCGGUGGCUCUCCGGCAUCGUGCCCAGAUCCACUAGUCAUUCCGGCGGCUCUUCGACAUCGUGGCCGAAUCCUUUAUUUUUCGGCAUCGUGCCCGAAACCCCUAUUUUUCGUCAUCGUGUUGGAUUUUCUUUUAUCUUUCUCGGCAUCGCAUACUGAUUUCCUUUGUUUUCUCCGGCAUCAUGCCCGGAUCCACUAGUCAUUCCGGUAGGUCUUCGACAUCGUGCCCAAAUCCUCUAUUUUCCGGCAUCGUGUCCGGUUUCCUUUUAUCUUUCCCGGCAUCGCGCCCGGAUUUCCUUUGUUUUCUCCAGCAUUGUGCCCGGAUCCCCUAGUCAUUCCGGUGGCUCUUUGGCAUCGUGCCCGAAUCCCCUAUUUUCCGGCAUCGUGUCUGGUUUCCUUUUAUCUUUCUCGGCAUUGUGCCCGAAUUUCCUUUGUUUUCUUCGGCAUUGCGCCUGGAUCUUAUAUCUCUCCCGAAAACGCGUCCGAUUUUCUCCUAUCUUUUCUGGCACCGUGUCCAAAUUCCUUUAGCUUUCUCCUGCAGUGUGCCUGGGUCCUUUAGUCCUUCGGUCAUCAUGGCUCAUUCCCUUAGCCUCUUUAUGGUUGUGUGGGGACAAAAUUGUUGGUCAUUGGAAUUCUUCACUAGAGUUCAUUUCACUCAUUCAUUCUUGCACUUUGCAUUCGUGACUCACUCGUUCAUUCACUCUACUAAAGAGGGGCAUAUUUGUAAACCCUCAAUUUUGUCCCUUGACACUUGCAUUUUAUCUUAUGGGUGCCACAUGCACCCAUGUUUUCAUAUGACCCCGCCAUGGCCCCUUUUUGGCCUUGAUCGAUUUCUGAGCCUUGUGUAGGUUCAUUUGCGGUCCAAUGUAGUGCGGGUGUGUAGUUCAUUUUGGAGUUCCGUCAUGGCCAAUUUCCCUAGUUGUUCACAUCAUGCUAUAGGGAAGGAAGUGCAGCCCCCCAAAAAUUUCAGUUCAGUUGGAAUUCAUAAGAGCAGGUUCGAAUUCGGAGCACUUAGGCUUGUUUUGAUCAUAUCUCCCUCAUCCGAACUCGGAAUCACGCACCGUUUUUUUUUAUGGACUCCUUAUUCAUCAAGGAACAUUCUGUAAAAAUUUCAAUUUUUUUUCUCAACUGGCUCGACUGGUUCCCAAAGUUUCAGAUUUUUUCUCAAUCGGAUGAAUUGGUUGGGCACCGGUUCAACAGGUGGCUUGGUGGCAGCCCAGUUUUAUAAAUGCUUUGCAUUGUUUCGAUCAAGUCUCUCUCAUCCAAGAUCAAAAUUGAGCUCUGUUUGUUUUUUUGGAUUCCUUAUUCUCUGAGGAAUCUUCUGGUAAAUUUUCAGAUUUUUUUCUCAAUCGGAUGAACUAGUUAGGAACCGGUUCAACAGGUGGCUUGGUGGCAGCCCCAUUUUAUAAACGCUUUGCAUUGUUUUGGCCGGUUCUCCCUCAUCCAGAAUCAGAAUUGAGCACCAUUUGUUUUUUUAGAUUCUUUAUUCUUUGAGAAAUCUUCUGGUAAAUUUUCAAAUUUUUUCUCAAUCGGAUGAAUCAGUUGGGAACCGGUUCAACAGGUGGCUUGGUGGUAGCCCCAUUUUAUAAAUGCUCUGUAUUGUUUCGGUCGGUUCUUCCUCGUCCGGGCUCAGAAUUGAGCGCCGUUUGUUUUGUUGGAUUCAUUAUUCUCCAAGGAAUCUUUUGGUAAAGUUUUAGAUUUCUUUUCUCAAAUGGUUGAGCUGGUUGGGAACCGGUUCAAUCGGUUUUGCUAGGUAGCUCUAGUUUCAGCGUGUUUUGACCCCCAUUUUUGUUAUGGCUUGGGCCCUUAGGCUCCAAGGCACUUGUAGGCCACCUUUAGGGUCUGAAUCCAGAUUUGGUUUGAAUUAAUGUGGGCCCACCUAUGAGUUGAGGGUAUUAUUGGCUAGGAAGGUCGGGGGGUUAUUGUGAAUGUUUGGCUUGGGCACAUUUUGAUGUUUGAUUAAAAAUGCUUGUGUCUAUUGAUUUGCCCCUGUUUGUAACGCUUGGCUGGGGACCCGAGGUACAUACUUGACUUGUUGGGAAUUGGAUUCAUUUGCAUGCAUGGGACUUGGAUAUGUUUGCUUGUUGUGUGUUGAAUUGAAGCCCCAUUUUAGAUGAAGUGGCACACUAAAACCCAGUGAACAUGAGCUCUAAAAUGCAUACAUUCAAUUUCUUUCCAAACAACCAGCGAUAAGCAGAGCCCCAUGCAAUUCGUAGAGUUCUCCUCAUGCAAUUUAUAUCAGCAAUGUAGUCUCAAGUACAUUCUCGGACCUCACUCUAGCAUUGGCUACCUUGGUGCACCUUACCCUCAUAAUUUUUUUUCUUUUCUUUGUGAUCUUACACAUCUUAAAUCUGGAUUUCAAAACCUUUUUCCAUCAAAAUAACUCUACUUUUCUUUAAAAUUCAUUCCUUAGGAGUUUCUAGGCAUAAAAUCCAAAUUUUAACAUACUAUUUGCUGCAAUUUUCCUUCUAGCACGCGUUCUCACUAUUUUCUACUAAUUUUCUUGAUUUUCUUGUUUUUCCUAAACAAGCAUGAAUAAACUUCAUGAUUCCAAAUAAUGGAACUCAUUAAACCAAUUCAUGCAAAAGUAAUUUGGACCUUGGUGGGUGGCGCGACAUCCAUGAAUUUUUUUUUAGAUAUUGAUUCAAAUGAGGUGUUUGCUUGAUAUUUAAUUGAAAUUGAUCCUCUUCAUGAUACAUGAGUUUGUUUUAUAGUUAUUUUUGAACUAACCAUGCUCCCCAUUAAAGCGCUUAGCUUGCUACUCUUGUACGCUAUCUAUCACCUAAUUUUCAGAAUUCUAUGAAUAUGCAUAUUAUUAUGAGCUAUAUCUAUGUUCAAUUCUAUCAUUGGAUGCCUAAAUGUUUGUUUUAUUUGCUCUAACAAAAUGCAUGUUGUGUGUCAUAUUUGUAAGCUAACUUUGAUGUCUUAUGAUAGUGCUUGAGGAGCAAUCUAGGUACACACCCUAACUCUCCUUUAUGAUUAUGAUUUGAUUUAUUAUUGGGCAUGCUUGUUUUGAAAUCACCUUAGCCUACCUAGGCAUUCAUAAUCAACUUAUUAAUUGCCACAUUUACCUCAAUUUAGUCAAUAGAGACCUUUUUAUGGCUUAGAGAGGUACUACCUCUUUGAGGUACCUUCCCAAAAGGUAACUUGAUCGCCGAACCUCCUUUUAAAAUAAAAUAAAAUAAGCAAUGACUCUAACUUUGACCAAAAUUAAUUUUUCACCAAUAAAAGCAAGUAUCGCUGAUGAGUGGGGACACACGUGAAAAUUGCAGGUCCACAGCAUGCACCUAGUCAAAUUGUGUAUUGUUUGCAAGAGAUGCUUGUAUUUAUUUCCUAAUGAGUUUAUUCUAAUUCUUUGAUUAGGAUUUCUUCAAUCACAUUGCUUGCUAUUGAAUUUCCAAUGGCUUAAUAUAAAUUAUUAGAAAAAUGUUGUUUAAUUAUUUCAGCAACUUAUCCUUUAUAAUUUUUUUUAACAAAUAUUAUCUCUGAUGUUCAUUUGUAAUAAAUAGCUAGAGAAAGGGCCCAAUGUGAACACCUAUGAGACUUAGUUGUGUUUGAGAGAUUACAUGGAAAUCUUGGCAAAACAUCUCCAAGCCUUGUUGUCAAAAAGGAAACCCUACAUCUCAUGCCUUUAUACUGCAUCUUAGCUUCUCAUCUUGCAAUGGACAAUGGUACUCUUAUUGAAUCAGUUUUACCAUACCAGUCAUCAACAUUUGCACUCAUUAAGCACUAAUUUAAGCACUGAUGCUUUUGUUAAAGUUAUUUCCUUUUUUGUUUGUUCGUUUUUGUUUUCUUUUGUUUUGGAGGUAAUUGUGUUGGAUGAUUUAUGUUUGUGUUAGACAACAAAGCUUGUCUUAAUGCUAUUGUAAAACAAGACUAUGCUAAUAAGAUUUUGAUGUUUACAAUGUUUAUGCCAAAUUGAAUUUUUAGUUUUCCUAAUUGAAAAUUUGCUUGUUUUCCCCAUUAUAUCGAUGUUAUUGUUGGAUUUUUGUUUCUGUUGAUCAAGCAUGUGCUAAAAGUUUGUUUUUUUUUUUUUUUUCCGUUGCUACUUCAUGUGUGUGGAAUUCUAGCUUAAAGUUAGUGAGGAAUUCUAGGGUUUGUUAAGGCCAUUUUUGGUAUUUUGUUAUUAGUUCCUAAUUUAAUGUUUUUCCUUAUUUAGUGGAGAUUUUGUUCUCUAAUCAAUUAAGAUUGAAUCCUGGUCCUUAUGGUGACUGAUUGCACUAUUCUCUUGUAUAUAUAUACCAUGUUGUAUUCUAUAGAAAGUAAGAGAAUUAAUAAAUAAAUAAAAAUUAACUUCUCAUAAAUCUUCAUGGUAUCAAAGCCUUCCCUCUAAAACCCUAAUUUUCCACAUCACCAAAUUCGUCAUGGCUAUUGAGAGACAAAUCUCAACCUUUGAAGUGACCUUCAAUCCAGAAACGAUGCCAACGAUGAACAACCAUGGAAGAGCCGAGAACCCAUCUAUGCUCAUCACAGGUCACAAACUCAAUGGCCAUAAUUUUCUCUAGUGGUCUUAGUUAGUGAUGAUGUAUGUCUGUGGAAAGGGCAAGGAUGAAUAUCUCACCAGUGAAGUAGUUAUCCCUGAGAAGACCAAUCCCAAAUUCAGGGUGUGGAAGACCGAGAAUCACAUGGUGAUGUCUUGGUUGAUUAAUUCGAUGAAUACCGACAUAAGAAAGAAUUUUCUCCUCUAUGGAACUGCCAAAGAAUUAUGGGAUGUAGCAAGGGAGACAUACUCAAAUUCUGAAAACACUUCAAAAAUAUUUGAGAUAGAAGCCACUUUACACAACCCUACGGCAGGGAGAUCUCUCUGUUACCCAAUACUUCAACAUUCUUUCUCGUCAUUGGCAGCACCUAGACAUGUUUGAAGUUCACACCUGGAAGUGCCCUGAAGACACUGCAUUGUACCGAAAAAUUGUGGAGCAAAAGCGAACAUUCAAGUUUCUCCUUGGCCUCAACAAGAAUUUGGACGAGGUUAGGGGGAGAGUGAUGGGGACCAAACCUCUUCCAAGUAUUAGAGAGACAUUCUCAGAAGUUCGCCGUGAGGAAAACAUGAAAAAGGUUAUGAUGGGAUCUCAGAAUUCUGCCCUAUCAAUUGAAGGAUCUACCUUUGUAGCACGAGGACUUCCAUCAAACACCAACAGUGAAAAUCGCCAGAAAAUGGGAAACCUUAGUGUGACCACUACCGAAAACUAUGACAUUCCAGAGAAAAUUGCUGGAAGAUUCAUGGCAAACCAGCUAAUUGGAAGCCAUCCAAACCAUUCAAUGAUAGAGAAAGUAGUGUCCAUAAUGUUGCUACCUCAGAAGACAAGCCAACCUCAACCAAGACCAGUCCUUUCAGCAAAGAGCAGCUUGAGAUGCUUCAACAACUCAUAAGUCAAAACUCCCUAUCUCAAUCCAGUAACUCAGCAUCUGGUAUAGGCAUGUUGGCACAAAAAGGUGAUUUUUCAAAUGCCUUUGCAGUAAAUAAACAACACUUGAAUCCUGGAUUAUUGACUCUGGAGCAUCAGAUCACAUGACAAGAGAAGGAACCAUAUUUCAUGAGUACAACCCUUCUAAAGAGAAAUAUACAGUUUGGAUUGUUGAUGGAUCUCUAUCCAAAGUUGCUGGAACAGGCUCAAUCAGGGUUACAAACGACCUUAAUCUAAACCCUAUUCUCCAUGUCCCUAAUUUGGAAUGUAAUUUACUCUCAAUCAGCAAAUUAACUCGUGAUCUUCAUCGUGAAGCUAAAUUUUUCUCAAACUUGUGUAAAUUUCAGGAACUGGAUUCGAGGAGGAUGAUUGGCAAUGUUGAGAUGUGCUCUAGACUCUAUCUUCUCAAGGGUGAUACUCCUCUAAGAAGACGAACUCAAAAUGCAAGUUGUGUGUCGCUUAAGAGUCGGUCAAUUUUAGAUUUUUGUGUCAAUAAAGAUAAUGAGGUCAUGUUAUGGCAUUAUCGUCUGGGUCAUCCAAAUUUUAUAUAUCUUGAAAAAUUGUUUUCAUCUUUAUUCAUCAAUAAAAGUCCAAAAUUUUUCAGUUGUGAAAUCUACCAGCUUCCAAAACAUACUCACAGUAGUUACCCUAGUCUUUCAUAUACACCAUCUCACCCAUUUGCCAUGAUUCAUAGUGAUGUGUAGGGUCCUUCGAGGAAAAACAAUAUAACAGGAGCACGGUGGUUUGUCUCGUCUGUUGAUGAUCACACUAGAUUGACCUGGGUAUUCCUGAUGAAAGAAAAAUCUGAAGUUGGAAAAUUUUUUCAAAUUUUCAAUUCCAUGAUCUAAACUCAAUUCCAGACCAAAAUCCAAGUUCUAAAAACUGAUAAUGCCAAAGAGUACUUCAAGUUUGUUCUAGGUAGUUACCUCAUGAGUCAAGGAAUAGUCCACCUAAGUUCUUGUGUUGUCACCCCUUAAUAAAAUGGGAUUGCAGAAAGAAAAAACCAACAUUUGUUAGAGGUAGCUAGGUUCCUCAUGUUUUCCACUCACGUUCCUAAACAUUUUUGGGGGGAGGUAGUACUUAUAGCCACGUAUCUCAUCAAUAGAAUGCCAUCCAGAAUUCUUAAAUUUAAAACGCCUUGUCAAUCCCUUCUCUAGAUCUUUCCACAUACAAAAAUCAUCUCUUCAUUAGAUCCAAAAAUAUUCGGGUGUUCAACUUUUGUCCAUAUACAUCAGCAACAUCGUAGCAAAUUAGACCCUAAAUCCAUCAAAUAUAUCUUUAUAGGGUACUCUUCACAUCAAAAGGGUUAUAAGUGUUAUUCUCCCAUCACUAAAAGGGUAUACAACUCUAUGGAUGUGACAUUUUUUGAACAUCAAGCUUACUACCACAAAACCGACAUGCACGGGAAGAACAUGAGAGCAUUCCAGUUUUGGAAGACACUUGAUCUUGGGGACACCCUACCAUUACCUCAUCUUACUUCUCAGCCAAUUUUCAGUCAACAACCAAAAGUCAUUAAUCAAAUUCCAGUUCAAAUUUCAAUGUCUUCACAACCUAAACCUGAGAGUCAUCCUCCUACUACCUCACCUCAAACUCUAGUCCAUAAUUACUCUAAAUCACCACUAACUGCAAAUAAUGAGUUUAGCGUCUACAUUAGGAGAAAAAGGCCUAAGAGAACAAUAGAGCAACCAACUCCUCUAAAAAAUGACCAAAAAUCUUAACCUAGUCCAAGUCCUACUCAAAUUCACUUGGGUAAGGGAACUACUAAUCUUGAAAAGCUAGUACCAUUUGUAGAUGAUUCAAAUAUUCCGAUUGCUUUGAGAAAGAGUGUUAGAACUUGCACAAACCAUCCUAUCUAUAGAUUUAUUUCAUAUGAUGGAUUGUCUCCCUCCUAUCAAGAUUUUGUUUUAGUUCUUGAUAGUGUGCAGGUUCCUAAUUCUAUUUAGGAGGCUCUCAAGAAUCCAAAGUGGAGAAAGGCAAUUAGCGAAGAAAUCAAAGCUUUGGAGAAGAAUGGAACAUGGGUAAUCUCUGAUCUUCCUCAUGGAAAGAAACCAAUCGGGUGUAAGUGGAUUUACCAUUAAACAUAAGGCUAAUGGAAGUAUUAAGAGAUUGAAAGCUCGCCUUGUUGCCAAAGGCUUUACUCAGUCUUAUGGAAUAGACUAUCAAGAAACAUUUGCUCCAGUGGCCAAACUCAACACUAUUCAAGUUCUUUUUUAUCUUGCAGCAAACCAAGAUUGGCCAUUACAUCAACUAGAUGUCAAAAAUGCUUUUCUGAAUGGUAACUUGGAGGAAGAAGUGUAUAUGGAGAUACCAUCAGAGUUGGAAACUUCUUUCAACAACAACAGGGUGUGCAAGCUUAAGAAAUCUCUGUAUGGACUCAAAAAAUCACCUCGAGCAUGGUUUGACAGGUUUGCAAAGUCAGUUACAAAGCAAGGAUAUACUCAAUGUCAAGCGGAUCAUACACAAUUUGUGAAGUUCUCUUCAGAAAAGAAAAUAGCAGUCCUCAUAGUGUAUGUUGAUGAUAUCAUCUUAACAGGUGAUUAUGAAGAGGAACUAUUGGGAAUGAAGAAACACUUAGCCAAAGAAUUUGAAAUCAAAGACCUUGGCUAUCUUAGAUACUUUCUCGGUAUGGAGGUGGUAAGAUCUAAGAAAGGCAUAUUUUUCUCCCAACGUAAGUAUGUUCUAGACUUACUAAAAGAGACAGGUAUGCUUGGAUGUAAACCUGCAGACACUCCAAUGGACUCAACCAAGAAAAUAGGAACUGAGAAGAACAGUGCACCAGUUGACAAGGGGAGAUACCAGAGACUUAUAGGACUUCUUAUCUACCUUUCACAUACUCGACCUGACAUUAGAUUCUCUGUUAGUGUUGUGAGUCAAUUUAUGAACAACCCAAUAGAAGAACACAUGGAAGCUGUGAAUACAAUUUUGAGGUAUCUGAAUAUGACCCUAAGAAUAGGACUGUUGUACAAAAAGAAUGAUACUAGAGAUGUUGAAGUUUUCUCAGAUGCAGACUGGGCAGGUGAUGUGUUAGAUAGGCGAUCAACAUCUGGAUAUCGUUCCUAUGUAUGGGGAAAUCUCGUGACUUGGAAAAGCAAGAAACAGUUUGUAGUCUCAAGAAGUAGUGCAGAAGCUGAAUUGAGAUCUUUGGCUCUUGGUAUUUGUGAAGGAACCUGGAUAUAGAGACUGCUGAAUGAGUUGGGAAUAUCUACUGAGAAGCCUAUUAAAAUGUUCUGUGACAACGAAGCUGCCAUAAGCAUUGCAAAGAAUCCUAUACAUCAUGAUAGGACGAAACACAUCGAGAUAAAUCGACAUUUCAUUUCAGAAAAGAUUGAGAAGGCAAUUGUACAGUUGGUCUAUACUCCUACAAAAUCCCAAAUGGCACACAUACUCACUAAAGCUUUUUCAAGAACUAACUUUGAAGAACUGAGUCACAAGCUGUGCAUGUACAAUAUCUAUGCCCCAGCUUGAGGGGAAGUGUGGAAUUCUAGCUUAAAGUUAGUGAGGAAUGCUAGGGUUUGUUAACGUUAUUUUUGGUAUUUUGUUAUUAGUUCCAAAUUUAAUAUAUUUCCUUGUUUAGUGGAGAUUUUGGUCUCUAAUCAGUUAAGAUUGAGUCCCGGUCCUUAUGGUGACUGAUUGCACCAUUCUCUUGUAUAUAUAUAUCAUGUUGUAUUAUAUAGAAAGUAAGAGAAUUAAUAAAUAAAUAAAAAUUCACUUAUCAUAAAUCUUCAAUGUGCAAAGCAUCAUUAUUCAAAUUUUUUGUUUGUUUGUUUUUGUUUUGUUUUGUUUUGUCUUGUCUUGUUUUGUUUUGGAGGUAAUUGUGUUGGAUGACUUAUGUCUGUGUUAGACAACAAAGCCUAUCUUAAUGCUACUGUAAAGCAAGACUAUGCUAAUAACCUUUUAAUGUUUACAGUGUUUAUGCCAAACUGAAUUUUUAGUUUCCCUAAUUGAAAAUUUGUUUGUUUUCCCUAUUAUAUCGAUGCUAUUGUUAGAUUUGUGUUUCUAUUGAUCAAGCAUGUGCUAAAACUUUGUUUUUUUUUUUUCCUUUGCUACUUCAUGUGCAAAGCAUUAUUAUUUGAAUUUUAAUGAUUCCAUUCAAUUCAUUAUUCAAUAUUUUCAUUUGAUAUUACAUCUAUCACAUUUGUUUUCUUUUCUUAGUUUGUUUUGUUUUGUUUUUGUUUUUUUUUUUUAAUUUGUGAAAUUUGAAUUUGAUGGAGCCACCAUUAAUUUAUUUUUCCUUAUUAUUGUGGGGUGUGCUUUAUUUUGUUCAUGUAAAUAUCAUCGUUGUGGCACUAUUAUUAUUAUGUAACCUUUUUUUUGUUUAAUCUAUUGUUCCUAUGAGCAUUAAAUUCUCCUAAAAUGUAUGGAACAGGCUAAACCCUUUCUAUAGUUAUUUUAAAAAAUUUAUUUUUCAUCUAUUUUCUUGUGCUCAAAAAAUUAUAUUUUUUAGUAAAAUUGAAAUUUUAGGGAGCGCUUAUGCCUUAAUGACUCAACCCCUUGAGGGUUUAUACCUAUCUUAGCAAGAUGUAAACCCUCAUGCCUCUUAUGCUUUUACCUUAUGAAACUAUACCCAAAAACAAACACCACAACUCCUUGCCCCGAUCAAAGGAUACUUGAAAGUUUGCUUCAAAUCAAUUUCAAGGCUAAUAAUCAUAGGCUUGUCAAAUUCAUGUUGCUAAAAUUGGUAUUGUAACCAAAGUAAUAUUAGGAAAUCUUCAAGUUUCAGCUCCUCUUUUUAUGUUGGCUCUUGUAUUGUUAGGUGGCUUCAACCUUUUGCUUUACUUAUGCUUUAUGAGCUACUCCAAUUAAAAUAAUGCUUCAAGUAGAUGUUCUUUGGAUCUUCACUCUAGCAAGAUACUUGCAUUGCAAAAAUUUUUUGUAGUCCUAGAUAGGUUAACUAGGAAGACAAUAGCUUGCUUAAGAGGAUUGCCUCCUCUUCUAUUGGGUUUGUAAAAGUUUUGCUUCUCCCUUGACUUUAGGAGUCCCGUGGUUUCAAAUUUGGGUGUGCUCUAGGUUGUAGCAUGCCUUAUGCUUUCUAAAUGGUAAUCUUCUUCUUGUUUUGGCUAGGAUUCUUUCAUUUAUUUUGCUUGUUUGCUUUCUUUGUUUCUUUAUUGUGGUUGAAGGAUCACCAAUCAACUUUUUAUUCUCUGCAAAAAUUAUUUAUGUUUCAUACCUAAAAAAGAAAAAACAAAGGCUAGUUAGCCUAGAACAUGUUUUAUCUUGUUCUUCUUUUACUAUUAGUAUGGAUUCAAACUUGGGAAGAGGCCUUGAAACAAGUUGCAUUUGUGUUUUCUUAACAUACAUCUUUAUUCGAUCAUUUUUGUUAAGUAUUUGGUGUCUUGUUUGUUCUUUUAGUUGUUUUUGUCUCUGUCAAAGUGUAUAAUUGUAAUAUCCCAUAUCAUAUAGGGAAAAAAGUUUUUCGUGCUAUAUAUAUGUAUAAACUCCACUUAAUCUUGUAAAUGUGUUUUAAAGUCACGAGGGUUUCUUAGGUUCAGAGCAGAUAAUAUCUACACAGUUGGAAGUAGGUCAUUACUAAUGGUAUCGGAACCAAUCUCCAACCUCAAUGUGAGAGAUUGUUUAGCACCGAAAGGAGUGUCUAUCUAUUUGACCCUACAAUCAUGUGGAAUAUAAUAAGGAAAUUGGGUUUGCAUGAGGAGUGUGAUUAUGAUAUCCUACAUCGAAUAUGGGAAAAAGUUUCUAAUGUUAUAUAUGUAUGGACUCCUCUUAACCUUGUAAACGUGUUUUGAAAUUGUAAAUGUCACUUAAGUUUAGAGUGGACAAUAUCUAUACAAUUGGGAGUAGGUUGUUAUAAUAAUUUUGAUUUUCCUUCCAUAUAUGUUUAAUUGCAUAACAUUAUCAUAGAAAAAUAUUCAUCUAUCAUAAUGUAGCGUCUUGUAAAGCUUAUGUUGGGUGUUAUGAUUUUAUCUCUCAUCAUUUUUAUUAUUCUGAUUCAACAUCAUCUUAGCUUAUAAUCAAAAGGCUAUAAAUUGUAGGAUUCUUUUCUCCAAUUUUUUACUUGAUAUCUUAUAAUGCCAUGAAAUGUCUAUAUUUUGAUGCAGAAAGUCGUUCAUCCUUCAUCUCUCUCACUAGUUUUGCAGAACCAUAGUCAUUAGGCACAUGCAAGCGUUAGACAUGCAGCCACUUCCAGUGUUGGAAGAGACUUUGAACUACCUCUUAAACCUAUUAGAUCCACGGAGCAUCCUUUUGAAGUGGUUCAUGAUUUCAUCUUUGAUAGGACAAGAUCAAUAAGACACGAUCUUAGCAUGGAGAAUAUUGUUAAUGAUCAAACAAUUCAUACGUAUGAAGAAAUGGUAUAAAUUUCUUGAAACAUAAUCUUAAUUACCUUUCUUUUCUUAGCAUUAAUCUCCUCAAUAUACAAUAAGUUAGCCAAUCCACUACUAAACACACUCCUAGUUGCAGAAAAUAAUCAAAAUAUACAAGAGAUGUUGUAUAAUUGAGUCAUUAUCCUCUCUUUUUGCUUUAUUGAAUAAGAAAAUUCUAUUCAGUGGAGUCCAAAUGAGGUGAAACUGUGAUCACACAACUUUUAAAGCCUACUUUAUAAUGGAUAAAUGAAUGGUCUGGUUCUGAAUCUUUCUCGGCACAUUAGUUAUUAUCCAAUCCAUUCUAAUUAAGUUAUCCACUAUUGAGUGUCUAUUUCCAAUGAAAGUUAUGAAAGGCCCAUAGAACCCAAGCAACUCACACCGCUUGCGAUGGGAAUUGGUGUUCUUUCCCGUAAUGUCAAGUUUUCUAGUACACUUGGUGACUUUGUAGAAUAUGCCUACGGAAAGGGCUGCCACCUUCUAAUUCCCAAUCAUACAAGUUUCUUAACCAUAUUUCAAAAGUUGUAUUUCUUGUUCCGUCUCUUAAAGUUUUUUAAACCUAUAUCUCUUUAUCCUUGGCAAUUCAGAAAGAUGAGGAAACUAUUUAACAAGAACUCCAUCAAUUUGUUCCUCAAAAUUUUAUAUAGUUUCUCUCUCUCACUUUCAAUUUAAACUCUUGAUUUAAAAGAACAAAUUCAUGGCCAGCAACAUUUUUAGCCAAGCAAUAGAAUGUACAACAAGCAUGCAUAUGAAUGAACUGUAUUGUUUAAUGAUAAUAGAUCAAAUAUUUUAAUCUAAUCCUAAAACCUUAGAGUUAGCUAAAAGCCUCAUCUUAUGUUCUAACUUGUGGUUUGUUUCACAAUACAGGUGAAAUUUCAUAUUAUAUCCCACCAAAAGCUUUGCAAUUGUAGCAGCAAGCCAAAUUUUUAUUUAGUUAUUACCUUAAUAUGGAGCAACUGAAAAAGUGUCUAACAUCUCUAUAUGCUCUAUACAAAGAAAAUUGCAAUUCAAAUUUUAUUUACAAGAAUGAACCUGAGUUUUGCUCAUUUCACGUUCUUCUUCACCUUGGCUCUAACAGCCAACCACUGGUGGAUAUCUGCUUUCAUUGUUUGUUUGAGUUCAUCUUUUUCAGUAUUUGUACUAGUUUCUGAAGGUGUUACUAUUUUUGUUCUGAGGGGAGAGUCACUCUCUUUGUGGUUGGGUCUUGUACCUUCUGUCAUUUUGAAGUCAAAGGAAAAAUGUUUUGCCCAAGACUUUUAUAGUACGUUUGGUAGUGAUUUUAGGAAGUGUUUCUAGUCUUUUUUAUGCUUGAAAGAUAAAAAAAAAAAAUUAAGUGGUAAAAAGACUAGAAACACUUUAUAAAAUAACUGCCAAACGCACUCUUAAGAUGACCAUAAAGCUGUUGUAGAUUCCACUUGCAUUUAAAUUGUUUUUAUUCCCUUUACAUUUAACUCAAUGUAGAGUGGUUAUGUUUUUCCGUUGAUUUUUUUCUCUUUUUUAGUACCCAAUGUUAAAGUUUUGUUUCACGAACUGAAAGGUCCGUCUUUUCUAGUGACAGUGGAUGGGCAAUUAUAAGUGUUUCCUUUGUACUACAACAAUUGAGGCAUCAUAUUUGCAAUAUUACAUUAUUAUUAUUUUUUAUAAAUGAGCACAAAAUAUAUAAUAAAGGGCGGAAAGCCACAAAGCAUACAGGGAGUAUACAAAGCAGCUAAAAAGCAAAAAACUCAUAAACAGAACAAACUCACCAGCCCUUAAAGAGCCGCUAACCACUCUAAGAAGCCUAAAAUCAAAGAUGACUCCUCUCCCAUAUACAUCCUAGUCCAACUCCAUAAAUUACAUGCAAAAGAAUUCUUGAGUUUCUGAAUAGCUAAAGAACCCCAUCUAAAAGCUAACCUAUUUCUUUCCUUCCAAACCGUCCAAAAUAUACACAACGGGAUGGAAUUCCAAAUCUUUUUCCUCUUUUCCCCAUAAAAGGGCCCCUCCAACAAAAUAACACCUCUUUGACUGUCUCUAGGAACACCCAUUGAGCCCUAAACAAGGAAAGAACGAUCUCUCAGAGGACCCUGACCACUGUACAGUGUAAAAGAAUGUGAUUUACAUUUUCCUCUUCACAGCCACACAAAUAACAACGAUUAGGGAGCUGCCACCCUCGUUUUUGAAGCCUAUCCAAUGUGAGGAUUUUUUCCCAAGUGGCUUCCCACGCAAAGAAAGCAACUUUGGUUGGAACCUUAUCCACCCAAAUGAUUUUUUUCGGAAAGACGAGGGGAUUGGGGGUGAUUCGUGUUUUCCCAGCUGGUGUACCUUGAUUUUGGUCCCCUGAUGGGAGUAAUCAACAAAAUUUAUAACCUAUAUCACCAUGCACUAGGAUAGCCUAAGCUAGUAUAGCAUAGUGGCUCUAGGAUCGUUCACUGGGAAGGGUUUUCAACUUACAAUUGAUACCAAUUCAAAGUUGAAUUGGUGCCUUUUCAUUUCAAGGUUAGCUUCAAAAGAAAACAUAAACUUUGGUUGAAAAAGGUUUGGUUUCAAGCUAACUAAAAAGAAAGUAAUGGGAAUUACUUAUAAAGAAAAAGCGUCUCUUGGAGUUUUAGGAUCACUGGGGUCAGGCUCCUCAUGCAAAAACAGAGUUCCGGUCACUUUGGUUCUUUUCCUCGCAUUGGAGAAUUAACAUAUAGUUCAUUCUCCAACCGGUGUUGUACAGAUGCUUCCCUUUUAUAAAUUUCAGCACUAGUUCCCUCUCACUGAUUCAUCUUGCAAUGGCUCGUGCCUCUCACCUAGCAUUUGCCAUUCAAGGUGAUCAUUAACCUUGGACUUCCCUUCUCAAGCUCGCAAGAGAUAACUAAUGGAUGCCUCCUUAGAGUCCAAAAGCUUACCAAGUGUUGGCAAUUCUAGAAAAUCCUACCUUCAGGUCACCUCCCAAAAGCUCACAAGAGGUAAACUAGUGCAUCUCUGUGGACAGAGAUCACUUGCCUUACCAAGUGUUGGCUCAGGUGAAUUGAAGGCGUUUUAAGUUAACUAAAAACAUAGAAAUCAUAAACGGGUUACACUUUCUCUUCAUUAAAAGCUGAAACAUCAAAACUACCAAUUCUUGCAUUCGACACCUUCCCCGGCUACCUUAGCUCCAAGAAACAAAAAGCCUAGCCACCCAUUCUCUGAAGAAACAUCAUCAGAGCUUGUUUGGCUAGUAAAUGAAAAAUACAAUCAAAGUGAGAAGGUAAUGCAGAGCAAAGACUCUGUAUUUUACUUCCUUUCAAACUUUUACAAAAGGUUCGUCUCCUUGAUAACAGGCUCCUGAGAGCUAUUUAUAUGAAAAUUACAAUAAUAAUUAUUACCUGGAUAUUUACCCUUUUUCCUAACUUAAUAGCUAAGGAAUCCUAUAAGUGGUGGAUUACAAUGAGAGAAUUGGGAUUUAGACAUCAAAUAUCUGAAGCAAAAUAUCAAAAAUUUGUCGGUCGUAAAUAUCUGGAAGCACUCAGGAGAAUUUCGCAGGCGCACAAAAUGGCUGCGAAAUUUCGCAGACGUACAAGAUGGCUGCAAAAUCAUUUCGCAGCCAAAGGCUGAUUUCGCAGCCUUGCGAAAUUGGCCUUCAGCUUGAUGUGAUCAUCUUCCAAUGGCUCUAACUUCUUCACUUCAACUCCGAUUCGCGAACCGUUUAAAGCGUUAGAUUUUUUACUUCCCAAGCUUCGAAACAACAUAUAGUAUGCAACAAAUGGACUUCAGGAAGUACUCCAAAAGUGUCAAACAGUUGAUGUCCUCUUGGAUUCUUCAUGUUAGAUUUUUCUCUUUGUUUCAUCCUUGCAUUCAUGAUUUGUUUAUGGCAAAGGACUUUAAGGCUUCAGUUCUUCAUGUUUCUGAGCUUUCCAUUGCUUUGCCAUGGAUUCCAAAGAACUCUCCUCAAUCUCGGAUUGCUUUGGUGAUCAAAUUACUAUCAAAAACACCAAAACUUACACAAUUUGAUUAGAAACGAUUACAAAGGUCCUUAAUAUGUUAAUUGGGUUAAAAGGUAAUAACUACUACUCAAAAGUGUUUAAAAGAGUUAAUUACAAGCUAUCAAAUAGCCCUUUUUGAGUAGUAAUCAAGGGGUAGUGAUUCAUGCCCAAUUGGUGUCUUAGCUGAUUCGUGUCCAGCUGGUGUUCCUUGAUUGAGGGAGUAAUCAACAAAAUUUAUAACCUAUUACACCAUAUACUAGGGUAGCAAAGAAAAAGCUACUAUAGCAUAGUGGCUCUAGGAUCGUUCACUGGGAAGGGUUGGCAAAUUAUCAAUGAUACCAAUUCAAAGUGAAUUGGUAUUGUUUCAUUUCAAGGUUAGCUUAAGAAAUAAAACACAAACUUUGGUUGGAAAAGAUUUAGAUUUAAACUAACUGCAAAGCAAGUAAUGGAAAUUACUUAGGAAGAAAAACAUUCCUUGGAGAGUCAGGUUUACAGGGGAGGUUCCUCAUGCAAAAACAUAGCUCCGGACAGUUGGUUCAUUUCCUCGCGUUAGAGAAUUAACAUAUAGUCAAUUCUCUAACCGGUGUUGUACAGCUACAUCCUUUAAUUAGAUUUCAGCUUUGAUUCUCUCUCACUGAUGCAACUUGCAAUGGUUCGAGCCUCUCACUAAGCCUUAACCAUUCAAAGUGAUCUUUAACCUUGAACUUCCCUUCUCAAGCUCGCAAGAGAUAACUAAUGGAUGUCUCCUUGGAGUCCAAAAGCUUACCAAGUGUUGGCAAUUCCAAAAAAUCCUACCUUCAAGUCACCUCCCAGAGGCUCGCAAGAGGUAAACUAGUGCAUCUCCAUGGUCGGAAAUCACUUGCCUUACCAAGUGUUGGCCCAGGUGACUCUAAGGUGUUUUAAGUUAACUAAAAACAUAGAAAUCACUAAAAGAUUACACUUCCUCUUCAUUCAUGGCUGAAACCACAAAGCUAUUCAUUCUUGCACUUGGAACCUUUCCCGGCAACCUUAGCUCCAAGGAACUAAAGGUUUAGUUACUCAUUCUCUGGGGAAACUUCCUCAGAGAGUGCAUAACUUAGUAAAUGAAAAAUACAAUCAAAGUGAGAAGGUAAGGCAAAACAAAGGUCCUGAAUUUUACUUGCUUUCCAACUUUUUACAAAAAGGUUUCUCUCUUGGAACAGGCUCCUGAGAGCUAUUUAUAUGAAACUACCAUCAUAGCUAUUACAUGGAUAUUUUUCCUUUUUCCUAACUUAAAAGCUAAGGAAUCUUAUUAUUGGUGGCUUACAAGGAGAAUUUUGGGAUUUAGACAACAAAAAUCUGAUGAAAAAUAUCUCAUUGUGUCGGUCGUAAAUAUCGGGAAGCACUAAGGACCAUUUCGCAAGUGAAAACGAGGUCUGCGAGAUUUCUCAGAUGCACAAAAAGAGCUACGAAAUCACUUCGCAGCAAACGGUUGAUUUCGCACCGCUGCGAAGUGAUCUUUCAGCUUGCGGCAUUCGGCUUCCAACGUGUCGGGAAACUUCAGGGGGAAUUCCUCAGCACUGUGCAAAAAGGCUGCGAAAUCAUUUCGCAACAAAAGGGUGAUUUCGCAACGCUGUGCAAAAUUCUUCCUUCAGCUUGGAGUGAUCGGCUUGCAAUGGCUGUAACUCCUUCAUUUCAACUCCAAAUUGCAAACCUCUUGAAGCAUUGGAUUGUUGACUUCCUGAGCUUCGAGACGACAUAUAGCAUGCAUCAAUUGGACUUCAGAAAGUGCUCCAAAAGUGGCUGACAUGACUGUCAUCAAGAAUAUGCUUCAUGGCAGAUUUCUCUUUGCUUCCUCUCCUUGCAUUCCGGAUUUGCUUAUGGAAAAGGUCUUCAAAGCUUUGGUUCUUCAUGUUUCUGAGCUUUCCAUUGCUUUGCCAAGGAUUCCAAAUAACUCUCCUCAAUCUCGGAUUGCUUUGGUGAUUAAAAAGCUAUCAAAACACCAAAACUUAACACAAUUUGAUUAGAAGUGAUUGCAAGGGUCCUUAACAUGUUAAUUGGGUUAAAAGGCAAUAACUACUACUCAAAAGUGUUUAAAAGAGUUAAUUACAAGCUAUGAAAUAGCACUUUUUGAGUAGUAAUCAGGUAGCCAUCAAAUUAUAAGCAUCCCGAAUCCGAAAAAUAUCAAGACCCCCUCCUUUCCAUAACACUGAGUCCUCUUCCAUAUCAAGCCUUUUUACAACUAACUUGGGCAUUCGAAAAAGGGAUAAUUGGUAGAUGGGUAUACUGGCCAAUGUACUUUUAAUGAGGGUAAUUCUCACACCCUUAGACAUGUAUUGCAUUUUCCAAAUAGCUAAUCUUCUUCUUAUUCUUUCCUCCACCCCAUCCCAUAUAGACAAGGCCUUGUGAUGGGCUCCAAGGGGCAGCCCCAAAUACUUAGUAGGAAAAGCCCCCACUCUGCACCCUAACUUCUCAGCCAUAUCCUCAAUAUCUUCAACCUCCUCAACAGAAAUUAAUUCACUCUUAGCUAGAUUAAUCCUAAGACCAGAAGCUGCCUCAAACCACCCCAAAAUCCAGCCAAGAUGAGUUAGAUGCUCCUUCCUUGCUUCAUAGAAGAUGAUUGUGUCAUCAACAAAGAGCAAGUGGGACACAUUCAUCUCCAUCCCCCAUUUUCCUCGAAGUUUGCAACCAGAAAUGAAGCCUCCAUCAAUAGCCUUUCUUAUAAGUGCACUCAGCACUUCCAUACCCAAAACAAAAAGGUAAGGAGAAAUGGGAUCUACUUGACAUAGCCCCUUGGAACUGGAAAAGAAGCCUACUGGCACCCUGUUGACAAUAAUAGAAAAUUUUGCAGUUGAGAUGCACCACCAAAUCCACUCCAUCCAACGAGACCCAAAGCCCAUCUUGUGCAAAACCUUCAUGAGAAAGUUCCAAUUAAUACUAUCAUAAGCUUUUUCAAUAUCCAAUUUGCAAACCAGUCCUUUCUCUUUAUGUUUCUGCCAAUAAUCAACCACCUCAUCAGUUAUGAGAGAGACGUCUAGAAUCUGUCUUCCCCUCAUAAACACAUUUUGAUCCACCGAGACCAUCUUACCUAACACUUUCUUCAACCUAUGGGCUAGCACUUUGGCCAGAAGCUUGUAUAGCCCCCCUAAAAGGCUGAUAGACCGAAAAUCCCCGAGGUCCACAGCCCCACCUUUUUUUAGGAUGAGGACCAAGAAGAUAGUAUUUAGACUUUUGGCAAAAUAUUUUUGGUCAUAAAAUUCCUUAAACAGCUCUACAACCUCCUCCUUCACAAAAUCCCAACAAGAUUGCCAAAAGGCCACAGUAAACCCAUUCGGCCAUUCAUUUCCAACAGAGUUAAGUGAAUUUCUUCCUCAGUAAAGGGCAUCUCCAGAGCUUCAACUUCACCGUGGUUUAGACGUUGAAGGUGCAACCCCUCAAUGUCAGCUCUCCAUCCUGGCUCUUCUGAGAGCUAUUGUUGAAAAGCAUUCACAAUCCCCUCCCUCACCUCCUGCUCCUCAUCCAACUCCACCCCAUUGAUCUUGAUUUUAUCCAAGGAGUUGUUUCUUCAGUGGGCAUUGGCCAUUCGGUGGAAAAAUCCUAUGUUCUUAUCCCCUUCCUUUAGCCACAGCUCCCUUGACAAUUGUCUCCAAUGGGUUUCUUCUAAAAGCACCCACUUUUUAAAGGUUUCCUUAGCUUCAUUUUUCAACUCCGUUUCUCCUUCUGGCGGGCCCCUUUCACAUUCCACCCCAUCCCAAAAUUCAACUUGCUGGAGAGCUGAGCUUUUAUUAAUUUCCAACCUACCAAACACAUCCUUGUUCCAAACUUUGAUUUUUUUCCUUCAACACCUUUAGCUUAGCAGCCAGUCUAAAGUUGGUCCUCUCUCGCCUCCCCGCUCCCUACCACCAAUCCCGAAUGAGAUCCUUAAAACCAUCAACUUUAAGCCACAUGUUUUCAAACCUGAACGGGGAGGGUCCUCGUCUUAACCCGCCACCCUUCAAUAGAAUGGGAAAAUGAUCUGAAGUGGGCCUGGGAAGCCUACUUUGGACAACCUCCCUAAACAAGUCAAGCUAGUUUUGGGUCACCAGGAAACAAUCCAGUCUAGCCCAGGACUGAUUGUUCCUAUCUCCACUCCAGGAAAACACAACCCCUUGCAAAGGAAGAUCUAGGAGCUCUAGUUCAUCAACCACCUGAGCAAACCUUCUCAUUGCACCAUUUAAACUAUCCUGACUGCUCCUUUCCCUUUGGAAAAGGGUGACAUUAAAGUCGCUCCCUAAACACCAGGGAUCAUCCCAGAUGCCCCUUAUUGGCCUUAGCUCAUCCCACAAAGUCUCCAUUUCAUUCCUAGUGAACGGUCCGUACACUCUUGUGAAGAUCCAAACAAGCCCAUCUUCAACAUUCCUGAGCCUACAGGAAAUAGAAAAUUGUCCCACCUCCAUCUUUAGCAUUUCCAGGGACCUUUUAUCCCAGCAAAUCAAAAUCCCACCCGCAAAGCCUUGAGCACCCAUGGCUCCCCAAUCUAGAAACCUCCCAGAGCCCAAAGUCCUCACCACACCCACUAACAUUGACUGAAUUUUCAUCUCCUAAAUACAGAACAAAUUCACCCUCUGACUUCCAAUCAUAGCCUUGAUCACCUUUCUUUUAGAGCUAUCGUUAGCUCUACACAUGUUCUAGUUCAACAACCUUAACUUCAUUAGACAACCAAAAUCUGGCACCCUCUUCCUUGCAUGGUACCUUUUUAUUUCCUCCCCCCUUCAUAAUUAAUGGAUCAUUCAAGUCUCUUCAAUUCCCUUUCAAAUUUCGAUUUUUCUAGAAGAGUUUCACUAUGAACUCUUUCCCUUCUUUUUUUUAUUUUGACCAGAAACUCCAAAAUGUCCUUCAAUCUCUCUGUCAAAAACCCCAAAAACCUGCUGAACCUCACUAGAUCGCUUUCCUCCCAACUAGUUUCCUCUCAUCCUCUAACUUCGAGUGGCAUAGCACUAGCUAAGCAAAGUUCCUCUCCACUUUCUUCAAUACUACCAUUAUUAACUUUCAUUAGCUCCCAACGAGUAACAGUCUCCAUCAUUGAAGACUCCGUACCAUUAACCAUGCAGCCCGGUCAUUCCCUCUGGAAUUUUUCCAAUCUGGCCCUAGAACAGUCGUAAUACUCCCCCAAUUGAGUCCGACCAGAAAAAGAAGAGGGGGGAGAUGAGAAAUCACAAAGCAACGUUCCACAAGGGUUAGAGGUGUUCUCAUACCUCGAAGCUUCCUCCAUUAGAGCACAGUUAGUCUUCAAACUCUUCUCUAAAAGUUGUUCCUUAGUCGAAGGUCUUCGCAGACCUUCGUGCACCCAAAAGGAAAAGAUGGAAUGGUCUGGAGCCCCCAAAAGUCUUAGGCCAAAAAGAUUGUAAAGACGGGAUGCUCCCAGCUGGGCUCUUCCCUCAGCUAAGGGCAAGGUCAGGCCUCGGCAAACCAGCCCAAGCACCACAAUAGGCUCCUUUUCCUUGGCCCACCUAGAACCCUUAAUAAACGACAACCCAAAAUGAGAUGGCCCAGUCUCGCAGAGAAAGGCCACAAGAGGAGCAGGCCCAGUAAUCACAAUGGGCUCUGCUCAACACGGUGACGAAGACCAACCCGAACCUUGGGACCCAACUGACAGCCCAACAAAGCACCAACCAUGACCCAUGGCCUGUCCCGACCCACUAGUCUGCCCCCUCGUCCCAUCAGCAGGUAGUAGCAAGUCCUCAAGCCUCGAGGCAUCGUCCUCCACCCGCACGCGCUCGAUUGUGCAUGCGAUGGCCUCACCCCCAACCUCGCCUUCUGUACCGAUAAUGUUUCCACUCUUUCUUGCCAUCGUCAUUCUCAGGAUUGGCCUGACCUCCCACCGGAGGGUUACCUCGUAGUAGAAUUCCUCAGCCCAAACCUCCACCACGUUGGGAAGCUUCUCGUCGUUGAGCUUCAUCAGGAUCCUUGCCCACUGCAAAUCCUCCAGCUUCUCCAUUUGGGAAUCGACUGCGAUGAAGCCCCCGCACUCCUCCCCUAUCCUUCUCAUAAUGGCUCGAUCCCAUAAGGAAAUGGGUAAUCCCAUAAUACGCACCCAAGCCUUGCUCUUUUUCACCCCAUCCAUCAGGCAUCCCAUCUCGGGCCUCCAUUUCUCCAAACGAAUGAGAGACCCCCCAACCGAAAUACCCCCGAUUUUUAAGGUUUUCUCUGCUUCUACCAAAAACUCAAAUUCAAGUAAAACUUUGCCCCUUUCCAAUUUCGCUAGCCCUAGAUUACCCUUCAGUCUCCAAAUAUUCUCCAAAUGGGUCCUUCUACUUCUUAGGUCAUCCCCUCUCACAGAGCUAGGAUUCCAAAUCCCAACUAAACAGUGAGCCAGCUUGUUUAAGUUUCGGCUCAGCUCCUUCUUUCUUAUCUCCACCCUAAUCAUUGUUUUUUCUUUUCCUCUUGGCUAUUUAGCCACUUCCGCGUAGGUUUUCCCCAUGCUAGAUUUCGACAACAACGCUUCUUUUUUUUGGCAUCCCUCUUCUCCGUUAGUAAAACCCAAUCGCCAUAGCGUCUCCACCAUUGAAACCCAGCCACCCUUAGCUCUUCUUCCUUUUGGAAUAAAGAUGCAAAACCUUUUGUUUUCCAGGUCCGCAACCUCUAAUCGAAGAAAAUACCCCCCUUAUUUUGAUCCCGCACCAGAGAAUAGGCUCUCCCACUUUCCUUCCACUUUCUUUCCCUUUUACCAGUUCCCGCGUCCUUAAUACAAAGAACUAGACCAUCGAAAAAAAACCCAAUGAUCUUCGGUCCCAACCUAAUCCACGAGAAGAUCCCUCAUUUCAGUUCCACAAUUGUAGCUUGCACUUUACCUUUCUGCUCCUCCACCUCGACCUCGAACGACUUCAACUCCACUCCAAAACUACCCUUUCUAAAGCUUUUCCUAGUCCCCACGAAGACAACACCCUCUGCACCCUCGCUCGCUCCACCAUCUACACUUUCUCUCGCUCGCCGCACGCCUCACUCUCCAUCGGAGCUCUCGCUCGUUCUCUCUCUAGCCCUCUCUCCUCCAUUUCUCAUCUGUCUACUAUAUUAUUGAACCUUACAUCAAUGAGGUUGCUUAAAUAUGUUGAUUUUGCUAGGUUUCUCAAUUUGAAAAAUAUAUUAUUCUCUGUUCAUUUAUUGUUUUCCAGAUUCAUCUCUGAGAAUAUAUCUAAAAUCUAGAGUUGAGUAUUUGUGCUUUUAGGUUUUAUUUUCCUUUCAUUUUUGUUGGUAAUUGUAUUUCAUUAUUCUUAAAUUUCUCACCAGCUAUUUCUUUAUAUGGUUUAUUGUCCCUCACUUUCUUCAUCCAUCUAAAGUGUUCAGAUUCAAUUAGCUUGUUUCGUAAUCUAGGUCUUAUUUAGGAGUUUCUUCUCAACUGCCUUUUUUAGUGCUUCUAAAAGACAUGCCUGAUUUAUAUACAUUUUUAUUGGUUUUUUUUUUUUACCAUAAAAGGUUCAAGCAUUGGCAUUGUCAUGUGUUAAUUAGUGGCUAUAAACUUCAUCCGUAUCCAAUUGCACACUUGUCCAAACUCUUGAUGAUGAAGGUAUGGUUGCAUUUACUAGUAUGAAAUUGCUAAAAUUUGUCAUCCAAAGUUUCAAUUUCUUUUGAAUCUUGAAGACUUAAUUUGCAUUCUUGUAGGAAUUAGAUGUGGAAUAAUUUUGCAAUGUUUGUUGUCUUAAGACCAGCACUGAUGAACGGGGAAAUAAGUUCUUAUCAACCAAGCAAACAAACUUCCAUUAUCCCAAGGAAGUCUUUCCAAGCUACUGCCUUUUAGGUUUGGAACACUUUUAGAGGUAACAAUCAAUAGGAAUUAGUUAUUCUUUCAAACUUCUUAUUGUACAAAUAUAACCUGCAUGUGCAACCAUUUAUGAUCCCAUAAUUUCAAGAAUUUAUGACACCUUCUAGUGGUUAGUUUUUCUAGGAAUAGAGUGAGACAAUCUAUUCACCCCCAAAAACCAUCGUCAGAGGAACAGUAGAUAACCCGCAAGACCAAAUUUAUGUGUGUGAAUGGAGAUGCAUGUUUUUUACAUCCCAGUCAUGUAGUGUUGUGUCAAAGGGAAUAAUAGCAGGUGAUGAUAAGUGGUAUUUCUAAAAUGUUCGAAGAAUAUUCCAUCUGUCAUGUAAUAUUGCUUUCUCAAAACUGUUUUUGAAGUCUUAUUUUUAAAUAUUAGAGUUGACCUCUUGUACACUAUCAACUGAUGUUGUAACUUAACUAGAAAGAGAAAUUAUAUAAACUUAGCCUUGGUUUGGAUCUUGAAAGAUAGCAAGCAAAGAAAAAUUAGGUUAAUAGUGAGUUGAUUUAUUCUCUUCCCAUGGAUGUAAGCACAUUCUUGAAUCACUUAAAUUAUUUUUUUCUUGUCUAUUAUUCAAUUGUCUCUGAAAAAAAAAGUGGUAUCAGCGUUUUUUCCAACACAACAAAUGAUUCAUGUGACAACUGCCAAUAAAGGAAGCACUUAAGAAGGAGUUUGUAAGGUGUUACAUGGCAGGUUGAACAAAACCAAUAGCUAGAGAGAUAUAUGAAAUAUUUGGGGGCCAUUGAUCCAACAAUAGUAGAGAAUAACAUAAGAAGAGACCCUCUAAUCACCAUUUUUGCUUUCGAUUCUUCUCUACAAAACAUCAUCUCUUUAUACAAAAAGACACCCCAUGGCUGAGCUCGUAUUAUUCUCUGCAUAUCCCAAAACUGCUCUCCAAAUUUUAGGGCAUGGUACUCUUUUGAGUGGUAUUUUUGGUACUAAAUUUAAGUAUUCUCUCAAAUACCUAAAAUGCCCUCUAGAUUUUAGGGCAUGACCCACUCUUUGAGGUGGUAUUUUGGGUACUAAGUUUUGUUAUGAGAGGUUUUGGUGUGGAAAUCGGAGGGCCUCUUGGGAAUAUGAAAUUAGAAAUGUUACACACGUUGCAUGUAUUUUCUUUUGCGUGCAUUACACUUAGAUUGGAGUUUAUGCAGUUACUCACUUUUUGUGUGUCCAACAGUACUGUAUGUCACAUCACCAUAUGAUGGGCCCUUUAGCCUUUUUUUAACCCCCUCCCCCCAAGAAAAAAAAAACCUAAUACUAAAAAUAAAAAAAUAAAAAAAAACCUAAUACUAAAAGGACCUUAGCUUGCAAACUAUGUGGAGGUAGGCCUCCACAUCCAACUUCUUAGAGGGACCAUGAUCACUUAGGCCAAGGAAGUUUGAGGCAAUAAUACGUCUACGAUGCCCUUAGAUGUUUUGGGCACAUGCACGCUACACUAAUGUAUUCAACGAGUCUGUAACCUUGACUAACAAGCUUAGGUAAUCUUUGAAAUUUCAUUAUGAUGGGGAAGGUUCCACAUGAACGACACUUGCACAUGGGUUAGUUAAUCCUAAGAGAUGGGGGAAGCUCGUCAGACAACGCGUGACACUCGAGCUUUGAAAGGUAAUUGAGUUAACAUUCCUAAACCGGGACAUGACGGUCUACAACAAUGUUAGGUAGUCUGAAGAGUCAUGUUAAUUGUUAUCGGUAUUUUUAUUUAUUCAAUAGAAAUUGAGGAUUUAAAAAAUACCACAAAAAUUAGAAAAAAAAAUUAAUUAUAUGAAUAACAUUUCAAAUAUUUAACAAAAUGUAUGAAAGUUGAAUAUCAUACACGAUUAAAUGGCUAGAUCAUCUUCUUUAGUUUUUCCAUGAUCUCAUCCUAUUAAAUGACUCAUCCAAUAUUAAUUUAUUUUAAAGGUAAAAUUAAUUAUAUUAUAAUACUUAAAUACUUUACCAUGCUAUAAUCCUCUAGCUAAUAAAUGAAAUCAAAACUUAAAAAUCAUUUUUAUAUAUAGAUAUAUAUUAUUAAGUUUAGGUAGUGAAGCAAUUAAUGUGGGUAUAAAAUUAAUGCCAAAACUUUUGAUUGUUCCUUCACAUUCUCCACAGCAAAGGAAAUAAGAAAAAUAAAGAAAGAAAUUUAGGGUAGUUUUAUUUUUUGUUCUCAUCUCAUGGUGAAAUUAAUAGAGGAAUGCUUGGGUUGGUGCUCAACAAUCAAGUGACAUCCGAUAUAAUGAUUCUUCCAAUCCUGUAAAUAUUGUCCGCUUUAAUUUUAAUGGAUCAUCAUCACUUUAAAUUGCAUUCACAUUGUUAAGAGCAAUUCAUACGUACAUAAUAUUAAGAACUUUUUCUUAUUCGAUAUGGAAUAUAAAAUUGGGUAUCUUUCUGAUUACUACCAAAAAGUGCUAUUUUGUAGACCUAAUUAUAAUGGUUUUAAGCACCUUUGAGUAGUAAUCAUAUUCAUUUAACCCAAUUAAUUCAUUAAGGUCCUUAGUAAUUGGUUUUAACCAUUUUGUGGCAAGUUUACAUGUUUAUAUCAGCUUAUGAAUCAAUUCAAGCAUGCCAAAUGAUGGAGGAGCUACUUGGACAAGUUAAAUCAAGCUUUUAGCUACACCAAAGCAAGCCAACAAAAGGAGAAAAGCAAAGAAAAGCAAAGAAAAGCAAGGAGGAAAACAGAGGACAGCAGCUGCAGUCUUCGUUGGCACUUUUGGAGCACUUCCCGAAGUCCAUUCUCUACAUGCUAUAUACCAUUUCAAAGCUCAGGAAGUCAAGAAUCCAACGCUUCAAACCGUGCAUGAUUUGGAGCUGAAACGAGGAAGAUAUGGCCUUCGGAAGACAACUGCUCCAGGUGUGCGAGAAUUUCGCACACCCCCCUUUAGCUGUGCGAAUGGUGUGCGAAGUUCGCACACCUUCUUCAGGUGUGCGAAAAUUUCGCACACCCCAUGCGUGGUGCGAAUUUUCCCCUGUUUCUGCCGACUCCACUUUAGAUCUUUUCUUUUAGAUAUUUUUGUAUAAAUUUCCAUUCUUCUCCUUGUAAUCCACCAAUCAUAAGAUUUAUUAGCUAGGAAAGUUGGAAAAACUUCUCUAUUUAUAUCCCCUUGCAUCCGUUGUAACAAAUAAUUGAUAUAUAGAUAUAUAAUACAUAUUACGUUUUACACUCUCUCGUUUUCUCUUUUCUCUUCACUAUUUUAUUUUCUUGGUAGCCAAACAGCCUCUAAGGGCUUUUCCUCAGAGGAUGAUUGGCUAAAACUUUUAGUUUCUCAAAGUAUGGAUGUUAUGUGAUGACUUGGAUGCAAUCCCAUGGAAAUUUCUCACACCCGGAAGGUAAGGUAGUCGUUUUUCAUUAAAGGUUCAUUAAUGCAAAGUUUGGUUUUUAUUUCCUUUGGACAACUUCCAACGGCCAAUACUUGAUAAGCUUUUGGAUUUCUAUCCAUUAGUUAUCUCCUACGAGCUAUUGGAAGGUGAGGUUUUCAAUUCCAAGUUUUGUAUUAAUCCGUUAGAACCAAUUUCAAUGGCCAUUGAAAGGUGAGUUUAUCACCUGGAAUGACUUUGAGUUGCCAAUAUUUGGUAAGCUUUUGGCUUUAGACCAUUAGUUAUCUCUUACGAGCCAUUCAAAGGAAGUCUAAGGUGAAUAACCAUUGAUGAAAUUCACUACCAUCUGUUUUGCCAUUUUAAAGGAUUAAAACGUGAUUUGCUAAAUCCAUACCGGUUCGGGAAGCAAGCAUCACCAUAGUUGCAACCCCAACGCGAGGAGCCUAUCCUGAGAUUUCCAAUUUGCAUAAGAGCCAGAGCAUAGCUAUCCUAUCUUUGAGAAACUUGUUUUUACACCCUUUCAUUUUAGUCUUUAAUGUUAGCUUAGAUUAGUUUAAAUCUUUCUAAAACAUUUACAUCUUCUUUUAAAGCUAACAUCCAUAAGAAAAUCACCUAUUUUCCUAACUUGAAUAUCACUUGUGUUUGCGAAAACCCUUCCCAGUGAACGAUCCUAGAACCACUAUGCUAUAGUAGCUUGGCUACUUUAGUAAUAGUAUUCAAGGUAUAAAUUUUGUUGAUACGCCUUUAAAGCUAAGCUACCAUGAGUCGCAUCACUUUCAAUUUUAGAUGUUGCAUAAGCAUUCCAACUCCUAUAUAGACACAUUGCGUAAAUAUUCUUAUUUAAUAAAAGUUUAUAUGUCAUUAAAUAAAUAUAGAAUUUUAACAUUAAUUGCAGUGCUAAGUGCAAGAGAUCUCAUGUUUAAGUCAUUGAUUAAGAUUUAUUUGAAAACUUAACAUUUGUUACUUAAAUAACUUAAGUUGACUUUAAAUUAUAUUAUAUUUAAAUUAUUUGCUUAAAAUUUAUUGUUUAAUAUUUAUUUUAAGUAUUAAAGUUAUUUGAUAAAGUUAAUUUAAAAAAUAUUUUAAAUCACAAAUUGUCAUAUUUACCUUCAUUAAUUUGAAUUAGUAUUUACAUUCAUUAAUUUUAUUUAAUAUUUAUUUUUAUUAAUCUUAAAUAAUAAAUUUGUUUAUUAAACAUUUAACAGAUUCAUAAAAUAACUACACAAUAUUCACAAUAAUAAAUGAGUCAUGAAUUUGAAGUCAUGAUUUUAAAAUGUACGCUAACAAGAUAUGAACAAAUGAGACAAAAAAAAAUGAGAUUAAAAAUAAGUUAAUUAUUUUGAUUUAACACUUAAAAUUAAAAGUAACUUUAAAUUAUAAUAUUAAGUUAUUUUAGCAAAUAUAUUUAAUCUAUUUAAUGAAUUAAAUUAAGUUAUUAAGUCAAAUGAUUACCAAACACCCUAUUAAGACCCAGAAAAUGGAAUGAGUUUUAAUAGUAUUCAGGAUGGGCAUGACUAGGUGGUGGUUCAAUGCUGAUUAAUCAUAAUUUAAUCUAAGCAAAAUAUGUAACGAAACUCAAACUGCACUAUCCAAAUGGGCGCCAAGAACGUUACAUUUGACAAAUGCCAGUAAACCUCUACAGCUAGAAAUUAAAAGAUCACUCUCUUGUUGUAUCUCUCUUUUUCUCCAAGCCCCGGAAGGAAAAACUCGAACCCCAUUAUUUUGAUCACAGAAAAAGUGGCAAAAAAGUGUGUUGUAGUUCAUCUUGAAGCUCAUUAACUUCAUCUUAAUUUGAUCCAAAUUGCAGAAACAUGGGAAACUCCAUGAAUCUAUGGUGCUAUGGUGGCCUACAUUCAUAUAACUGGGGACACUUUGGUUUAAACUACAAUGACCCCAAACAGGGUUUGUAGAGACUUCAUCGAGAUCACUAGCUUCAAAAGACUGAGGAAGAAAGAUGUUCUCAAUGAAAACUUGGUGUCAAAUUGCAGAUAAAGACCUAAAAAUCCCACUUAAUGUGUUCUAGGAAUUGUUGUUUGAUAGGGAGUAAGAACAGAGUGCACGAGUUUUGGGGUGGGGUGAUACCUAAAGCACUAGAGUAGCACGUGAUCAAGCCUCACUUAGUGAAAAGCUGUUUGGUUUGUACAUGUCUGCUUAGUGAUACUUAGGAUUGGCGAAGUAUACAUCUCCUUUGUGAUCAGGUUUGUAUAUGGGCAGAUGAAUGUUCAUGUGAGGUUCAUAUAUGUUUCUGAUACAUAUCACCCUGGAAGAAUCUAGAUCAAGGGGAUGAGUUUCUAAGCUUGACUAGGUUUGAGAUGUUUGAGAAUUGGUGAGCAUGAUAUAUAUCAUGAUAUUGCAGAAGACAACAGAGCUUCUGAAAUAUGUCAGGUUCAAUAGUAGGAAAUCUUAUCAGCUGUCACUUACUUUAAUCCUAUGAUCUCAAUAUUCAUUUGUUGAAGAAGAAAGAGGUAUCUUGAAAAAAAUUUGCUUUCACACUAUUCAAUUACAAGAGGAUGUUCAAUUAUAGAAGAAAAUAAUAUUCACUAGACUCUUUCAACUUAAUCAACAUGCAGGGAAAACCAGUCGGGUGACCAAUUAUUCACAUAAUAACUUAGGUGGUGUUUGUUUUUUUGGCUUUUUGCUGAAAACCAUUUAGUUUUAGAAUUUAGGUAGUUUGUUUUUUUACUUUUUCAUAACUUAUCAUAAACUUUUUACUAAAUAGAAAAAGCCAAAAUAUGUGGCUUUUUCUAAAUAGAAAAAAUAACACAAUGGUUUUUUUUACUUUUUAAUACUUAAUAGAAAUAAAAUACUACAAAAACAAACAACCUAAUAUUUAAUACUAUUAAGUAUUAAGGUUCUAUUUAGAAUUAAGUAAAAAAACAAACACCACCUUACUGUCUUUCUACCUCUACUUGUUAAUCAUCAGCCAAGCUUAUAGUAAUAUAAGCUUGGGUUCAUCUCUCUAUGCCACUGAUGACAACUCCACAUGGGCUUCCCCUUCUGGUGAUUUUGCAUUUGGAUUCCGACCGUCUCCAAGUGAAAAGGAUCUAUUCCUUCUUGCUCUCUGGACUGCAAAUGGAAGUUAACCGGCGCCAAGAGGAUCAAAAGUCGAGCUUGCUACCAAUGGACAGCUUGUUCUCCAGAGGCUAAGAGAUAUGGAAGACAAAGACUGGUAAUGUGAGCAGCAAAGCAGUGCAUGGUGCCAUGCUUGGAGAUGGAAAUUGUAUACCUGUAUAUGGGAGAGCUUCAAGCACCCAACUAAUACCAUAUUGCCAACUCAGGGAUUGGUGUUGGAGCCUACUGUGCAGUUGCCAUUUUUGAGAACCUGAGGUUUGCAAAUGGAACUGGUGUAUGAGUUUAUGCACAAUGGUUCUUUAUCAAGCUUCCUUUUUGGAGGCGCCCAAGGACUGGUGUACCUACAUAAAGAAUACAGUAAACAGAUCAUCCAUUGCGACAUAAAGCCCUCAGAACGUAACUCUUGGAUGAUUCUUUUACAGCCAAAGUUGCAAACUUGGACUGGGAAAGCUUCUGAUAAGCAACCAGACUAGAACACUCACAGGCAUCAGAGGGACUAUGGGGUAUAUUCAGACAACUCGGGCAGCCUAUGUCUCUUAUAAUAACACGUUAUGAAGCAUCAGCUCAAUGCCGGGGUUCAAUCUGCAAAGCAAGGGAUUCAUCAAUGUUUCCUUCAAACUAAAUGAUAAGGAACAGAAAUGGAUCAUUCUGCAUUUUCAGUGGUGUUUGUUAUAGCAUUUAUACAAGAACUCUAGGGGUUUCUAUGUAUAACUUCAUUCCCAUUUUGUAUAAUCCAAAUCUCUUCAAUCGAUUAAAUGUAUAAAUGAAUCCUAUUCAUUGUUUGGAGUAACAACAAAAUUCUGGAAGACUGGGAAAGUUUCAACACUGGAGAGAAGACAAAAUGACCAGACCAUAAAUUCUGGAAGAGGGCUUUGCUUUCUAACCAUUACCAUAAUUUUAGAGCUCAACCCGGAUGAGUAAAUUAUAUUUCAGAAUGUUCAGGAGAUAAUUCUAAAGUGAUGAACCUUCUACUCACAGUUUUUUGUUCUUCUUGAACAGAGCAAUGAACAUCAAUAGUUCAGCACCCAGGAAUCUCCCCUUCCUCCAAUUCCCCCACUGGGAAAAGUCACCUUUCCAGUUAAGAAAAUCAUCAGGAUUAAUUUGAGCAAAACAUCAGAGUAUACAUCAAGAAAGCCUUGAUCAAAAUCAAAAUACAUCAAGAGCUGCCAUUUUCUUCUAUUUCCUCUUCCCUGAAUGGAAUGCCUUUUGGACUGAGGUGAUCAAUGGUAACAGUCUAACACACUCCUUAAGCUCUGAUUGAGGUCAACGGGGAUUGGCACAUUUAAUGACUUUGAAAUCAUAGCUGUGUGAAGGGAGGCAAACAUGAAUCUCAGGAUAAUCAACAAGUCAACAACUAUCAAUCAGUAAGGAAAAGGAAAUACCUUUGGAUAUUUACAAAUCAAAAAAUUGAGAGUCCAGCUUCUCUGUACAGAAAGGCUUGAGCUUAUUCCAUGGCCAGUCUGAAUUACGGAUGAGAGGGUUGAGUUUUCUUUCAUUCUGCAAUAAGAUUAAAAACAUCAAUGAAACGCUAAAAGUUUAUAUAUAGAAGCCCUUUAAAGAUGAGAAUUGGUCAGAGAGCUCACCCAUGGUCUAGUAAAACAACAUCUGUUAGAUAAGUAACCACCAUUCUAUUGUCCAGCUAAUGCAUUUAGAUCUAAGAUAAGCUAUGGAAAAAUAGUCAAAAAUAGCUAAAGACAGUCCAAAAACUCAUUUGACUAAUAAUUUUCUAAAAACAGUAACAUAAAACCUGGAUGAAGAAUCCACCCCUCUACCUCACACCACUGCAAUGCCAAAUAAAAUGUUACAAUGACCAUAUAUGGUCUUAAGAGACAAUGGGUGUUGUUUGGGCUCAAGACCUAAGACAAGCCAAAAAACAAGAAGAAAACAACAUCAAAAAUAGAUGGCAAAAUAGAAGGAUAAGGUCACAGACAGGACAAUAUUAAAAGAAAUUAUUAUUUUUCCGACCUGAAAAUCAAGGCAUUCAGAAGAGUACAAGUUUGUAAGUAGUCCAUGGAAACCAGGGAACAUAUGCAGAUGUUGUACUCUAUUGCAUAAGGCAAACACUCAAUACUUACAAGCAUAAUCAUGCCCAGAAAGCCGUGAAUCCCUUUUUGUUUUGCUUUUUUACCUAUUCCCAUCUCUUAUGGCCAGAAGUUCCUUCUGUGGCUGGUUUGUUGUGAUGGCCAUUUCGGGUCCUAACAGACUUGCUAUUGUUGUCUGGGCACCUGCCUCAGAGAAAGCCUGCCAAAGAUCGGAGUCUGGGCCAGGGGAAACGGAUUUUCUUUGCUGGAGUUCCCAGUCUGUUGCUUCAAUCUUUUCUCUGUGCUGUUAUGAGAAGAAAACCUAUCAGACACAUGAAUGGGUACAAAAAGGUAAACUUCAGGUUUUGGUUGUAUUGAAAAGCACAGGAAACUUCACAAGAGGCAAAUUAUACCCCAGACUUAUUGAAGAAAAAUAAAGUACAAUUGACUUACCCAAAUGUCUACUUUCUCAUUUAUAGGUUUCCUCCUAAACAAAUCCCCACAUCUAGGACAGGAAAAGGAAGAAACUGGGAGUCGACAUUUUUUCAACCAAAAGCACUAACUUAUCAAAAAACAUAGUUUUCCAUUCAAUGCCCAUUUCUUCAGGCUUCUUAAAGUGCUUAUGAUUGGUGGAGGUUCUUCCAAAAUCACACAACUUCCAUAAUCCAUUAGGGCCCAAUAGAAGAUUCUCAGCAUUUAUAUAAGAACUUCAGGGUUUAUACAUAUGAUCAUGUUACAGUAUAAAUCAUAGUGAACUGGUGGAAUUUGAUCAUUAGCCAACCUCAUCAAAAACUGUUUCACAGUUGAGGGGAUUGUUAACCUUGCCAUGGGCCAAGCAGCAAUUUCUGAAGAAGCUGGGUGACAAAGAGUACCAUCAUUUGGACUAGUUUCAAUGGAAAUUCCUCUGUUUCUAUACAUGAUAUCUUCAGCUUCAGCUUUUCCUUUUGCUUUGACAUGGCUGAAACUGAUCCUGAAAUCAAAAAUCCCAUGCAAGUAGAUAUUUAACAGAAGAGGAUCCGAAUCUCUUCAAUUGAUUAAUGUAUAAAUGAAAUAAUCAAAAUUUUUAGAGAUAAUUAUAGGGAGAUGAACCUUGUACCUCUGAGUUUCUUAGUCUUCUUGAACAGAGCAAUGAGCAUCAAGUGUUGAGCACCCAGGAAUCUCCCUUCCUCACAGGGAAAAUCUGAACAAUCUAUCUUUCUUCAUAUUCCACUUCCUUGCAAAAGUCAUAACAUGAAGAAAAUGUCAUCAAAAUUGAGACAAAAAUAAGUGCAUCAACUGUCUCAAGAAGAGAUUUAUGCCUAUUGCUUACCUUUUGCAGAAGUCCACUUGGUUAGAGCACAUUUUACAUGGACGCCCAAUCACUGCAAGCUGCUGAACCAAAGGAGAGUUCAAACAUCUAAAAAAUUUGACUAACUCAAGUAUCAUAAAAUACUUCACAUGAAUUCCAAAUGAUCUCAUAUCUAAAAAACAUUGACAUAAAAUUAUUGUUGUUUACCUUACAUGUUUCUUCCAUGGUCAUAAUCGAAACUUUGUUUAUCAUAAGAAAUCUUCUAUGCUCAUCCUGAUUACUUACAAUGAACAUUGAAAUGAAAAGACAAAAAACACAAAAAAUGACGAUUAGUUUGGUUUGAUAAUUUUUUAAAAUUAGAAAUUAUAAAACUAUUUUGGUUCUCAGAUUUAUCGGAAAAUUGAGGGAAAAACAAAAAUCUAAGAGAAAUUUAUUUAACACUUAUGAGGAACCAAAAAUGUUUUAGAUGUUGUCCAAUCGAUAAUUUAAACGUGUUUAAUUUCAAUUAAAUGAGUUUAAUCAAACACAUGAAAUUGUGAAUAAAAUUAUUUAAAAGCAUUGAAAUUCAAGUCAAUAAAGUUGUACAUAAAAUUUGAUAUAUUGAAGCAAGAAAAAAACAAAGCAAUUUGAAUGACUUGCUAAUAAAGCAACUAACUAGAAUAUGCCCUACAGUUGUUCUGUGCCCUGUAUAUAAGAAAUUUAAAAAAAACAUUCCUAGAAAAAAAACAAACAAAAUAUCCAUGGUUCUUACGUUAUUUUUUUCUUAAUUUUUCAAUAGUUAUAAAUGGUUCAUUUAAUUCUUGCAAACCACCAAAUCAAAACAGAGCAUGAAAAUGUGUUCAAUAUUUGUUUCAGGCUUGAAGCUUCAAGAAAAAGAAAACCUUAAAUCAAAUAAACAGGACUAGCGAAUGAAUUGGAACUUGAAAGAAAAGUUCAAGCGCAAAAGAAUUACUUGACUCUAUAUUGGCGGAGUGGCACUUUGAUUAAUAUAGCACAUUAUUGAUCAAUAUUCUUGGAAUGUGAGCUAUAUAACGCCAUUCUUCCCCUUUCUCAAAUCCACCGUUUUUCCCCUUUCUCAAAUCGAUGAAAAGGUAGCAUAUAUUUUUCAUUUCCUAAUUAUAUCAACUACUUCAUGGUGCCUUUGUCUGAUAAGCUUAAUAGUUCUUCUACAUUUCCACCAUCUAAUUCUCUAACGUUCAUCAUGAUAGGGUUGUAAAUUUCAUCAUCAAAUCAAAACAUAUCCUCCUAUAAGAGGCCUUUGAAUUAUGAAAUAAUCAAUUCACUUGAUUCUCAUAUUGGCAAAGACAAGCUUACACUAUUGGAAAGACUACCCCUCACCUUUGCCUUCCCAAAUAGCAAAGAUGAGAGAGAACCUUUCACAAAAUCACAAGAAUUAUUCAAGUUUGGAAUUCAUAGGCAUUGUUAUUGAAUUUCAGUUGUAUAAAAUUGGUGUGUUGUGUUUAUUUUGUUGGUAUUAAAAUUGAAUUUUUUUAAUUGCAAAUUGAUGAUUUUUUCUCUCUCUCACAUUUAUACCCAUUAGAGUUUCUUAUUAGGGUUUGUGUUUGAAAUUUGGAGAAAGUAUGGUGCAAUUGUUCACCGGUGUGGUGUACCAUCUUGUUUGUUGUAUUUGAUCUUUGGGUAUUUGAUUUAAUUUUGUUGUUGUGAAAUUGAAAGUUGAAAUCCAAGUUAAUUGUUUAACUAGCUAUUUGUAGUUGACUUGUUUGCACCGAUCUUGAUUAUCCAUUUCAUGGGAAUAAUUGAUUCCAAUUUUCCUUCAUGGUUACUGAAAAUAUAUUGUGGGUGAAGGACUAUUAUGGAGUAUAUUUAAUUUACAAGAUUGAAUAUUGAACAAAGAUAUGCCCUAGGUCUAGCUUAUAUGGAAUAGCAUAUCUUACAUUUAUUUAAUUAAAUAUACUAUACAAAUUUUGGUUAUAUAUAAUAUCUAUGUUACAAAUUUGGAUAAUUCGAAGUCUAAGUGACUUCAUAUAAUUAUUGUUACAUCUUAAAAAUGAUUUCACAAAUUAGAAUUACAAUGACUCCUACACACCUUAGAUUCUAACUCAAAUUCUCACUUGAUUUUAUUUUAUUUUUAUUUUUAUUUUUUUGUUUUCAAUCAAUUAAUAAUAUGUUAUGGGCUAGUUUAGCUUAUAGUUGAGAAGAAUUUUAUCUAAGAGCACCUCAAUUUGAAGCAAAUUGAAGAAAAAAAAUGACUUAUUAUACCUUAUGAAAGAUAAUAUUAUUAAUUUCCAUGUUUUUUUUUCAAAUAACCUUUUCAUGACAUGAACUUAUAUGGAACAUUGUUGUAUUAAUUGAUUAGGAAAUCACUAAGCCUAAGGAAGUGAGAAAAUUUAAAAGGGAAGGAAUGUCACCAUUGCAUUUUAGCACAAAGAAAGAUGAUCUCUAGCUAUGACGAAAAUUCAAGAAAUGAACAACUUCCAUUAAAGAUGAAGGCACAAUUGGGUGACAUUUAAAAAAAAAUAACAAAGGAAGUUAUUGUUUUAGCUAGGGAUAUGUUUUUUUUUUUUUCAGACUUCUUGUGUUACUCAUAUAUACAAUAUGCAAUGUGAUUUCUCUUUUAUAUUAUAAAUUUAUUACUCUUAGCACUUCAUUUAUGGGAUAGAUAAAUAAAAAUUACUUUAAUUUUAUUUAAUUAUUGGAUAGUUGUUGGAUGGAUAAAUGAUUGUUAUUUUCUUUAUAUUUGAGUUAUUUCAAUAUCAAAUGCCAAUUAAAAUAAAAGAGCAAUAGGUGAAGCUAAUUUUAGAUUGUCACAAUCCUUGGCACUUCCACUAAGUGUCAAGGUUUAGAGCAAUCAACAAUGGAAAAGGUGAACAAUGAUACUUCCAAAAGACGUCAAGGUUAUUUCAUCUUGAACAAUAACAGUUUUUGUAAGUGUCAUUAUUUACAAAAUCAACAAUAACAUUGGCAAAUUGGUACACCUCAAUGCUUCUAAAAAACAUCAUUAUUUGUUCCAUAUUUACAAUGACGCUAUUAAAAGUGUCAACAUCGCUAAACACUCUUUACAAUGACACUCGAUUUCAUGGCGCUUUUAAGAAGUGUAAUGUUUGUAGAAACUUAUUAUUGAUCACCGACUUUUUGCAACCAUACAACACUACAUAACCUUAAUACCUAUUGUUCAUUAUGAUGUUGUAAGAACAUAUGCCUCUAUGUGACCUAUUAAAUAAACUGGUCUUAUCAACUGAAAAAUGUUCCUCUAGUUAGUAAAAACUUCAUUCAUGUGGUCAUUUAUGAGCAUCAUAAUAAUCCAUAUUAAAAAUAUUUAAAAACAUUAAUGCACUAAAACAUUGAUUUCAUCAACAAAAUUACACUCAUUCUUUUGACUUAUAGCAUUCAAAGAUGUUUAAAAAUAUAUAUGUACAAUAAAACAUCAUCAAAUUUAUUAACAAUUAAACUUUUAACCCCAAAACAAUCCGCUACUUUAGUAGAUAAGACACUAUUUGGAAUAACAUUAUUUUUAGCUCAAGUUAGAAGUUAAAAUGAUAAGGUUAAAAGAAUAAAACCAACAAAAAAAGAAGAAGUUAUUUUUUGUCAAACUUGACACUAGUUCAAGUUAGAUAAUGUAGCUCAACGCCCUAUUGAAUUGAGUCAUAUAACUAGACUCCCUAAUUAUAUAUUAUGAUACACACACAACCUUUGGUCUAGUAUACAUGAUUAAAUUAAAUGCCCAACCUAGUUUGCAAAGCUAAACUAGAAUCCCAAAUCUAGUUCAUUAUAAAUGCUCUUCAACCAACUUGCUAUAGCAUUCAAAUAAGACAAUGACAAUGAUAAAAAACCAAAAAAAAUACCUAAUAUAUCAUUGAAAACUCCUUCCUAAAGGAGGUAAAAAAAAAAUCAUGAAGUAACUUUCUUCUAUUAAUAAAAAAAUGGGAAUACAGUGAUCUAUAUAGUGUUUUAACUCGAAACUUAUGGUAUUACAAAUAUUAAAGAAGCGAUUUAAAACACACACACACACAACAAGCAUGUUGUCAAGCUUAUAAAAGUUGGAGAAAUCUCUACAUAUAAGUCUUCAAAACAUGAUGGAGAGUAACCUUGACAUUUAAGUCAACAAUAUACAAGGAAAGGCAACCCAAAAAGAUACAACUUUGAGAACAAACCCUUCUUUUUGCUUUUUUACAUAACCCCUUUUUUUUUUUUCUUUUUGAAAACUUCUCUCAUUUCCUCUAAUUGUUACACUACACAACAAUCCUAAAAAAACAGAGUUUAAAGGUCUGUUUGAUAAUUGUUUUUAAAAAUAAUUUUGAAAAAUAGUUUUUGAAAAUUAUUCUUUAAUGUUUAAUUUGUAGAACAAAAGUUUGUUUGGAAACCCUAAAUAUUUUUAACAUGUUUUUAAUGUUGUUAAAUAUGUUUUAAAUUUUUUUUUUUUAAUGUCUAGUAUUUUAUUUUUAAUCAUUCUACAUGUUUAUAUAAUUAUUUUUUAAGACAACCCUUAAAAAAUAAGUAAAAAUAACAUAAAACAGUUAAAAGAUGUUAUCUAAAAACACCUUAUUUUAUUAUAGCAGAAAAUAAAAAAUGGUUUUUGGUUGUCAAACAUGUUUUCUUAGUUUUUUUAUUCUGAAGAAUAAAAAAUUGUUCUUGAAAACAGUUGUCAAACAAGAAUCUUUUCAUGUUAGUCUAAGUAUCACAUUAGUUAUUGCUUAAAAACUAGUCUUUCAACUAAAAAAGAAGGUCCACUACUUAUGGGUCAAACCUUCAACUUUCAAACCUCAACACAGUUAUAGUCAAGACUAAUAUUCACAUAUUAGUAUUAAUAUAGUUCAUUAAAUAUGAAAUUUCUAUAGAAGCCAAAAUCAAGUUUUUAGGGGAAGUAACAUUCACUUUCAUAAUAAGCACUUUUUAACUCAUAAGUUAGUACUUGCAACAAGAUUUCUUAAUAGAGACUUUAAUUGAGUUUUAAGAAGAAUUUUUUGUUUGUCAAAAACCAAUUCAAACAAAAUCUAAAACUAAUAUUAUUAUCUAAAAGACAUAAUGAACAACAUAAACCAUAAACUAAAGUGGUAGUGACAACCAAUACGUAGCGUUAAUGAAUAAUUGAAAAUAGCCUCAUUUUCUAAUGACCUCAAACCUAGAAGCUCUAAAAUCCUUGCCUAAUUCUUUGUGAUGACUUUAGUUCAACCUUAUUGGCGAGGGCAAAAUUCUAAAUAAUUUUUGUCACAACUCAUAAAUUUAGAAGAAAAAAUGAAAAUAAAUGGAAUCCCUAAUGAGAAAUUGUUAUUUUUCCCCUUUAUGACAAAAAUAGUAACCAACUAGUAUUAUUAAAUAACAUGGAAAUUGUUUUUUCAACUUUAAUACCAUGUAUGACAUAACUUUAAUAACCUUAAUUUAUAAGAUUAUUUAAUUUAAAAGGAUAAAACAAUUACAUAUUCAUAAGAAUCACUUCUAUUUUUUAAAAACAAUAAAUUCCAUUUUUUGGACAAAAAUACGCUCCAUUGUUUUUAUCAACAUUUCAUAAUCAAACAAUUAUUGGAAAAAAAAAAAAAAAGGUAUAAGGGUAGCUAUAUUAAAAUGAGGUUAUAAUUAUAAUACUCAAUAAGUGGAGAUUGUUUUUCCUAAUAUUGGGAUCAUCUUGUCCAUUUGACAUAAAAAAAUUUAAUUUAUAUUAUAAUUACUCUUAUAGUAAGAGAGAGAGUAAUUUCACAUGAAAUGGACCCAUAAACAUAGGUUUAUUAUGAGGCAUGAUACUAUAAUAAUAAUAGGAAAUAAGACGAGUGCUACCAUAAUAAUAGAAAAUAAGAUAAGUAAUUCAAUACUUAAUAAAGGUCUAAAACAAUUAUGCUCUCAUUAAAUGAUAUUAAUGAUGGAAAAAAACUAAGGGGUGUUUAACAAAAUUUAAUAUUUAUUACUUCAUGAUUUAAGUUGACUAUAAGUUAAAUUAUAAUUAAGUUGUUAAUUUAAAACUUAUUAAUUUUUAUUUUAAAUAUUAAGACUACUUAAUAAAAUUAAUUUAUAAUUUAUUAAGACUGUUUGAUAAAAUUAAAUUAAAAUUUAUUCUAAAUUAUCAAAUUGAUAUAUUUAUUUUCAUAAAUUAGAACUAAGGCAAAGGAGAUCAAGUAACAAUGAAUGUCGUGGAGUAGUAAAAAAGAUCCUAGAGGUAACGGGAUAAAUUAUGGUAAAAAAUGUCAAAUAAAAAUAUGAAUUUAAGAAUAAAUUAAUUGUUUGUACUUAUUACUUAAAGUUGUUUUUUAUUUUAUAUCAUUAAGUUAUUUUAUUAAACAUGUUUAAUUUAUUUAAUGACUUAAAUUAAGUUAUUAAGUCACUUUAGGCUAUAUAAUCGGUUUACCAAUCAUAUGGAGUACAUUUGGCUAGUAGGCCUGGAGUCAAGAAUAUUGCUAUCAUAUGUUUUAUGUAUUAAGGUGCCAAGAAUAAUUGACCACAAAAUAUAUGAUUGAUAAGUAUAGGAUACAAUCUAAAAAAUGCACUUGAUUUCAUCAUCUAAAUAAAUGCUCUCGGCAAAUGGAUCAUCCUAGCUGAAACCAGAGCACAAGCCGCCAUGGACAGGAGGCAACGGAGAAACCCUUCUGCUUCUUCUUCUGCCUUUUCAUCUCCAGCUUCAUCCUCAUCGCGUUUCCGCUCAGAGAAAUUCUCCUCGAAUCCCCCAAAAACUAGUAACUCCCUGGAGGAUGCUCACCAAUUGAAAAGCAAAUGUGGGAAGCCACAAAGACCAGAGCAAGAGGAGGAAGAAAAGCAAGAUCCGAGCAAUCUUCUCUCCUUAGUUGGAACUUGCCCCUUCAUGUGCCCUGGUAAAAAUGCGUGCUUAUUUUUCCAUUUUUUUAAAUUCUAUUUUCCUGUUAUUCUGUGUUUGGUUUCCGAGAAAUUGGAGGAAAACAGUAGAAAAGAGAAGUGAAUCUGGAGUUUGUGUCAUUUUUGUGGCUUUUACAUAAAUUUUACAAAUAAAAUUGAUAUUUCCCCCCCUUUAUUAGAUACCAAUCUGCAGAAGAUGUAGGAAUCCCAAAAAAAAAUUCGCUUUUGCCUUUACUUCCCCCAAAUCUUUCAUAAUGGAAAAUGGACUUACCACCUCUUUUAUCACUUUUCCUUUACCAUGUCAGGUUUACAUGUAAUCAAACACUGUAUUUGGAGUAGAGCACUUAUCCUAAUGUCAAAUGGUGUUGAAAACUUGAAUUACUGGAUCUUAAGACUCCAGAAGAAAUUUAAUUGUUUAUGAUUAUUGCUCCAUGAGAAGGGAAAGGGAUUUCUUUUGUUUUUGCUUACAUAUAUGGCCAAAUUGAUCUAUCUCCUUCUCAUACGAACAAAAUAAGGACAUUUCUUGUCUUGCUGCCUUUUAUGCCACCGGUUCCACAUGCUGAUGUGACAACCCUUGUGCUAUUCUGUACAAAUGGUAGGAAAAUUCUGGUAAGACUGGUGGCCAGCCUAUCAUGUUCAGAGAAUAAAUUCAUUGUAUAUCUGGAAUUCACUCUAUAUCAGCAUAGGGUGUUGAUAUUGAUUAUAAAUGACUAAAUUCAAUUUAUUAUCCUUACAUUAGGGAGUGCUAAAAGGAUGCAAAUUGUUCGUGUUAUACCCAAAGACAUACAAGUGAUGCUAGAGAUUUUCACAAUGUAGAUAAUCAUAGAGUAGAGAUGAACACUAUGGAGUCCUUUGGCAUGUGUUCAUUCCAUGUAUGGGAACAUGCAUUGGAAGAUUAUGUUUCCUCCUCCCUCCCCUCCCCUCCCCAAAGUUAAUACUAUGUUGUCAUGGCAAGAACUUUGGUGACAUGCUUCUGAGUGGAAUAGCCUCCUAGAAGUCCAUUUAUGUGGCAAUUGGCAAAUUCUUCCAGUCAAUGAGAACUUUGUGACUGUCUGAUUGUUGUACUAAUCAUCAUCAGAUUUUUUUUAAGUUCAAGUUGCAAAUAGCCUUUCACAGUUGAAGGUAGCAAUGAAGAGGCCUGUUGACAUAAUUAUUUCUUCUGCUUGAAUGGAUUAAAAUCAGAUACCACACCUUCAGCCUAGAAAACUAUGGACUUUCCUAUGUACCUGCAAUUGGCUGAAUACUGGUGUGACACUGAGCAAAGGCUCUCUGAUGCUGUUAUUAAUUUCCCGAGCAAAUAAGAGAAAACAGAGAGGUCAUAAUGUGAAUCAGUUACCUGUUGAGUAGGGAUGAAGGCUUUUUAUAUUUUUUUACUUUCUGGUUAGGCCUUGGAAGCACUUCUGUGAACCAUGAUUUUGUACUGUAAAAUUAGAUGGGAUGGAUAGGUCACCUUAACUCUACUUUUGGAAGUGAUUCGGGAGUGCAUGACCGUAUGAAUAUUGAUGUAUUCUCCCCAUACAGAGCCCAACUUCUUUUUGAACUAGGAAGCAUGAAGGGUGGGUGGAUGUGGGCUGAGGAAGGAAGAUUUGAAUUGUGUGCUGCAGGCCUGCAGUACCAAUUUGUUCCAGAACUUGAUAAGGCCCAUAAACUGGUAGGCAAGUUUCAUUAUUUGGUCACCACUGAAUUUCGGCAGUAUGGCCACAAGGAAGGUAGGAAGGAGAGGGAGAAGAGAAAACCCCAAUUGCCAAUUGCAAUCUUCCAGUUGGCACAGUGCUCAUUUGCUGACAUUUCCAUUUGAUUUUGACCUUGCAACAGAUACAGCUUAACGUGAUGGACCAGUUUUUCGCAAUCUUGUGAUUCAUUACCCAACUUCUAGUAACAGUUUCUCAGCAGAUGACUCACCCAUGACAGGCUGAUGAUGUCUGCACACAACUUGAAAGGUAUAUAUGCCAAGGUGUGAAAGGUAAUAUUGUGACACCGUUUUUCCUAUUCCAGAAAAUGUACCAAAUGUAUGGCUGGUUCUUGACCAAAAAAUGCUGGCAUUGGUCACCAAGUGCUAGAGUGAUUCUUGACAAAAAAUGUUUGUAUUGUUCAGAACAAUGAUUUACAACUUCAGAUUGGCCAUCCAGUUAACGAUGAUAAGCACUUGUUUUACAAAGUUCAGUGUCAUAAAAGCAAAAUAAUUUUGUCAACAAAUAUGGGGAUAACUUUAUCAUAAUUACUACUUAUGGAAGUUAAGGAUAAGUUGGGUAAUGUGAGAAAGCUUUGGUCAGAGGAUAUGAGGAUAACUUUGUUGCAAUUGCUAAGCUGCACGUCCUAGGACUACUAGGAGAAAAGUAUGAGCAACAGAAUGAAUUUACAGUCCAUCCCCACUAGCUGCAUGGAGAGGUUGGCCUUAUUGCUGCUAUGGUGGAGGUCACCUUCUUGUAGACUUUGAAAUGUGCAAAUGAAGAGGCAGAUUUCUUAGAAGAAUGGGUAGGAUUCAGCUUGUGGUAGAUAUUGAGCUUAUCGCCUCUAAUUUCAUGUCUUCUCAAUGUGGAUUUGAGGUUUAACGAGAUUUUUGGGAAAUCAUUAAGAUUAAAAGUAAUCGAAGACUUCCACAUUAAUGAGGUAAUGAAUAACCACUGAUACUUCUUCACCCCAAAGUUCCUUCACAAAAAUUUGGUGAGUGAAGAACUAUUACUGAGUUGUGAAGCACCAAUUCCAGCUUCAUUAUCUUGAUCUUCAGAAAGAGGGGUCCAACUUGAUUUGGGAUUUUAUACCUGUCAACCCAGUCACUAGUUUUUAGGAGAAUACUUCCAAUUUACCCUUGGGUUGCUUUAGGAAGUUUCUUAAUAGUGCCAUCUCUCUAGCUUAAGGGGCUUUUGUUAAUGGAAGGCAAAUUCUAGAUGUGGUUAUCAUUAGUAAUGAAAUCCUAGAUAAAAAAUUCUGUUCUAAGGACAAAGGGAUGGUUUUUAAAAUAGGUUUUGGGGAAGUUUAUGAUCACAUAGAUUGGGGUUUCAUGUAUGAUACAUACUUUGAAUAGGGAAGGCCCUUGAACCUGGAUGGCACAAAGGGACUGGAUAUUUUGAGGCUGUUUUUCAAACUGCAGACUCUUUAAUGGUUAUUGAAGCUGAGUGAUUAGCACUCGAGGAAGAUUCGGACAUGGUUGUUUGCCUGGAUGUAAUGAACCUCCUUAUUGAAGGGGAUUCCUUUGUUAUUGUCUUAGAACCCUCUUUGAAGGCAAAGGUCCUUAGUGGAUUGCUCAUCAGAUGGGGUGGCUUCAUAAUCAUGCUAGAGACAUUGCUUGUUCUUCUCUAUUGAGGCCCAGAUCAGCUAGCCAGGUGCAUGGCUAUAUUUUUCUUAUAGGGAUGCUAAUAUCUGAAAAUUUUUAUUGAGAACACUUACUGCUCUUUGAUUGGCUUGAGGCAUGGAGCGGCUUUUCUGUUCUCUUCUUGCCAUACAUGCAUAUCAUCCCUCUUUUUUUUAUCUUGUUUAACUCAAUAAAUUCUCAUUUGUUAUAAGGAAAAAAAGAGAUAUUAUGUUACAUGAUGGAAGGACUUUAUUCUGUUAUGGAGUAUGCAAAACCUAGAUCUAUUAGCUAGAGCUAUACAGUAGGCUGUUGGGUUGUUCAGUAUUGUCUCUUUUUUCGAUAGGUUUGGCCAAUGCCCCUUGAUGUUACUUUUUGGUAAUGUAAUUUUCUUUGAUUUUUCUUGAAACUUCCUCAUUUUUCAAGCUUGCUUGUAUAUCUUUUCUUCUUCCAUUAAUGAUUGUUUGAUUCCUUACUAAAAUAAAUAACAAAUUAUGAUGCAAAGGAUUACGUUUAUGGAAAAUUUUGAGAUUUUCACCAGAUUAGAGUCUCCGAAGCUGGUACUUGUCUUGACACAGAUAAUAGGAAUCAUUUUCCCCCCAAACUACAUAAGACAUGUCUGCUACUUGGUAAUGUUCCAUUGGCAGUUAUAAACUCUCCUGUAAAAUGUGAAUCUGUUGUAGCAUUCCGAAUGGUGUUGUGUCGUACAUAGAUUGGUAAUUGAGGACUUUAUUAUGGAUUUUGUCCUGUUUUGGUUGUGCCAACAAGUUCUAUCCUGUUCUUUGUCUUGCUGAUUUGGGUGGUUGUGCAUCAUGUUCCUACCAGCUGUAUAAUUAUGCUUCAGGAGCAUAGUUAUUCUGGUUUUACCAUCCAGAUGAUGGUACUAAAGUAUUUGUAUUCUAGAUUGCACAACUCCUUAUAUGGGAUAUUUUUGCACCAAAUGCUUAGUGAUCAAGAGAACUCUCAUAUUAAACACAUUCAUCUUCUAUUAAACUAAAUUCCUUAAGUAUGCAGUCUCACAACUACAUCAUACCAUUCUUUUCCUUUUUUCUUCCUUUCUUGCUAUUACAGGUUGGUUGCCACUAAUAUAGUAGAAAGCAAAUUACACGACCCUGCUUCCAUAAGACCUUUCUUAUUCCAUAGGUUGAAAUAGAAAAAACACUCGAUGGGACUAAUGUUUCUCUUUGCAACCAAGCAAAUUAAAAUGUUUUGAAACCCAUGCUGCCAUGAUCUAGCUAAUUUGCAUUUUAUAUGUCUACUCCUUUCUAUUUACUCAAAUUGUGUAUUUCUUAUGCUUGUAUUUAUUUCCUGAUGAGUUUAUUCUGAUUCUUUGAUCAGGAUUUCUGCAAUCACAUUGCUUGCUAUUGAAUUUUCAAUGGCUUAAUAUGAAUUAUUAACAAAGAAGUUGUUUAAUUAUUUCAGCAGCUUAUACCUUGUAAUUUCUUUUAACAACUCUUAUCUUUGAUGUUCAUUUGUAAUAAAUAGCUGGAGAAAGGGCCCAACGUGAACGCCUUCGGGACUUAGCUGUGUUUGAGAGGUUACAUGGAAAUCCUGGGAAAACAUCUCCAAGCCUUGCUGUCAAAAAGGUAAACCCUACAUCUCAUGCCUCUAUACCGCAUCUUAGCUUCUCAUCUUGCAUCGGACAAUGAUACUCUUAUUGAAUCAUCUUUACCAUAUCAGCCAUCAACAUGUGCACUUAUUGAGCACUAAUUCAGGCACUGAUACUUGUGCUUUUGUUUUGUUUUAUCUUGUCUUGUCUUGUUUUGUUUUGGAUGUGAUUGUGUUGGAUGACCUGUAUCUGUGUUAGACACCAAAGCCUAUCUUAAUGCUACUGUAAAGUAAGACUAUGCUAAUAAGCUAUUGAUCUGUUACAGGGUUUAUGCCAAACUGAUUUUUUAGUUUCUCUAGUAGAAAACUUGUUUUUUCCCCUGUUAUAUCGGUGCUAUUGUUGGAUUUGUGUUUGUUGUUGAUCAAGCAUUUGCUGAAAGUUUUUUUUUUCCUUUGCUUCUUGAUGUGCAAAGCAUUAUUGUUUGAAUUUUAAUGAUCCCAUUUGAUUCACUAUUCAAUAUUUUUAUUUGAUAUUACAUCUAUCUCAUUUGUUUUCUUUUCUUAGUUUUUAUUUUUUUAUUUUUUAUUUUUAAUUUAUUUUUUAUUUUUUGAAUUUGAUGGAGCCACCAUUAAUUUAUUUUUCCUUAUUAUUGUGGGGUGUGCUUUAUUUUGUUCAAUUGUUGUUGCACUAUUAUUAUCAUGUAACUUUUUUUUUCCUUUUUUUUUUUUUUUGUUUAAUCUAUUGUUCCUAUGAGCAUUAAAUGCUCCUAAAAUGUAUGGAAUAGGCUAAACCUUUCUAUAGUUUUUUUAAAAAAACUCAUUUAUUAUCUAUUUUCUUGUGCUCAAAAAAUUAUAUUUUUUUAGUAAAAUUGAAAAUUUAGGGAGCGCUUAGGCCUCAACGGCUCAACCCCUUGAGGGUUUAUGCCUAUCGUAGCAAGAUGUAAACCCCCUUGCCUCUUAUGCUUUUACCUUAUGAAACUAUACCAAGAAAAAAACACCACAACUCCCUGCUGCCAUCAAAGGAUACUUCAAAGUUUGCUUCAAAUCAAUCUUAAGGCUAAUUAUCAUACGCUUGUCAUCAUGUCACUAAAAUUGGUAUUGUAACCAAAGUCCUAUUGCGAAAUCUUCAAGUUGCAGCUCCUUUUUUUCUGUUGGUAUUUGUAUUGUUAGGUGGCCGCAACCUGUUGCUUUACUUAUGCUUUAUGAACUACUCCAGUUAAAAUAAUGCUUCAAGUAGAUGCUUUCUGGAUCUUGACUCUAGCAAGAGGCUUAUAUUGCAAAUUUUUUUGUGGAGUCCUAGCUAGGAAGACAAUAGCUUGCUUAAAAGGAUUGCCACCUCUCUUGUUGGGUUUGUAAAAAUUUUGCUUCUCUCUUGACCUUGGGAGUCCUGUGGUUUCAAUUUUGGGUGUGCUCUAGGUUGUAGCCUGUGUUAUGCUUUCUAAAUGGUAAUCUUCUUAUUUUGGCUGGGAUGCUUUUGUUUAUUUUGCUUGUUUGCUUUCUUUGUUUCUUUAUUGUGGCUGUAGGAUCACCAAUCAACUUUUUAUUCUUUGCAAAAACUGUUUAUGUUUCAUAACAAAAAAGGAAAAAACAAAGGCAAGUUAGCCUAGAAUAGGUUUUAUCUUGUUUCUUCUUUUACCAUUAGUGUGGAUUCAAACUCAGGAAGAGGCCUUCAAACAAGUGGCAUUUGUGUUUUUUAAACAUAUAUCUUUGUUCAAUCAUUGUUAAGUGUUUGCUGUCUUGUCUGUUCUUUUGGUUGUUUUUGGCUUUGUCAAAGUGUAUAAUUGUAAUAUCCUACAUCGUAUAGAGGAAAAAGUUCCUAGCGCUAUAUAUGUAUGAAUUUCUUUUAAUCUUGUUGAUUCGUUUUCAAGCCGCGAGGGUCGCUUAGGCUCAAAGCAAAUAAUAUCCACACAACUGGGAGCAGGUUGUUACAAAUGGUAUCAAAGUCAAUCCUCGACCUUGGUGGGAGAGUUUGUUUGGCCUAAAAUGGGUGUCCGUUUAUUUGACCCUACAAUCCUGUUGGACACAACAAGAACGUUGUGUCUGCAUGAGAGAGAGAGUGAUUGUAAUAUCCUACGUUAGAUAGGAGGAAAAGUUCCUAACGUUAUAGUGUGUGUGUCUUGUAAAGCUUAUGUUGGGUGUCAUGAUUUUAUCUCGUCCUUUUUAUUAUUCUGAUUCAACAUCAUCUUAGCUUAUAAUCAUUUAUACACUUGAUGCAUGAGAAAUGAAGAUGCUAUAAAUUGUAGGAUUCUUUUUCUCCAAUUUGUUCCUUGAUAUUUUAUAAUGCCAUGAAAUAUCUAUAUUUUGAUGCAGAAAGCCGUUCACCCUCCAUCUCUCUCACUAGUUUUGCAGAACCAUUGCCACUAAGCACAUGCAGGCGUCAGAUGUGCGGCCACUUCCAGUGUUGGAAGAGACUUUGAACUACCUAUUAAACCUGUUGGAUGCCACGGAACAUCCUUUUGAAGUGGUUCAUGAUUUCGUCUUUGAUAGGACAAGAUCAAUAAGACAAGAUCUUAGCAUGCAGAAUAUCGUUAAUGAUCAAACAAUUCAUAUGUAUGAAGAAAUGGUAUGAAUUUCUUGAAACAUAAUCUCAAUUACCUUUUUUUUUCUGAGCAUUCAUCUCCUCAACAUACAAUAAGUUAGCCAACCCAUUGCUAAACACUCUCCUAGUUGGAGAAAAUAAUCAAAGUAUACAAGAUAUAAAAUGUUGAAAAUUGAGUCAUUAUCCUCUCCUUUUGCUUUAUUGAAUAAGAUAAUUUAUUCAGUUGAGUCCAAACGAGGUGAAACUGUGAUCACACAACUUGAAGCCUACUUUACAAUGGAUAAAUGAAUGGUCUGAUUUUGAAUCUUUCUUGGCACAUUAGUUAUUAUCCAAUCCAUUCUAAUUAAAUUAUCCACUAUUAAGUGUCUAUUUCUAGUCACCCUCCAAGUUAUGAAAGACCCAUAGAACCAAAGCAACUCACACCACAUGUGAUGGGAAUUGGUGCUCUCUUCCAUAAUGUCAAGUUUUCCAGUACACUUGCUGACUUUGUAAAAUAUGCCUACAAAAAGGGCUGCCACCUCCUAAUUCCCAAUCAUAGAAGUUUCUUAACCAUAUUUCAAAAGCUGUAUUUCCUGUUCCCUCUCUUUAAGUUUUUUAAACCUAUAUCUCUUUAUCCUAGUAAUUCGGAAAAAUGAGGAAAUUAUUUAACAAGAACUCCAUCAAUUUGUUCCUUAAAAUUUUAUAUGGUUUCUCUCUCACUUUUUAUUCAAAUUCUUGAAGCAAAGGAACAAAUUCAUGGCUAGUAACAAUUUUAGCCAAGCAAUAGAAUGCACAACAAACAUGCAUAUGAAUGACUUUUGUUUUUUGAUGAUAAUAGAUCAGAUAUUUUAAUCUCAUCCUAAAACCUUGGAGUUAGCUAAAAGCCGCAUCUUAUGUUCUGACUUGUGGUUUGUUUCAUAAUAUAGGUGAAAUUUCAUAUUAUAUCCCACCACAAGCUUCGCAGUUGUAGCAGCAAGCCAAAUUUUUCUUCAGUUCAUUACCUCAAUAUGGAGCAGCUGAAAAAGUGUUUGAUAUCUCUAUAUGCUCUAUACAAAGAAAAUCGAAAUUCAAAUUCUAUUUACAAGAAUGAACCUGAGUUUUGCUCAUUUCACGUUCUUCUUCAUCUUGGCUUUAACAACCAACCAUUGGUGGACACUUGCUUCCAUUGUUUGUUUGAGUUCAUCUUUGUCAGUAUCUCUUGCAGCCUUGUACUGGUUUCUGAAUAUGUUACUAUUUCUGUUCUGAAGGGAGAGUCACUCUCUUUGUGGUUGGGUCGUGUACCUUCUCUCAUUUUGAAGUCAAAGGAAAUGUGUUUUGCCCGGAGACUUUUAAGGUGACCACAAAGCUAUUAUAGAUUCGACUUGCAUAUAAAUUGUUUAUAUUCAUUUUACAUUUAACUCAAUGUAGAGUGGUUCUGUUUUUCAAUCGAUUUUUUUCUCUUCUUUUAGUACCCAAUGUUAAAAUUUUUGUUUUCAUGAACUGAAAGAUCUGUCUUUUCUUGUAACAGAUUAUUUCGGAUGGGCAAUUAUAAGCAUUUCCUUUGUACUACAGCAACUGAGGCAUCUUAUUUGCAGUACUACAUUAUUGAACCUUACAUCAAUGAGGUUGCUUAAAUAUGUUGAUUUUGCUAGAUUUUUCAGUUUGAAAAAUAUAUGCUUCUUUGUUCAUUUAUUGUAUUCCAGUUUCAUUUAUGAGAAUAUAUCUAAAAUCUAGACUCGAGUACUUGUGCUUUUGGGUUUUAUUUUUCUUUCAUUUUUGUUAGUAGUUGCACUUCAUUAUUCUUAAAUUUCUCACCAACUGUUUCUUUAUGUGGUUUAUUGCUCCUCACUUUCUUCAUUCAUCUGAAGUUUUCAAAUUCAAUUAGCUUGUUUCAUAAACUAGGUCUUAUUUAGAAGUUCUUCUCAACUGCCUUUUUUUAGUGCUUCUAAAAGACAUGCCUGAUUUAUGUACAUUUUGUUGGUUUUCUUUUGACCGUAAAAGGUUCGAGCAUUGGCAUUGUCAUGUGUAAAUUAUUGUGGCUACAAACUUCAUCCAUAUCCAAUUGCACACUUGUCCAAACUCUUGAUGAUGAAGGUAUGAUUGCAUUUACUAGCAUUAAAUUGCUAAAAUUUGUCAUCCAAAGUUCCAAUUUCUUUUGAACCUUGAAGACUCCAUUUGCAUUCUUGUAGGAAUUAGAUGUGGAAUCAUUUUGCAAUGCUUGUGGUCUUGAGACCAGCACUGGUGAACGGGGAAAUAAGUUCUUAUCAACCAAGCAAACAAACUUCCAUUAUCCCAAGGAAGUCUUUCCAAGCUACUGCCUUCGGGUUUGGAACACUUUUAGAGGUAACAAUCAAUUGGAACUAGUUACUCUUUCAAACUUCUUAUUGUACAAAUAUAGCCUGCAUGUGCAACCAUUUCUGAUCCCAUAAUUUCAAGAAUUUAUGACACCUUCUAGUGGUUAGUUUUUUUGGGAAUAGAGUAAAGCAAUCUAUUCACUCCCAGAAACUAUCGUCAGAGGAACAGUAGAUAACCCCGCAAGACCAAAUUUAUGUGUGUUGCAUGGAGAUGCAUGUUUUCUGCAUCCCAAUCAUGCAGUGUUGUGUCAAAUGGAAUAAUAGCAGGUGAUGAUAAGUGGUAUUUCUAAAAUCAUCUAAGAGUAUUCCAUCUAUUGUAAUAUUGUUUUCUCAUAACUGUCUUUGAGUCUUAUAUGUAAAUAUUAGAGUUGACCUCUUGUAAGCUAUCAAUUGAUGUUGUAACUUAACUUGAAAGGGAAAUUCUAUAAAUUUAGCCUUGGUUUGGCACUUGGAAAGCAAAGAAAAAUUAGGUUAGUGAGUUGAUUUCUUCCCUUCCCAUGGAUGUAAGCACAUUCUUGAAUCAUGUUAAUUAUUUUUUGGUUUAUUUUGUUGUUUUGUUGUUUAUUGUUCAAUUGUCUCCACAUAACAAGUGGUAUCAGAGUUGUUUCCGACACACUAGAUGAUUCUUGUGCUAACACAAUGUUUGAGGCUAAAUAUAAGAUAGUAAAAGUUUCUAGAAUAUUUCCCUAUGACAAUUACCAAUAAAGAAUGUACUUAACAGGAAGUUUGUAAGGUGUUACAUGGCAAGUUGAACAAAACCAAUAGCCAGAGAUAACUGAAAUAUUUGGGCCAUUGAUCCAAUAAUAGCAGAUAAUAACACAAGAAGAGACCCUCUAAUCACCAUUUUUGCUUUUGAUUCUUCUUUACAAAGCAUCAUCUACUUUAUACAAAAAGACAAUCCAUGGCUGAGCCCACAUUAUUCUCUACAUAUCCCAAAAAAGCCCUCCAAAUUUUAGGGCAUGAUGCUCUUUUUGGGGGUAUUUUUGGUACUAAAUUUGUGGUAGUCUCUCAAAUACCUAAACUAGCCUCCAAAUUUUAAGGCAUGCCCCACUGUUUGAGGUGGUGUUUUGGGUACUAAUUUUUGUUAGGAGAGGUUUUAGUGUGGAAACUGGAGGGCUUUACACAUGUCGCAUGUAUUUUAUUUUGCAUGCGUUACACGUGGAUUGGAGUUUAUGCAGUUACUCACACUUUUUGUGCGUCCAACAAUACUGUAGUGCCACGUCACCAUAUGAUGGGCUCUUUAGUCUUUUCAAACCCAAAAAAACACCCAAAAAAAAAAACUAAUACUAAAAGGAGUGCUAACUAGCUAUGUGAAGGUGAACCUUUAUAGCUAGCUUCUUAAAGGGACCAUGAUCGCUUAGGCCAAGGAAGUUUGAGGUGAUAAUAGGUCUGUGAUGCCUUUAGAUGUUUUAAGCACAUGUGCGUUACACUAAUGUAUUCAACGAGUCUAUAACCUUAACCGACAGGUCCGGGUAAUCUUUGAAAUUUCAUUGUGAUGGGAAGGUUCCAUGUGAACAACACUUGCACAUGGGUUAGUCAAUCUUAAGAGAUGGGGGAAGCCCGUCUAACAACGCACAAUGUGCGAGCUUUGAAAGGCAAUAGGGUUAACAUUUCUGAAUUGGGACAUGACAAUGACAACAACAUUAGGUAGUCUAGAGAUGUUGUCAUAUUAAUUGUUAUCAAUAUUUUUAUUUAUUCAAUAGAAAUUGAGGAUUAAAAAAUACCACAAAAAAUAGAAAAAACAAAAUUAAUUACAUGGCUUACAUUUCAGAUAUUUAAUAAAAUAUUGUAUGAAAGUUGAAUAUCAUACACUAUUAAAUGACUGGAUUCUCUUCUUUAUUUUUUUUAAUUGUCUCAUCCUAUUAAAUUACUCAUCUAAUAUUAAUUUAUUUUAAAGGUAAAAUUAAUUAUAUUGUAAAAAACUUUUAAUUGACCAGAGUUUGUGCACAACAUCUAAUAUAUACUUAAAUACUUUUCCAUGCUAUAAUCCUCCAACUAAGAAAUGAAAUCAAAACUUAAAAAUCAUUUAUAUAUAUAGAUAUAUGUUGUUAAGUUUAGGUAGUGAAACAAUUAAUGUGGAUAUAAAAUUAAUGCCAAAACUUUUGAUUGAUCCUUCACAUUCUCCACAACCAAACAAAGGAUAUAAGAAAUAAUGAAAGAAAUUUAGGGUAGUUUUAUUUUUUGUUCUCAUCUUGUUGUGAAGUUAAUAGAGGAAUGCUUAGGUUGGUGCUCAAUAGUUAAGUGACACCAGGGUAUAAUGAUUCUUCCAAUUGUGUAAACAUUAUCCGCUUUAAUUUCAAUGGAUCAUCAUCACUUUAAAUUGCAUCCACAUGGUUAAGAGUAACUCAUAUGUAUAUAAUAUCAUGAAUUUCUUCUUAUUCGAUAUGGAAUAUCAAAUUAGGUAUCUUUCAAUUUUAGGUAUUGUAUAAGCGUUUCAACUCAAAUGACUUGGCUUAAUGUAUGCUCAAAGCCAUGACAAAGGAACGUACAUGUAAUAAAGUGAAAAUUAAACCUUGUCGCCCUUCUAUCUCUAGUAUGAAACACAACUCCAUUAGCCCUUAAACAUCUGCAAAAAAAGAUAUACACAUCUGUUACAUUAAUUAAAAUAAAUGAUGCAAAAAGAGGCUCUACAUGUCCAUGUACAUAAUUUGAUUAGAUUUGUUAUAUAUAUAGAUAGAGAGAAAAAAAAACUGCUUAGAUUAAGGAUCUCAUUAAUUAAUACCUAGAAAAUAUAAAAUAAUAAGAAAAGAUUAGAAGGUGUGAAUCAUAAGAUAAGACUACAUUUUUGAAUUAGAUUCAUCGAAAGAUGGCAUAUUGUAUGAACAUUUGUACUCUAUAUAUAAAAAUUCAUAUUAUGGUUGAGAUGUAUUAAUUUGUCAUAUUUUUGGAAAAUUAAAGUAAUGAGUAAUUACACUAAAUUAAAUUAUUGACCUUAUUAAUCAAUACCUCAAGAGUAUAAAAUAGUAAGAAAUGAUAAUACAAACUUCAUUGAAAUAUUUUUAUACACAUUGUGUAAAUAUUCUUAUUUAAUAAAAGUUUAUAUGUCAUUAAAUAAAUAGAGAAUUUUAACAUUAAUUGCAGUGCUAAGUAGAGGAGAUCCCAUAUUUAAGUUGUUGAUUAAGGCUUAUUUGAUAAAACUUAAUAUAUAUUACUUAAUAACUUAAGUUGACUUUAAGUUAGAUAAUAUUUAAGUUAUUUACUUAAAAUUUAUUAUUUAAUAUUUACUUUAAGUAUUAAAGUUAUUUGAUAAAGCUAAUUUAAAAAUCAUUUUAAAUUUUCAAAUUGUCAUAUUUACCUUCAUUAAUUUGAUAACUAGAUGCAGAUAAAUGAAAAAAAAAAUGAGAUUAAGAAUAAGUUAAUUACUUUGAUUUAACACUUAAAAUUAAAAGUAACUUUAAAAUAUAAUAUUUAGUUAUUUUAUCAAAUAUAUUUAAUAUAUUUAAUAAUUAAAUUAAGUUAUUAAGUCAAUGAAUGAUUACCAAACACCCUAUAAGACCUAGAAAAUCGAAUGAGUUUUAAUAGUAUUCAGGAUGGGCAUGACUAGGUGGUGGUUCAAUGUUGAUUAAUCAUAAUUCAAUCAAGGCAAAAUAUGUAACAAAUACAUGUCAAACUGCACCAUCCAAAUGGGCACCAAGAACGUUACAUUUGACAAAUGCCAUUAAACCUUUACAGCUAGCAAUUAGAAGAUCACUCUCUUCUUGUAUCUCUCUUUUUCUCCAAACUCCAGGAGGAAAAACGCGAACUCCAUUAUUUUGAUCACAGAAAAAAUGGCAAAAAAGUGUGUUGUACUUCAUCUUGAAGCUCAUUAACUUCAUCUUAAUUUGAUCCAAAUUGCAGAAACAUUCGAAACUCCAUGAAUCUAUGGUGCUAUGGUGGCCUACAUUCAUAUAACUGGGGACACUUUGGUUUGCACUACAAUGACCCCCAAACAUGGUUUGUAGAGACUUUAUCAAGAUCACUAGCUUCAAAAGACUAAGGAAAGAAAGAUGUUCUCAAUGAAAACUUGGAGUCAAAUUGCAGAUAAAGACCUAAAACUCCCACUCAAUGUGUUUGAGGAAUUGUUGUUUCAUGGGGAUAAGCCGUUUGGUUUGUACACGUCUCCUUGGUGAUACUUAGAGAUUGGCGAAGUAUACGUCUCCUUUGUGAUCUGGUUUGUAUCUGGGCAGAUGAAUGUUCAUGCCAGGUUCAUAUAUGUUUCUGAUAUAUAUCACCCUGGAAGGAUCUAGAUCAAGGGGAUGAGUUUGAAAAGCUUGAGUAGGUUUAAAAUGUUCCGAGAAUUGGUGAGCAUGAUAUAUAUCAACAUGAUAUUGCAGAAGACAACAGAGCUUCUGAAAUAUGUCAGAUUCAAUAGUAGGAAAUCUUAUCAGCUGUCACUUACUGUAAUUCUAUGCUCUCAAUAUUCAUUUGUUGAAGAAGAAAAAAAAUUGCUUUCACACUAUUCAAUUACAGGAGAAUGUUCAUUAUUGAAGAAAAUAAUAUUCGCUAGUCUCUUUCAACUUAAUCAACAUGCAGAGAAAAGCAGUCGGGCGACCAAUUAUUCACAUAAAACUUACAUACAUUGUCUCUCUACCUCUACUUGUUACUCAUCAGUCAAGCUUAUAGUAAUAUAAGCUUGGGUUCAUCUCUCUAUGCCAUUGAUGAAAACUCCACAUGGGCUUUGCCUUUCUGGUGAUUUUGCAUUUGGAUUCCGACCCUCUCCAAGUGAAGAGGACCUAUUCCUUCUUGCUAUCUGGACUGCAAAUGGAAGUUAACCGGUGCCAAGAGGAUCAAAAGUUGGGCUUACCACCAAUAGACAGCUUGUUCUCUAGAGGCUGGUAAUGUGAGCAGCGAACCAGUGCAUGGUGCCAUGCUUGGAGAUGGAAAUUGUAUACCAGUGUAUGGGAGAGCUUCAAGCACCCGACUAAUACCAUAUUGCCAACCCAGGGAUUGGUGUUGGAGCCUACUGUUGAGUUGCUAUUUUUGAGGACCUGAGGUUUCCAAAUGGAACUGGAAGCUGUUGGAGGAAAAGACUACCUCUUUCAAAUGGGAGGUUGGAUCAAACUGCUGUUUCCAGAAGUGCUCUAAUCAAGAUAUUGAAGUCCAGUGAACUAACUUCAGGCAGAGGCAACCAAAAUAAAGCAAUUCUAAUACUCUCAGUCCUCUUAGGCCCCUCUGUGUUCUUCUUCUUCAUUUCUCUGGCUGCAAUUUCUCUAGUUUUCUACUGCUUGAUCCUCAAAAAUCUGCAGCUUUAUCACAGAAUCCUGAGUACAAGCGAUGGUAGAAGCCUUUGGCACUGUCUAUAAAGGGAUAUUACCAUCAGGUUCUGGAAAUUCUGUUGCUGAAAAGAAGUUGGAGAAGGUGGUGGGAGAAGAUGAGAAAGAAUUCAAAGCAGAAGUGAAUGUGAUAGGCCAACUCACCAUAAGAAUCACGGACACUAGCUGCGUUACUGUCGUGAGGGUGAACACUGACUACUGGUGUUUUUUUUUUUUAUGCACAAUGGCUCUUUAUCAAGCUUCCUUUCUGGAGGCGCCCAAGGACUUGUGUACCUACAUGAAGAAUGCAGUAAACAGAUCAUCCAUUGUGACAUAAAGCCCUCAGAACAUAACUCUUGGAUGAUUCUUCUACAGCCAAAGUUGCAAACUUGGACUGGGAAAGCUUCUGAUAAGCAACCAGACUAGAACACUCACAGGCAUCAGAGGGACUAUGGGGUAUAUUCAGACAACUCGGGCAGCCUAUGUCUCUUAUAAUAACACGUUAUGAAGCAUCAGCUCAAUGCCGGGGUUCAAUCUGCAAAGCAAGGGAUUCAUCAAUGUUUCCUUCAAACUAAAUGAUAAGGAACAGAAAUGGAUCAUUCUGCAUUUUCAGUGGUGUUUGUUAUAGCAUUUAUACAAGAACUCUAGGGGUUUCUAUGUAUAACUUCAUUCCCAUUUUGUAUAAUCCAAAUCUCUUCAAUCGAUUAAAUGUAUAAAUGAAUCCUAUUCAUUGUUUGGAGUAACAACAAAAUUCUGGAAGACUGGGAAAGUUUCAACACUGGAGAGAAGACAAAAUGACAAGACCAUAAAUUCUGGAAGAGGGCUUUGCUUUCUAACCAUUACCAUAAUUUUAGAGCUCAACCUGGAUGAGUAAAUUAUAUUUCAGAAUGUUCAGGAGAUAAUUCUAAAGUGAUGAACCUUCUACUCACAGUUUCUUGUUCUUCUUGAACAGAGCAAUGAACAUCAAUAGUUCAGCACCCAGGAAUCUCCCCUUCCUCCAAUUCCUCCACUGGGAAAAGUCACCUUUCCAGUUAAGAAAAUCAUCAGGAUUAGUUUGAGCAAAACAUCAGAGUAUACAUCAAGAAAGCCUUGAUCAAAAUCAAAAUACAUCAAGAGCUGCCAUUUUCUUCUAUUUCCUCUUCCCUGAAUGGAAUGCCUUUUGGACUGAGGUGAUCAAUGGUAACAAUCUAACACACUCCUUAAGCUCUGAUUGAGGUCAACGGGGAUUGGCACAUUUAAUGACUUUGAAAUCAUAGCUGUGUGAAGGGAGGCAAACAUGAAUCUCAGGAUAAUCAACAAGUCAACAACUAUCAAUCAGUAAGGAAAAGGAAAAGGAAAUACCUUUGGAUAUUUACAAAUAAAAAUGAAAUAUGAUACAAGAUUUUCAUGGAUUAAACAAAAAUAGAUGGCAAAAUAGAAGGAUAAGGUCACAGACAGGACAAUAUUAAAAGAAAUUAUUAUUUUUCCGACCUGAAAAUCAAGGAAUUCAGAACAGUACAAGUUUGUAAGUAGUCCAUGGAAACCAGGGAACAUAUGCAGAUGUUUUAUUCUAUUGCAUAAGGCAAACACUCAAUACUUACAAGCAUAAUCAUGCCCAGAAAGCCAUGAAUCCCUUUUUGUUUUGCCUUUUUAUCUAUUCCCAUCUCUUAUUGCCAGAAGUGCCCAGGAUGAUAUAAGCCUCACCAAAUAAGUUAGAAACCAGCCCAUUCAGCAGGUUGAGUAGCCAGCUUGCCCUCAAUCUUCUUUGAGUCAACAAACAGCUGGGCAUUAUUGCCUCCAAUGGAGGGUCUGGAAAUAUUAGAGCCGGCAGCAGGGGUGGCUGUAAAACUCUCUGUUCCAAAACCCCAAGUUUCAGGGCCAGAAGUUCCUUCUGUGGCUGGUUUGUUGUGAUGGCCAUUUCGGGUCCUAACAGACUUGCUAUUGUUGUCUGGGCACCUGCCUCAGAGAAAGCCUGCCAAAGAUUAGAGUCUGGGCCAGGGGAAACGGAUUUUCUUUGCUGGAGUUCCCAGUCUGUUGCUUCAAUCUUUUCUCUGUGCUGUUAUGAGAAGAAAACCUAUCAGACACAUGAAUGGGUACAAAAAGGUAAACUUCAGGUUUUGGUUGUAUUGAAAAGCACAGGAAACUUCACAAGAGGCAAAUUAUACCCCAGACUUAUUGAAGAAAAAUAAAGUACAAUUGACUUACCCAAAUGUCUACUUUCUCAUUUAUAAGUUUCCUCCUAAACAAAUCCCCACAUCUAGGACAGGAAAAGGAAGAAACUGGGAGUCAACAUUUUUUCAACCAAAUGUCAGCACUAAAUUAUCAAAAAACAUAGUUUUCCAUUCAACCUCGGGAGCUGUAUGUGCAGGUGUACUGUACUUUCUGAUAUUGUCUUCUUCAAUGCCCAUUUCUUCAGGCUUCUUAAAGUGCUUAUGAUUGGUGGAGGUGCUUCCAAAAUUACACAACUUCCAUAAUCCAUUAGGGCCCAAUAGAAGAUUCUCAGCAUUUAUAUAAGAACUUUAGGGUUUAUACGUAUGAUCAUGUUACAGUAUAAAUCAUAGUGAACUGGUGGAAUUUGAUUAUUUAGCCAACCUCAUCAAAAACUGUUUCACAGUUGAGGGGAUUGUUAACCUUGCCAUGGGCCAAGCAGCAAUUUCUGAAGAAGCUGGGUGACAAAGAGUACCAUCAUUUGGACUAGUUUCAAUGGAAAUUACUCUGUUUUUAUACAUGAUAUCUUCAGCUUCAGCUUUUCCUUUUGCUUUUGACAUGGCUGAAACUGAUCCUGAAAUCAAAAAUCCCACACAAGUAGAUAUUUAACAGAAGAGGAUCCGAAUCUCUUCAAUUGAUUAAUGUAUAAAUGAAAUAAUAAAAAAUUUUAGAGAUAAUUAUAGGGAGAUGAACCUUAUACCUCUGAGUUUCUUAGUCUUCUUGAACAGAGCAAUGAGCAUCCAGUGUUGAGCACCCAGGAAUCUUCCUUCCUCUACAGGGAAAAUCUGAACAAUCUAUCUUUCUUCAUAUUCCACUUCCUUGCAAAAGUCAAAACAUGAAGAAAAUAUCAUCAAAAUUGAGACAAAAAUAAGUGCAUCAACUGUCUCAAGAAGAGAUUUAUGCCUAUUGCUUACCUUUUGCAGAAGUCCACUUGGUUAGAGCACAUUUUACAUGGACGCCCAAUCACUGCAAGCUGCUGAACCAAAGGAGAGUUCAAACAUCUAAAAAAUUUGACUAACUCAAGUAUCAUAAAAUACUUCACAUGAAUUCUAAAUGAUCUCAUAUCUAAAAAACACUGGCAUAAAAUUAUUGUUGUUUACCUUACAUGUUUCUUCCAUGGUCAUAAUCGAAACUUUGUUUAUCAUAAGAAAUCUUUUAUGCUCAUCCUGAUUACUUACAAUGAUCACUGAAAUGAAAAGACAAAAAACACAAAAAAUGACGAUUAGUUUGAUUUGAUAAUUUUUUAAAAUUAGAAAUUAUAAAACUAUUUUGGUUCUCAGAAAAUUUACGGGAAAGUAGGGAAAAAAAUUGUAAACUUUUUCUCUUGUUUGAUUGUUUAUCGGAAAAUUGAGGGAAAAACAAAAAUCUAAGAGAAAUUUAUUUAACACUUAUGAGGAACCAAAAAUGUUUUAGAUGUUGUCAAAUCGAUAAUUUAAACGUGUUUAAUUUCAAUUAAAUGAGUUUAAUCAAACACAUGAAAUUGUGAAUAAAAUUAUUUAAAAGCAUUGAAAUUCAAGUCAUUAAAGUUGUCCAUAAAAUUUGAUAUAUUGAAGCAAGAAAAAAACAAAGCAAUUUGAAUGACUUGCUAAUGAAGCAGCUAACUAAAAUAUGCCCUAGAGUUGUUCUGUGCCCUGUAUAUAACAAAUUUAAAAAAAAAAAAUCCUAGAAAAAAAACAAACAAAAUAUCCAUGGUCUUAUGUUAUUUUUUUUCUUAAUUUUUCAAUAGUUAUAAAUGGUUCAUUUAAUUCUUGCAAACCACCAAAUCAAAACAGAGCAUGAAAAAGAAAAUCUUAAAUCAAAUAAACAGGACUAGCGAAUGAAUUGGAACUUGAAAGAAAAGUUCAAGCUCAAAAGAAUUACCUGACUCUAUAUUGGCGGAGUGGCACUUUGAUUAAUAUAGCACAAAAUUGAUCACUAUUUUUGGAAUGUGAGCUAUAUAACGCCAUUCUUCCCCUUUCUCAAAUUGACACCGUUUUUUCAGUAAAGGACAUUUGUAGAUGAACAGAUAAGAGAGGGAGUCUGGAAGUCUCUCUUUUGUCAAGUAUUUGAGCUUACGACACUUACAGAUCCCUAAUGUUUUAAGAGAGGUGAGGUGUUGAAGACCCACUUUUGUCAAGGAUUGGAGCAUUGGGCAGUUAUCGAUCCACAAACAUUCAAGAGAGGUGAGGUGUUGAAGACCCACUUCUGUCAAGGAUUGGAGCAUUGGGCAGUUUUCGAUCGACAACAUUUCAAGAGAGGUGAGGUGCUGAAGACCCACUUCUGUCAAUGAUUGGAGCCUCGAGCAUCCAUCAAUUUCUAAUCGUUUUAGAGAGAUAAGGUGUUGAAGAACCGAUCCUGUCGAGAACUGGAGCUCUGGGCAGUUUCUGAUCUUUAAUUGUAGAAGAGAGGUGAGUUGUUGAAGACCCCUGCUGUCAAGAGACUUGAGAUUCGAAAGCUCUACAAUUUGAAGAGAAGUCAGAGAAGAGGGCAGCAAACACUCCUUGGGAAAUAAUUCAAUGUCUUCACAUCCACCGGUGAUUGUGAAAUGAGUAAGAGAGGUCAGCCUUUGCAAACCCCACUCCACCUGGGGUGUGAGUUGGUUGCACUUCUUAAUUUCAAGUUCACGUAGGUUGGAAGGCAAACCCUCUCUCUGAAACAACAAUUCUGGACAAUCCCAUAAAUUCAACGACCUGAGCUUGGAGCACCUAUAAAUCUUACAAGACUCCAAGUUGAGAGCGUGCAAUUCGAUAGAUUCAAGAUCAGGGCAACCAUCUAGAGACAGGGAACAUAAAGAUGUGGGAUCACCCUCUGAAACCAAAAUGGAGAGCUUCUCAAGCCCCUUAAGAUCAAGGAUUGUGAAAUUAGUCAACUUUGGGAAGAUGCCUAAUGAGAAGGAUAACGAGAGAGAAUCAUCGAUAACACCAUCUUUGAUUUCUAGACUUUCAAGGACUGGGAGAUGGCAUCUGAACAACUCAGGUAGGAGAAACGCUAAUUUCGAGCAGUCAGAGAUGAAUAGUGAUUUCAGUGUAGUGGGUAAACCAACUUUGUGCAGGGAUCUAGAAAAACUACAAUCAUAGAUUUUCAGAUCAUGUAUGUUGGUUUGCGAGAUUUCCUCCUCUAGCAGAGACUCCACAUAAUCACAUUUUCUAAUUGACAGCUGGUGUGGUGCCAUUGGAAGUUGACUCCACUGAGACACAUCUAAAAUUUCAAUUUCUGAAGUUUGAAGAGCUGUGAAGUCACAACCUGCCAUUUGCAACUGCAGUUUACCAAAAUCCACCAUCCUCAAUUGACGAAUUGCAGGAACUGUGAGUGAAGCCAUAAGCAGUUGCGGACAUUCAUGAAUUUGAAGUUCCACCAAUGAAAGAAGCUGUUCUGGUAAUUUCCCAAUGAGUUUGGGACACCUUCGUAUAAAAAGCUUUUGAAGAUGAGGGAAUUCUCCACAACAUAACCAUUUCUCCCAGUUCUGCAUAUCCUCAAAUGAUAGUGUUUCUAGGAAUUGAAAGGAAGCAUUCCCAUAGAACUCAUCACCCACACACUCUACUCCAUUCAUCCUUGAGAUUUGCAGAUAUUUAAGUUGGGUUAGCUGUCCAAGUGGUGGCAAUGUUGAGCAAUUGCCACAACCCCGAAGCUCAAGGGACACGAGAUUCAACACUGAAGGAUCUCCAAGCCAAUUUGGAAAUCCUUCACCAGGAUAGUUUGUGAUGGAGAGUUGUUUUAAAUUUGGAUGAGGUUGUAACUUGUUGAGUAUAUCAUGCGUUGUUGCACCACUUUGUGUAACACCAUUGGUACACAUGUAACGCCAAUCAAAGAUCAACUCAUCAAGAUAACUUUUAUCCUGCAUAUUAGCUCUUGAUGCAUCAUUAACACUCACCACAUUCUCCAUGUUUGAAAUAUAAAGUUUUCCUCGAAGCUCUGAUAGCUCCCCCAAUUCUCCAAUUCUUAAUCCAUUGUUUUGGCCCACAAUAAAUCGAGUCAACCUUUGUAAAUUUUUUAAUUGACCAAUUCCAUGACUUGACAUUGCUCUCAAUGAACGACAUCCAUCAAUAUCAAGAUAGCGCAAAUUAAUCAAUUUUCCCAUCUUUGAAGGCAAUUCAUCAAGUUCUGAACAAUUUCUCAGCAUCAUCGUUUGUAAAUUGCAUAAACAACAUACUGAUUUAGGUAAUUUUUUAAUCCUCGUGACAGACAAAUCCAAGUAACGCAAAUGUUUUAAAUUACCUAUCGAUUUAGGCAAAUCAGUUAUUGUAUAUGCACAUAAUGAUAACACACGUAAACACCACAUUUUUGGUAAUAUAUCUUGCAAAACUCUUUUACUCAAAUUAUAUAUCGGAUAGUCUUCCAUUUGCUUCACUCCUAAGAAUGUUCGAAUAGAUUUAGCUUUAGUGAUAGCCUCAAAAUUCUUAAAUGCAACAAGCCUCUCAUAAUCACUUUUAAAGUACAAAAAGUGGUGAGCCUUCUCAGAUACUUUCAGUAACUUAUCAUCCUCUUCCACUCGAGCACAAAAAUCUCCAGACACGUGUUGAGCCAAUUCGUGUAUUAGAUCAUGCAUUACAAAGCAUGAUCCUUUUGUUCCAAUAGAUUUUUGAAAGAAUGACUUGGCGAGAAGUUCAUUAAAAUAUGACUCACCUAUCUCUUCCAUUCUCCUUCCUUCGUUUUCUUGUGGAUGUAAAAGACCUUCUGCCAUCCAUAAUAAAAUCAGCUUCUCUUUGUUGAAUUGGUGGUCCUGGGGAAAAAUAGAACAAUAAGCAAAACAAUGCUUCAGAGGUAGAGAAAGAUGAUGGUAGCUUAAUCUCAAAGAUGGAAGAAUUUCGGAGCCACUCUGCCGCCAUAUGUCACUGUUCAACACAACGUUCCAUUCCCCUUUGUCGGCCUCCGAAUACAAGAGACGGCCGAGUACUUUCACAGCCAAAGGCAAUCCUUGGCACUUGUCCACAAUCUGUCUGCCUAUGGGUUUAAGCUCAAGGAAUGCGUUGGGGUCUCUAUCUCCAAAUGCAUGCUUUUUAAACAGGGACCAACUAUCUUCAGAGCUUAAUUUCCCAAGAUCAUGAGUAGGGGCCGCUUUCAUGGCUUCUGCAACAGAUUUAUCACGACUGGUCACAACAAUCUUGCUUC